UCUCCAGCAUUGUUCCAUCAUGUAAUCUAAGUUUGAUAUCCCUAAACCAAUGACUCUACACAUGGUAUUGUUACCUAUCAUUACUCCUCCCCUAUCAAACUUUUGAUACUCAGUAAAGUAACCAAUAAAAGGACUUAUAUGAAAUGUGCAUCCUGAAUCUAAGAUCCAAUUUACCUUUUUGGUUAUUGUCUGUUACAACACAGACAUCAGCAAACUCAUAUCCUUCCUCCUCCACAGUAGCUGCAUCUCCAUUAUGACCUUUACACAGACACUAGCAGACUCAUAUCCUUUUUCUCAGGACAGUCCUUUUUCAAGUGACCUUCCUUGUCCAUUGAAAACACUUCCAAGUCUUUGUUUUAUUCUUUAGUUUUCCUUGCUUCUUUUUCUUAUCAUUUUUCUUGUUAAAUUUCCCCCUCGCUAUUAAUCCUUCCUAGUGCCAUUCUCCAUCACAUCUUGUUUCCCUUAUAAUUCCCUUGUAUUAAGUGCAGCCUUAACUUCAUCAAGUGACAAGGUUUGCCUCCCAUACAUCAAGGCAUCAACAAAAUGUUCAUAGGACUUUGGUAGGGAACUGAUUAACAAAAGAGCUUUGCCUUCAUAAUCUAAACCUUUAUCAAUUGUUUUCAAAAUGACACACACCUUAUUGAAUUCAUCUAUAUACUGCUCUAGAGAUAAGCCUUCAACAAUCCUGAGUGUAAACAUCCUCUUUUUGGUGCAGAGUCUGUUUGUCGAGGAUUUGGUCAUGUAGAGACUUUCCAUUUUUGCCUAUAACCCAACCACAGUCUUCUCCUUAGCCAGUAUUCUAAUGACCGAGUCCCUCAGACUUUCAAGUUUUGCCUAUAACCCAACCACAGUCUUCUUAUUAAUUUUAGCUAGCUCCUCUGGAGUCUUGGAUGAUGGAGUCUCUUUUCCUUCCAUCUUUGACACUGGUUUGAUUGCAUCCCUUAAUCCAUGAGUAAUAAGCAAGGCCUCCAUCUUGAUUUUCCACAUAUUGAAGUCAUUAUUUAAAUUAAAUUUCUCCAUAUAAAUAUUUGGUGUAGCCAUACUUGAAUCUAGUCCAAGAACCCAAAGCUUUGAUACCAUGUAUAGUGAAUUGAUCUGCCUCACUUCUUAGCAAGACCAACCACUGCCCAAGACCUUGAACAUGAUUAAUCAAGUUGCUAAGUUGAGUGAUUAAAUCUAGAAAAAACUUAAACAAUAAUUGUCUAUCACACCAAUCAAGAUUCAAGACAAAGAUAAAAAAAAAUCAACUCACAAACCAACAAGAAAAGCAGAGAUUUAUGUGGUUUAGUUGUUCCAAUAAUGGCAUAACCUACAUCCAUGGGAGAAGCUUUUUGAUUAGGCUUUUAUUAAUUAAUAAUUGAGAAUCUAUUACAAAGCAAUGCCAGAGAUUACAGAGAACACUAUAGAACCAAUUCUCUUCUCUCUUCAACUCUUAUCUCUCUAAAACACACCCUCUAAGGCACCCUGUUACGUAGCUUUAUAACUGCCUCAGUAGCAAGAAUCAUAGCUCUAGAUUGCACAGCUAGCUGACAUGUGGAUAAUGAAAAUAACUACUCUAAGUUGAAGCCACUCACAUGACUCUCACAUGUAUCACUUAAGUAAUGAUCUAAAUGACAUGUUUAAGUUGCCAUUUGGAUGUAAAUUGAUUAUAAGUGGAACAUGUGCUUUUUUCACGUGACUUGAGCAUAUAAUCUCAUACACAAAACGUUGUCAUUGCAAUCUCCAAAGUUUGAUUCACUAUCAUCCUUCAUAGUAGUUAAUUCUUUAAAUAUUUGGCCAAUAUUUGAAUGAUUUGAGGAUACAUAAUGCGACUGAGAGGAGAUUUAUGUGUUUUUGUUAUGUAUAAUGAAUGCCAUGAAUUGAUCAAAAGACAGAGAUGUGCCAAUGUGAUUCGUGUUGUUUUUUCUAAGAAUUUCCAUCGAGGGUAAUAAAUCUUUGUGUAUUUAAAUUCACAUAGAAAUAUAGUGGUUAAUAUGUGAAGGUAAUUUUGAUAUUACUCCAGAGAGGAUAUUGAAUAGAUUAGGAAAAUUCAUUGUCAACAUGGGUAAUAAACUUUAAUAGCAUAUAUGGAGGAUUAAAUUGGAUUGGUUAUAGUGAAAUCGGAUACAUUUAUUCUAAAGUCAUUUGUUCAGUUAUUCAAAUAAAUUAGGGUAGAAGAGAGAAAAGUUUUUAGAGAAACAUGAUGUGAAGAAAACUAAAUUUUAUUUCUGAUUAACUCAUGCCUUUCAAAGGGAUAGAGAGAUCCUUAUAUAGAGAUCUCGAGGAAGGAGAGAUAAGGUAGGUCCCUUAUCUUUUACAAAAGCAGAAUUAUUAAAUCACACCACGCCAAACUAGAAAAGCAGAAAACAUACUUUAGACAAGACAUGACCCUUGUCUAAUUAUGAAAGCAAACUUAAAAGCAAAAGCUAAAGAUUGCCAUGCGUGUCUGCAAUCAUGGAGUGGAUGGGUAGUGUGAUGGAGACACAUCGCCAGUUUCUUUCUCAUAUUGUCGUUUGGCACGACGGAUCUGUGUUUCAUCAAGAUAAGCUUUAGCUUACAGAUAGGCUUCUUCAUCAGCGUUAGUCAUUUGUUUUGAGGCUAAUGUAGCAGGAGGGUCUGGGUCUGUGAGAGUGUAAUGGGAAUUUUUAGUAUGGAGAAGAGACUGAAAAUCUUCCCAUGGAUCUUGAGCAUCUUGGAAUAAGACGUUAGUGUAAUCAGGACAUUGUUCCAUGACAAGGAUUCCUUGAGGACUUGAACUGGAACCUGGAGUAAACUUUGUGUCUUUGGGACAAUUUCCAAUGUGUGUGAUGAUCCAACAGAGGUGUGGUGGAUGUUUGUGGCAGGUGGCUAAACAUUGUUGAGUUCGAUCAAGUAUGAUUUGAGAACAAAGGUAACAGAUGUAUCAUGGAUGAGGGUAUAAGGAUAGGGAUAAGUUUUCCAUUCAUAGGCCAUAUCUUGUGUCCAGAAGUCUCUUGUUUCUGGGUGCUGGAAGUAAGGUCUAUGAACGAUGAAGAGUGCAUUGAACAUGUUUGCUUCUUGUUCUGGCAUCUUGUUUAAUCCGUGAAAAGUACACAGAUUUUUGAGUUGUUUACGCUACCACGUGAGUGGAGAAUACCAUUCAAGGAGAGUCCACAGAAGGUCUAGGGAGAAUUCAGGAGUGGUGAGAUGGCGGAGGACUGGUUGGACAGGGAAGACUAGUUUGGUAGCAUACAGGGUAGUGAGACACCACAUGUACCAUAACUAAUCUUCGCAGAUGGUUAAGGAAGAGAGGGUAAGACCUGUGAGAAACAGGCUUGCCAGCGAUGUGGGAUAAGAGCUUAUCAUUCACUCUACCCUCGCCCUCGGGCCUUGGCUCUGAUACCAACUUAGAACUUCCUUGACUAGUUUGAACUGCUGUUAUCAUAGCAGUGUAGGAAAGUUGUGAACUGUCUGAAACAAGCUUGGUUUCAGGAGUUUGAAAAGAUAAUUUGACUUGACCAUUUUGUCGUCUUUCAAACGUGGCUUCUGUUGUUUGAACUGGUUCACAGUUUUAGUGGAAAUGCUCAUAGUUGGUUAACCACUCAAGAGGCAUAAGUUUGAGCAAUUCUUGUUUCUGGAUUUAUUUGAGAAUUUGGAUGAUGGUUGGAAUUGUGUCUGUGUCUGCUAGUAUCAUUAAGGCACCGGAUGUAGUGUGUGGUGUGGGGAGAUCGAGGGCAUGAUUCUGUAAUCGGUACACGAUUUGGUGAUGAAGAGUUGCUAUCUUUGAUGUGGGUGUUUGUUCUGCUCCUUGGAGCUGGAUUUGGACCUUAAGGGUCAUGGGAAGGUUGGGAUCCUGAAGAGAAUGGUUGAAAUUUGGGUAAAAGGUUAAUAAGACACUGCCAGCAUGAAGUGUGGUCAGGACAGUUCCUACAACAGCAUGUUGGUACUGUUUGAACCUGGUGUCUAGGAGAGCAAUUCUGGCUAUAACAGGUAAACCUUUUCUACCAUGGAGGGUUAGAAGCAAUCUAACACCACCAAGAUGGAGAUGUGUAUACUCCUCUCAUUUCCAGUUUGCCAUGAGAUCUGGGGGUAUUUCUAAAGUAACGUACUGCUCACUUUGAGAGGCUUGUAAAGCACACUAAUCCAGUCUAGAAGACUGAAUAUAUUCUUUUGGGAGUGGUCUUGUGGUGGAGAUCAGGGUACGGAUACUUCUGGUGAAAUAAGUUUUUUGUUUGUAUAGAUUAUAAGGACUCAUGAUGGGGAACUGAGAUUCAUUGAUUUGGGCAGACUCAGGAAUAUAUGAAUAUUCAACAAGAUUUUCAAUUUUGGAGGCUAUAUGUUUUGAACAUGAUUUUGGAAUAGAUGUGGUAGAGGAAAGAGAGAUAUGAGAUGAAGAUGAUAAAGGAAUUGAAGAUGAAGAUGUUUCCAUAUUUGUGUAAUCUCCCCCUAGGAAAUCAAAAAAUAUUAUUUGACAUUACUAAUGAUACCACCUCUGUGAGAAGCUUAGCUCUGAUACCAUUCGGUAGUUGUACGUGGCGUUGUUACACCGGAUCUGUAACAGAAUAAAGUCUGUCCUUAGGGCCAAUAGCCUGCAAGUUCUGGUUUCCAGCCGAUAUACACUUAUCCGUCAAAUACCAAAACUGAAAAUCAUAUCUGAAAACAGUUUUUCACAAUACCACCCAAAAACACGGCACUCUUGGCCUUUAAAGAGGGUGAACGUUGUGAGAAAAUAAUUUCAUUUUAAAAAUUGAAAUGAUUAAACUUUUUGCUUUGAACAUUGAAGAAAUACCAGUAAAGGAAUUUCUUCGCAAAGUCUUGGAUCUGGUAGGCUGAAUGAAAAGGAAUGUUCAUGGAGAAAGUUCUCUGGUUGAGAGCUUUGAAAGGAAGUUGUCGGUUCAUGGCUAUAACUGGGAUGGUGUGAAUGGAGGAAAUAAGUGAGGGUUUAUUUAUAGCCGGACGUGUAAGGAAAUCUGGGAUGAGGUUCUGUUUGCCUUUUAUGUGUUGGACAGUAAAAUCAUAUUUAGCAAACCAGUUUUUGAGGCUAAGCAGCUGUUUGUCAGGGAGUAGCUUAUUUUUAAAGUCAAAGAUUCUAAGAAAAGAGGAGUUGUCCAUGUUGAUAAGGAAUUUAUGGCUGAUUAGAUGAAAUUCAAACUUUUUGAUUCCAUACUUGACCGCCAAAAUCUCUUUGUAGAUCACAUGGUAAUUCUUUUCAGAGUCUUUGAAUUGUCCGCUUGCAUGUGCACAGAAGUAACGUACACCAUUUAUCUCUUCAAGAAGGAUGGCACUCCAGUAAUCAUCAUUGGCAUGGGUCUGUAGAAUGCGUUGUCCAGUUGUGGGAAUUCGGAGAGGAGGAGCUGACUGGACUAUCACCUUUAGUUGUUGGACAACUUCUGUUUGUGUUGGUCCCCAUAAAGGGCACUGUUUUCUAAGCAUGCGGGACAACUGGCUUGUGUGGAUUGCUACACACUUCGUUUCAUCUUUGCACUCUAUCUUGAGAUAGGGUUUUUUGCAGGCUUGAGAAAAGGAUUUUUUGUCUUCCAUGCGGUCCUUGAAGAAUUCUUUUUGCUCACAGAUCUUGUCAAGACAUAGCAUUGCCAUUUGGAAAAUCUUUCCUAGAGAGAUAUCAACUAUGCUAAGAUUAACGGCUGUGAGUUUUCUUUGGAGAUCAGGUUGUAACUCAGAAGGAAGUGAGGCUAUGAAGACAUGUUUAAGAGAUGACUCAUUGAACCCAUUCAGCUUAUAAAAAAUAAUACUCAUCCUUUUGUAAUGGGAUUCCAAAAGGUGUCUUUUGAGCGAGCAGCAUUUCAUCUGAUGAUACUCUUUUUUGUCUGCAUCAGUGGAGGCAGUUUUUUCACCGAUAAAUUGUUCAUGAAUGAUAUUGAGUUCUGUGCCAAUUGGAGAUUGCAUGAAUUGGAGCUGACAGUAUUCUCCCAAGCUUUCUAACCAAUCACGUAAAGAACCCCUUGAUCGGGCCAUGAAUUCACGGAGUGCAGCUUGAGGUUAAGCAUUAGGUUUGGUUCCUUAGAGAUCAAUCCAUGCGGUAAAUUCUUGAAGUCGAGCAGGCCAUUUAUGGCGGGGAAUGUCAUCAAAUGUGAACCAAGAUGCUGAAGAUAGUUUUGUUGAAUAAUCAGGAACUGGUGGAGGCAUUGAUGGCUCUUGUUCUGUUGGAGAUGCUUUAUUUUUAGCAUCAGAAGAAUUGUCUUCAACAAUAGGUGUGGCAGUGGAAGUGCUUGGAUCUUCAGUUUUAGUGGCCAUUAAUAUGCUUGUAAUGUCAGCAUAUUCAGAUUCAGAGUCAGUGGAGGUACCGACUGAGUUUGUUGAUGAGGAAGAGGAAGACGGGUUGGACUCUGAUGGGUUUGACUCAUAGACUGUUUCUGGCUCAGAGGAGUCAGAAGAUGUGUUUUGGACAGUAUGAUAAUGAUACUGAUCCAUUGGGCCUUUGUCUUUUUUGGGAGGCUCAGGAGUGGCUUUUGGUGAAUCUUCUGGUGGUACCGGAGGAACAGAUGAAGAUGAAGUGGCCUUUGACUUAGGUUCUGAGAUCUUGACUUUGGAUUUUUAUUUUUUAGGUGAAGAUGGCUUUGGUUGAAGAGUUGGUUGAAGGUGUAAGAAUCCAAAGAACUGAUUGUAAACAGGUCGUUGAGGUCUGGAUGGUGUGUGGAAAGGUGCAUAAGUUUCAAAGAUCGGAGGAGGUACUGGUGGGGUUUGUGUUUAAGUAAAAAGGGAAGGUCGAGUCUUUUCAGCAUCAAUUCUUGUCAAUUUAGCUUUAAGCUUUCUGAUCUCUACUUCUUUUUUAUUAAACUUUGGACCCCAGAUGUGGUUGUUGAUCAUUCGUCUAAGAUCGCUAUCUAGCUCAGAGAUACGAUCUUGUAGAUGGAUGUACAUCUGAUCAAGAUGAUUGCUGAUUGAAUCAACUUUAGUUUCAGUCUGAGAGACUUGACUGUUAACUCGAUCAAUUUUCUUACCGAGUUGUUGAAGAGUUUGGUUCUGAGCAGCGGCAUUUUUGGUUUCCCAGUCUAAAAUAGCUUCGUACUGUUUUGGCUCUUCAGGUUGCCCAGAGGCUAUAACUGGGGAUUGGACAAAAGGUUUUGAGAUAACUCUGGUUUGUGUGUCUAUCUGUUUUUCAAGUGGAGGGAAUGAUUCCUCAUAAGAUUGACUCGAAAACAUAAGGCAUGAUCUUAUUGGAUGGACAGGAGGUUUGGAAUCUGGUGGAGGUUGUGGAGGAAAGGAUUUACAGGAUGUUAUUGGAUGAGAGGAUUUUUUCUUCUUCUUUUCCUUUUUCCUCAUAACUUCUAAUUCGUCAUCAACAUCCAUAUCAUCCAAGCAAGGACAAUCUGGAUUGCAAAAUGACCAUUGAUUUUAUCUAGAUAUACUGGUAGCUAAUAGGAUAUACAAUCUCUCUGGGACGAUACUCUACUUUUCAUUAUAUUAUUUAUGUCGACUAGUGCAUUUGCUAAUUUAUGCAACAAUUUUUCGGCGCCAUUGAUGGGGAUUGUUUAUAUUAGUAUCAAUACACACUAGCCUUAAUUUAAUUUGAAUUUAAUUUGAAUUUUAUUUCUAUUGUUUUUAUUUUUUAUUUUUGUUUUCUUGUCUAAUUUUAUGAGACAUUUAAGAAGUUUUGAUUUAUUGCCUUUUGAUCCAGAGAUUAAACGUAAAAGUAUAAGGCUCAAUAGGGAAAGAAGAGAAUCUUUACAGGAGUAGAAGCAACAAUUAAUCAUGGCUAACGAAGCAAUGCAAGAAAAUGGGAAUAUUAUGUCGUUCCUAUUGUUAAUGAUACCCUCUUAAGCAUUGCACGACCUAUUGUUCAAGCCAAUUAUUUGAGUUUAAGCCAGCUAUAAUCUAGAUGGUUUAGUCAUCAGUACAAUUUGCUAGGAUGUCGAAUGAUGAUCUGAGUGCUCAUAUUGCAAAUUUCUUAGAAAUUCUUGACACAUAUAAGGAAAAUGGUGUUUCAGACAAUGCUAUCAGGCUAAGGCUGUUCCCGUUCUCACUAAGAGAUAAAGAAAAAGAUUGGUUGAGGAAUGAAAUCACUACCUUUGCUCAGUUCGAGAUGGAAUCAUCAUAUGAAACGUAGGAGAGAUACAAAGACCUACUAAGAAAAUGCCCACACUAUGGUCUACCAAUUUGGCUUCAAAUACAAACAUUUUACAAUGCCGUAGGAUCCAAUAUCAGAACAAUGAUUAAUGCUGCAACAGGAGGAACUUUAAUGGGAAAACACUAGAAGCGACUUAUGAAUUAUUGGAGGAGAUGGCCGCUAAUAAUUAUCAGUGGUCUUUAGAGAGAUCAAUACCAAGGAGAGUUGUAGGAGCCCAUAAUGUUGAUGCUGUCACUACUUUAUCUGCACAUAUUGGGGUCAGAGUACGAGGUGUUGUUAUACCAGAACUACAACAGUUAAAACUGUUCUUUGGACCUGUAAUCUGCAAGUUCGGGUUUCCAGCCGAUUUACCCUAAUCUUUAGAUAUCAAACCAGUGGAAGAAAACCACCGCUCACGAUACCACCCAAAGGCAAGUCAUUUCCUAGACUUCUUAGAGAGGGUGAACGUUGUGAGAGAGUAAUUUUGGUAAACUGGUUUGAAGAUAAAUCAGGACUUUUUUUAUGCACAUGAUCCUUAUACAAGGCAAGUGCAGAGCAUACUCAGUAUGGAGAUAGAGAUGAAACGCUCUUAGAAUAAUGGCUCUAGUGUUAGCUUGAUACCUAGAAGAAGAAGAGAGUUUAGAGAGACAUCUAAGGAUUAUGAACAAGCUUUCAAAUUUUAUUAUUGAAGAUGUUCUGCCUAAUACAAAGACUCUAAAAGCAAAGGAUAAGACAAGACCCUUAUCUCUGGUAGCAAACGACAAAAGAAAAGUACACACGUGAAAAACAUAAAAAUACACUCCUUAGACAAGACAGGACCCCUGUAAUCUUUUAUUAAAGCCGAGAUUCCCGGAGAGUUUAUGUAGCCAUGUGAAAAGUUAGAAACUUUAUGGAGUGGAGGGAUAUCUGGAUGGAGAUAUGUCUCCUGUCUCUUUUUUAUAUUACUUUUGAGCUUUGUGUAUCUGUUGAUAGAACAUAUAAUCUUCGUCAAGCUCAUCCUUAUCUACAGUGGUUGUGGCUGACUGAGGAGCUGGCUCAGUAGGGGAAUACUGAGAAUAUUGAGAUGCGAGUAGUGAGUGGAAGUCUUCCUAAGGGUCUUGAGCAUCUUGAAAAAGGACAUUCGUGUAGUCAGGGCAUUCUUCUCUGACGAGAAUACCCUUUGGACUGGAACUUGAUCCCGGGGUGUUUUCUUGAGCUCUUGGUAAAAACUCAAGGGAGUGAGAUGGUCCUACGGACGUGUGAUAAAUGUCUGUGGGAGCUGGUUGGACAUUAUUGAGUUCUAAAAGAUAGGUUUUGAGGACUGAGAUUAUGGUUGGAUCAUGGUUGAGUGGGAAUGGAUGUGGAAACAUUUUCCAUUCAUAUGCAUAGUCUUGUAUCCAAUAAUCUUUAGUGACUGGAUGCUGAAAAUAUGGUCUGUGUAUGAUGAAAACUGAGGUAAAGGGGAAUCAUGCUAGUGGUCAUUGCCAAGUUGGAGUCUUUUUGCUCUGUCAUCUACUGAACAAGCUCAUUAUGUGUUAAACUUCUAAAGGUAACAAAUAAACAUGUAUUCUAAUACCUACAAUCUUGGCUGGAGAAGCCACCUGAAUUUUUCAUGGAGCAACACUCAAAAUACAUUGAAGCCACCUACAGGGUUAAUCAUAAGAAAAGAAGUCAAAUUUAGAAAAUGCUCUUACACAACUUACAACAAAUACGCCUCAAUUUAUGACCAAGAAAGUGAUAAAUUUUCAAAAUCAAGUUGUAUCUAUCCGUAACCUAGAGGUAUAAAUGUGACCGACUGUAAAUUUACUAUCUAGCAAACCAAAAGGCUCUCUAUGUAGUAACACCGAGACAAAUCCAAGGGAGCAAAGUAAUGCAAUUGUACUUUAGAGUGGUAAUCAACUUGACAAUCCAUAAAAGGAAGUAAAGAAAGUUGACGAAGAGCAAGUUGAAGACACCACCAAGGUUUCAAAGGUAGGAAGCUCAGAAAUACCACAACCCAAACCAACAACACUAGUCAAGGCCUAUAUUCCUGCAAUCCAUUUUCCUCAGUGUCUCCGAAAAACUAACAUAGAUAAGUAAUUUUUAAAAUUUGUUGAUUUGUUUAAGAAAUUACAUAUUAACAUUCCUGUUGCAUAUGCAUUAGAGCAAAUGCCAAGUCAUGCUAAAUUCAUGAAAGAAAUUUUAUCCAAUAAGAGGAAAUUUGAUGAGCAUAAAACUGCACUGCUGACCAUCAAAGCUAAAAGAUCCAGGGAGUUUUAAUAUUCCAUGCACUAUUGGAAAUUAUUAUUUUGAUAAAACUUUGUGUAAUUUAGGUGCAAACAUUAAUUUGAUGCCUUUUUCAAUUUUCAAGAUAUUAGGUUUGGUCAACCUAAGGUAACAACUCUUACCUCCAAUUGGUAGAUAGAUCUAUAAAGUAUCCAAGGGCAUAGUUGAGGACGUACUUGUGAAGGUUACCAAGUUUAUAUUCCAUGAAAUUUUAUUGUCUUGGAUAUGACCAAAGAUAUAAAGUUACCUCUCAUUCUAGGCCAACUAUUCUUAGCUAUAGGGAGAGCUUUGAUUAAUGUUUAGGAAGGAAGAUUAAUUUAAAGAGUUCAAAAUAAGCAAGACAUUUUCCAUUUGUACACACCUAACAAGUAUCUAACUGAACUCAAAGAUUUUUUUCAAGAAGACAUGACAGAUAGAAAAAUGGCCAAAGCAUUUAAGGAUGAGCAUCCAUCUGACCCUCACUAUGUUCAUGCAAUAUAUAAGCAGUCUAUCAAAGAAGAUCUAUUACCUCAUGUUCAUGGGAAGAGACCAAAUUACAAGAAACUUGGGCAAGGUCUAUCUAGAUCAUCUCCCUCGAUCUACGAGCCUCCUUAAACAAUCUCUUCAAAGGCAGUCAAGUUAAUGACUGUAAAUUAAUAGCUUCUUGGGAGGCAACCCAAGCUUUCUAAACUUUAUUACUGUUAUUUUUUUGUCUUUCCUAAUUUCUUUUGUUAACCUUUUCUUUUCCUUAUUUUAUUUUGUUUUAUCUAAGUUUAUGUCAAGUUUGAGGGUCGACGAACAUCAACUUUUCACAUGCCUUUCAAUGACUCAACUAUAAGUUCACAUCUUCAAGUGCAAAAAUGAGGGAGGUUCUAUUUUCCUUUUAUAUCUAUUUACACUGAGGACAAUGUUAAUUUUAUGUUUGGCGUGGGAAUAUUUGCUUUCAUUAAAAAAAGAGAAAAAUUAAAAAAAUUAAAAAACUAAAAUAUUUAUAUUUAUGCCUAUGAUGAGUAUAUGGUUGAAAAUAAAUAUGGUUCCUAAAAAGGGAUGAAUAUUGUCUUAGUUUAUACUUGACUCUUGUGUUAGUUUCAUCUUGAUUGUGAUUCUUUAAAUAGCUUGAGCAUUUAUAUCGAUUCUUUCAUAAUUUUAACUUGAGAUUUUAGAUUGAUACAGCCCGAGUUGAGAGUUUUAGAUUGAGUAAAUGACUGUUUAUCUUGAUUCUACAUUACUUUUGUUCACUCAGGCACCAUAGUCUAUGUACCAUUAAUAUAUUAAGGAUAAUCCAUGAAAAAAAGGCUACCUUAAGGGGUAGAGUGAAAGCUUCUGACUAUGGAUAUAAAAAAAAAAAAAAAAAGCAAAAGCAUGUGUUUUAAGAAAAAUCAAGAGAAAAUGCAAAUUUAUGCCUGUGUAAUACAAGGGAUAUUGAUAUUGAAUAUUUUGAGAAUGAGUUUCGAUUGAACCGAUUCACACACAACACAAGAAGCAAAUGUGAGAUGAGGCUAAAUAUUGAAUUAAAGUUAGAACUUUGCCAAUAUUCAUAAUUUUCUUUGAGCUGUAUACUUUAUGCAAUCUUUGAGGCAUUUUUGGUGAUGUUUAUGGGUAUCAUCACUGGAAACUCUCACCAAACUAUAGCUCAUCGACUAGGGCCGCCUAGGGGUUUAAACGAUUAUUGCAUACAUUGAAUGCAAUCACGAUCACCUGCGAAAGUAGUUUAGUUCAGAUUUUCUUUUGAUAGUUUUUAUUUUAGUUUUUGCUUAGGACUAGCAAAAUGUUAAGUGUGGGAACAGUUGAUGCACUAAUGAUUAUCAUUUUAAUACUUCUUUUAACUUAAUUUUAUUUAAAUUAUAUUUUAUUAUAUUAAUAUUUAUCUUAUUUUUUUAUAUUUUGUUAUUUUAGGAAUAUUGGGAAUGUUCAAGUGAAAGAAAGUUUAAAGAGGAAAUAAAUUAUAGGUUAAUGGAAAUAAUUGCCAACUGUGAAAGAAAAGAGGGGAGAAUAAUGCUUAAAGGAGAAUUAUUAGAUUUAUUACUAAAUAAUUUUACAUAUUUAUUUGCUAAUUACUUGUACAAGUCACGUGCAUGCGUGAACUUUAAAGAGGUGAAUGAGGCAGACAUGGGUUGGAUCUACUCUGCUCCAGAUCCAAAUCCAUAAUAAAAAUCAAGAUUCGUAUCUGCUCCAGAUCCGUUAUGAUCCAAAAAAGAAAUAAAUAUCUAUAUCUGCUCCAAAUCUGAAAAAAAAUUAAAAUCCAAAUCUGCUCUAGAUCCGUCAUGAAUUCUAAAAUUCAAUAAUAAAAAAGUAAUAAUUUUUUAGAAUGAAAAUUGAAGGCUAAAAUGUAUUGAUAACAAAUAAAUUAUAUAAUUUUUCUCAAAAAUAUAAUAAAUAUUGUAAAAAUAUCAUUCAAAAGUAAUUGCAGAAGUAAGAUCAAUCUAAUAUUCUAUUGUCUCCUUCAUCAUUAUAAUAUCCAUGACACACCUACCCUCAUUCCUACAACAUUAGAUAAUGACAUAUAAAUUAAAUAUGAUUUAUAAUCGGCCCUUUAUUAUUUUUAUUAUGAUCAUAUUUGACUAAAUAUAUGAAUAACUAUAUUCCUUAAAAAUUAUUUGGCCAAUAUAAUAAAAUAAAUUGCCAGGUUAUAUUACUUGGCUUGCAAUUUGAAUAUUGCAUGUACUUUGGGCUGGCUGACCUUUAAAUUUACAAAACUAACCUUUAAGUUUUAAGAGUUUAAAUGCAUGGUAAAUACCACUAAUAUGCUAUGAAUAAAAUUUAUUAUCAUUAUAAUUCCACAAUUGUUAAGAAACUUUUAAAAUAAAAUAAAAUUAAAAGAUGAGUGGAUAUGGAUAUGGAUUUAGAUAUUAAGAUAGAUCCAGAUCUGCUCCAGAUCCGUCUUAGAUCCACACAUCGAUAUCCAAAUCCGAUCCAAAUUCAUUUUAAACCGAUCCAAAUCCGAUCCGAUUGGAUUUGGAUCACGUGGAUCUUGGAUCAGAUCCAAUCCAUUGCCAUCCCUACUUUCCAUAAAAAGAUUUAGGGUGCAAAAAUUAGAAGUACUAUAAAAGGGAGGCAAAGCCACAUGGCCGAACAAUAAGAAACGAGAGCAUAGAAAGAGAAACAGCAGCCACACUCAACUAGAGACAAAAGCCGCAACCAGCAACAGCAAUUUGGAGGAGGAAAAAGAUGUUGAGAUUGAGUUUUUCUUUCUGUUUUCCAGUUGUCUUACUUGAAUGUUCCCUACAAUGUUUAUGGAUUCACUUUGUAUUCCCAUGAACUAAUUUAUUUUGCUAGGGCUAAUAUAGCCUAACUAUGAAAAUUUAAGUCCAUAAGUCUAUGUUAUUUUUAGUUUAUUAUUCUAUGAUUUUAAUAAUUUUAAAUAUAUGGCUAAUACUUUGAAUGAUUUGAUGAUACAUGAUGAGACCGAGAGGAUAUUUAUGUCAUGAAUUGAAUGAAAGAUAGAAAUGUGCCAAUGUGAAUCAUGCAAUUUUAUCUAAGAAUUUACAUCGAGUUUAAUGAAUCUUUACAUAUUUAAAUUCAUAUAGAGAUAUAGUGGGUUAAUAUGUGAAGGAAUUUUUGAUAUUACUCGAGAGAGGCUAUUGAAUAGAUUAGGAAAAUUCACUGUCAACAUGGGUAGCACCGUAGCAGACUUUAAUAGCAUAGAUGGAGGAUUAAAUUGGAUUGGUUAUGGUGAAAUCAGAUGUCCUAGUGUCUUCUCUUGGUGAUUUUUAUUACUGCAUGUAUCUUUAUUUAAUUUUUAGUUAUUUUAUUUUAUUAGGGUUAGAAUAAUAGUUUUAAUCUUGGUGAUUUUAUUUGUAGUUAUUUUAUUUAAUUUUAGUUUUAAUCUAAAUUCACUUAUUCGGUUAUUCAAAUAAGUUAGGGUUAGAAUAAUUUCGGUAGCUAAUAAGAUAUACAAUCUCUGUGAGACAAUACUCUACUCUUCAUUAUAUUACUUGUGCCAACUAGUACACUUGCUAAUUUACACAACAUGGUCCAAUCAUCAUCAAUCGAUCAAUUACCUUGCCUCAAAUUCGUAAUAGUUGGUAUAAUAGUUAGCAUAAUUGCAUAGAAAAAAUGCACUUCGCAAGUGCUUCAACUUUCCCAAGAGUUAAAUAUAUAUAUAUAUAUAUAUAUAUAUUUUUUCUUGCCUUUCCUCAUCCUUGUGAGUUUUGCUUGUUGCCACCAGGUUGCAGCCCUUCUAUAAGAUUAAGAUGUAGCAAUCAAGACUAGUUUAUUAUUUAGAACUUCCGUGUGUUCAAAAUCCUCCUCAAUAGCAUUAAUCCAAUCAACAAUUCUUCUAACUAGUCACUUCCUUGGAAUUCAGGAUUGUCAAUUCUCAGCCUAGAUUCCCAUAUUUUAUCGUAAUAGAUUCAACUCUAUGUCAAUGCUCGGAGUUAAGUUUUCACUUAAUUUGUCUUCGCGUUCUAGUGUACGAUGGUGUUUGGUGAUUAAUUUUUCCAUUUGUGCAACUAACAUAUCAAUCUCAACUGUCAUGCUAGUCGUGACUUCAUCUCUAUAUAAGUUGUUAUAUGAGGGGUAUAAUGCCCAUAGGGCCUUUCUUGGAGGCAUUUUCCCAAUUUGGUUUGAAAAGGCUUGGUGACUAACUAAAAAUUGAGUAAAUGUUAGGUAAAAAAUUAAUUAAAAAGGCUUAGGUUACUAGUGAUGAUGGUUAGAAAAUCAAGCAAAGAUAGGUGUGUCUAAAAGAUUCUGGUCGGUGAGAAGGCAAUUUAAUGUUGGCUUUGAUUCUGACGAUCGGUGGUGGUGAGUGGUUAGAAAGGUUUUACCGGCGGAGAGUUGAUUGAUGGUGGUGGCACUAGCCAAAGUGCGGCAGACUCCAGCAAACGAAGGCGGCAACUUUAUAUAGUUUUGGGUGUUUUUUUGGGGCAAUUUAAUUGUAGAAAGGUGGCAUUCACAACUUGUUUUGGGUGGUCGGCUUCCUCUAAUUGAGUUGGUAAUGGUUGAUCAACGGAAAGGCAACAAAAAAUGACGCUAGCAAUGUAGACGACGGCUGCUGCAGUGGCUUUAUGUUUUUCUUUUUUUUCUUUUUUCUGAUUUUUUAAAUAAACUAAUUGGAAAGAGUCAAAAAGAAGAAAAGAAUAGAAGGUUUGGUGGUAGAUGACGGUAAAUUGGUAAUACCAGACUCUUAGCUCUGAUACGAAAGUUUAAUGUUCUAAUAUUCUAUUGAUUCUUCAAAAUACUAGAAUAAAGGAGUGAUCUAAAUUCACAUUGAUUUGAAAAAUAAAAAUAUGAUUGAACUCAAAUAUGCCUUCAAAGAUUAUAGGUGAGAGCUAUUUAUACUGGUAGAGGAAAACAAAUUCCUAUACUAGUAAGAGAAUAACAAUAAACUUAUAUACUAUAAGGAAAUGCAUUUAAAUAUGAUAUAGAUUCCUAAUCUUCAUCAGUAUCUAUAUUAAUGAUGCUUACCUAAGUUAUUUUUGGUAUUUGAUCAUUUUAAAUAUGUGACCUUAGUUUAUUCAAUAAAUUAUUUAUUGAAUAAUAAUACUUAUUUUUAGUUUAUUUACAAAUAUAGAUGUAUUGAAAGUGACUAUUAGAACAAAUAGUGACUUGGAGGUAAAUAUGUUAUAGAGGCACGACAUUUAUCAUUAGCCUAGCUUCAAUUAAAAGGAGUUUUAAUUAAUUGGACUUUUAUUUGAUUACACGGAUUACUAAAGUGCAAUUUCAAGCUUUUAGUAGAAUAGAUUAUAGUUAACUUAGUAGUCCUUGACUAUUAUGUUGGAGCACCCAUGGGUAUGCAGUCCCUUUACUAGCACAAUUAAAAGUUAAACUUUGACUAUAAUAAGUGCUUACAUAAAGAAAAGGAAAAUUGAAUAGAAAAAUAAUGACGUACAUAUUUUUCUUAAAAUAUAUAUAUAUAGUUCUAAGGUUUUCAUCUUCUACACAGUAAUUAGAGUUAUCUACACGCCAACAAGUGUGAGGGUAAUGAUUGAGGAUAGUAGAGAAGGUUGACGACUGCAACCAUAUUUUGUAGAUCCCAACAAUGAAAAAAUUUCAGUUGUCUUCUUCAAAUUUUUAACAGGAGAUUAGGGUAUUUCUUUAAACCUAUGCAUGUAUACAUAAUAUUCUGGCUUUCGCUGAAUUUAUAAAAUAAAAAAAUAAUUUUUCUAGAUCUGAUUUACCAACAAAAUGUACUACUUACUUGUGUUGUUUAUUGGUAUUGCACUAUAUAUAGAUCUUGUAAUUGUAACUGAUAUACAUGAUUUGUGUUAGAUAAUAUACCAGACAUCAUAUCAUAUACUUGAUAGUAAUAGAUUUUGAAACAUUUAAGUUAAAAAGGGGUAAACUUCAAUUCACCCCUAGUUAGAAUGACAUCUUCAAUUUACCCUCUAAAUAUAUGAAAUCUUCAAUUCGCCCUCCAACUAACACUAUUUUAAUAGUGGGUACUUGUACGUGGCGUUGUUACACCAGAUCUAUUACACAACGAAGUCUGUCCUUAGGGCCAGUAGCCCGCAAGUUCUGGUUUCCAGUCAAUAUACACUUAUCCAUCAAAUACUAAAUCCGAAAAUCAUAUUUGAAAACAAUUUUUCACGAUAUCACCUGAACACAUGGCACUCAUGGCCUCAAAGAGGGUGAACUUUGUGAGAAAACACUUUCAUUUUAUCAAAAUUGGUUUUGGAGGAUAAAAUAGGACCUUUCUGAUGCACAGUAUUCUUAGGCUUAAGGCAAGUGCAGAGCAUACUCAGUAUAGAAAAUUAGAGGCGAGCGUAUCAUUAUUAACCCAAAUAAUUGCUUUGAACCCUAGAAGAGAGAAAAGAUUUAGAGAAACAUGAUGUAAGGAAACUGAAAUUUUUUAUUUCUGAUUGACCCCCUCCAACGGAAGCAGAAAGAGCCUUAUAUAGAAAAUCAUCAAGGACAGGACCCCUUGAAUGAUUAUAAGCGACAAAUAGGCACAUGCUGUGAGAAAAGUAAAGCACACCUUUUGAGAAAGUAAAGCACACCGACUAAGACUUUUGACAUAAGCAUUCAAAGCAAAUGGGAGACACAUGGGCUGAUUGCAUUAAAAGCUGUGUGAUGGCAACAAGUUGUCAUUAUGGAGUGGAUGGAUAGCGCGAUGGUGACACGUCUCCUGUCUUUGUCUCAUAUUGGCGCUUGUGCCGACGUAUCUAUCUCUGGUCUAGAUGCACCUCAGCUUGCUGAUAUUUGUCUUCAUCAGCGUCAGUCAUGUGCGGUGAUGUAGAUGCAGCAAGAGAGUCUGGGUUGGUGAAGGUAUAAUGGGGAUUUUCAGUAUUGAGAAGGGACUGAAAAUCUUCCCAUGGGUCCUGAGCGUCUUGGAAUAAGAUGUUGGUGUAAUCAGGGCAUUGUUCCAUGACAAGGAUUCCUUGAGGACUUGAACUUGAACUCGGGGUACAGCCUUGUGUGACGAUGUCGAAUCCAAUUUCUCUGAAUAGUCAAGCCAAAAUGAUCAACUGCCUUCAUCUUAGCGGAAUCAUUUGAUUCUGAUGACGUGAUUCAGAAUCAGUGGAGGUACCAACGGAGGAUGAGGAAGAGGAAGAUUGAUUGGAUUCAGAUGGAUCAAAUUCAUAGUUUGUCUCAGGUUCAGAGGAAUCAGGAGAUGAUUGUUGGACGGUAUGAUAAUGAUAUUGAUCCAUUGGGCCUUUGAAAUCAAAGAUUCGGGGAAAUGAGGAAUUGUCCAUGUUGAUAAGGAAUUGGUGGCUGAUGAGGUGGAAUUCAAACUUUUUGAUUCCGUAUUUUACUGCCAAAAUUUCUUUGUAGAUCACAUCCACCUCAUCAGCCACCAAUUCCUUAUCAACAUGGACAAUUCCUCAUUUCCCCGAAUCUUUGAUUUCAAGAACAAGUGGCAGGUGGAGUAACAUUGUUAAGUUCCAUGAGGUAGGCUUUGAGAACGGAGGUGACCGAUGUAUCAUGGAUGAGGGUAUAAGGAUGAGGGUAAGUUCUCCAUUCAUAUGCCAUGUCUUGUGUCCAGUAGUUUCUUGUUUCUGGGUGCUGGAAGUAGGGCAUGUGGAUGAUGAAAGCUGUAGUCCACAUGUUAGCUUCCUGUUCUGGCAUUCUGUCUAACCCGUGAAAGGUACACAGAUUCUGGAGUUGUUUACGCCACUAUGUGAGUGGGGAAUACCAUUUGAGGAGAGUCCAUAGAAGGUCUGGUGAGAACUCAGGAGUCGUAAGGUGAGUCAGGGCUAGUUUGAUGGGGAAAACUAGCUUUGUAGCAUACAAGGUGGUGAGACACCACAUUUACAUACCAAAGUUCAUCUUCACAGAUGGACAAAGAGGAGAGAGUGAGGCCUGUGAGGAACAGGUGUUCCAUGCAAAGGUUAGGAAAACAGUCAGGUUUUUUAGUCUGAACAUUAAAGAAAUACCUGUAAAGGAACUUCUUUGCAAAAUCUUGUAGCUGGUGAGUUGAUUGGAAAGAGAUGUUCAUGGGGAAGUUUCUAUAGUUGAGAGCUUUGAAAGGAAGUUGGCGAUGCAUGGCUAUUACUGGAAUGGUUUGGAUUGAGGAAAUGAGUGAGGGUUUAUUUAUAGCUGGACGUGUGAGGAAGUCUGGAAUGAGGUUUUGGUUGCCUUUUAUAUGUUGAACAGUGAAAUCAUAUUUAGCAAACCAGUUUUUGAGACUGAGCAGUUGCUUGUUAGGGAGCAACUUGCUUUUGAAGUCAAAGAUUCGGGGAAAAGAAGAGUUAUCCAUGUUGAUAAGAAAUUUGUGGCUGAUGAGAUGAAAUUCGAAUUUUUUAAUUCUAUAUUUGACUACCAAAAUCUCUUUGUAGAUCACAGGGUAGUUCUUUUCAGAGUCUUUGAAUUGUCCGCUUGCAUGUGCACAGAAAUGACGCACGCCAUUGAUUUCUUCGAGAAGAAUGGCGCUCCAGUAAUCAUUACUGGCAUCAGUCUGGAGGAUGUGUUGGCCAGAUGUGGGAAUUCAAAGUGGAGGAGGUGAUUGGGCUAUCACCUUUAGCUACUUGACAGCGUCUGUCUGUGUUGGGGCCCAUGGAGGCACUGUUUUUUGAGCAUGCGCGACAGCUGGCUGGUGUGGAUUGCAACUUUUGGGAUGAAAUCACAAACAUAAUUAACAAUCCCGAGGAAUUAUUGUAUCUACUUUUUGGUGAAAUUUGUGUCUGGGAACUUUAAUAAUUCAGUUGCAAUGUGUGGAGCAGGUUGGUAGUGGCCAUCUUUAAUCACCAUGCCAAGAAAAUCAAUGGAUUCCUUGCCUAUGCUGCUUUUCUUUUCGGAAAGCAUGAUUCCAUGGGCCUGCACAAUAUGAAAGAAAUCCAAAAGGAGCUUCUGGUGGCUCUCAUGGUCAGAGGAAAAUAACAAAAUAUCAGCAAUGUAGCCUAGAGCAUGGUGGAGGAUAGGACUAAAGAUUUUUGUCAUGGCCUUUCGAAAUAAUAAAAGAGCAACUUUAAGACCAAAGGGCAGAACGGUCCAUUGAUAAUGGGCAUCGGGAAUGCAAAAGGCAGUUUUGUGACGGUCAACUGGUGGAAUACCAAGUUGCCAAAAGCCAACUUUUAAAUCAAACUUAGAAAAGAUAUGAGCCCCUUGAAGAUGGACAAACAGGGUCUGGAUUUUUGGAAGGAGAAACUUAUCAUCUUGAAGAAAAGAAUUAAGUGGCUGGUAAUUAGUAACUAAUCUCUUUUUACCACAAACUAAUUCAGAUUGUUUUUCAGCAUAGAAGGCUUGACAAGCCCAAUCUGAAUCAGUAGGUUCAAUUAGACCUUGUUGGAGUAACUGAGAGCAUUCUUACUUGGCAAGCAAGAAAUCUAAAGGAGACAUACUCGGGUGAGAAGCUUUUGUGGGAUUUAUGUCUUCAUUGAGUUUGAAAGAAAGAUGGAUAAAAAAAUUGUUCAUUCUUCCAAAGUGGUGAAGGAUGGUGAAACUAUGAAUGAUUUUCUGGACAAAACUCUAAGAACUUAUGGGAGAGAUGACUAUAUGGAGAUGGUGUCCCGGAGAGCAAUUCUGGCUGUAACAGGUAAGCCUUUUCGGCCAUGGAGAGUCAGAAUCAAUCUAAUACCACCAAGAUGAAGAUGGGUAUACCCUUCUCGUUUCCAGUUUGCUAUAAGAUCUGAGGGUAUUUCUAAAGUGACAUACUGUUCACUUUGAGAGGCUUGUAAAGCACAUUGAUCGAGUCUAUAAGAUUGGAUAUACUCUUUUGGUAGUGGUCUUUUUGUGGAGAUGAGGGUUCUAAUACUUCUGGUGAGAGAAGGUUUUUGUUUGUAGAGGUUGUAGGGACUCAUGAUAGGAAGAUGUGAUUCAUUGAUUUGGGCAGAUUCGGGAAUAUAAGAAUAUUCAACAAGGUUUUCAAUUUUAUAGGCUACAUGUUUUUGACGUGAUCUUGGAAGAGAGAGACUGGAGGAAAGAGAAAUAUGGGAGGAAGACGAUGAAGGUGUUGAGGCUGAAGAUGAAGUUGUUUCCAUGUUUAGGUAAUCUUCUUCUAGGAGAUCAAAUAAGAUUAUUUGGAAUUACUAAGGAUACCACCUCUACAUGAAGUGUGGCUCUGAUACCAGUGGUGAAGGAUGGUGAAACUGUGAAUGAUUUUCUGGACAAAACUCUAAGAAACCAGUGGGUACUUAUACGUGGCGUUGUUACACCAGAUCUAUAAUAGAACGAAGUUUGUCCUUAGACUUAUCCAUCAAAUACCAAAUCCGAAAAUCAUAUUUGAGCAUGGUGAUUAAAGAUGGCCACUACCAACCUGGUCCACACAUUGCAACUGAAUUAUUAAAGUUCCCGGACACAAAUUUCACUAAAAAACAGAUACAAGUAUGGAAUUAUCCAUAAAUGUAAUGGAAUAUACUAUUAAUGGAGGUGUGUGGUUAAACUAAUUGCUGAUUUGACAUGUCUGCAAAAAAAAAGAAAAGAAAAAAUGUAGCAACUAGAAAAAAAAUAUUAAGUUAUUAUAAGAUUGAAAUAUUUAAAAAGUAGAAUGACUUAAUGGGCAAAAAAAUAUUGUUGUUAUUCCUUAUUUGGGCUCAUAACUUGAAUAAAUUAUAGAGUAUGCUAUCAGAGUUGGACUAAUAGCACUCUCUGAUCUUCUCAUAAAAUCCCCUUUUAGUUAUUUUUAGUUUAUUUCCAUUUAGUACACUCUUCUAGCUUUUAAUUUAAUUAUUUUAUUGUUAAAAGUCAAUAUAGUAUUAAGCUAUUUUUCUUUCCUUAUACAAUUUCAUUGUUACUCUAUCCACAAAUUAAAAGGUUUUCACAGUGACGGAUACUGAAUAACAAUCAUUGACUUAAAUCAUAUAUAUUUUAAAUCAUAAUUUGAAAACAACUUUAAGCAGAAAAAUAUUCAAUCAAUAAGAAAUAGGAAAAGAACAAUGGAUUAUUCUAAAUUUGUAAUUUAUUUUUGUUAGGUAGGAAUGACAGGUACAAAACAAAAAAAUGAUGGAUAGAUCAUAAAUGCAUGUAAUUUAUCUAAAAAAGGGUAUUAUAAGGAUAAUGAAAAGGUGCCAAUAGCUUCACUCAUGCCAUUAAUGUUAUUCUUUAAUUGUGCUUUGAAGUUCAAUAAAUUAGAAGGAAUGCCAUUAAUGUUAUUCAAAUAUGAGAUAUGAAGUUGAACAAAUUACAAUGCAUGUGAUGCAUUUGAAACUUAAAACACCUAACUGCUGCAGAAACACCCAUAAUUCAAAGUUCAAAAUUUCAUUUGUUAAGUUGGUGCCUUUAAUAUAGCUUCUUCCCCAUUCGAGUGGUUACAAAAACCAUAAACACUAUCAAAGUACCACUAAAACAAAACAACAAUAUCAUUAUCCAGAGGUAGUUGGAGUGGUUUUACAAAUGAAAAUGGGGAGCUGUAGAUUAAUUAGAAGAUUAUUAAGUUCAAAAAUAAAUUAUGGUGAAUAUCUUAGUCUGUAAGAGGGUAGCAUGUAAAGUUAAAGCAUUCAAACUAAAUGGUCGCAAUAACCAUUCAACUCAUAUAUCUUCUGAAACACUGAUUUAGGACAUUAUUUUAGAAUUUUAGAAUUUUGUUAUUUAGAUAUUUAGAUAUUUUCUAUUUUUAAUUAGAGUCAAUAAUGAUAAGUGUUUUAGUCUUUUAUUUCCAACAUAAUUGUGUUUUUGUUUCUUUCCUAAGUUAAUUUAGAGAAGUGGGUUUACUAGGAGGUCUUGUUAUUAUUUUCAUAACCUUUUGAUUAGUAUAAAAAAUCUCUCUUAUACACUCAUUUGGAUUAAAGCAUCAUUUAAUCUCGUUGUAAAGCGUUAUGAAAAUCUCGUUGAUUCAUUUGGAUUAGAGUAAGAUCUAAUCACGCUUCGAUCAGGACGAAAUCUAAUCUCAUUAACUUAGUUCGAUGCUAGAAUUAUAUCUCAUGUUUAUCUACCCUAUCAAUUUUCUUUUGCUAUCCCACUCUAUCAAUUAGUAUAAGAGCAAAUAUGUGCCAAUCGCGUAGCUUUCUAGGCUACCCCUCACUUAUCAUCUAUCAUUUUUCACCACUAAAAAGAAACGUAAAACUAUUCCCCAAAAAUAUUUUGAAAAUCCCAUAAUUGAAAUAACCACCACCAUGCCACCACUACUGCCUCCACAAUCUAGCAACCAUUGCCACUAGCCACUGUGUUUAGAUGUUAGUUUAGGUGAAAAAAUCUAUUUAAAAAUUGAUUUGAACAACCAAAAUCUAAAAUAAAAACAAGAGAAUAAAAAUGCAUGGUUAGAGUCAGUUGUCAUUUGGCAAUUAGACAAUCAGAAACAAAAUAAUUGUAGCUAAAAUUGGCAGACCUAGCUAUCAGAAUUUUUCAGCUCGAAAAGAUGUUUUAAAAGUUUUAUUAUUAUGAUGACAUAAUGACAACCAAUUAUAUACCACCCCUCGUUAACUAUCAUAUACAUUUAUAUAUCCUUAACUAAAAUUCUCUGACCAAACUUUGUGCCUUGUUUUCUAUUGGCCACUUUAAAUUUUCUUGUUUAGGAUACCAAUGGCUUUAACUUCUUCAUUACCAGUUGAAGUUGUAAAAGAUGAUGACCUGCUUCAGGAAAUCCAAUUACAUUUCCCUUUAAAUUCUCUUCUUAAAUUUGAAACUUGUUGCUAAAGGAUGGCACUGUAAUAUCUCCAAUCCCCACUUCUCUCAAGUUUUGAAACCAAAAUCCAUUGCCAACUUAUUCAUUGUUACCAGUUGGUACUCACAUUACCCAACAUACAAUUUCAUAUCUCUUAUUAAUGAAACCAUGGCCAUAAACCUUGUGGUUUAAACAUUGUGCAUUUUGUGAUGGUAGAAACUAUUAUCUCUAUAAUCCUACUACUAACAAUAUUAGAGCCCUUCUUUAGCUUCAAAACUGGAAUAUAAAAAUGACAAUUGGUAUUUGUUUACACAGUCAUACAACUUCAUACCCAUGAAGAUGGUUUCUAUGAAAAUUAUCAGUUUGAAAUCUAUCCAUCAGAAACUGCAUCUUGGAGGCUAUCUAGGGAACUCUUUUCGUGUACUAACCUAAUGCUUCACGACAGGGUCCGUUGGCAAGGAAAUAUCCUUUGGCUUAGUCUAAAGUCUGAAACAUUCUUCAAACUUGAUAUAGAUAAACAAGAAUUUGGUGAAAUGCCAAAGCCACCGAUUGAAAAUGAGUGGUGCCAUUGUAAAAUUAAGUAGCUUUAGUGCACGAAAAGGGCAUUUAAAUUUUGUAAGAUAUCCAAAUGCAGGCAAGAUGCAAAUUUACAUAUUCGAGUUGAAAGAAGACUACUAAGUGGUUGGUAAGACAUCAUACUGAUGGGGAAACAUUCUUGAGGAUUUAUCGAUACUUUCUUUUGUUCAUGUAGAAGCAUUUGAAGGCCCAUACAUAGUUCUUCACAUUCUAGGAUUUGAAAACUCGACGAUAUGAAUUUGAUAAUCAAUACGCUUUGUCAAAUUUGGGACGGACAAAUUUUCAUGUAUAAAUUUGUUUUGUUCUUUUGCAAGCAAAGCAUCUCCUCCUCUUAUCUUAAUUAUUCCAUCAGAAAGAUAAUGUAAAUUGUUUUUAUUAGAAAGAUAAUAUAAUUUUUUUCACUAUCUAAAUAGUUUGAAUUGAUCUUCUAAAAAAAGAAAAAGAAAAACUAGCUUGAAUUAGUAAUAACUCUUCAAUUAUUAUAAAGAUUAAGGUUUCAAAAUUUGGUCACCAAGUAGUUUUUUCUUCUUUGUUAUUUAUGUACAUAUAGUGGAAGAAUGUGCAUAAGAUUAUUCCAUCAACACCCCAUUAAUGCAAAUUGAUUUUUUUUUCUUGUUUUUAUCACGUGGUAAGAACAAAGAAUAUGUGUUGGCCCUACUCAUCUAUGAAUUGGCUCUAGUUCUGCAUAAAAGUUCAUGAGCCAAAUUUGUAUUGAAAAUUAGUUCAAGCAUAAAUAAAUUUGUCUCAAGAUUAUAUUUUUAGUCCAAGGUUUAUUUAUAUUUGUCUAAGAUCCAUCAAAAAAGGAAAAAAAAAUUGUCUCAAGCUUAUUUUUUUAUCUUAAAUUUAUUCCUAAACCAAUGUGAGAUUAUACUCCCUUAAGAUAUUACUAAAAAAAUAUGAUAUAUUAUUCGAACACAAGAUUAUAAGUUCUUUUUACAAGUUUGUCAAGCCAUAAGUAUGUUGGGAUUAUGUGCUCUUUAAAACAUAUUUACUUACUCAUUUGUAAUAAAUAUAUUUUUUAUUAAUAAAAUAAUUGAGACAUUUUUCAUAUCAUAUGUAUUCAUGUGAUCAUCUUAUAAAUUCAUAGAAGACAUAAAUACAAAUUAUCUUAUGAUUAGAUAAAUUGAUUUUGCAGCUGAUAAAUAGAGUUUUAUGAUUAGACUAUUUGUCUUAACCAUGAAUGAACCUUUAAAUGACUGUUAGACUUAUUAAAUCUCGUAAGCAUUGAUUUUAUUGCAAUUUCAAUUUUGAGUUAAUUAGAGUUUCAUGAUUAUAAUUAUUAUUCCAUUUGAGUUACUAAUGCGCACGAUAUAUAUUUGCAGUCAAGAUUACUUGGUACCUUGUGGGAGCAAUCAUGAGCACUGAAAUUAUAGAUUAACAAUUACAACACAUCUCUUGACAGGUUUUUGCACACUACUCGAAAAAUGGGCUUUACUGAUACUAAAUUAGUGUUAGUAAUUACUUUUACUGAACACACUGACACUACAAUAAUUCUUGUUACUAUAGUAUCACCAAACUAAUGACACUAUAGCAUUAGUAUUUGAUGAUAUAUUUACACUAUGGUAUCACCAAAAGAAUGACACGAGGGUGUUAAUAUUUAUAUGUCAGUAAGUUAUAUACGACAACUGUAUCAAGGUGUUAGUAUUUAAUGAUAAUAUUUAGGGUCAGUAUUCAGUAAUGUUGUGCUACUUUUGGUUAAUACUAUAUUUUUAUUUUAAUUAUAGUUUUCCUUAGUUUUUUACAACUAAAAGAAAACUCAAGAAUAUUAAAUUUACCAAAUCACCCAACACAAUUUAGAUAAUAAACAUCAUAAAUACAUCAUUUAAAUUAUCAUAAUUCGACUACACCAUUGUUUGGGGAAAAAAAAACAUAAGUACCAAAUUAAGUUUUUGACAAUUUCUAAACAAAAAAUUUCUAAAUUAAGUUUCAACAAACAUUAACCAAUAAGAAUAAGCAAAAUAUUGUCACUGAAUAUCUACACAUGGCUUCAUUUUUUUUCCCACCUACAAGUACAUAAAAUCAAUUAGUACACUACAAAAGAAAAUAAGUCUUGGAUAUUUGGAAGCAAAAAAAAAAAAAUGAUAAAUUACUCAUAUAUUACUUCGCGAUCAUAAGCUGUAAUUAACUUGGCAACAUGUAUUCAUGGAGUAUUCAUCAAAUUCCCUUGAACUUUAAUUUCAAAACAAUAAGUUAUUCAUCGAAAAUCAAAUUGUAAACUAAAUUAUUAGAACAACAAUUAACCCAUAUAAUUGUUUUGGACAUAUCUUGACCCCAUACAUGCACACGCCCGCGCAUGUAUAAAUACACACACACACACACACAGUACAUUGUGUAUGCACCAAAUUAGUAAUUCAUGCCUCUAUUAUAAGUACCUUACUUACAUCAUAUAAAAUACAUACAAUAUAUGGUAAAAACAUAACAAUUGAGAAACAUAUAUUAGGUCUAAGGUUCAGGGUUCUUUUGAGGUGAUUCAUUUCACAAUGAAUUAAAAUAUUAUAAUGUAGUAUUCUAAAAACUGCUUUCGAUACUUACAUUAUUUUAAAGAAUGUUUACAUUUAUAAUGAUAUGUUGAAUAUAUUUCAUGAUGUAGUAACCACUUUCAAAGCUACUAGGUUGCCUCAGACACUACAAAAUAAAAAUUACAUAAUUUUUUUUGUUCUAAAAUAACAAAUGAUUAUUUAGGUUUGUCUCAUUUUUACCUUGCCAGAGACCCAUUGAUCAUUGGCCUUUUAAAGAAAAAAAAUAAAAGAACAUGAUCAGAGAUACAAAUAACAAAUUUAACUAAUUCACUAUUCGCAUCAUCUUUUCAUUAGGAUUACCUUCCUUCCAGGGGAUCAAGAUAAUAGAUUGUACGUCUCAGUAUAUCAAUUGUGAAUAACACCCUAUGGCCACUAAUCAAAAUAAAAGUUGUUUGAACCUCAUGUAUUUGCUGAGGCCUAUUGUUUCUUUCAUACUAUAUAAGAAAUAUGGUUAGCAAAUGAAAAAGAUUAUAUUAGGGUUAUGUGGGAAUAUGAUGAGUUGUCUCAACUUUACCAAGCCCAAAAGUUUCAAAAUGUAUUGAGACCUUUCUUUGAAGCUGAGCUUUGUUAGAUGUAACUUUCUAAAAAGCCCAAAUUGAACUGGUUUGGCAUUUCCACUGUUCGUCAUCUCCUGAUACAAGGAUAUAAGAGAAAAUAAACAUAUAUAAAGUAAAUCUAAAUAAAGGAAAAAAAAUAGCUCUAAGUUUAAUAGAACAUAAUUUAUGCUUAUCGUACCUGAUCCAUAAGUCAAUAACGCAGUUUGAGACCUUCAUAAAAAAUAAUUUUAUCCAAGUGUGUUUCCAAAAGUUCACCAAAAGUUGUUUUAUCAUGCCCAAUCAUGAUCGACUGAGGCAAGGAAUUCUCAACAAACACAACAAACAUGGGAAAUUUAUGAAAAUAACCAUUAAUUUUUAUUAUUUUCGCAAUUAACCCUCUCAACUUUUUUCUAUCAACAUUAGCCAAACACAAGCCUUUCUUCCCAAAUUACCCUUCUUUACAGAACAAAACCAACAUUGUUUCUCCCAUAUCGCCAAACCAAAAGCAGCUUUUCACUCUUGAAUCAUCAGCCAACGGCAACCGCAAAAGACAACGGUAAAAGUGAUAUCCGAUCAUAAUCUAUCCAGAUCCAACACAAAUCAACGUCACUUAGUGGUAUGAAUUAUUUUCUGAACUUAUUGAACUGAGUCGGGUGAAUCUAAAUCUGGCGACAGGCUACCUGUCGCAGCAAAACUUGGUGCGACAGGCACCCUGUCGCACCAAGCUUUGGGCGACAGGUUGCCUGUCGCACCCACCUGGAGAUUCAUUAAAACUGUAUUAUUUUAAUAGGACUCAAAUAAUUUUUUUUUAUAAUUUCAGGCUUAAUGGAUUCAGUUGUACUUGAAUUGUGUUACGAUGGUUGGUGGGAGACAUUAGAGAAUGGCCGUAUGGAGUACUUGAAUGGUAAAAAUCGAGCUUUUUUUGUUGGAAAAAAUUAUCUGUUUGAUCAGUUAUUGGCAAGAGUAUACGAGGUGUUACAAAUAAACCCUAAUGACUAUAGUAUCACAAUGAAGACAACUUUGAGGUCUAGUAACACAUUAUAUCGUAUAUGUGCAAUGCCCAUGGAUAUAUGUGAUGAUGAAAUGGUGAGGGUUGUGUUGCAUAUGGCAUCUGACGUAGCUAAUUUUGGAUGCAUUCCUAUAUUCGUGACCACAUCACCUCGAUUUCCGAGCAAAGGUACUGAGCCACAUGUCGAUACCGAAACUUCGUUUAGAGCAAAUAUGUCUGGCCCUGAUAAUGAUGAAGAGGUGUUGCCAAGGACAAUAUUGCUGCAGCAAUAUUACUCUCCAAUCCAUGAUAAUUAUGACAACGAUGAUGAUAAUGGCGUUACGUUACAGGAUGUUGGAGCAACGGUAUUUUCAAUAACAACGUCGUUGGAGCAACAAUAUUCUCUGUAUCACAACAAUGAUUUUCAAGACAAUGAUGAUUUUCAUAAUGAGACAGAGGGGGAUAAUGUUUGUGCAGAACCUUCUAAUAAUACGAGGCGGGGCACUCGUUUCAAUAAUGAUGGUGAUGAUGGAGGAGCCGGUCCUUCGAAUGUUCCGUCGUUUCAGCAUGAGGAUGAGUGUGAAGACAAUACUCCUGUGAAUAACAGAGGCAAUAGACCUAUUCCUUCUAUGGUUAGAUCGAGAAGGAGAAUUGACCCCCUUAUAAGUCUUGCUCCAACUUUGCCUUCAAACAUGGUUGCUCCAAGCUUUGUUAGUAGUUGUGACUCAGAUGAUAUCAGUGUGGGUAAGCUAUUUGCUGAGAAGAAUGAGCUUAUAUUACAACUACGCAAGGUGGCCUUUAGAGAUAAGUUUGAUUUCAAGAUUGCACGGUCUACUACGACACGUUUCGAGGCUCACUGUUGUUCAGAAUCAUGUAAAUGGUGUAUUCGAGCAACUAGAAGUUCGAACGAGCAAAAUGUUCCUUGGGUGAUGAAGAGAAUUGAUAAUGUACACACUUGUCAUAAUGAGGUAUUGGUUGAUAGACGUCAUCAAGUAAGGAGCCAGGUUGUCGGUCAUAUUAUCGCAGAAAAAUAUAUUCAAGAUAAGAGGAUUUAUACUCCCAAUGACAUAAGAGCAGAUAUGCAACAAGAAUAAGGUGUUCAGUUAACAUACCAGCAGGCAUAUAGGGCGAGAGAAGUUGGUCUUGAAAUAGUUCGCGGCAACCCUGCAGAGUCAUACAACUUGCUCCCUAAAUACUCUCACGUACUAAUUACAGCGAAUGAGGGUACAGUCACUCACCUCGAGCAGGAUGGAGAUGGUAAUUUCUUGUACUAUUUUGUAGCACUCGGAUCUUCCAUCAAGGGGUUUAUGCAGUACAUUCGGCCUGUCAUUGCUGUAGAUGGUACUCAUUUGAAGGGACUAUAUCGUGGAAGCAUGUUCGUGGCAACAUGUCUUGAUAGUAACAAUCAAUUGUAUCUGUUAGCCAUUGGGAUCAUGGAUUCAGAAAACAAUGAUGCUUGGGAAUGGUUUAUGAUGAAGUUACACGCAGUGAUUGGUGAUAGACCUGAGUUGGUAAUUAUCUCUGAUCGAUGCACUGCCAUAAGGAGAGCCGUUCUUAAAGUAUUUCACAAUGCAACUCAUGGCGUUUGUUUUUACCACGUCAAAGGUAACAUUAAGUCACAAUUUAGAAUGUCCAAAGCUCUUUGGGAUGAAUUUGAGCCUGCCUUUAUUAAUGCAGCAAAAGCAUAUGGCCACGAGGAAUUUAAGAGACAACUUGAAGGGUUGUGGAUGAUCCACUCGGGUGCGGCUGAUUACUUAGAAAAUAAUGUCGGUACGUGUAAUUGGGCAAGGUCUCAGUUUGAAGGUAGGAGGUACAACAUUCUUACCACCAACAUCGCAGAGAGUGUUAAUGCUUUCAUGAGGGAACCUCGAAAAUUUCCUGUUACUCAUCUUGUUGAUCACUUUAGGAAAACAUUGCAGCAAUGGUUUUAUGAUAGAAAAAUUGUGGCUGAAUCAAUGACUACUCGGCUAACAACAUGGGCGGAUGAAAUAGUCACUGAGAGGAGAACUAUAGCUGAAAGAAUGAUAGUUCGGCCGGUGUCUCCGCAUCGCUUUCAAGUUAUAGGCGGUGGGCUUAAGGAAGGGUUGGUUGACUUGCAAAAGAGAACUUGCUCCUGCAGAGUGUUUCAGCUUGAUCAGCUUGUGUGUGCUCAUGCAAUUGCGGCGUGUCUAACACACCGGGUGGAUUUUAUUAACCUUUGCUCGGACUUUUACACUACAGAAUCGUUGGUGGUGGCUUAUGCACAACCAGUGGAGCCAGUUGGUGAUGUGGCUGAUUGGGAAGUUCUAGAUGAAAUUCAGGAGAUGCAAGUAUAACCACCAGUUGAGGCAGCACCACCUAGCCGUCGUAAAGAGCUCAGAAUACCCUCGGCUGGCGAGGACGUUGACCGGCGGACUAUAAGAUGCGGCCGGUGUCAUGAACUAGGCCAUAAUCGUAAGCGAUGUAAGAAUCCUAUUGCGUCGACUCGAAAUUAGUUGUAUUUUGUGUGUUAUUCAUUGGUUAAAACUAUUAUUGUUUUUGUGUUUCGUUGGUUAAAACUGUUAUUGUUUUUUGUGUAUUGUACACUUAUAUUUCAUAAAACUUUAUUUUAUUUUAAAGUUCAAAAUGUGAGGCAUUAAAAUUAUAUAAACUUAAGUGCACAAAUUAAAAAAGAAAUCAAAUUUCAACAUUAAAAUUACUACAUAGGUCUACAAUAUAAUAUCGUCAUUAAAUAUAUCAACGGCAAUCUUCUUUCUAAAGUACUCGACAUGACUAGCGUUAAACUCCAAUCUAAGCCCGAACAUUAAAUACAUCGUAACCAUCAAUACAAAAACACCGCAAUCGCCAGUGCCUCUUUCUUGUUGUGGGGCGCUCUUAACUGCGAUAACUUUCCACGGGUCUUCACUCCGCAACUCAGGUCGGAUAUUGUAGAAGCCAACAUAUUCCAACCAUCGAGGGAAUAUAACUUCAAGUGGCUUGAAUUUCAACUUGUACCUUUUGUCGUCGCGAAAUGUGAGUAAUGAGUCAUAAAUCCAAACUUUAUUUUUCCGAAAGUCAACUCGUGCUAGUACCCAAUGCGCGCCGUCCAAGUUAACAGGGAUAAGUAACUGCAUAUAAAAAUUAAAAAACAUGUUCGUUAUAUAUGCAAUUGAAAUACAACAAAGAAAAAGCAACAACUCAAAUAUUUUCAUUAUAGAGCAUGUGAAAUGUAAUAAAAUACAUACCAUAUCGACAUCCGUCAUUGAUUUGGACAUUGUGUGCUGUCGCCCACAAAGAUAACUAUUCAAGCGGUCGUCGAAUACUAAUGAAUCGACCGCACAAUCCCCGUUGUUCCAUAACUGAUUCAAGAACACCUAGUACAUAGAUAACCAAGAAAUGCAUAAAUGAACAACACUUAAAGGCAAUAAUUAAAAAUCAAAUUAAAUAGUAUUUAUAAGUUUUGUCGGCACGUUACCCAAAAAAAUGUGUCAGUAUGCGUGACACGUUGGAGUAAGGCAUUUGGAUACUGCCGUUGUUUCUCGCUAAUCAAGCGGAGAUACUCGUGAAUAUGCUCUAUAGAUUACGAUUUAAAAAAAAAUUUAUACACAAAUCCACAACAGAAUACACCACGAGAAAAAUAUAAAUACCUCAUCGCCUAGCCAUCCCAUCGAAGAUAUAUUCAAAAUUAUUGAAAGAAUGACCGCGGGUGCUGGACUCUCCGGCGGACUCUGCUAUCACCAGUGAACCAUCAAUCAAACUCAGCAAACAGACUAGAUUCCUCCAAUCCUCUCAGUGGAUUUACAUCCACACUCGUACUCAUGUCAAUCGCAUGCUCCAUGAUUUGGGGUCGCGGUAAAGGCCGAACGUUCUGUCCGCUCCUGACCGGAGGAAUCAUAUAAGGACUGUUAUAAACAUACGACGGUAUGUACGCGCGGCCGAACUUACUAACGCCUGGAGGCACCUCUGUGAACACCUGUACGCUCUCCCCACUAACAUCCCCGUAGAAACUAUACAAUGACGUGGGCGUAGACAAAUUUUCAUUGCCCACGUCAGUAUACACUCCAUAGUCAUCUGAGGCCUGUACAUUCGCCAAAAAGAACAUAUUAAAUAACUAUCAAAUUAAAAGUUAAACGAACAUAAUUAUUAAAUUUAAAUUAGCUUACCGCAUACGAGCAUGCAGUGGGAGAAUCCUUAUUUGGACGCUUAGAAAAUGUGUCGAUGAAGCCAACAACGGUUUCUUUAAAAUCUUUUAAUUCUAACUUUAUUUCAUACACGUUACGAUCAAUCUUAUCCAGCCGUCGUCGUACGUAAUCAUUAAACUACUUUGUCCUCGACUAUUACAAAAGGAAAAAAUAAAUUUAGAAUAACAAUAAAAAAAUAAUAAUUUAUAAAGGAAAAAUAUCAUAUAUUAUUUAUAACCUCAGAAUCCCGUGCGUCAUCAAAGUUGUCUGUUUGCUGCUGGUGGUCAUCAACAGCCACCUCAUCCUCAAAAGUGUCAUGACCCACCUCAUCCUCAAAAGUGUCAUGACGCUGCUCUGGUAUUGGGUUUGGUAUGUCGUCAUGAUCGUCAUGCUCGUCUGAUUGCCUUGUAACCGACGGCAUCGCGUUGAUUGAGGGUUGGUGCUGUAUAAAGUAUCAUUUAAAAUUAGUAAAUCAAAAGUCAAAAAUUUCAAUUAACAAAUUUUUAGUACUUAGAGUAUACCGACCUUAUGAACCCAGUCUGGAAUGCUUGGCAAGUAAUCCUUCACAGAGAGCCAAUAUUUUCUGCUACUCUCCUUUGAAUUUGGCUCAAGAGUUUGUAAAACGUCCCCCUGCCAUAAAUUCAAUUGAAAAUUUUAAGUAAGUAUACAUUUCUUAAAUUUAGUAAAGUUAAAAAAAUAAGUAAUACAUAUUACUUACAAGACGAGAUUCAUCGUUGAAGAAUGAAUAAACCUCCGCAAAGUUGAUUCUCGAAGACGCCAUGGGCUUCCAUUGCAGAAUGCGGGGAAUCUUAUUCUUCGUUUUGACGACCCAUGUUGAUGGCAACCCUCCGAUUGCUUCGUAAAUCCAAGCCUACAACAACCAAAGUGAAAAAUGAAAUAAAACAACUAUCAAAUAUUUAAUACUAUAAAACUUAUUAAUAAACAAAAAAAAAGCACCUGAACCCCAGACGUAAAGCCGUAAAGAUUGUAUUUUUCAAUAUUAUGAUCUGGAUUUUUCAACUGAGUCUUCUUAAAUUUCUCGUCUUUUUCGAACAGUGCAUUGUCAAGACUCUCGUAAAUCAUUUCCCACGACAAUAGACCCCAUGAAUGCUUUCGGAAGUACUGGAUAUCAUCAACUUGGUCAAGCCAAUCGAAAUUAAUUUGACAGUGAUUUUUUCUUGCAUUUAGUACUCUGUCCGCAAAAUAAAACAGCGCAAUCUUUAAUGUGUCCAUAUCGUCCAUUUCCUCGAAUUUCAACUCCUUAAAUACUGCAUCGAAUUGCUUCAUAUUAAUCUUACGAUGCACCCCACCAAAAUACGUAUUCCGUAGCCUCUGCUCCAUUUCAUCAUUUUCUUGAUUGGUAUCAACACCAAAUCAAAGUCCAGUAACCAAGCACCAUUCGACAAUUGACAAGCGAAUCAAAUGCUUACCAAUUUGAAACCAUAACUGAUCCUCACGGCUAUCUUCUUCAUGGGCCACUUGCCGCAGUAAAAGAUUGUGCAAAAUUACCCCACUAAAUGGAAAACUUCGACACUCCAAAAAAUGCCCAAAUAUAUCCUUUUUGAACAUACUCAACUGACGCUUUGUUAAUUUUUCCUCGAUGGCUUUUACGACCGAAGAUAACAUACACAUGCUCGAAAUUCGACCAGGAAAGUGAUCAGCAUAACGAAAAUACAUCUUGCCUACUUCAAUAUCCGGUGAUUCUGAUUUUGCCAUGUAUCUGUAAUAUUUAUAAAAUUAUUACAUUACAUUUACAGAAAAAAAAAAUUGACUCAUUAAAAAAAAAAAACCUAUCGCACCAAAAAAUUGGUGCGACAGGCCAAAACUAGUGCUACAAGCGCGCGCCUGUCGCACUACAGCUAGUGUGAGAGGCUUGCUGUCGCACCACAGCUGGUGCUACAAGCGCGCCCUGCCCCCCUCCCUCCCCACCCCCAAAAUUAAGCGCAAUCACUCCAAAAUCGAAAACAAUACUCCCAAACACCACCAACCACCACAAACAUCAUCACCGCCACUAUUAUUCUCAAGCUAUAACUAUUAUUAUUCUAAAAUCUCAUUUUAAAUUAAUGAAAAUAAGAAAAAUAACUAACCUAGGUUUUGUUGAAGGUUGUAGAUCGUAGAUCGAAUGCCGAUGAGAGAUGGAGCCGCCGUCGAUGAUGGGAGUUGGAUCGGUUUGGGAGAGAUGAGUGAAAGGGAGUGUUGGGGGAGAGAUGAGGGAGGGGUAUUUUGGUCUCAAAUGUUGUUUUAUGGCUAAUGUUGAUAGAAAUAUUUUUGGGGGGUUAAGAUGAAAAAAAGCAAAAUUUUUUUGGUUAUUACUGUAAAUUUCCCAACAAACAUGUUGACGCAAAUCCCACAAUGAAACUUUCAAACGCACACUUAAUUUGUAGUUUCAAUUUCUCAAGAAAGUUCUAAACAGAUUUAUUUGACCCAAUGCUUAAGAAAACAUGAACCAAAAGUAUAGAGAAUGAUAUUGACGCCACACUCAAGAAAUAGAUGAGAAGAUGAGUGAUAUUUAGAACGCCACAAGAAUGCAAAUUAUUGAUAAGUUCACUAGUUCUCAAAAGAACCAAAGAAAUAAUAAUCUUUCAAAUUCAAAUAACAUUAAUCUCUAAUUUUUAUUACAUAGCAAGGUUGCUGAGUUUAAAUAGGCUAAAAGAAACCCAAGAUCCUAAAAAUACAAAUGGAAACAUUGGAACAACCCUCCAAGUAGGUUUGUCAAAGGAUGCUUCAAAAGUCUUCACCAACUCACCAUAAUUAAUGCUAUCUUUGACAAACUUAAUGUUAACCCACCAUCAUUGAUGGUAGACUUACCUUACACAUUGGCAAAUUUGAAACAAAACAACCAAAUGAAGUUGAAAAACAAAGGAGUCGUUGAAAAUCUCAAGUCUGAACAAGCUGUAAUGAAUUGGUCAUAACGCCUUCUAGAGAACUACAAAUCUACCUCUGUAAAAUGCAUUGGAAAGCUAACUUAAUUAUCUUUCCAACGGUAUAUAGCUUGCACAUUACUUCUGGCUCAAUCAAUACCAGUGUUAUUCCGAAUUUGACCUUUCUGCAUUUGAUACAAAUUGUGUAUUUGGCUGCCCAAUAACUUGAACAAUGCCCACAAUGCCUUAUCUUCUCUUCAAGCCCAAUUCAUGAUGUCUUUCAUUUUGAAUUUCAUUUUUAAUCCAUUUUUUUCUCAAUUAAUCCAUUUAAAGCAACUACUCUACCUCUUGUAAUUGGGCCUCCAAUAAUGUGCAAAGGAUCACUUGAAGCUUUAAUGGUAUUCCCUUGAUGGUUCUCAUCACAUGUUCAUAUAUUCACUUAUGUCAUUCUUUCUUGAUUAUGUAGCUGCCCAAUGAUUAAGUUUUCGAUAAUCUCUCAUCACAGAGGAACUGAACAUCUAAUACUUUAGGUGUUAAUCUAGGAGAUCUUCUUGACACAAGAUGAUGUAAAUUCAAAGUCUAGUUUCUUUGGAGUUUAUUGAGGAGUUGAUUGGGAAAUUUUGAUAGGAGUGCUCUUUAUUUUACUUUUCAUAGAUUUUAGAGUUAACCUUCCUAAUUGGAAAUCGGUCUGUGAAAUAAUUAAAAUAUACACAUGUACCAUUAAUAAUGAUACAUGCAUAUACAAAAUAAAAUAAUGACACGUAAUAUUCCCUCUACUAACCUUUCUUUUUCCAAAAGUUUUAGGAGAUUGUUGAUCAAUCUCAAACUGAACACCACCGGAAGGCUUGGCUUUAGUAUUGUUAGAACUACCAACUUUAGUACUGCUGUAGGCAUUCAACCUUGUAUUAACAUGAAAGUACAUGGAUGAGCCAAUGAAUUGUCCUACUUCUUGCACCCUGCUUCUAUUUGGCUACUUUUGAAUGGCUUUACCUAAAAAAUCAUUUGACCCUUGUGCAACCUGACUCUUCAGCUCAUUCUACAAAAACAAGGAAAAAAGCGUUAUAAAUCUGCAUUAUAAUAAGAAGAAAAAAUAUAAAGAGGGAAUUGAUAUGUUUUUCUUACUUGCAGCAUGAACAUGGCCAAAUAAAAAGAGGGAAUUGAAUGGUUCAAAUUUUAUUUUAUAAUAUUUUGGUGGGUUAAUGUUGUUAUGAUGCGAAAGCUUUAACCAGAGGCCAGAAACUGCCCUACAAAAGAUCCCCCAGUUGGAAAAUAUAUUCUUGGGACAAGGUAAAUUGAUCCGAAUUUGAAUACCAAUGUAGUAACACAAGGCCUCAUCUAGUAGGUAGUGUGGAUUGAUUUAAUUUCCCCUAAUUUUAUUUUAUAUCAAAUAGGGUAGGCCUGUAGGACCUAGAUAAGGCCCACUAUAUCUUUUACAUAUAUCAAGUUUUUGAACAUGAAUUUCUUCCCUUGAGCAUAAAGCAUGCAUAAAAAUAUGACUACUCUGGCCAGUAACUAUUUUUCUACAAAGGCAGCAUCAUAUGUUUGCUGUUUCCCAAUUAUAUAUACAACUUUUUUAUUAGUACUUAAAUUAAUUAGCUUGCACUUGUGCAACUUGACACUAAUACAUAGUAUUUUUGAACACAUGAAUGAUGAAAAUAAUAUUGUGAAACAAUAGCAAUGUCAAAUGAAUAUGUAACAAAUUAACAAUGGGACUUGAAAAUUACAAGUAACAAAAACAAUAAAAUAGUGUUAUAACUUUCUAGUACAUAAUGAAUCCAUCUCUGCACUGACAAAUUCACAUUCAACAACUACAUAUCAAAACCUCAAGCUAAUUUUUUAACUCUAAUAAGCAUUUAACCCAAAAAACUCAAAACUUGACAAUAACCCAAAUAGCAAAAAAUGAGCUAUACCCACAAAAAUGAGAACUCAUCAAAAUCACUAUAAUCCAUAUAUAAUCGAAUAAAAUGAAAACUUAAAAGCAAAUACACAAAAAGAAAUCAUUAAAACCUACCGCCGAGCAUAAGCAUAAAUGGUAGAUCAAAGAUAUCAACUGGGUAAAAUAGGUUAUCUACAAAUUCACUCUAAUUAGCAUAACCCACAAGUAGAAAUCAUCAAAGGAAAACUUUCCAAGCACAAUCUUGAGAAGAGAAAGAUUGGACAAAGGUGGGAGGUUGGACAAAGUUUAAAUUGAUUUUUUAAUUCCUUUAUUUUUUCAUCAUUCUAAAUUCAAUAUUCAGCCAAUAAAUUUAUUUGAAAAUUAUUGAAUCAGUUUUUUGUGUUAAUUUAUUACCAUAUAGUUUUUACAACUCAAUCAAUAAAUGACAAAUAAAAUACUAAUUGGAAGACAAACUUUAUAUUCAAGCGGAUAAGCAUAAGAAUGAUGGGAAUGGGGGGUCAUGCUUGUUGUGCCAUGACCAUGGCCUCCAAGCUUUUUGUUCUGAGUAUUUGACUCUUACUGCAAACCCAAGCUAUCCCCUAGUCAAAUUCAACUGUCAUAUUUUUUACUUAUUAUUAAUAUUAUUAUUUUUUACUUAUUAAUAUUAAUAUUAUUAUGGUUUAAUUUUAUAAAUUUAAUAUCUAUGAAGAAAUUAUUAAAAUGUAUAAUCCUUUGUCUCUCCAACAACGUCAAGCACUAAUCAGGUUUGCAGCAAAAGUUAAAAAUGUAACAAACUUUAUAUGUUUUUAAUUAAAAAUGUUGGAGUUUUCAUUAAUAAAUAAUUUCUUAAAAGCCGUAUAAUAUUUCUAAAUAUGUUCAUGAAAUAUGAAUAAUUGAUAACUUUAAUCGAAAAAUCAUUCCCUACGAAAUUCUGUUAAAAUUAUGAUUUUGGAAGUAAACGACGAACCGUUAAUAUCAAAAUGGUUAACCGAUAAUUUCCAAAGAGGCAUAAAUCCUUGGUCUUAAAUCCUUUAGCAAAAACGGAUAAGGCUAGUCUGUUUCACAAAUUUCUGGAAUUAAACGGCGAACAGUUUAUAUCAAACGGCUAACUGAUAAUUUCCAAAAAGAAAUUUUUUGCUAACCAACAAUCAUGCACAUAAUUAAUAUAUCAAUUAUAUCAUCAAUUUUUAUUGAAGCUAUCAACCAUACAACAAUAAGCUCUGUUGAUCUCUAUAUUUCCUUAAUGUGUUGUUAGGCAAAACAAGUUCUUCACCUAAUCUCAAACCAUUAAAUAAUUAAAAAAAAAAUCUUUUAGGUUGAUCUAGGCAAUAACCACAUAAGCUCAUAUUAUUUAACCUAGGUUAUGUUCUCUAAUUGAAAUAAUUGAUUCAAAUUUGCUAGUAAUGGAAUUUACUCAAAUCCUAUCUAAUUGGCCACUCAAAUAACAUAAGAGUAAAAUGAUAGACAUUAAUUAUAGAAGAACAUAACCAAUUUCAAAAAAAUAAAUUGAAUGAUAGAAAUUGAAUAUUAAUUAUUAUCAUGUUUAGGGCUUUGAAUUCACCCUCAACUAAUUAGAAAAUCUAGCCCAACAUAACUAAACUAGGAAUGAAAGAGAUAAUAAAACCAGUCAUAGAGAUUAAUCCAAAUGUUGGCUGCUCCAAUUUAAUUCCUUCCAGCUUCUUUGCCUAAAAUUAGUUUGCUUUUGUAAUGACCAAAAUUGGCCACAAACCCUUUCCAAUUCUACAGGACCACCGGAUGAUCGAGAGUCAGAUCAACCUUUACCCAUUUACAAGAAAGCACUCAGGCAACUCCAAUGAGAAUGCUCAUUUAAGCCUGUUCUUGCUCAACCAAAAAUCAAGUCAUGCUUGGCACACAUACCCUCAAACUAAAGUUGUUUCUCAACCCUAUGUCCAAUCACCAACCAUAAUCUCUGGAGCACCAGAAGCACCAAAGCAGUAUGAGGCAGUGCUAAACUGGCAAACCCAAAAUACCAGUGCUCAGAAUCAAGCUCUCCACCAUCUUGGUAAAAAAAUUGACAAAGUAACAUCACAGGUGUCACAAACAGAAACAAAGGUGGACACAAUCACUUCCCAGCUUGAACAAAUUUAUUCAAAUCUGCAAAACCGAAUCUCUGAAUUAGAUAUCGAUCUCAGAACGAUGAUCAACAAUCGUAUUUGGGGUCCCGAAUUCAAUAAGAAAGAAGCAGAGAUCAGACAGUUAAAAGCAGAAUUGGCCAGAAUUGAUGAUGACAAAGUACAACCUUCCCUUUUCACCAAAACACAGUCCAUACCUAUACCAGCACCACUAUUCACAUCAUACCAGUUAUUUUACACUCCUUCUAAACAGUCAACUUAUGAUAAGUUCUUUGCCCUUUCCCAUCUCCAUUCCACCAACCCAAAUAUUCCUUUCGUUCCACCGCCAAAACCUACUUCACCAAAAAGAUCCAAAUCAAAAGUCAAAAUCUCAAAACCUCCACCCAGGGAAGAUCUUGAAAUUCCAGAAGACUCUCCUAAAGCAAUCCCUAAACCUCCAAAGAAAGAUAAAGCCCCAGCUUAUUAAUACCAUUAUCAGCAGAUUGAUUCUCAACAUAAUGACUCAGAUACAACCUCAGAAGAAAGUUUACCCUCCACAGAGAUACUCAGUUCCUCUGAACGAACUUCUUCAGACUCCGAGUCUCAAUAUGCAGAUAUUUCUGGUCUUCCCAUGGCCACAAAAAUAGAGUCUGCAAUCAUGGAGUGAAUGGAUAGUGUGAUGGAGACACAUCACCGGUUUCUUUUUCAUACUGGCGCUUGGCACGACGAAUUUGUCAUUGAUCAAGAUAAGCUUCAGCUUGUAGAUAGGCUUCUUCACAGCAUUAGUCAUGUCUUUUGAGGUUGAUGUAGUAGGAGGGUCUGGGUCUAUGACAGUGUAAUGGGGAUUUUCAGUAUGAAGGAGAGACUAAAAAUCUUCCCAUGGAUCCUGAGCGUCUUGGAAUAAGACGUUAGUAUAAUCAGAACAUUAUUCCACGACAUUCCUUGAGGACUUGAACUGGAACCUGGAGUACAAGUUUGUGUCUUUGGGAUAAUUUUCAAGGUGUGUGAUGGUCCAACAGAGGUGAAGUGGAUGUUUGUGGUAGGUGGCUGAACAUUAUUGAGCUCCAUGAGGUAUGACUUGAGAACAGAGGUAACAGAUGUAUCAUGGAUGAGGGUAUAAGGAUGGGGAUAAGUUUUCCAUUUAUAGGCCAUAUCUUGUGUCCAGAAGUCUCUUGUUUAUGGGUGCUGGAAGUAAGGUCUAUGAAUGAUGAAGACUGUAGUGAACAUGUUGGCAUCUUGUCUAAUCCAUGAAAAGUACACAUAUUUUUUAGUUGUUUUCGCCACCAUAUGAGUGGUGAAUACCAUUUAAGGAGAGUUCAUAGAAGGUCUGGAGAGAAUUUAGGAGUGGUGAGGUGGCGGAGGACUGGUUGGACAGGGAAGACCAGUUUGGUAGCAUACAGGGUAGUGAGGCACCACAUGUACCGUAACUUAUCUUCGCAGAUGGUUAAGGAAGAGAGGGUAAGACCUGUGAGAAACAGAUUUUCCAUACAGAGGGAAGGAAAACGAUCAGGCUUUUUGCUCUGAACAUUGAAGAAAUACUAGUAAAAGAAUUUCUUUCCAAAGUUUUGGAUCUGGUAGGCUGAAUGAAAAGGAAUGUUCAUGGGGAAAGUUCUCUGGUUGAAAAGUUUGAAAGGAAGUUGACAGUUCAUGGCUAUAACUGGGAUGGUGUGAAUGGAGGAAAUAAGUGAGGGUUUAUUUAUAGCCGGACGUGUAAGGAAAUCUGGGAUGAGGUUCUGUUUGCCUUUUAUGUGUUGGACAGUAAAAUCAUAUUUAGCAAACCAGUUUUUGAGGUUGAGCAACUGUUUGUCAGGGAGCAACUUAUUUUUGAAGUCAAAGAUUCGAGGAAAAUAAGAGUUGUCAAUGUUGAUAAGGAAUUUAUAGCUGAUUAGAUGAAAUUCAAACUUUUUGAUUCCAUACUUGACCGCCAAAAUCUCUUUGUAGAUCACAUGGUAAUUCUUUUCGAAGUCCUUGAAUUGUCCGCUUGCAUGGGCACAUAAGUGACGUACACCAUUUAUCUCUUCAAGAAGGAUGGCACUCCAGUAAUCAUCAGUGGCAUCGGUUUGUAGAAUGCGUUGUCCAGUUGUGGGAAUUCGGAGAGGAGGAGGUGACUGGGCUAUCACCUUUAGUUGCUUGACAGCUUCUGUAUGUUUUGGUCCCCAUGGAGGGCACUAUUUUUUUAGCAUGCGGGAUAGCUGGGUUGUGUGGAUUGCAACUUUAGGGAUGAAAUUACGGAUAUAAUUAACAAUCCCAAGGAAUUGUUGGAUCUGCUUUUUGUUGAGGUGUGUGUCCAGGAACUUUAAUAAUUCAGUUGCAAUGUGUGGACCAGGUUGAUAAUGGCCAUCUUUAAGCACCAUGCCAAGAAAGUCAAUUGAUUCCUUUACUAUGCUGCUUUUCUUUUCAGAAAGCAUGAUUCCGUGUUCCUGUACAAUAUGAAAAAAAUCCAAAAGGAGCUUCUGGUGGCUCUCAUGGUAAGAGGAAAAUAAUAAGAUUUCAUCAAUGUAUACCAAAGCAUGAUGAAGGAUAGGACUGAAGAUUUUUGUCAUGGCUUUUUGAAAUAAUGAAGGAGCAACCUUAAGACCAAAAGGCAUAACAGUCCACUGAUAAUGGGCAUCAGGGAUGCAUAAGGUAGUUUUGUGACGGUAAAUUGGUAAAAUACCAAGUUGCCGAAAACCAGCUUUUAAAUCAAACUUAGAGAAGAUACGAGCCCCUUGAAGAUGGACAAAUAGGGUCUGGAUUUUUGGAAGGGGAAACUUAUCAUCUUUAAGUAAAGAAUUAAGUGGCUGGUAAUCAAUAACUAACCUCUUUUUACCAUGAACUAAUUCAGACCUUUUUUCAACAUAGAAGGCUUGACAAGCCCAAUAUGAAUCAGUAGGUUCAAUAAGACCUUGCUGAAGCAACUGAGAACAUUCUUGCUUAGCAAGUAGGAGGUCGAAAGGAGACAUACCCAAGUGUGAUGCUUUGGUGGGGUUUAUGUCUUCGUUAAGCUUGAAAGGAAGGUGAAUGAAGAAUUGUCCAUUUUUCCAAAGCUGUGAAGGAUGGUGGAACUGUGAAUGGUUUUCUGGACAAAAUUCUAGGAACUUCUGUGAAAUAUAACUGUAUAGAGAUGGUGUUUCGGAAAGUGCAUACAAGCAUAAUGUAUCUGUGUACGGCAAGAACAUUUGCUUGUAGCAAACUCCAGAACUGGUGAGGGAUAGGUUUUUAACUAAAUGAAGAAUGUCAAAACCUAUAAGUAAAUCUUUAUCUGGGAGUUUGGAUGCUAUAAUCUUUUUCCAAAUUAUGCAAUUCGAAAAGAAUUGAAUACCAAUGGGUUUUUUGGUAAUCAAAGUUGUUUCAAAAGUUUCUCCAUUAACUGCUCGGAAAAGUUUUGAGUGUUUUUCCUAACAAUCAGAGGGAAGGACAGAAGGAUCAAUCAUACUGGUAUCUGCACCAGUGUCAAUAAACUCGAUAAUAGGAACAGGUUUAUGGAAUUUAGAAGGAAUGAUUGACAUUUUUAGAGAAGGUCUAGGAAUGGCUGAAACAUAGUUGACAGUUUAAACUGUAGAAAUGACUGAAAUAUCAUCAGAAUUGAAAGAUUCUGCGAUAAUGAAAGCAGUCUGAUCAUCUUGUUUUGACUGUUCUAAAAAAUUUGAUUCGAUAUCUUCAUUCUCAAAUAACAAGGAAGAAUGUUGAAGAUGCUGUACGAGACGAACAACUUUGGCCGACUUGUGAGGACAGUUUCGAGCAAAGUGACCGCGUUUCUUGCAGAUAAAACAACGGUUGUGCUUUUUCUUUCUGUACUGGGAAGCAUCUUUUUUUCUGAAAUAUCGGAGAGGUUUUUUGGAGGAUGAUUUUUUAUGGAAGUGUUUUUGAAAAUGUCUUUUCUUCUUGGUCGGACAAACACACUUCUUUUCAUCCUUACACUCGAUCUUGAGAUAGGGUUUUUUACAAGCUUCAGAAAAGGAUUUUUUGUCUUCCAUGAGAUCUUUGAAAAAUUCUUUUUGCUCACAGAUCUUGUCGAGACAUAGUAUUGCCAUUUGGAAAAUCUUUCCCAGUGAGAUAUCAGCUAUGCUGAGAUUAGUGGCUAUGAGUUUUCUUUGAAGAUCAGGUUGUAACUCAGAAGGAAGAGAGGCUAUGAAGACAUGUUUGAGUGAAGGUUCAUUGAACCCAUUCAGCUUUUAAAAAAGAAUACUCAUUCUUUUGUAAUGAGAUUCCAAAAGAUGUCUUUUGAGCGAGCAGCACUUCAUCUGAUGAUACUCUUUUUCUGUCUGCAUCAGUGGAAUCAGUUUUUUCACCGAUGAAUUGUUCAUGGAUGAUAUUGAGUGCUGUGCCAAUUGGAGAUUGCAUGAAAUGGAGCUAACGGUAUUCUCCUAAGCUUUCUAACCAAUCACGUAAAGAACCCAUUGAUCGGGCCAUGAAUUCACGGAGAACAGCUUGAGGUUGAGCAUUAGGUUUGGUUCCUUGGAGAUCAAUCCAUGCAGCAAAUUCUUAAAGUCGAGCAGGCUAUUUAUGACGGGGAAUGUCAUCAAAUGUAAACCAAGAUGCUGAAGAUGGUUUUGUUGAGUGAUCAGGAAUAGGUGGAGGCAUUGAUGGCUCUGGUUCUGUUAGAGAUGCUUUAUUUUCAGCAUCAAAAGAAUUGUCUUCAACAAUAGGUGUGGCAAAUGAAGUGCUUGGAUCUUCAGUUUUGGUGGCCAUUAAUAUGCUUGUAAUGUCAGCAUAUUCAGAUUCAGAGUCAGUAGAGGUAUCGACUGAGUUUGUGGAUGAGGAAGAGGAAGAAGGGUUGGACUCUGAUGGGUUUGACUCAUAGACUGUUUCUAGCUCAGAGGAGUCAGAAGAUGUGUUGUCGUUGAUCAAGAUAAGCUUCAGCUUGCAGAUAGGCUUCUUCAUCAGCAUUAGUCAUGUCUUUUGGGGCUGAUGUAGUAGGAGGGUCUGGGUCUGUGACAGUGUAAUAGGGAUUUUCAGAAUGGAGGAAAGAUUGAAAAUCUUCCUAUGGAUCCUGAGCAUCUUGGAAUAAGACGUUAGUGUAAUCAGGAUGUUGUUCCACGACAAGGAUUCCUUGAGGACUUGAACUGGAACCUGGAGUACAAGUUUGUGUCUUUGGUCCAAUAGAGGUGUGGUGGAUGUUUGUGGCAUGUGGCAGAACAUUAUUGAGUUCCAUGAGGUAUGACUUGAGAACAGAGGUAACAGAUGUAUCAUGGAUGAGGGUAUAAGGACGGGGAUAAGUUUUCCAUUUAUAGGCCAUAUCUUGUGUCCAGAAGUCUCUUAUUUCUUGGUGCUGGAAGUAAGGUCUAUGAACGAUGAAGACUGUAGUGAACAUGUUGGCUUCUUGUUCUGGCAUCUUGUCUAAUCAGUGAAAAGUACACAAAUUUUUUAGUUGUUUUCGCCACCACAUGAGUGGUGAAUACCAUUCAAGGAGAGUCCACAGAAGGUCUGGAGAGAAUUCAGGAGUGGUGAGGUGGCGGAGGACUGGUUGGACAGGGAAGACCAGUUUGGUAGCAUACAGGGAAGUGAGGCACCACAUGUACCAUAACUCAUCUUCGCAGAUGGUUAAGGAAGAGAGGGUAAGACCUGUGAGAAACAAAUUUUCCAUACAGAGGGAAGGAAAAUGAUCAGGCUUUUUGCUCUGAACAUUGAAGAAAUACCGGUAAAGGAAUUUCUUUGCAAAGUCUUGGAUCUGGUAGGUUGAAUAAAAAGGAAUGUUAAUGGGGAAAGUCCUCUGGUAUCAGAGCCACACUCAACGCAGCGGUGGUAUCAUUAGUAAUGUCAAAUAAAAUUAUUUGAUCUCCUAGAAGAGGAUUCCCAAACAUGGAAGCAACUUUAUCUUCAAUCUCAAUUCCUUUAUCAUCUUCCUCUCAUAUUUCUCUUUCCUCUACUCUUUCUCUUCCAAAAUCAUGUUCUAAACACAGCCUCCAAAAUUGAGAACCUUGUCGAAUAUUCCUAUAUCCCUGAGUCUAACCAAAUCAAUGAAUCUCGGUUUUCCAUCAUGAGCCCUUACAAUCUCUACAGACAAAAAACUUCUUUCACCAGAAGUAUCCGCACCCUGAUCUCCACCAAAAGACCACUACCCAAAGAAUAUAUUCAGUUGAGCAGUAUGUCAGUUUAGAAAUACCUCCAGAUCUCGUAGCAAACUAGAAACGAGAGGGGUAUAUGCAUCUUCAUCUUGGCGGUGUUAGAUUGAUUCUGACCCUCCAUGGUAGGAAAGGCUUACCUGUUACAGCCAUAAUUGCUCUCUUAGACACUAGGUUCAAACAGUACCAACAUGUUGUUGUAGGAACUGUCCUGACCACACUCUAUGCUGGCAAUGUCCUGUUAACCUUUUACCUAAAUUUCAACCUCUCUCUUAAGGAUCCCAACCUUCCCACGACCCUUAAGGUCCAAAUCCAGCUCCAAGGAGCAAAACAAACACCCACAUCAAAGAUAGCAACUCUUUACCACCAAAUAGUGUAUCGAUUACAUAAUCAUGCACUCGAUCUUCCCACACCACACACUACAUUCGAUGCCUUAAUGAUACUAGCAGACACAGACACAAUUCCAACCAUCAUCCAAAUUCCCAAACAAAUCCAGAAACAAGAAUUGCUCAAACUUAUGCCUCUUGAAUGGUUAACCAACUAUGAGCAUUUCCACCAACACUCUGAACCAGAUCAAACAACAGAAGCCACGUUUGAAAGACGACAAAAUGGUCAAGUCAAACUAUCUUUUCAAACACCUGAAACCAAGCCUGUUUCAGACACUUCACAGCUUUCCUAUACUGCUAUGAUUACAGCAGUUCAAACUGGUCAAGAAAAGAAACUUCCCAUUCAUGGUUUCUCAUCAGAAGGGUAUCCAGUAUAUCCUGACAAAAUCAAUGGUCAUUUUCUAUGGGAUGUUCCUAAAGCCCAUAUGUGCAAUCCGGAUUGUCCUUGCUUGGACGACACGGAUGUUGAUGACGAACUGGAAGUUAUGAGGAGAAAGAAAAAGAAAAAGAAAAAACAUUCUCAUCCAAAAACAUCUUGUAAUUCCUUUCCUCCACAACCUCCACUAGAUCCCAAACCUCCUAUUCACCAGAUAAGAUCAUGCCUAAUGUUUUCAAGCCAAUCCUGAGGAAUCAUUUCCUUCGCUUGAAAAACAGACAGACACACAAUCCAGAGUUAUCUCAAAACCUUUUGUCCAAUCCCUUGUUACGGCCUCUGGGCAGCUUGAAGAACCAAAACAGUAUGAAGCUGUUUUAAAUUGGCAAACCAAAAAUGCCAAUGCUCAGAAUCAAACUCUUCAACAACUCGAAAAGAAAAUUGAUCGAGUUGCCAAUCAAGUCUCACAGAUAGAAACUAAAGUUGAUUCAAUCAGCAAUCGUCUUGAUCAGAUGUACAUACAUCUACAAGAUCGUAUCUCUAAGCUAGACACCGAUCUCCGACGAAUGAUCAACAACCACAUCUGGGGUCCAGAGUUUAAUAAAAAAGAAGUAUAAAAAUUAUUUUAUAGACUGAGAAUAAUUAUUAAGUAAAUGUUAGAUAACAGAGCAAUUAAAUAUUUAAAUGGGUUAUAGUAGUAUAAAACGAAAAAAAGAAGCUAAAGAGUUGCAUGUUUAAGGUUACAUUUUCUAUGAUUAAUACUACAAUUAUAUGAGCAAUUAAAGCAUGAUAUACGUCACUAAAAAAUAGUGAUGGCAACCCAAACCCGAUUUAGAAGCAAUCUUCAAACCCAUUUCAUUUAUGAUUUAUGCCAUUCCUACUAAAAAGUCUUUUUUCCGAUUAAUUUAUAUUUGUCCUAAAAGAUUCUAUUUUGAAACUCCUUUUUGUAGUGAAAUAUUUUCGUCGUGCUUUGUGAUUACCUUUUUCCGAUGCUAUAAAAUUUAAUUUCAAUCAUUGUCCCUCGACGAAAGGAUUCCUUGCUAAAAAAGCCUUUUGCGACAAAUGAUAUUUCAUUGCUAAAGAAAAGCUAUAAAAUUCUUUAGAGAUGAAAAAAAUAAAAGUUUGAUUGCUAAAGGUUUGGCACCAGUAUUUUUUUUUAUCGCUAAAUUUUUUUCGGCAAUGGAAAAAGUUUUGGUUCAAUAUGUAUUCUUUAGCGACUAACUGUUCAUUGCCGUAAAUGAUAAUUAAAUAUUUUUUUCUGUUUUGAAUUUUGCAACGAAACCUUAUUUUUCUUGUUAAAAGGCACUUAUUGCAAUAAAUUUUUUUCGUCACUAAAAAUUUUGUUGCUAAAGACAGAUAUUAUUAUUUCAUAUAAAUAAAAAGAUAUUAUUUCAUAUUACUUCCCUCCUUAGAUUAUGAAAGAAGCAUAUUUUAUAAUAGAAACAAAGAUUUUAUCUUUAAAUGAUUAAAUUGGCACUAAACUACUAUUUUACAUGGAUCGUAAGAAUACCUAAAUGUUUGAGUUGGAGGCUGUAAAAUUUGUCCAAUUUUUCCAUCCCAUGAUCUUUUAUCGGUUAGCUUCAUUCUCAAUCCAUAUGUUAUGAUUGUUGUGUUGGAUGCACUUGCAAGCAUAAGCACAUGGAAGUACAUAUAACUCCCACAUUCUAUAACUGCAUGUCAUUUUUUUCGUGUUUGAUUUAAAACAAAAUUGAAUAGUGCCUGAUACUUUCAUUGUUGGCCAGGUUGACUCUAAUACAACUAAUCCCUCACCCUCUAUUGAACAUCACUGAAUUAUGGCUAGUACAUUCAAUGGUAAUUUUUGGCCAACUCAGUCCCACCCAGAUUCUUUCAUUAAAAACCUUCUCUAUUUCCUUGGUAUUCCAGCAAGAUUUAUAUCUUUACCAUAAAUUCCAUGAAACACCUUUUGUUGGAGGAAUAAAUCCUUUAGUGAAAGCCAUCACCUAUAAUUCAGGAACUUUUAUGUUGUAUCAUGAAGAAUCAAUUAUUAAAUAUACAGAAGCAUUCUUGAAUCCAUUGUACUUAAUUAUUCUCUAGAGUCAUAUGUUUGUCUUCCAGAUCAACAAAUUCUCCUAGAGAAUUUCUUUAAACAUCUCUUUGCACACCCUUUAAUUAUGAGAUGUUGGUAGAGAAUAGAAUGAUACAUAUGACCUGUGGACCAUAACCACUUAUAUAGAUAACUUUUUCCUAUUAUCAUUAGGUAUUGUUACCCUUAAGUCUCUAAACAUCAAAGGCCCAAAUCCUAUUAGAUACAUUAAAACCCAAAUUAUCGAAAACCUUAGUAGACACUUUUAAUUGGGCUUAACUUUAUAUGACAGUUCACAACACAUAAUUCUUCACAUAUAAGCCCAACGUUGGAUUAAAGAUCUAACAUUCUCCCACUUGGCUAUAUGUGUAAGCUUAUAAUUAUGCUUUGCAAAAAUAAAUGUAUGAACUCAACCUUACUAUCAUUACCAAAAUGUAUCUAUAACCAAUCUGGUCCAUCAAUCAUACUAGUGUAGGAUCAAAGUGGCCUUUGUUACAGCUAUUGCAACCCAUGAAUGGUCACUAUGUAUGCCAAUAUAACUAAAUGACAUUGAUCAUGAUGUGGAUCUAUAACAUAGAAAUUUCAUGCAAUCUGAACUUAACAUGCGUAUUUUCAAUUGGUCUACUUUAAACCUUAGUAAAAUCAAACUAUACAAAAAUCAGAGUAUGAAUAAAUCAAAACUUUAUUUUGGCAGAAAUUAACCUUACAUAUCCAUAAGCUGAAAUGACUGAAAAAUAUCUAUAUCAUAGGAGCAUUUAAAAUCACAAACUCCCACUAAAACUGAAUAUGCUUUAAUGAUACAAUACUCAUAUGAGCAGUGUACUCAUGAAACAUUUUGGGUGGCACUCUCUUAAUAAGCUUUUAUUAAGUUUAUUUUGGUCUACUUUGGCACUCUCUUAACAAACUCCACAAUCAUGGAGUUUGUGCCAACAUGCUUCUUGUGAAAAUUUUAUUGUACUUGUAAGGGCAUAAAUCUAUUGUAGUAUAAAUUAAAGUGAUGAGUGUCAAUCUCUCGUUUAAGGUUAAUUUUUCAAGUUCGUGUAAAUUAGUUGGAUGUGAUUUCUAAGCAAUGUUGAGAUUUAAAUUAAAAGAUGUCAAGAAUAAAUUAAAGAUGAAACAAUUUAAAUGGAAGACUUGAGUCUCUGGAUUCAUACUCAACACUUCACCAUUGGUUUAAUUUUUCUUUUCAAUUCCAAUUAAUUUAUGAGGGGUUAUUUCCAGUUCUUAUAGUCCUUAUUUUGGUAAAUAUGACAUCAAGCACUCAUUGUGCCAGGAGGAAAUAAUCUUCUAUUAAAUAUAGUGUCAAGUACAUGUUGUGCCAGGUGAUAAUACUCAUAUUCUCGACAAUGUGGCAAGACUGUCCACUAAAUAAAUUGGUUUCAUUCUCUAUCAACACUGAGUCAAGAUGAACCACUAAUUCUAGAGGGGAGUUUCUCAUUAAUAAAUAUAGUGUAGAGUACUCAAUCAUGCCAAACAAUAAUGAUCUUGCACUAUGGAGCUAGUAUACCGUGUAAAAUCUAGACAAGAUUAUUAUGGUUUGUCAACAACAAAUCAAAAUAAUCCACAUAAAUCAGAGAAAGAGAGCUAAUAAGCUUACCAAAUUAAGCCCAUGUAUCAUGUUGAGGUUUCACCUUCAACUCAAGCUUGAAACUAAAUUAGCCACUCAUAUUGAACUAGGGGUAAAAUGAUAAUUUUAUAUCAAAAUACAUAGAAAAUAUAAGAUGAAGGAAGAAAUAUGUAAAAUGGAGCACAAAUUUGGAUUCAAAGCUGUCGAAUUAGGGGGGUUUUCCAUUUAUAGAUACAACGGGUAAGUCAUGACGAUCGGAUGAAAACAACUCAAACGCUCAAGAUUACGCUACGUGGCAAGCUCUAAUUGGAUGAAACACGUUACCAAGAUGUUGAUUUAGUAAAUUGCAUGUAACAUUCGCAUGUUUUUUGAUCCAAUAAUAUGCGCUACGUCAUUGGUCAAUGACACGUCAAUUAGGGCCGCCGAAAGCUAAAAUUAUGAUUUUACUGUCUGAUUUCUCGUUAAUCAUGAAUAGAUGAUGGAAAACAUAUAGGAUAAUACUCUAAUUUAGAGUGUGAUAGGAUGAUAAGUUCGUAACAAUGGGGAUGGUUAGAAAAGCUCAACAAAAAGAUGGGCCUUUCUAUCAUUUCUUAAGCUUUAAAUAUCUUUCAUAUCUAUAGUUCAUUGAGCUUUCACAUGUAGCAACAUACAUUUUUUUUUAUUGGNNNNNNNNNNNNNNNNNNNNNNNNNNNNNNNNNNNNNNNNNNNNNNNNNNNNNNNNNNNNNNNNNNNNNNNNNNNNNNNNNNNNNNNNNNNNNNNNNNNNNNNNNNNNNNNNNNNNNNNNNNNNNNNNNNNNNNNNNNNNNNNNNNNNNNNNNNNNNNNNNNNNNNNNNNNNNNNNNNNNNNNNNNNNNNNNNNNNNNNNNNNNNNNNNNNNNNNNNNNNNNNNNNNNNNNNNNNNNNNNNNNNNNNNNNNNNNNNNNNNNNNNNNNNNNNNNNNNNNNNNNNNNNNNNNNNNNNNNNNNNNNNNNNNNNNNNNNNNNNNNNNNNNNNNNNNNNNNNNNNNNNNNNNNNNNNNNNNNNNNNNNNNNNNNNNNNNNNNNNNNNNNNNNNNNNNNNNNNNNNNNNNNNNNNNNNNNNNNNNNNNNNNNNNNNNNNNNNNNNNNNNNNNNNNNNNNNNNNNNNNNNNNNNNNNNNNNNNNNNNNNNNNNNNNNNNNNNNNNNNNNNNNNNNNNNNNNNNNNNNNNNNNNNNNNNNNNNNNNNNNNNNNNNNNNNNNNNNNNNNNNNNNNNNNNNNNNNNNNNNNNNNNNNNNNNNNNNNNNNNNNNNNNNNNNNNNNNNNNNNNNNNNNNNNNNNNNNNNNNNNNNNNNNNNNNNNNNNNNNNNNNNNNNNNNNNNNNNNNNNNNNNNNNNNNNNNNNNNNNNNNNNNNNNNNNNNNNNNNNNNNNNNNNNNNNNNNNNNNNNNNNNNNNNNNNNNNNNNNNNNNNNNNNNNNNNNNNNNNNNNNNNNNNNNNNNNNNNNNNNNNNNNNNNNNNNNNNNNNNNNNNNNNNNNNNNNNNNNNNNNNNNNNNNNNNNNNNNNNNNNNNNNNNNNNNNNNNNNNNNNNNNNNNNNNNNNNNNNNNNNNNNNNNNNNNNNNNNNNNNNNNNNNNNNNNNNNNNNNNNNNNNNNNNNNNNNNNNNNNNNNNNNNNNNNNNNNNNNNNNNNNNNNNNNNNNNNNNNNNNNNNNNNNNNNNNNNNNNNNNNNNNNNNNNNNNNNNNNNNNNNNNNNNNNNNNNNNNNNNNNNNNNNNNNNNNNNNNNNNNNNNNNNNNNNNNNNNNNNNNNNNNNNNNNNNNNNNNNNNNNNNNNNNNNNNNNNNNNNNNNNNNNNNNNNNNNNNNNNNNNNNNNNNNNNNNNNNNNNNNNNNNNNNNNNNNNNNNNNNNNNNNNNNNNNNNNNNNNNNNNNNNNNNNNNNNNNNNNNNNNNNNNNNNNNNNNNNNNNNNNNNNNNNNNNNNNNNNNNNNNNNNNNNNNNNNNNNNNNNNNNNNNNNNNNNNNNNNNNNNNNNNNNNNNNNNNNNNNNNNNNNNNNNNNNNNNNNNNNNNNNNNNNNNNNNNNNNNNNNNNNNNNNNNNNNNNNNNNNNNNNNNNNNNNNNNNNNNNNNNNNNNNNNNNNNNNNNNNNNNNNNNNNNNNNNNNNNNNNNNNNNNNNNNNNNNNNNNNNNNNNNNNNNNNNNNNNNNNNNNNNNNNNNNNNNNNNNNNNNNNNNNNNNNNNNNNNNNNNNNNNNNNNNNNNNNNNNNNNNNNNNNNNNNNNNNNNNNNNNNNNNNNNNNNNNNNNNNNNNNNNNNNNNNNNNNNNNNNNNNNNNNNNNNNNNNNNNNNNNNNNNNNNNNNNNNNNNNNNNNNNNNNNNNNNNNNNNNNNNNNNNNNNNNNNNNNNNNNNNNNNNNNNNNNNNNNNNNNNNNNNNNNNNNNNNNNNNNNNNNNNNNNNNNNNNNNNNNNNNNNNNNNNNNNNNNNNNNNNNNNNNNNNNNNNNNNNNNNNNNNNNNNNNNNNNNNNNNNNNNNNNNNNNNNNNNNNNNNNNNNNNNNNNNNNNNNNNNNNNNNNNNNNNNNNNNNNNNNNNNNNNNNNNNNNNNNNNNNNNNNNNNNNNNNNNNNNNNNNNNNNNNNNNNNNNNNNNNNNNNNNNNNNNNNNNNNNNNNNNNNNNNNNNNNNNNNNNNNNNNNNNNNNNNNNNNNNNNNNNNNNNNNNNNNNNNNNNNNNNNNNNNNNNNNNNNNNNNNNNNNNNNNNNNNNNNNNNNNNNNNNNNNNNNNNNNNNNNNNNNNNNNCAACAUCAAUAUGCAAAAUGGCAAACAUGGUGUAGCAUAACUCAAAGCCAAAAAUAAUACAAAUACUAAAUUUAAAAGUCAUUAUGUAUCCAAUGUUAAAAGAUCAAACAAAAUGCCUCAAAUUUUAUUAUUUUAUUUUAUUUUAUUUUUUAAUCUAAACUCUAAGACUAGGAAGAUGCAUGUCUAGAGUAACUAAACUCCAUAUUCGAACAUCUUUGACUCAAAAAUUUAGAAAAGAUUAGUAAGAGUAUAAUAACACAUCUAUUAGUUAUUCUACAACUAUCAACUACUCCCUCUCCCAAACUAGAAUGAGACAUUUUCCUCAAUGUCUUAAAGGAAAGAAGUAAAGUUUAGAAGACAUCACCUAAAUGCUGCAAAAAUAUUUACAAAUGGAAGGCUAAAUCUAAUUUGCACAUCUUACUACUGUUACUGCUAUCAUCAUUAGUUGACCAAUCCAUCGCAAAGGUCAUGGGAUCUAGUUCUAGCCUAUAAACUUGUAAAAAAUCAAACCACUUAUUAGCAUUAGUAGCAUUAAUAAAGAGCUUCUUUUUGCUGUGAAUGGAAUGAAAUGAUUUUUAAUUGUAUGGUUAAGAAAUAAUAUAAAGCCAUCAUAUAAAGUUAUUAACAUUUAAUAAACUGAUAGGUGUUUUAUGAAUGUUCAAAUAGGCCUAAGAUGCAAAUGUAAUUAGUGCAUCUAGAGUUACAAGAUCUCCUGACAAGAAAACGAAAGCGUCUGCAUGGUUUAACAUCUCAUAAAUUAUGUCUUGCAUACUUGAGACAAAUAGCUCUUUUCCCAAUUGAUGGGCCAGGCAGGCAUCCCAGAGGUUUCAAGGCUUUUGAGAUGAUAACGAACACUUAGCUUCCUCUAGUGUAAGCAGCUUCCAAGACAAGUCUUGGUGACGUGGUCAGGUAUAACCAGACACUCCGUAUUAUUUCUUUCUUAUCUAAGAACCUAGACAAUCCUGCUAGACACUGACUCUAUUGGUCACUUAGUCUAAAAGAUAGGAUUCCGUCCCUUACUUAGAUAUCCUUAUUAAGGCAAGGGUAAGAGUUCUAGACCUAAAGUGGUUUUUAAGAAAAAUAUUUCCAAUAUGUUCUACUCCAUGGAAACCUAAAACUCCAUUUUCUAUUCUUAAAUUCAAAACUCCUUUAAGUCUAGAACUCUUACCCUUGUUCAAUAUCUAUCUUCUACAAGUAUGCUCUGCACUUGCCUUAAUAAGGAUCCUGUGCAAUAGAACGCAAAUUACCCUGCUCUUUCUUUAAUCUAAGUAAGAGACGAAAUCCUAUCUUUUAGACUAAGUGACCAAUAGAGUCGGUGUCUAGCAGGAUUGUCUAGGUUCUUAGAUAAGAAAGAAAUAAUACAGAGUGUCUGGUUAUAAUUGACCACGGUCACCUCUUUUCUAUACGAGGUGUUUUUUUCUCUUAGCUAGUACUCGACCAAGAUCUAUAGCUACUUGAACAAAUUCUACUACUUGAACAAAUUCUAUGUUUUUCAUAAUGAAAGCUGGAAAGCACACAAACAUUCUUGAAUUGUUUAUUCGAAAUUACUACCAUUAAGAUGAUUUUCAAAAAUAAUUUUUGAGUGUUUAAAAAAAAGCUCAUAUUUCAAGAUCUUGGCGACAGACAUAGUGACACAAAUGUUGUGUGAAGUUCGUGGCUGAUAACUCUAUGAAAUGAGAGUUAUCAUGGAAUUUCUAGACUUAAACUAAGAUUACUUAGAGAGUAAAUGAUGUGUUUUUAUUGCAUUUUUAGUUAUAUUUUGCAUGAGCAUUUAUUUAAGUUUAAUUUUAAUAAAUAGAUUGUAGGUGACCAAAAAGCUCAAGCUUUAUGGAUGGAUGCUGCAGCAGCAAACCUGUAGAGAUAAUAAAGAACUUAUCUAUAGAUGAACUAAAACAAGUCUGAAUUAGAUAAGAUAUUGUAGCAAUUGCUGAAGCAAUCCAAGAGUAAAUACAGACAAGACUACCCAUGCGUUAACCGACAAAGCAUACUGCAGCUAUUACUGCGCUGUCAUGGUCACGUGCAGACAAAACAGUGACAGGCGGCACAAAAAGAAAUGUGAUCCAAGGUUGCCAAAAAGAGACACAUGGCCACAUGCUUUUGGUUGCCCUAAUUCUAAGAUAUAAAAAGAGCACACAUGAAAGAAACGGCGAAGAGGGCUGAUGAGAAUCAUCAAGGGAAUACCAUUAAAACUUCAAGUAAUCCUUUGCACAUUCAUAGAGGCCCAAUUACAAGAGCAAGAGCCAAAAAGAUGCAAGCUGCUUUAAAUGAAUUAAUCGAGAAAAUAUGGAUUGAAAAUGCAAUUCAAGAUGCAAGACAUCAUGAAUUGGGCUUGAAGAGAAGACAAGGCAUUGUGGGCAUUAUUCAAGUUAUUGGGCAGCCAAAUACACAAUUUGUAUCAAAUGCAGAAAGGUCCAAUUCGGAAUAAAAAUUGUAUUGAUUGAGCUAGAAGUAAUGUACAAGCUAUAUACCGUUGGAAAGAUAAUUAAUUACAGCUUGUUAUGACCAAUUCAUUACAGCUUGUUCAGACUUGGGAUUUUCAACGACUCUUUUGUUUUUCAACUUCAUUUGUUUGUUUUGUUUCAAGUUUGUCAAUGUGUAAGGUAAGUCUACCAUCAAUGAUGGUGGGCUAACAUUAAGUUUGUCAAUCAUACCAUUAAUUAUAGUAGGCUAGCAUUAAGUUUGUCAAAGAUAGCAUUAAUUAUGGUGGGUUGGUGAAUACUUUUGAAGCAUCCUUUGACAAACCUACUUGGAGGGUUGUUCCAAUGUUUCCAUUUGUAUUUUUAGGAUCUUGGGUUUCUUUUAGCCUAUUUAAAUUCAGCAACCUUGUAUGUAAUAAUGCAAAGAUUAAUAUUAUUUGAAUUUGAAAGAUUAUUCUUUCUUUGGUUCUUUUGAGAACUAGUGAACUUAUCAAGAAUUUGCAUUCUUGUGGCAUUCUAAAUGUAGACUUAUCACUCACCUUCUCAUCUAUUUCUUGAGUGUGGCGUCAAUAUCAUUCUCUAUACCUUUGGUUCAUGUUUUCUUAAGCAUUGGGUCAAGGUUUUGUUUGUCAUAAAUCUGUUUAGAAUUUUCUUGGGAAAAAAGAAAGAGAUGAUGCAAAAACCUAAGAGGGGGACAUCUUAAAUUUAGCGAAUCUCAAUUUCUACUUUUUAUUUGCUUUUUUUUAUCUCUUUCUAGAAAUGUAUUUAUCACCUAUCAUGAACUAAACUUUGAUGUAGUUGGGCGUUAAACAAGCUUAAUGGCUAUUUGACCACCCAUUUUGUGGAUACUAGCUAAGAAGGAGCCUCAAAAGACCUGACUUAGUGGAAUAAAUCAAGACAAUAUUUGGUUUUAGAUUGGGUUUCCCAAGUUGAGUUAAUUUUGAUUUGAAUAGGGCAUGCAUAAUGUUAUAUCUAAUGUUAGCAUAACAACUAGUCACUAUUAGUUUGCAUAUAGAUAUAAGAUAUCCAACAGGCGACAACUGAGGAUGCAUGAGAGAUUCUGCCUAGUGCUGUAGCAGAUGCUGUAGCAAUAGUACUGUAAUUGAAAAACAAUCAUUACCAUUAAGUGAGUUUAAGCACUCAACUACCCAUUUACCAUUGAGUAUAUCUUUGUGUUUGACUUUAGAUUUUCCUUAUUGCAUUCUGUUUAUUGCCUUUUUGAUUUAUUAGGUCAUCAAUUUCAUCAAUUAUUUUAUUUUAAUUAAACUAAAAUUGCACUGUUAAGAUUACUGUAGCAAGUCCUAUAACAUCAAUCCUUGUGGAGACGAUCUGGAUACUCAUCAUUAUAUUACAAGUUUUUAGCACCAUUGUCAGGGAUUGAAUGCUUAUUGUGAUUUGUGAAGUAAAUUUUAGUUGGUGCAAUUUUAGUUUUCUUUUAAUUUGUUUACUGUGUUGACAGAAGUGCUCUAGCAACCCUUGCAUGCAUAAGAACAAACCUGUUGAAUUCCAAUUUGAUCCAUAAAUUGAAAGAAUUACAAGGAGAUUAAGAAAAGAGCAUGGAAAUUUAAGAUCUACUACAGACAUGGAUGAUUUGGUAGAUAUGGGGAAUUUGAACCCUCUAGGAGAAAUAGAACCAAUCAAUGCACAAGGAGGUCAAGAAGGCCAGAAUAGGCAGACUAUUCAUGGGCAAUCAGGGAACAACAAUAUUGUCUACAUGGAGUGUGGUCAGAACGGUUCCUAUAACAGCAUGUUGGUACUGUUUGAACCUGGUGUCCAGGAGAGCAAUUCUGGCUGUCACAGGUAAGCCUUUUCGGCCAUGGAGAGUCAAAUCAAUCUAAUACCACCAAGAUGAAGAUGGGUAUACCCUUCUCGUUUCCAGUUUGCUACAAGAUCUGAGGGUAUUUCUAAAGUGACAUAUUGUUCGCUUUGAGAGGCUUGUAAAGCACACUGAUCGAGUCUAGAAGACUGGAUAUACUCUUUUGGUAGUGGUCUUUUUGUGGAGAUAAGGGUUCUAAUACUUCUGGUGAGGGUUCUAUAGGAACUAAAUACAAUGGCAAGCCACUUUGUGAUUUGGGAGCUAGCAUUAAUCUCAUGCCUCUAUCAAUGUUUAAGCAAUUGGGAGGUAGAGAAGUUAGACCAACAACAAUGAUUUUAUAACUUGUUGAUAGAUCUUAUGCCUAUACAGAAGUCAAGAUUGAAGAUGUAUUGGUAAAGAUGGAUAAAUUUAUUUUUCCAGUGGAUUUCAUAGUGCUGGACUUUGAGAAAUUAGUUAUUCAUUUUCCUCGACAUUGUUUACACACAAUAUCAAUUGUGUUGCUUCACUUGCUUGCUUUACUUUCUUCAAUUUCCUUUUCAUUCUUUGUGUUCUCUUAAUUUCUUUUCUUUGUUAGUGUGCUGGAUUGUCAUAUUUGGUGUGCCACUUGGGUUUUUUUUCUUGAUUGUGUUCAUUUGGUUCAAUAAAGAACUGAAAGAGAGAAUUAAGUGUGGUAAAAGGCAAAAGUUUGUGAGAUUGUUAGAGGGAAAAAGCCAAUUUUUGUGUUAAACACGAGAGUUAAGUGACAUCAAAUUGAGUGAAACACGUUAGGGAGUAUUGUGAGGUCUUUUUGCUAACAUUCUUUUUAGAUCACAAAUAUGUCAAAAGAUCAAGAAACUAUAGACCAAUCAAUUAUGCUCAAGGCCAUGCAACAACAAUUUGAGUGCAUGAAUCUGAUGUUUGGAGAGAUCCAUGACAAAUUGGAGAGGCAAGACACUGUCAUAGCCAAUCUACAAAGGGGACAACAACCAAUAGGUCCUAAUGUAAGAGGUAAUCAAGGGCGUGCUGCCAUGGGAGAAGAAGAUGUUGAUGACUUAGAUAAUUUUGAUGACCAGGCCACUGUUGACAUGCGUGGAAGAGAUGAUAGAAGGGCAAGACGUACAGAUCAUGAUUUGGGGAGUAUCAAACUAAAAAUUCCUUCUUUUCAAGGUAAAAAUGAUCUGAAAGUUUAUUUGGAGUGGGAAAAAAAGGUGGAGCUAGUAUUUGAUUGCCACAACUACUCUGAGGAGAAAAAGGUAAAACUAGCUACUGUUGAAUUUACUGAUUAUGCUAUUAUUUGGUGGGAUCAACUUGUUUUGAGUAGGAGAAGAAAUCGUGAAAGGCCUAUAAACACUUGGGGGGAGAUGAAGGCCAUCAUGAGGAGGAGAUUUGUUCCUAGUCAUUAUUAUAGGGAGCUGCACCAAAGGCUUCAAAGCCUUACACAAGGUUCCAGAAGUGUGGAAGAUUACCACAAGGAGAUGGAAAUAAUCAUGAUUCGAGCCAACAUUGAAGAAGAACGAGAGGCCACUAUGGCAAGAUUUUUACAUGGUUUAAAUCAAGAUAUUGCUAAUGUGGUUGACUUGCAGCACUAUGUUAAGUUGGAAGACAUGGUUCACAUGGCCAUGAAAGUGGAAUGACAACUGAAAAAGAAAGGUUCCACUAGAACCAAUUUGGGUUCAUCUUCCUCGUGGAAGUCAAAAUGGAGCAAAGAUGAAAAGGCUAUUUCAAAGCCUAAGAUUGAGCCAUUCAAGGAUCAUAAAGGUAAAUCUGAUUCCCAACACUCUAGAAAUAGAGAUAUUAAGUGUUUUAAAUGUUUGGGGACAAGUCAUAUUGCAUCUCAAUGCCCAAAUAAGAGAGUAAUGAUCUUGAAGGAUGAUGGAGAUGUUGAAACCGAGAGUGAAUCAGAUGAUGAACCUAUGCCACCUUUAGAGGAUGUUAAUGAUGGUGUAGAGUAUCCUGUUGAUGGUAAAUUGAUGGUUGUUAGGCGUGCUCUCAAUGUGCAAGUAAAAGAAGAUGCAGAGGUACAACAUGAUAACAUCUUUCAUACUAGAUGCCACAUCAAAGAUAAGGUAUGUAGUAUGAUAAUUGAUGGUGGAAGUUGUACUAAUGUGGCUGGCACUAGUUUAGUUGAAAAAUUGAAUUUGAAUCAAAGUAAAUAAACAAGUGCUGGUCUCAUUCUCUAUUGGGAGAUACAAGGAUUAAGUUCUAUGUGAUGUAGUGUACCCAUGCAUGCUGGACACAUUCUUUUGGGGAGACCUUGGCAAUAUGAUAGGCGUGUGACACAUGAUGGUUACUUAAAUAGAUAUUCUUUUGUAAUGAAUAAAAAACAAAUCACUCUUGCACCAUUAACACCUAGGCAAGUGUAUGAGGAUCAAAUGUCAAUACAAAAAGAGAGUGAUACAAAAAAAGAAAAUGAGAGUACAAAAGAAAGAGAGAUUGAGAGAAAAACAAGUGAAAAGAUAGAAAAAAAUAUUGUUGAGAGAAAAGAGAGGCAGCAAGUGAACUUGUUUGCAAAAGAGAGCGAGGUUAAGAGGGCUUUCUUUUCAAAACAGCCUAUCGUUGUACUUUUGUGAAAAAAGGCUUGUUUACAUACUAAUGAGCUUAACUUUUCUUUGCCUAGUGCUAUUGUGACUCUUUUGCAGGACUUUGAUGAUGUGUUUCCAAAUGAAGUCCCUAAUGGUUUGCCACCUAUUAGGGGAAUUGAGCAUCAAAUAGACUUAGUCCAUGGAGCUACCAUUCCUAAUAGACCUGCAUAUAGAAGUAACCCUGAGGAGACAAAGGAGCUUCAAAGGCAAGUUGAAGAACUCUUGGCAAAGGGAUAUGUGAGGGAGAGCAUGAGUCCUUGCGCGGUACCAGUUUUACUAGUGCCCAAAAAGGAUGGCACAUGGAGGAUGUGCGUUGACUGUCGUGCAAUUAAUAAAAUCACUAUUGUUUUUCUUGGUUACGUUGUAAGUGUUAAAGGAAUUGAGGUUGAUGAAGAGAAGGUAAAGGCUAUUAAAGAGUGGCCUACACCUAAAAGUGUAAGUGACGUAAGAAGUUUUCAUGGUUUGGCUAGUUUUUAUAGAAUAUUUGUGAAAGAUUUUAGCACCCUUGCUGCACCAUUGACUGAAAUUGUGAAGAAACAUGUGGGAUUUAAGGGGGGUAGUGAACAAGAAAGGGCAUUUAAUCUAAUUAAGGAGAAAUUGGUUUCUGCACCAUUACUCGCUUUACCCGAUUUUGCUAAAACUUUUGAAAUUGAGUGUGAUGCUUCAGGUAUAGGUAUUGGAGCUGCUUUGAUGCAAGAAGGGCAUCCAAUUGCUUAUUUUAGUGAGAAAUUGAGUGGAGCAGCCCUAAACUAUCCUACAUAUGACAAGGAGAUAUAUGCAUUGGUGAGAGCAUUAGAAACUUGGCAACACUAUCUUCUACCUAAAGAGUUUGUUAUACACAUUGAUCAUGAGUCCUUGAAGCAUUUGAAAGGGCAAGGUAAGUUGCAUAAGAGACAUGCCAAAUGGGUUGAAUUUAUUGAGCCAUUUCCCUAUGUGAUCAAAUACAAACAAGGUAAGGAGAUUGUGGUGGUUGAUGCAUUAUCUAGAAGAUAUGCACUUGUCUCUACAUUAAAUGCAAAGUUGUUAGGAUUUGAGUACAUUAAAGAAUUAUAUGUUAAUGAUCCUGAUUUUGCUAAUGUGUUUAAUGCUUGUGAGAAAGUUUCGUUCAGUAAGUUCUAUAGGCAUGAUGGGUUCUUAUUUAGAGAAAAUAAACUAUGUGUGCCUAAUAGUUCUUUACGUGAAUUGCUUGUGCAUGAAGCUCAUGGGGGAGGUUUAAUGGGACAUUUUGGCAUUGCAAAGACUUUAGAUGUUUAAAAGAACACUUUUUUUGGCCACAUAUGAAACGUGAUGUUGAAAGAAUAUGUGAGAAGUGUAUCACUUGUAAACAUGCUAAGUCUAGAGUUUUACCCCAUGGAUUGUAUAACCCUCUACCCAUACCUAGUGAACCUUGGGUUGAUAUUUCUAUGGACUUUGUUUUGGGUUUACCUAGGUCAAAAAGGGGAAAGGAUUCUAUUUUUGUUGUUGUUGAUAGGUUUUCAAAGAUGGCACAUUUCAUUCCAUGUCACAAAACUGAUGAUGCAACAAACAUAGCUAAUUUAUUUUUCAAGGAAAUAGUCAGAUUGCAUGGUACCAUGGAGCAUAGUUUCAGAUCGAGAUGUUAAGUUCUUGAACCACUUUUGGAAAACUUUGUGGGGUAAUUUGGGAAAUGGGAACUAAACUUUUGUUUUCUACUACUUGUCAGUAAGUUGGGACAAACUGAGGUUGUAAAUAGAACUAUGUCUACUUUGUUGCGAGCCAUUAUUCAAAAGAACUUGAAAACCUUGGAAGAAUGUUUGCCACAUGUUGAAUUUGCUUACAAUAGAACUGUCCAUUCAGCUACUAAAUUUUCACCAUUUGAGAUUGAAUACGGUUUUAAUCCAUUAACUCCUUUGGAUUUAUUCAUGGCAUUUUUAUAGCAUCAUUGCGAGUUUCCUCAAGUUCUGUCAGCCGUAAUCUUCUUUUUGAACCAGCCUGUUGCAUGUCAAAGUUAAAUUUCUUGAUGGCAGUAUGAAAGGAUUUUUCAAAAUUUCUCUCUAGGAUACAUUGUCUAAUACUUGGAUAAAUAAGGAUCAUCCCAAACGAAAUUCUUUAUUUUUGUAAAAAAACUUUUGGCUUUGUCCUACUUAGUCCAAUACUCUAGAAGUUGAUCUAUAGCAAGAUAGUUAACCAUAUGAGUAUGCCUUUGUAGUACUUUUGCAUUAGUUAUUCAUUAGGAAAUGAUUCAUUAAAUAGUAUUGGUUCUGGAAUUGUAUCAAAAUUGAGGCGAGAGUGAUGAUCUAACACCACAUUUUCUGUGUCUUUCUUAUCUUUGAACUCAAGGUCAAAUUCUAACAAAAGUAAUAACUAGUGAAUUAGUCUAACUUGCAUCUUUCUUUGCAAGAAGACAUUUAAGAGAAAAAUGAUAAGAUCAAAAUUUUUCUAAUACAAACACUACUGCUAGCAUUUCUUUUUAGUGGCUGAGUAAAUCAGUUGUGCGUCAUUCAAUGUAGUACUAGCAUAGUAAAUGACAUUGGAAAUUUGAUCAACUUUUUGUCCUAAUAUUGUUUCUACUACAUAAUUAGAUGCAUUACACAUGAGCUCAAAAAGUAAGUAAAAGUUUGGGGGCUGAAUGAUGGGUGAUGAGAUCAAUUCAGUCGAAGAAGUAGAUACAGAUGAGGAUGGAAACUGUAUUGAUGAGAUUGUCAGGCUUCGAAUAUAUAUGGAUAUCACUAAACCACUCCAGAAAAUGCUUGAAGUGGAAACAAAUGAAGAUGGCAAUAUUCCUAUCCCAAUAUUGUACGAAAGGUUGCCAGACUUUUGUUUUUGUUGCGGGCUUAUUGGACAUCAAUAUAAGGAAUGUGCAAAGUAUGAAGCGCACCCAAAGGAACAACUUCCGUAUGGGUAUUGGAUGAAAGCUGUUAAACAGGCUGGAAAACUCAAACAAAACCGACGAGAUAGAUGGAGCAGGGAAUAAUACCAAAUGAAGAAGAAAGAUGAUGCUGCAGAUAGUCAAGGUCAACAACAACAGAAGAUUAGUCAAAAUAACUCGAGAUUUGAAAAUGGAUCAGGCCCCAACCCAAUCAAACCAGGUGAACCUUCAAACCACAUCGUCAGUAAUAGGGUUGAUAAAGUAGGUGGAGAUCAUUUAAUGCAAGCAGCGAAAACCCUGAGAAGACAGCUGAAGCUACUGGAUACAGAUGUAGCAGCUGGCAUAGCAAAGCAUACGGAAAAGCAAAAUACAAGAGCGGGAAAGGAGAAAGAGCGGGACACAAAUGAUGAAAUAUAGGGGGCAAUUCAAAGCUGUUGAGAGAGGAACAAAAAUUAGUCAAGGAGUCCAACAUAGCCCAUACAAUUUCAGAUGAAGAAGUUGAUAAUGGGCCAAAAAUUAGCCAAGUGAAGGCUAAACGAAAGAACUUUUCAGACUCCAUUAUUCAAUAAACUUUUAUUCAGAAACUUAUUUUCUCUAUCUUCUUUGCAAUUUUGCUUCGUCAUUAAGUGUGGGGGGAGGAUUUGAAACUUAAUUUUUCUUGCUUUGACUUUUUCUUUUAAAAAAAACAACAUUAUUUUUCUUGAAUAUAAGCCAAUGACAAGAGUUUGAAAUACCUGUAAAGGAACUUCUUUGCAAAAUCUUGCAACUGGUAAGCCGAUUGGAAAGAGAUGUUCAUGGGGAAGUUUCUCUGGUUGAGAGCUUUGAAAGGAAGUUGGCGAUGCAUGGCUAUUACUGGAAUGGUUUGGAUUGAGGAAAUGAGUGAGGGUUUAUUUAUAGCUGGACGUGUGAGGAAGUCUAGAAUGAGGUUUUGGUUUGCUUUUGUAUGUUGAACAGUGAAAUCAUAUUUAGCAAUGAAUAUGGUUCUUAGAAAGGGUAGUUUUUUUUUUUUAAUUGUGAUAGAAAAUACCAAUCAUAGCAUAUGACACACAAUCUUAAUUUCAUAAAAUUUAAAAUUUUCCUCCAAAAAUUGCUAAAAAAUCAAUUUUCAUAUAAGUAGUAUGACUGAAUUAUGACAGGUAAAAUUUAUCACAACUCAAGACGAGUUUAUGUCUAUUAUCUAUUUCUUUACACUGGCUACAAUGACGGUAAGGACAACCAUCAUUUGUGUCUUGAGAUGAUAGUUUUUGCCUGGACUUUUUCCUUGUGGUGAUAUCCAAAAACUUUUAUCCACUACUAAAGACUAACUAGAUGAUAGAUGCCACUACUAGACACAAGUGUCUAAUCUUUCUUGAUGGUUAUAGUGGACAGAAUCAGAGACCAAUGACUUUGGAAGAUCAUGAAAAGAUAAAUUUUAUCAUAGCCAAAGGAUUUUAUUAUUACAAGGUGAAUCCUUUUAGCUUAAAAAAUGUUGAAACCAAAUUCCAGAGAUUGGUGAGUAAAGUAUUUGACAACUCACAGCCACUAAUCUCAGCAUUGCUAACAUCUCUUUAGGAAAGAUUUUCCAAAUGGCAAUGUUAUGCCUGGAUAAAAUCUGUGAGCAGAAGGAAUUCUUCAAAGAUCUCAUGGCCGACACAAAGUCCUUCUCUAAAGCUUGUAAAAAACCUUAUCUCAAGAUGGAGUGCAAAGAUGACAAGAAAUGUGUCUGUUCGCCCAAAAAACGGUCCAUUGAUAAUGGGCAUCGGGAAUACAAAAGGCAAUUUUGUGACAGUCAACUGGUGAAAUACCAAGUUGCCAAAAACCAGCUUUUAAAUCAAACUUAGAGAAGAUACGAGUCCCUUGAAGAUGGACAAACAGGGUCUGGAUUUUGGGAAGGGGAAACUUAUCAUCUUUAAGAAAAGAAUUAAAUACUCAAGAACCAAAAAAAAAAAAAAAAGUCACUUGCCUAAUAAUCUACAAAUUGUUUUCAAAGUCCUUUAGAAGGAGAGUUACUUGCAUGUCUAACUUGACCACUUCUUUGGUCUUUCUCAUCUCCAUUCCACAAACCCAAAUAUUCCUUCAGUUCCACCGCCAAAGCCUACCUCACCAAGAAAACCCAAAUCAAAAGUCAAAAUCUCAAAACCUCCUCCCAAGGAAGAUCUUCAAGUUCCAGAAGACUCUCCAAAAGCAACUCCUGAGCCUCCAAAGAAAGACAAAGCUCCAGCUUACGAAAACCAUUAUCAACAGAUUGAGUACCAAAAUAAUGACUCAGAUUCAACCUCAAACAAAAGUUUACCCUCCACUGAUACUCCCAGCUCAUCUGAACAAACUUCUUUAGACUCAGAGUCUCAAUAUGAAGACAUUUCUAGUCUUCUAAUGGCCACAAAAACAGAAGAUCCUAGUACAUCUACUCCUGCUGUCGAUGAAUCUUCUGAUGAUAAUAAUGAUGACCAAGGCUCCCAAAUAGAACCAGUUCCACCAGCCUCCCUGGUUUCUGAAAAUUCUUCCAAACCAUCCUCUUUACCAUGGUUUACAUUUGAUGACAUCCCUCAUCACAAAUGGCAGGCCCGACAUCAAGAAUUUGCUGCAUGGAUUGAUGUGCAAAUGACAAGGCCUCAUGCACAAUCUCAGAAUGCUCUCUGUGAGUUUUGUUUCAGAUUCACUGGAUCAUUAUGAGAUUGGUUUGAAAGUCUAGGAGAAUACAAACAACUCCAAUUGAUUCAAACCUGAUAAGAACCAUCAAGGGAAUACCAUUAAAACUUCAAGUGAUCCUUUGCACAUUCAUGGAGGCCCAAUUACAAGAGAAAGAGCCAAAAAGAUGCAAGCUGCUUUAAAUGGAUUAAUUGAGAAAAUAUGGAUUGAAAAUGCAAUUCAAGAUGCAAGACAUCAUGAAUUGAGCUUGAAGAGAAGACAAGGCAUUGUGGGCAUUAUUCAAGUUAUUGGGCAGCCAAAUACACAAUUUGUAUCAAAUGCACAAAGGUCAAAUUCGGAAUAAAAAUGGUAUUGAUUGAGCUAGAAGUAAUGUGCAAGCUAUAUACUGUUGGAAAGAUAAUUAAGUUAGCUUUCUAAUGCAUUUUACAGAGAUGGAUUUGGAGUUCUCUAGAAGGAUUUAUGACCAAUUCAUUACAGCUUGUUCACACUUGGGAUUUUCAACGACUCUUUUGUUUUUCAACUUCAUUUGUUUGUUUUGUUUCAAGUUUGUCAAUGUGUAAGGUAAGUCUACCAUCAAUGAUGGUGGGCUAACAUUAAGUUUGUCAAUGAUAGCAUUAAUUAUAGUGGGCUAGCAUUAAGUUUGUCAAAGAUAUCAUUAAUUAUGGUGGGUUGGUGAAGACUUUUGAAACAUCCUUUGACAAACCUACUUGGAGGGUUGUUCCAAUGUUUCCAUUUGUAUUUUUAGGAUCUUGGGUUUCUUUUAGUCUAUUUAAAUUCAGCAACCUUGCUAUGUAAUAAUAUUAAAGAUUAAUGUUAUUUGAAUUUGAAAGAUUAUUCUUUCUUUGGUUCUUUUGAGAACUAGUGAACUUAUCAAGAAUUUGCAUUCUUGUGGCGUUCUAAAUUUAGACUUAUCACUCACCUUCUCAUCUAUUUCUUGAGUGUGGCGUCAAUAACAUUCUCUAUACCUUUGGUUCAUGUUUUCUUAAGCAUUGGGUCAAGGUUUUGUUUGUCAUAAAUCUGUUUAGAACUUUCUUGGGAAGUUGAAACUACAAAUUAAGUGUGGGUUUCAAAGUUUCAUUGUGGGAUUCGCAUCAAAACCACCAUUCCUAUAGCUCUUGCAGUCAUUUAUGAGCAGUUUAUUGGAGAACCAGCAGCAUCAAUUGAAACAUCUCAAAAAGAAUAUCACUAGAUGAAAUGUUGUUCUCUUAAACGACAUCACCUGGAAAUGCAUUACAAAAGGAUGAGCGUGCUUUAUUACAAAUUGAAUGGAUUAAAUGAUCCAUCUUUAAAGCAUGUCUUUGCUGCAUCUUUACCACCAAAACUUCAGCCAGAGCUUCAAUUGACAGCCUUUAACCUUGACAUAGCAAAUGUCUCACCUGGAAAAAUCUUUCAAUUAACCAUGCUAUGCCUUGAUAAGAUUUGUGAGCAAAAUGAUUUCUUCAAAGAUCUUAUUGAACACAAAGAACCCUUUGCCUCAACUUGUAAAAAACCCUACCUCAAAAUCCAGUGCAAAGAUGACAAAAAGUGCACUUGUUCAACCAAUAAAAAGAAGCACUUCCAGAAACAUUUCCACAAAUCCUCUUCCAAAAAACUGAAGAAGCCUUACAGAUACUUCAAAAGAAGGAUCCUUCCCAGUUUAGAAAAAAGAAAUAUAAUUGUUGUUUUAUUUGCAAAAAGCGUGGACAUUUUGCCCGCAAUUGCCUAAAUAAGUCAGCAAAAACUGUUCGUCUCAUUCAGCAUCUGCAGCAAUCUUCCAUACUUUCUAACAAUGAAGAUGUUGAAUCCAUCUUCUCAGAACAGUCGGAGAAAGAUGAUCAUACAGCCUUCAUUCUUGCCGAAUCUAUAGAUUCAGAAACAGAUGAAAUUUCUGUGAUCUCCACUGUUCAAGAAAUUAACCAGAUCUGUUCCAAACUUACUGGUCCUUCGGUAAAAAUUUCAGUCAUCCCUUCUAAAUUCCAUAAACCUGUCUCAGUCAUUGGUUUCCUUGAUACUAGCGCACAACGCAGUAUGCUCAACCCUAAAGUCCUUCCUCUUGAUUAUUGGGAAAAAAUUUUUGAAACCUCCCUCAUUACCGAAAAACCCAUUGGUAUCCAGUUAUUUCCAAACUGUAUCAUUUAGCAAAAAAUCGUUGGUUCAGAUUUACCAGACAAAGAUCUCCUCAUAGGAUUUGACAUCCUCCAACUGGUAAAAAAUCUCUUCAUUACGCCAAUAGGAAUUAAAUUCAAACAAAUGUUUAUGCCUUAUACAAAUGUUCUCCGUCUGUAUACAUUGUCAAAAACAGCUCCCCCUUAUACCUCCAUUUCCCAAAAGUUCCUUGAACUUUGUCCUGAAAAUCACUCACAAUUUACUCAUCCAUCACCACUUUGGAAAAAUGCACAGUUUUUCAUCAAUCUUCCUUUCAAACUUAAUGAAGAUGUCAAUCCCACAAAAGCUACACAUCCAGGGAUGCCUCCAUCUGAUCUCUCUCUCGCCAAGCAAGAGUGCACUCAAUUGCUUCGGCAAGGCCUCAUAGAACCAACUACUUCAAAUUGGGCUUGUCAAGCUUUUUAUGUUGAAAAACGAUCUGAAUUGGUUCGUGGAAAAAAGAGAUUAGUUAUUGAUUACUAGCCACUUAAUGCUUUCCUUAAAGAUGAUAAAUUUCCUCUUCCAAAGAUCCAGUCACUCUUCAUUCAUUUUCAAGGUGCAAAGGUAUUUUCAAAGUUCGAUCUUAAAGCUGGUUUUUGGCAACUUGGCAUUUCUCCAGAAGACCAUUCCAAAAUAGCCUUCUGUAUCCCUGAUGCUUAUUAUCAGUGCACAGUCCUACCCUUCGGUCUCAAAGUUGCUCCCUCAUUAUUCCAAAAAGCAAUGGUUAAGAUCUUCUCUCUGAUCCUCCAUCAUGCUUUAAUCUACAUUGAUGAUAUCCUGUUGUUUUCCCACAACCACCAAACACAUCAGCAACUCCUUUUAGAUUUCCUGGAAAUCGUGCAGACACAUGGCAUCAUGCUUUCUGAAAAGAAAAGAAACAUAAGAAAGGAAUCUAUUGAUUUUCUUGGCAUGGUCUUAAAAGAUGGUCACUACCAUCCAGGAUCACACAUUGCCACAAAAUUAUUAAAGUUUCCAGACAUUGAUCUCAACAAAAAGCAAAUUCAACAGUUCCUUAGAAUUGUUAAUUAUAUCAGAGACUUUAUUCCACACUAGCCAGCUAUCAUGCAUGCUUAAAAGUACACUCCACCAUGGGGUUCGGCUCAGACAGAAGCUGUAAAACAGCUAAAAAAGAUAGCCCAAUCACCUCCUCCACUCAAAAUUCCCACUACAGGCCAACGCAUUCUCCAGACAGAUGCUAGUAAUGACUUUUGGAGUGUCAUCCUUCUGGAAACGAUAGGUGACUCAGAGUCCUAUUACGCUCAUGCAAGUGGACAGUUCAAAGAUUCAAAAAAGAAUUAUCACGUGAUUUACAAGGAAAUUCUUGCAAUAAAAUAUGGAAUCAAGAAAUUCAUCAGCCACAAUUUCCUUAUCAGAAUGGAUAACAGUUCUUUUCCAAAGAUCUUUGACUUUAAGAACAAAUUGCUUCAUGACAAGCAAUUACUCAAUUUAAAGACAUGGUUUACAAAGUAUGAUUUCACAGUCCAACACAUCAAAGUUGAUAAAAAUCUUAUCCCUGAUUUCCUCACCCAUCCAUCCAUAAAAAGCCCUGUUCUCAUCUCUUCCAUCACAACCAUCCCAAUUAUAGCCAUGAAUCGCUCACUCCCAUUCAAAGCUUUAACCCAAAAGGCUUUUCCUCUAAAUCUCACUUUCCGAUCAGCUUUCCAAAUGCAAGACUUUGCAAAGAAAUUCCUUUACAGGUAUUUCAUGAAUGUUCAUAGAACCAAACCAGAAAGGUUUCCCUCUUUAUGUUUAGAACACAUGUUCAUCACUGGCUUCACCAUUAUUCCAAGCCUCACAAUCUCUGAAGAUGAAUUAUGGUACAUGUGGUGUCUCACAGUCCUAUUUGCUAUAAAACUUAUUCUUCCUGUCCUCCCAACUCUUAGACAUAUCUCCACACCAGAUCAUGCACCCACACUUCUCUAGACGCUCCUUGAAUCGUUUUCACCUCUCACCUGGUGGCGUAAACAAUUGUAGAAUUUAUCUCACUUUUAUCAGUUAGAUAGGAUUCCCGAUCAAGAAGCAGAUAUGUUUACUUCGGUAUUCAUAGUUCACAGACCAUAUUUCCAACAUCCUAAAAUAAAAGACUACUGGACACAGGACAUGGCGUAUGAAUGGAAAACAUUCCCUCAUCAUUUCCCUCUUAAUCAUGAUCGAACAAUCAUCUCCACUCUCAAAGCCUAUUUGUUAGAACCUAACAAUAUCCAACCUGUCUCACCAAACAUUCACCAUACAUCCAUUGGUCCUUCCCACACUCUUGAAGUUAUACCAAGAACCCAGAUAUGUACUCCAGGAUCCAGUUCCAGUCCUCAUGGAAUUCUUGUUCGUGAACAACGACUUGACUACACCAAUGUUCUCUUCUAAGACGCUCAAGACCCUUGGGAAGACUUCCAAUCUUUAUUGCCAACACAAGAAACUCAGUACACUGUCAGUGAACCAGGUUCUUCGUCCACUACAACUCCAAGAAAAGACAUUCCCAAGUUAGAUGAAGACUAUCUGAUCCACCAAGAAAUUCAAAAAGCAAAAGAAGACUAUGAAAAUGAAACUGGUGACGUGUCUCCAUCCAUAUUUCCCUCAACUCCAUAAUAGCCUCACAUGGCUACAGAGUCGUCCAGGAAUCUUGGCUUUUCCUGCUUUCAAUAAAUGAUAGGGGUCUUGUACUGUCUACAAUGUGUUUCAGCUUUUUAUGCUUUUAAGAGUGAAUUAUUUUGUUUUGUCAUUUACUUUAAAGAUAGAUAAGGGUUCUGUCUUAUCUUAGCUUUCUAGCUCUAUUUAAGAGCUCUUUUGUCUUUGUAAAAUUCAGAUUGCCAUCAAUAAUAUUUCUAAGUUUGUCAUAAAACCUCUAUGGCUUACUAAGUUUGGCUUCUUCUUCUAGGUAACAAAGAAAAUACUUGAGUUAUUAAACUAAGAACGUUCAUCUCUAUUUUCUAUACUGAGUAUGCUCUACACUUGCCUUUCUUAAAGGAUCCUGUGUAUCAGAAAAGUCCUAAUUUAUUUAUAAAAUCGAUUUAAAAAUAAAACUGUUUUCUCACAAUGUUUCACCCUCUUUGAAGGUCAGAGGUGACUUGUUUUCGGGUGGUAUCAUGAUCAAUGGUUUUGCUUUUCGGAUUUUAUAUUUCAGGGAUUAUAGGUAUAUCAGCUGGAAACCAGAACUUGCGGACUACUAGUCCAAAGGACAGUCUAGCACUAUCAUAGUUUAGGUGUAACAACGCCACGUACCUCCCACACCUGGUAUCAGAGUGUUUUGGCGUCGUUGCCGCAGAAGUAAGUCAUUUUACUUUGUAGAGUUAAUUUCUUUGUAAAUGUUGUGUAAAUAAUUUUGUGUACAGGUUUUAAGUGUGUUUUCAUAGUAAGUGUGUAGCAGUGUGAUAAGGUCAGUAUCAUAACUUAUCCCCUCUCUCUUUAUUUUCAUCUGUUUUGUUUUUAAUUUUUACGUGUUCUUUACAUGCAUGGUCGAAGGUCAUAGUCACUUAAGUUUAAAUAGGCUAAUAGAAACCCAAGAUCCUAAAAGUUCACUUGGAAAUACUGGAACAACCCUCCAAGCAUAGGUUUGUCCAACUGCACAAACAACCAGUGAUGCACUGAUGAUUUUUACAAAUACAGACACAAUUCCAACCAUCAUCCUAGAACAUCCCACAAGAAAUGACCGUUGACUUUGUCAGGAUAUACUGGGUACCCUUCUAAGGAAAAUCCAUAGAUUGGAAGAUUUGACUCUUGGCCAGCCUUUUUACACUCCUUUUAAAUAGUCAACUUAUGACCAAUUCUUUGGUCUUUCCCAUCUCCAUUCCACCAAUCCAAAUAUUCCUGUAGUCCUUAGUAAGCCAUAGAGGUUUUAUGACAAACUUAGAAAUAUUAUUGAUGGCAGAGCUCUUAAAUAGAGUUGGAAAGCUAAGAUAAGACAGGACCCCUGUCAUUUAUUGAAAGCAAGAAAAGCCGAGAUUCCCGGAUGACUCUGUAGCCAUCUGAGGCUAUCAUGGAGUUGAGGGAAAUCUGGAUGGAGACACGUCACCGGUGUCAUUUUCAUAAUCGUCUUUUGCUUUUUGGAUCUCUUGGUAGAUGAGAUAGUCUUCAUCUAAUUCUGGGCUUGGUGGUCUUCGUGCUGGGGUUGGAGUGGAUGAAGAACCUGGUUUAGUGACAGUGUACUGAGUCUCUUGUGUUGGCAAUAAGGAUUGAAAGUCUUCCCAAGGGUCUUGGGCGUCUUGGAAGAGAACAUUGGUGUAGUCAGGUCGUUGUUCAUGAACAAGAAUUCCAUGAGGACUGGAGCUGGAUCCUGGAGUACAUAUCUGGGUGCUUGGUAUAAUUUCAAGAGUGUGGGAAGGACUAAUGGAUGUGUGGUGAAUGUUUGUUGGGACAGAUUGGACAUUGUUAAGUUUUAGCAAGUAGGCUUUGAGAGUGGAGAUGAUUGUAGGAUCAUGGUCAAGAGGAAAAGGAUGGGGGAAUGUUUUCCAUUCAUAUGCCAUGUCCUGUGUCCAGUAGUCUUGUGUUUGAGGGUGUUGGAAAUAUGGUAUGUGGACUAUAAAUACCGAAGUAAACAUAUCUGCUUCUUGAUCUGGAAUUCUAUCUAACUGAUGAAAAUUAGAUAAAUUCUGUAGUUGUUUACGCCACCAGGUGAGCGGUGAAAACCAUUCAAGGAGUUUCCAGAGAAGUGUGGGUGCAUGGUCUGGUGUGGAGAUAUGCCUAAGGGUUGGAAGGACAGGAAGAACAAGUUUUGUAGCAAAUAGAACUGUGAAACACCACAUGUACCAUAACUCAUCUUCAGAGAUGGUGAGGUUAGGAACAAUGGUGAAACCAAUGAGGAAUAGGUGUUCUAAACAUAAAGAGGGAAACCUUUCUGGUUUGGUUCGUGAACAUUCAAGAAAUACCUAUAAAGGAAUUUCUCUGCGAAGGUUUGGAUUUGAGAAUGAAUUUUAUAAGAGUUAAAGACAAAAGGAUGCAAGCUACUUUAAAUGCAUUAAUUAAAAAAAUGUGGACUGAAAAUGCAAUUCAAGAUGCAGGAGAUGAUAAAUUAGGCUCAGAGAGAAGACGAGGCAUUGUGGGCAUUAUUCAAGUUAUUGGACAACCAAAUAUAUAAUUUGGAUCAAAUGCAGAAAGGGAAAAUUAGAAAAAAAAUGGUAUUGAUUAAGUUGGAAUUCAUGUGCAAGUAUAAACAUUGGGAAGAUAAUUAAGUUAACUUUCUCCAAUGCAAUUUAUAGAGCUGGAUUUGGAGUUCUUUAGAAGAUGUUAUGACCAAUUUAUUACAACUUGUUCAGGCUUAGGAAUUCCAACCACCCCUUUGUUUAUUCAACUUCAUUUAAUUGUUAGGUUUCAAGUUUGUCAAUGUGUAAGGCAAGUCUAUCAUUAAUGAUGGUGGGCUAGCAUUAUUUAUGUAGGCUAGCAUUAAGUUUGUCAAUUACUAGCAUUAAUAAUGGUGGGGCGGUGAAGACUUUUGAAGCAUCAUUUGACAAACCUAUGCUUGUCUAGAGGUGGUAUCAUGGUUUAGUUCUCAAGUAUUAUUAUUCAACACCUAGAAGAAUCCUUAUUAAACAUGGCAUCUUCUUCUUCAACAGACAUACCUUCUUCUAAAUCCUCACCUAUUUCUCUCUCUUCUACUCUUUUUUUACCUCGUUCUGGUAAAAAACAUGUAGCCUCAAAGAUAGAAAAUCUUGUUGAGUACUCGUAUAUUCCUGAAUCUGCUCAAAUUAAUGAAUCCCAGUUCCCAGUUAUGAGUCCUUACCAUCUUUAUAAGCAAAAAUCUUCCUUCACUUGAAGUAUCAGAAUCCUGAUUUCAAUAAAAAGACCUCUUCCUAAAGAGUACAUCCAGUUUUCACGACUAGAUCAAUGUACUCUACAAGCCUCUCAAAGUAACAAUAAGUCACUAUGGAUAUACCAAUAGAUCUCGUAACCAACUGGAAACAAGAAGGGUAUGCACACCUCCAUCUAGGUGGUGUCAGGCUUAUCCUCACCUUACAUGGCAAAAAAGGCUUACCCGUCACAGCCUGAAUUGCUCUCCUUGACACAAGGUUCAAAUAGUAUCAACAUGCUGUUAUUGGAAUUGUUCUAACCACUCUCCAUGCUGAAAGUGUCUUGUUAACCUUCUACCCAAAUUUCAACAUGUCUCUAGAAGGCCCCAACCUUCCAACAACACUGAAAGUCCAAAUCCAACUUCAAGGAGCAGAACAAACAUCUACUUCCAAAAUAGCCACACUCCAUCAUCAAAUAGUAUAUCGAUUGCAAAAUCAUGCACUAGAUCUCCCAACUGCACAAACAACUAGUGAUGCACUGAUGAUUCUUGCAGAUACAGAUACAAUUCCAACCAUCAUCCAAAUUCCCAAACAAAUUCAAAAGCAAGAGUUACUUCAACUCAUGCCUUUAGAAUGGCUUACCAACUAUGAACAAUUCCAUCAGAAUUCAGAACCUGUCUAGACUUCUCAAGCUGUCUUUGAAAGACGAACAGACGGACAAGUUAAGUUGUCUUUUCAGACUCCAAAUAAAUCAAGUCCAGAUCCUCCACGGCUCUCCUAUAUUGCUAUGAUUACAGCAGUUUCUACUGGCCAAGAGUCAAAUCUUCCAAUCUAUGGAUUUUCCUCGGAAGGGUAUCCAGUAUAUCCUGACAAAGUCAACGGUCAUUUCUUAUGGGAUAUUCCAGAAGCCCAUAUGUGUAAUCCCGAUUGUCCCUACUUGGAUGACACAGAUGAUGACGAAGACUUUGAAAUCAUGAGAAGACAGAGAAGAAGAAAGAAAAAGCCUUCUAUUCCUACAACUCCGUGUAGGCCCUAUCCUUUAGGACCACCAAAUGAUCCGGAGUCAGACCAACCUUUACCAAUCUACAAAAAAGCACUCAGGCAGAUCAAAAGAGAGUCCUCAUCUAAGCAUGUCCCUAUCCAACCACAACUCAAGUCAUGCUUGAUGUUCUCAUCCUCUAGCCAAUCAUAUCAAGAAUCCUUUCCUCUACUCGAAAGACACACAGACCCCCAAACCAAAGUUGUUUCUCAACCUUAUGUCCAAUCACCGAUCACAACCUCUGGUGUACCAGAAGCACCAAAAUAGUAUGAGGCAGUGCUAAACUGGCAAACCCAAAAUGCUAGUGCUCAUAAUCAAGCUCUCCACCAUCUUGGUAAAAAGAUAGACAAAGUGGCAUCACAAGUGUCACAAACAGAAACAAAGGUGGACACCAUUACUGCUCGGCUUGAACAAAUUUAUUCAAAUCUGCAGAACAGAAUCUCUGAAUUGGAUAUCGAUCUUAGAACGAUGAUAAACAAUCAUAUUUGGGGUCCAGAAUUCAAUAAGAAAGAAGCAGAGAUUAGAAAGCUAAAGGCAGAAUUGGCCAAAAUUGAUGCUGACAAAGCACAACCUUCCCUUUUCAUAAAAACCCAAUCCAUACCUAUACUAGCACCACUAUUUACAUCUUAUUAGCCUUUUUACACUCCUUCUAAAUAGUCAACUUAUGAUCAAUUCUUUGGUCUUUCCCAUCUCCAUUCCACCAAUCCAAAUAUUCCUGCUAUCCCAUCGCCAAAGCCUACUUCAUCACAAGGAUCCAAAUCAAAAGUAAAAAUCUCCAAACCUCCACCCAAGGAAGAUCUUCAAGUUCCAGAAGACUCUCCUAAAGCAACUCCUGAACCUCCAAAGAAAGACAAAGCUCCGGCUUACCAAUACCAUUAUUAGCAUAUUGAUUCUCAAAAUAAUGACUCAGAUUCAAUUUCAGAAGAAAGUUUACCCUCCACAGAUAAUUUUCGUUCAUCUGAACAAACUUCUUCAGACUUAGAGUCUCAAUAUGCAGAUAUUUCUGGUCUUCUAAUGGCCACAAAACAGAAGAUCCUAGUACUUCUACUCCUGUUGUUGAUGAAUCUUCUGAUGACAAUAAUGAUGACCAAGGCUCACAAACAGAACCGGCCCCACCAGUUCCUGAAAAUUCUUCCAAACCAUCUUCUUCACCAUGGUUUACAUUUGAUGACAUCCCUCGUCACAAAUGGCAGGCUCGACAUCAAGAAUUUGCUGCAUGGAUUGAUGUGCAAAUGACAAGGCCCCAUGCGCAGUCCCAAAAUGUUCUCCGUGAGUUUUGUUCUAGAUUCACUAGCUCAUUACGAGAUUGGUUUGAAAGUCUAGGAGAAUACAGACAACUCCAGUUGAUUCAAACCACCAUUCCUAUAGCUCUUGCAGUCAUUUAUGAGUAGUUUAUUGGAGAACCAGCAGCAUCAACUGAAGCAUCUUGAAACGAAUAUCACCAGAUGAAAUGUUGUUCUCUUAAAUGACAUCACCUGGAAAUGCACCACAAAAGGAUGAGCAUGCUUUAUUACAAACUGAAUGGAUUCAAUGCUCCAUCAUUAAAGCAUGUCUUUGCUGCAUCUCUACCACCAGAGCUUCAGUCAGAGCUUCAAAGACAAUUGACAGCCUUUAAUCUCGACAUAGCAAAUGUCUCCCUUGGAAAAAUCUUUCAGCUAACCAUGCUAUGCCUUGAUAAGAUAUUUGAGCAAAAAGAUUUCUUCAAAGACCUUAUUGAACACAAAGAACCCUUUGCCUCCGCCUGUAAAAAACCUUAUCUCAAAAUCCAAUGCAAAGAUGAAAAAAAGUGCACUUGUCCAACCACAAAAAAGAAGCACUUCCCGAAACAUUUCCACAAAUCCUCUUCCAAAAAACCAAAGAAGCCUUACAGGUACUUUAGAAAAAAGGAUCCUUCCCAGUUUAGAAAGAAGAAAUACAAUCGCUGCUUUAUUUGCAAAAAGCGUGGACAUUUUGCCCGCAAUUGCCCAAAUAAGUCAGCCAAAGUUGUUCGUCUCAUUCAACACCUGCAGCAAUCUUCCAUACUUUCUGACAAUGAAGAUGUUGAAUCCAUCUUCUCAGAACAGUCAGAGAAAGAUGAUCAUACAGCCUUCAUCCUUGCUGAUUCAACAGAUUUAGAUCCAGAUGACAUUUAUGUGAUCUCCACUAUUCAAGAGAUUAACCACAUUCGUCCCAAACUUACUGGUCCUUCAGUAAAAAUUUCAGUCAUCCCUUCUAAAUUUCAUAAACCAGUCUCAGUCAUUGGUUUCCUUGAUACUGGCGCACAACGCAGUAUGCUCAACCCUAAAGUCCUUCCUUUUGAUUAUUGGGAAAACCAUACUGAAUACUUUAGAGCUGCAAAUGGAAAAUUUUUUGAAACCUCUCUCAUUACCAAAAAACCCAUUGGUAUCCAGUUAUUUCCAAACUGUAUCAUUUGGCAAAAAAUCGUUGGUUCAUAUUUACCAGACAAAGACCUCCUCAUAGGAUUUGAUAUCCUCCAACUGGUGAAAAAUCUCUUCAUUACACCAACAGGCAUAAAAUUCAAGCAAAUGUUUAUGCCUUAUACAGAUGUUCUCCGUCUGUAUACAUUGUCAGAUACAACUCCUCCUUAUACCUCCAUUUCCCAAAAGUUCCUUGAACUUUGUCCUGAAAAUCACUCACAAUUCACUCAUCCAUCACCGCUUUGGAAAAAUGAACAAUUUUUCAUCCAUCUUCCUUUCAAACUGAAUGAAGAUGUCAAUCCUACAAAAGCUACACAUCCAGGGAUGCCUCCAUCUGAUCUCUCUCUCGCCAAAUAAGAAUGCACUCAAUUGCUUCAGCAAGGUCUCAUAGAACCUACUACUUCAAAUUGGGCUUGUCAAGCUUUCUAUGUUGAGAAACGAUUUGAAUUAGUUCGUGGAAAAAAAAUAUUAGUUAUUGAUUACCAGCCACUUAAUGCUUUCCUUAAAAAUGAUAAAUUUCCUCUUCCAAAGAUCUAGUCCUUAUUCAUUCAUCUUCAAGGUGCAAAGGUAUUUUCAAAGUUUGAUCUUAAAGCUGGUUUUUGGCAACUUGGCGUUUCUCCAGAAGACCAUCCCAAAACAGCCUUCUAUAUCCCUGAUGGUAGGAUUAAAGCAUGAUGGAGGAUCGGAGAGAAGAUCUUAAUCUACAUUGAGGAUAUCUUGUUGUUUUCCCACAACCACCAAACCCAUCAACAACUCCUUUCAGAUUUCCUAGAAAUCGUGCAGACAUAUGGCAUCAUGCUUUCUGAAAAGAAAAGCAACAUAGGAAAAGAAUCUAUUGAAUUUCUUGGCAUGGUCUUAAAAGAUGGCCACUACCAACCAGGACCACACAUUGUAGUAGAAUUAUUAAAGUUUCCAGACUCUGACCUCACCAAAAAGCAAAUUCAACAGUUCCUUGGAAUUGUUAAUUAUGUCAGAGACUUUAUUCCAAAAGUUGCGGUCCACACCAGCCAGCUAUCAUGCAUGCUUAAAAAGAACACUCCACCAUGGGGUUCGGCUCAGACAGAAGCUAUCAAGUAGUUGAAAAAGAUAGCCCAGUCACCUCCUUCACUCAAAAUUCCCACUAUAGGCCAAUGCAUUCUCUAGACAGAUGCUAGUGAUGACUUUUGGAGUGCCAUCCUUCUAGAAAAGAUAGGUGACUCAGAGUCCUAUUGCGCUCAUGCAAGUGGACAGUUCAAAGAUUCAGAAAAGAAUUAUCACGUGAUCUACAAGGAAAUUCUUGCGGUCAAAUAUGGAAUCAAGAAAUUUGAAUUUCAUCUCAUCAGCCACAAUUUUCUUAUCAGAAUGGACAACAGUUCUUUUCCAAAGAUCUUUGACUUAAAAAACAAAUUGCUUCCCGACAAGUAAUUACUCAACCUAAAGACAUGGUUUGCAAAGUAUGAUUUCACAGUCCAACACAUCAAAGGUGAUAAAAACCUUAUCCCUGAUUUUCUCACCCGACCAUCUAUAAAAAGCCCUGUUCUCAUCUCUUCUAUUAAAACCAUCCCAAUCAUAGCCAUGUAUCGAUCACUUCCCUUCAAAGCUCUCACCCAAAAAGCUUUCCCUCUAAACCUCACUUUCCGAUUAGCUUUUCAAUGGAAAUGAAUAACUAAAAUUCUUUUCUUGUGUUAAUUUCCUCUCAAUUGAGAUUCUUUAAACUAGGAGCACUAAUAUUAAUUCUUUCAUAAUUUUGGCUUAAAAUUUGAGAUUGAUGCAGCUUGAGUUGAGAAUUUAGAUUCAAUAAAUGAUUGUUUAUCUUGAUUCUUAUCUCGAUAAUACAAUGUAGUAUACACAUGCAUCAUAGUCAGAAAUAACUACUUAUCCCUUAAGAGUAAAGCUAUCUUUGAGUAAUUUGGGCAUAUAUACCACUAGUACGUAGAGGAUAAUCUACCAUGAGAAGAAAGCUACAUUAAGGGGUAGAGUGAAAGCUCUUGACUAUGGAUAUUUAUAAAAAUAAAAUAAAAAUCAAUCAAGUGCGUGUGGUAAAAGGAAAAAUCAAAAGAAAAUGCACAUAAAUGCUUAUGAGAAAAAGAAAAAAAAAUUAGAGAUCAAGAUGAUAAGAUUAUUUGACCUACUUUUGUCUUGUUCAAGGCAAAGGCUAGUGAUAUUAAAGAUUUUGGGAAUAGAUUUUGAUUGAAUUGAUUCACACACACACCACAAGAAUCAAAAGAGAGAUGGGAUUGACUAUUGAAUUAAAGUUAGAACUUCGACAAUAUUUGAAAUUUUCUUUGAGCUAUAUGACUUAUGAUGCAAUCUUUGAGACUAGUUUUCUGUUUUAUUUUCCUUUUGUCCUUUUUAUACUAUUUAAAUUAAAAAAUGAUGUUUGUGGAUAUCAUCACUUAAACCCUCACGAGAUUUUAACUCGUUCACUAAGGCCUCCUAGGUGUAACACUCCAUUUUUUUAAAAAAAUAAUAAUUUAUUUUGGAAAUAUUUAAAACCUCAUUACACAUUACUAGUUUAAUAUAAAUACAAAUUCCUUACAAAACUUCCUUUAUUAUUCAGAGCCAUCACCCAGUUUUCUUACCAAAGUGGUAUGAUAGAAGUUUUCUUUAUGAUCCAAUUUUUCUUAGAGCCUUCAGAAACAGAGAGAAUUCUUUCUUUAUGGCGUCAACCUCCUCCAACGAAGCUUCUCUUUCUUCUCUUAUCACUCCCAUUUCCCUUUCUUCUACACUCUCUUUACCCAAAUCUUGCUCCAAACACACUGCUAGUAAAAUCGAAAAUUUAGUUGAAUAUUCCUAUAUCCCUGAAUCUGCUCAGAUCAAUGAAUCUUCUUUUCCUCUUCUUAGUCCUUAUCAUCUCUAUAAACGUCCACACUCCUUUACUCGCAGUAUCUGCACUCUUAUUUCCACCAAAAGACCCAAUCCAAAAGAAUAUAUCCAGUCAUCUCGAUUGGAUCAAUGUUCCCUUCAGGCUACCACAGCUGAACAAUAUGUCACUCUGGAAAUUCCCCCGGACUUGAUUUCCAACCAGAAAAGAGAAGGUUAUACUCAUCUCCAUAUCGAAGGUGUCAGACUCAUCUUAACCUUACAUGGUAGGAAAGGAUUGCCAGUCACAGCCCGAAUUGCUAUGCUGGAUACUCAGUUCACACAUUACCAAGAUGCUGUUAUUGGUACUGUCUUAACCACUCUUCAUGCUGGAAGUGUUUUACUCACUUUCUAUCCAAAUUUCAACCUUUCUCUUCAAGACCCUAAUCUCUCCACUGCUCUGCAAGUCCAAGGGCAAAUUCAAGGUGCAGAACAAAUCUCUUCUGCAAAAAUUGCAGAAGAGACAUAUAGAGAUUCCUUAGUAUAUUACUCAAAAACUUUAUUAUUACUAAAGCUAAGAUAUUUAUUUAUUUUUUAUUUUUUAUGCACUUUGCCUUGGUUGGGGUUUGACGCUAGCUUGCCCUACUCAUCAUUACCUACAAUGUAAGGACUUUAUGAACUAAUGCUCAGUACGAUAACACUUUAUACACCAUAUUAAGUUUUUUAAAAGAAACUUAGAAAAUACAAAACAACUUCGCUAGGGCCCUAGGUAUGUUGCACUACAAGGCUAGCACUUUUAUUCUUUAAACAAUAUGCCCUUGGGCCUGAUUAGUUGAUCUUUUGGGCAUUACAUAUCAUUGUCCCCAAAAGAUUUCCUUUUACUAAGCUUGGAGGGCUUGCCCUCUUUGGGAACUUUACCACCUUGUAGUACAACCACCCAUUUUUCAUAAAUUCAUUUUCUGAAACGUCUUCUUCAAAAAGUAAUCCAUGAAAUGCAUGCGUCCAAUGCAACUUAUGUCACAACACUAUUCAAGGACAACAAUCUUUAAUAUAGGCGGCAAUGUUGUCCAUACAGAGAUUAAACAAAAUGGAAUUAUAGUAUAGGCGACAGAGCCGACCAUAACAUAAUUAAGUAUCAUAGAUUAGGCUGCAUAACCAACCAUAUAAGGAUAAGUAAGAAAUUACUAUAAUAUAGGCGGCAUAGCUGUCCAUGUAAAAAUCUAGAUCAUAACCAAUCACAUCAUAAUAGUCAUCACAAGAUUAAGAAUUAAUUAAUGCUGAAGUUAAGUAUAAAAAGAAUUUUGUCCCUACAUUGCAGUUGAAGUGUUACUUACCUCUUGACCUUGACUUCUUUAGAUAUUUCUAAAUUGAGGAUUUCUCUACUCUUGAUGUUAUGACUUAGAAUAGAAGAGGGUAAAAUUUCUAGGUUGCAUUGAAAAUGAAAGGAGCUUAUGGCUAAUGGAUGACUAGGAUUUCGCCACCAUAACUCUUGAUCAAUGGUUGAGAUUAUCCUUCAUAAAUACCUUACUAAAUUCUAGAAUUCUUAACUCUCUCUACAAACUUCUCGUACAUCGUCACUUAUGUCAUUGCUUAUGUCAUCAUUACUUAUGUAAUUGCUUAUGUCAUCUUUACUUAGAAUUAAAUAUUUUAUAUUAUUAUUAUUAUCAUUAAAGUAAAUUCUAUUAUAUUUAAGUAAGAAAAUUGUACCUCACACUAGGGGCUUAUAGGCUUGUUGCAUAUGCUAAGUGCAAUAUGAUUUCCUGCGAAAGUGGACUAGCUUAAGUUUUCUUUUCUUUCUUUUCUCUCUGUUUUAGGUUUGCUCAAAGAUGUCCAAAGGUUAAGUGUGGGGUAAUUUGAUAAGUGCUUAUUUUCUCUAUAGUUUACUACUAAUUUCUCUAUCCUUUUCUCGUUUUGGUCUUAAAAAUUAUACUUAUUUUAGUUAAUUUUUAGUUUAGUUAUUUUAUUGAAUUAUAUUUUAUUAUGCUAAUUUUUGUCUUAAUUUUUUAUAUUUUAUUAUUGUAGAUUUAAUCCUGAAUUUAAUAUUUGCUAGUCACUUUUUAUUUUAAUUUUUAAUUAUAUUAUUAAACAGGGAAUUAAUUGGAGAUUAUGGAUAGAAAGGCAUGAAGAAGUUUAAUUUUGGAAGCAAUCAAGAUUAAAUUGGAAAUCAAUUGAAAGAAAAGGAAAAUUAAAGUUAAGAACCCGUAGCCAACAAGAAUUCGAAGACCAAAAUUGGGAGGCAAUUCCUCAAGUUUCGAAUGGACAUGCAUUUUUGGAAAAUAGACAAUUUACUUCGGCAAUUGCAUGUGCACAGCAAAAUUAAAAAAAAAAUCCUAAUGCAUCAUGGUCAUUUCACAAUGAACGAGAAAUCAAACGGUAAAACGGACAUCACUUUUGAACUCAGGAUAGUCGAAAACCUUAGGAGGAGCACAAAAGGAAAAAUGUCACUGUUCACAUGUACAACACUAUUCACAUAUACGGAACGAUGACGUGGCAUUGACCGAUGACGUGGCAUUGACUGAUGAGGUGUCAUGAUUCUAUUGGACAAAAUUCUUAUACACUGUUGAUCGGUGACAUGGCAACAUGUUAGUGGACCAAAAAUCGCGCGUACGGUACAUGCAUAUACACAGGAUUUUUUUCAACCAAACCGUGUCACUGUUCAGGCCGGUUGACUGUUCAAACCGCGUGGUCAAACUGUGUCACUAUUCAAACCACGUGGACAAACCGCGUACUGUUGACUGAUGACGUGGCGCAAUCCUGAGCGUCCAAACUGUUUUUAAUCCGAUGGCCAUGAUUUACUCAAUGUAUAUAUAAAAAGGGGGCCUCCCCCCUAAUUUGGCAUCUCUGAAUCUAUUUUUGGACUCCAUUUUUCUGUAAUUCCUUCUACAUCUUGUAUUUUCUAUGUAUUUUAAUAAAUUUCCAUUUUACCCCUAGUUCAAUUAUGAGUAGCUAAUUUUCUUUCAAGCUUGGGUUGAAGGUGAAGUCUCAACAUUUGCCAUGGGCUUUAUUUGGUAAAUUUAUUUUCUCUUCCUCUAAUUUUUGUGGAUGUUUUGACUUUUCGUUGAUAAAUAAUAAUAAUCUUGUCUAGAUACCGCCCUGGUUUCACUGGCUCCCUAGUACAAGGUUAUUAUUAUUUGGCACAAUAAGCCCUUAGCACCAUAUUGAUUAGAGUGUGGUUCAUGAGGUGUGGAUUCCCCCCUCAUGAUCUAAUUGACACUAAUAAGGAAUAUUUAGCCCAUGGUGCAUGUUGAUGCGGAUCCAGAUACCCAAGCGCUUCAAUUAUAAUAGUUUUCACUUUAAUUUAAUUCCGCCAUUCCCAUUUAAAUUUUAGAAUACUCCAAAUCAUUUUCACCACAAAACCAUCCACCCACAUAGAAAAUUAAUUCUACGCACAAUUAAAAUCCACCUCCUCGUGGGAUCAACACUCGUCACCAUUAAUCUAUUCUACAAUAGAUUCGUGCGCUUGCAAGUUCAAUAAAAUUUGUACAACACCAACCAUCAUCAUGCAAUUCAGAAAAACAUUUAUCAUGGGUAGAUGCACACCAUAUGUCAAUGAUAUAAACAUUACCAUUGACAAAUUUUUGCUAUCACGUGCAUUCUCAAUAACACAUCUAGUUUUAUCAAAAAUAAUUUUAUAACCCUUGUAGACUAAUGCUAAUCAAGUUGUGUUUCAAAAUUUCAACCAAACAUACAUUUUCAAUUAGAGUUAAGGAAACUUUACUGAUAUUACCAAUUCCGAGAAUCUUUCCCUUUGAAUUGUCUCCAAAGGAAACAUCUCCACCAUUUUCAAUUUUGGUAAAACUUGAAAACCAUGUAUAGUUUCCGGUCAUAUGCCUUGAACAACCACUAUCCAAGUACCAUUUAUUCUUCUUCUUCUUCUUCAAACCCUACAGAGGAAAUCUCAAGUCUUAGCUACCCAAACCUUUUUGGGUCCUUGAUUGUUAGCAAUGGUUCUUUUUGGAACCCAAACACAUUUUACUUCAUAAUAUGUAUUUCUUUUAACUGGACAUUCAAGCUUCAUGUGACCAUCUUGAUUGCAAUGGUAACAUACAACUUGAUUGUUAAUGGAGUACUCUUCACAAAGUAGUUCUUAUAAUACUUUUGUUUCAAAUUUGGCUUAUAGCCAAUAACUCCUUUGGUUGUUUGUGCAGUUGGGAGAUCUAGCGCAUGAUUUUGCAACUUGAAGUAUUAGAACCCUGAUUUCCACAAAAAGAGAAGAAAUUUAUCAUCUUUAAGGAAAGCAUUAAGUGGCUGGUAAUCAAUAACUAAAAACUGUUCAUUUUUCCAAAGUGGUGAUGGAUGAGUAAAUUGUGAGUGAUUGUCAGGACAAAGUUCAAGGAACUUUUGGGAAAUGGAGGUAUAAGGAGAUGCUUCAGUUGAUGCUGCUGGUUCUCCAAUAAUUCACACAUUUUUUUGUGAAUUAAGCAAGUUAUCUAACAUUUUUUACCCAUUUGUAAAUUUUAACACAACAUCACUAAGUUAUAUAUUCUUUUUCUUGAGCAUCUCAUUUUCCUUUUUCAAAUCAUCUACAUGUGAUUCUAUAUGUUCAUGUGAAUUGCUAGGUUUCUCAUUUGAUAAUACAACUCUAUCAUGCAAUGCUUUAUUUUCUAAUUCUAGGCAUCUAAUCUUUGCAUUUAGAGAUUCAUUUUCAUUUGUGAUCUUUACUAUUUUCUUUUUAAGACAUGCAUUCUUUUUACCAAUUUUCAUCUAAUCAUCAUGUAAUUCCUUAAAAGUAUCAUAUAAUUCAUCAUAAGUAGGAUCACUUACCUCAUCAAGUUCGUGCAACUAUUCAUUUCCAAUUGCCAUGAGAGCUAGAUUUGAUGAAAAUUGUUUCCUCAUCAUUGUCAUCCCAUAUGGCUACCAUUGCCUUUUUCUUGAGUUUGUUGAGGAGAGGACACUCUGAUCGUAUGUGUCUAGGCUUCUUGCACUCAUAACAAGUGAUUGGCUCCUCCUUCUCCUUUUGGUUCUUGUAGUUCCGGAAUCUUUUUCGCUCAUUAGUUUUCCUCAUCACUCUCAUGCUUAAAUGCUUUGAGUGCAACACUUUUCUUCUUCUUUUCCUCAUUGCCUUUUUUCACUGCCAAAUCUUUCUCAUAAGAAAUAAGAGAACCAAUUAAAUCAUCAAUAGGCAAAGUGUUUAAAUCUUAAGCUUCCUCUAUGGCAAAGACCUAAUAAUUUUUUUUAACUUUUUCGUUAUUUGAAAACGUUUUUCCUAGGGCUCCUAAUGUGUUCACAAUAUCUAUGAACCUGUAUACAUAGAAUACACACUCUCAUUUUAUUCCAUUUGGAACAAUUCAUAUUGUCGAGUAUAUCUACUAAUCUUAGACUCUUUAACUUGAUUUGUCCCUUCUUAGACAACUUCAAGUUUGUUCCAUAUUUCAUGAGCACUCUCACAACUAGACACUCUAUGAAAUUCUUUCUUAUCAAGAGCAAAAAACAAAGCAUUCAUUGCCUUGGCGUUUAAAGAUAUCUUUUUCUUUUCUAAUUCACUUUAUUGACUUGAAGGUUUUGGAAUAUCAUCUCCUACUUCAUUUUUAGUCAAAAUGGACCAUCACAAACAACUGGAUAGUCAUUUCCAUCAAAAAAUAUAGGUCUAGUGGUUGAUUGAUCUUCCUUAAAUGUGGAAUCAUUUUGAGUUGCCAUUGAUCUUUAACUCUAGAUGGUUAAGUCUAAACAAGAGCACCUCACUCUGAUACCAAAUGAAAUAUUAACUAGGCAACCUAAGAGGGGGGUGAAUUGGGUUUCUAAAAAUUUAAGCAACAAAGAAACUUAAUGCAAUUUAAACAAAGUAAUCAAAUUCAAAAUAAACAAAUUUAUGUGCAAUGAAAAAUGAAGAGAUAGCAUAAAGAAAGCAAACACGCUAGUUUUACGUAAUUCGACCAAUCGUGGCUACGUCCACGCCUCUAAGCUCACCGGGCUUGAAGAUUUCACUAAGCAAGCCUCCAAAGCUUCAACAACUCUUACAAUUGACUUCUAAGGUAUCAAUACACCUUUACAACAAUAGAUUAUCCCCAAUCUCUUAACUCAAGUGUAUCCCAACACUUACAAUCACUCACAAAUAAAGAUUACAAAAGAAUUUUCUCUCACACAAUGUACUCAAAGUGUGAAUGAAUGAAACAAGAACAAGUUUAAGGCUUAAUGAUGGUUGUAUUUUCAGUAGCAAGCUCAAUGAUAACUCUUGGAUCACUUCUUAUUUGAAUUUGAUUGAGCCAUUUUAUAGUUGGAGCUGAAAACUAGUCGUUGUUGACUUUCUGAACAAAAUCAUAUUGCCAUUAACUACUGUCGGUUAACCGUUUUGACUAUUCCAAAUGACCGUUGGGCUGAAAUUUCAAAUAAUCGAUUAACCGUUUGGAAUUAUUGGUUAGCUGUUAACUUCUAGAAUCCUACAAAACAAGUUUGGCUUGACCGUUCUUGCUAAACGGUUCACAGUUAGACUAUUCCAAAUGACCAUUGGGAUAAAAUUUCAAAUAAUCGGUUAACUAUUUAGAAUUAUUGGUUAGCUGUUAACUUCUAGAAUCCUACAAAACAAGUUUGGCUUGACCAUUCUUGCUAAACAGUUCACGGUUAGACUGUAAUUCCAUUCUGGAAAUUAGCAAUUAGUCGUUUGCUAUUAUCAGUUAGCCGUUUAUUUCCAUAAACUUGUAAAACAAAUUGUACUUAAUCGUUCUUGCUAAACGGUUCACGGUUAGAAACCAAUACCUCUUUGGAAAUUAUCGAUUAACCAUUUUCAUUAAACGAUUCACCGUUAUUGAUGAGAUUAAGGAUAAAACUAUCACAAGCAUGUGGGAAGAGGCAUAUUCAGAUCCCAUUCAAGUUUUCGUCGGACCCGUUACAAGAGCUCGAGCAAAGAAAUUCAAAGAAGCGCUUAAUGGAUUUUGAUUCAAGCAACUUGGGCUCAAUUAAAUUCAUGGAGGCCCGUUGAAGGAAUCGCACAUGAUAAAUGCAUGAUUCAGGCUCUUGAAGUUUUCAAAUAAUCACUUCCAUGAAAUAGGGAGUUGGCUGCACAUUAUACUUUCCCUUUUCUUGAGGAGGCUAUUAGGGAAGCAAAUCAAUUAUUUCUAUUUUAAUUUCCUAAUUUCCAUUUUAAUUGAUGUAAGGCAUUUAAGCCAAUUAGGAUUCUGAUUUGAUUUAGAUUCUUUUCUAUUAGCUUAUAUUAGGAUUCUUAUUUGAUUUAGAUUCUUUCCUAGUUGUUUAGAUUUAGAUUUAGAUUUAGAUUUGAUUUUUGGUAUAGGAUUUAUUUCCAAAAAUUCUUGUAACCAACCCUAUAUAAUGUACUUGUAUCCAAUAAACAUAGAUAAGUUUUUUAUGCAAUUGGUGAGAGAGUUAAUUCUCUUUGGUUCUUUACCAACUUUUUGAACUUACCAGUUUUCUGUGGCGUUCAAACUCUUUACUUAUCAAUCAGACCAUCCAUAGGUGAUUGUGGCGUCUUCACAUACCAAGGUUCGUACUUUCAAUAAGCAUUGGGUCAAGGUUCCAAUCAAUUCUUGGUUUAGAUUCGAUCUUGGGGACUAAAUUGAUUAGGGUCGCGUUAGUUCUUGACGGGGUUCGUAUUGGUUGUUUUCUAGAAUCAGUAUUUUUACAGAUUUUUGUAGAGAAUGGUUUUCUGAUUAAAGUUAACAAUCAUCCAAAAUCAUAAACAUGUCUAGAAAUAUUAUAUGGUUUUCUAUUAAUGAAAGUUCCAAUAUUUUUCAUCAAAAAUAUAUAAAGUUUGUUAUAAACACAUACACAUUAACACUUAAAUUGCAAAAUUUUGGAAUUAUCUAACAAUUAUCUCAAAUAAUAAAUGGGUAAGUCCAACACAAGUAGUACCAUAGGAAUCUGUGAUAAUUAUUAAAAAAUGAAAAAGGUGAGCUAAUUCCAACACAAAUCCCAUCUAGUUGACACAUGUUCAUUGACUGUGAAAAAUUAAAUAACACCGCCAGUAAGGACCUUUUUCUCCUUCUAUUAUCAGAAAAAAAUCUUGAGCGAAUAGCAUAACACCUCCUACCAUUGUUUUAUGGACAACAACUCAAGUUAAUCUUACAUUAGGUUAAUCUCAAAUUUCUAUAGGCUUAGAAGACCAAGAAAAGAUCACAUUCACAUGCCAUUUGGAACAUUGUCAUUUAAGAGAAUGCUUUUUGGAAUUUGUAAUGCUCCUAUAACAUUUCAGAUUUGCAUCAUAAGCAUUUUCUAUGACGUGGUUGAAAAUUGUUUUGAGAUCUUUAUGGAUAAAGUGUCCUAGAAACAUGUGAAGAAAAAUGACUUGUUUUAAUUUGAAAAAAUGUCAUUUCAUGACCUCUUCUACAAAUUUCUUUGGUCAUGUCAUGUUUUCUAAUGGAAAAUUGAAGCCAGUAAAGCCAAAGUCAAAGUCAUCUCAACACUUUCUUCACCAAAGAUAAUUAGGGAUGUCUGCUCUUUUUGGGACAUUUCAGAUUUUGUAGGAGGUUUAUAAAAGACUUUAGUGCCAUAUCCGAACCACUUUCUAACGUCUUGAUAAAAGAUGCAUCAUUCAAGUAAAUUGAUGAUUUUUAGAAAGAUUUUGAAAAGGUAAUUAGUCUUUUAACACAGGCCUCUAUAAUGCAAUCCUAUGAUUGGUCUUUACCUUUUAAACUAAUGUGCGAUGCUAGUAAUUAUGUUGUUGGAGUCAUUUUUAGAUAAAGAAAUUUCUUAAGCCCUUUGUUAUUUGUUACGCAAAUAGAACUCUUAACAAUGCCUAAAUGAAUUACAUCACUAUUGAAAAAGAAUUACUUGUUGUAAUAUUUAUAUUGGAUAAAUUUCGAUCAUAUUUAAUUGGUUCAUCCUGUUGUUAGAUAUUUAAUGUGUAAACAAGAUGGCAAGCCAAGAUUUAUACUAUGGAUUUGGCUAAAAAUUCAACCUCACAAUCAAGGAGUAUACCACCUAUCUGGAUUAUCCGUCUGGAGUAUUCGGUUGCCAUCUGUGAUGAGCUUUAAUGGUGGCGGAUUUUGAGCAAUCUUUUUUAAAGUGGUGACAGCAAGUGUGUGGUUGUCGUUCCACUCUGGUGGUUUCUUUUUCAAUAAAGCAGAAAGCUGACCUGUAUGGUGGUCGACAUGUGGAAGAAAGUCCCUGAUAUAAUUGAUGAUACCAAGGAAUUGCUGUAUCUGAAAUGGAAAGUGGAGCAAUUCUUGGGCUAUGUGCUUUCCUGGCUGGUAGUGGCCGUCUUUGAUAAUCAUUCCAAGGAAUUCAAUAUUAUCCUGUUGCAAUGGUGCUUUUCUUGGCUAAUAACAUAAUCCCGUGAGUCUGGAUGAUAUCAAAAAAUUGAUUUAAUAAUUGGCGAUGUUCUUCAUGUGUGCCUGAAAACAACAAAAUAUCGUCAAUAUAAAUCAAUGCAUGAUGCAGGAUGGGUUGAAAGAUUCGGACCUUGGCUUUUUGAAAAAUGGAGAGAGCAGUUUUCAAAUCGAAGGGUAAAACUGUCCAUUGAUAGUGAGCAUUAGGGAUGCAAAAAGUGGUUUUGUAUCUUUCUGAGGGUUCAAUGCUAAUUUGCCCAAAAACCUGACUUGAGGUCAAAAUUGAAAAAAAUUUGGGCAUUUUUUAGAUAAGUGAAGAUGCUUUGUCUCUUUGGUAAAGGAAACUUAUCAUCUUGUAAGAACAUGUUUAAGGGUUGAUAGUCAAUGACUAAUCGCUUUUUCCCCCUAACAAGUUCAGUACGUUUUUCAACGUAAAACGCCUGACAAGCCCAUUGAGAGUUUGUGGGCUCGAUAAGUCCUUGGGCCAAGAGUUGGGAACAUUCCUUUUGGGCUAAAGUUAAGUCAGAUGGGCUCAUUCCAGGAUGAGUAGCCUUAGUAGGAUUGAUGUCUUCAUUCAGUUUGAAAGGUAAUUCAGAAUGGGACUCUGGAUAGUAUUUCAGAAGUUGGGUUGAAAUGUCUUUGUAGGACUGUGGGGAAUCAGUCAAACUGUAAAGUUUGAGAAUGGUUGUGUAGGGUUUGAACAUGGUUUUGACUCUUAUUCCGGAGGAAAGGAUUUGAAGGUGUUUGAUCUGGUGAAUGAUAUCAAAUCCUAACAAGAUAUCCUUGUCAGGAAGUUUUGAACCAAUGACUCUUGUCCAGAUAACACAGUUUGGGAAAAUCUGAAUACCAAAAUGUGUGGCAGAGAAUACGUGGCGUUGUUAUACCAGAACUACAACAGUUAAAACUGUACUUUGGACCAGUAGUCCUCAAGUUCGGGUUUCCAGCCAAUAUACCUCUGACAGACACUCCUUUGUCUUAAAACCGGGUACCAAACUAGAUAAGAAAUUAUCAAAAAUUUUCUAAUGCACAGGAUCCUUGCAAGAGGCAAGUGCAGAGCAUACUUCCUUGAGUUUCAAAAUGAACAGAUUUAUCUUCUUUAUUUUCUAUCUCAGAGCUUCAUUGAUAGAGAGAGAGAGAGAAUUUAGAAACUCAUAGCUAAAGAAAACAUUCUUUUAUUUUCUGCCAAGCUUACCAACAAAAUGGAGCAGUAGCUCCAGCUCCACCAAGACAACCAUUUCAUCAAGCUCUUUAAGCUCAUUAGCCACCAUUUAGACAGUAUAAUUAGAAUUAGAACUACUCACAACCCAGAUCAUGGGAAAAGUCACUCUAGAAUUUCAAAAGUUUGACUCACUUUCUGAUGGAACAAUAAAAUCGCACCAUUGACGAGCUGAAAAUGAGAUGAGAGCUAUCAUCAAUUCACAAGCCUAAUUGAUCUCAAACCUAAAAAAGAAGGUGGGUUAGUUUAAACCUUGGCAAUGACCAUUGAGAAAGGUAAAUUUCCAAGCCAACUAGUGCCCAAUCCUAAGGAAGUACAUGAAGUUUGUACGAGUUCACCCCAGCAGCAUGAAGAGAUCAAAGCCAUUAUGACCCUGUGAAAAGGCAAAGAAAUCAACAACAAAAUGCCAGUGAAAAAGAAAACUCAAGUUGCACCUUUAGACUUUGAGGAAUUAUCACCAAAGUCCCAUUCUCUCUGAGGUUAACUAAAGCAAAGAAGGAAAAUUCCACAAGUGAGAUUCUAAAGAUCUUUAAAUAGGUACAUGUUAACAUCCCUUUGCUUGAUGUUAUAAAACAAGUGCCCUCUUAUCUCAAGUUUCUUAAAGACCUUUGCACUAAAGAAGGCAUUUUUAAUGGAGAACAUUAGUUCCAUACAUUCAAUGUAGGACUAGAAAUGUGCAGUUGUCCUUUGGCAAUAUGACUAUAGAGUUGAAUAUUUUUAACAUUGUCAAACAAUCUUAAAAUAGAGACGAUGGAAUUAUUUAUGUUGAUUUAAUCAAAGAAUUAGGUUAUUAUACUUUUCCAUCUAACUUUAGUGAUGAUCAUUUCCAAACAUGUUUAAUUUACUUUGGUUUGAAUUUUAAUAUUGACAGAUCACUUGACAAGGUCAAUGCCUUACUCGAUUCAUCACCACCCAUGGAUACCAACAAAUGGAAGUCAAGAAUAGAGCAACUGGCACCAUCAGGGAAUAAACUCAGCCCAUUAUUGGAAUCACCAUCGAAGCUUGAGCUCAAACUGUUAACUGACACUUUGGAAUAUGCAUUCUUGGGAGAAUAAAACACUUUGACAGUAAUCAUCCCAUCUUCUCUUGAUGACAAGCAAAAGAGUAAGUUGUUGGGUAUCUUAAGAGAGCAUGAAGAGGCAUUAAGAUGGACCAUCACCAACAUAAAAGGUAUAAACCUAGUAGAUUGCAUGCAUUACAUUCAUCUUGAUGAAAAUGCUAAACCUACUAAAAAAUGCAACGUUGACUAAAUCCUAAUAUGAAAGAUGUAACACUUCACUUAAAUAUUUAUUUUUAAAAUAUUUCAAACACCGUUACGUUUUAAUAUAAAUACGAAUUCUAAAAAAAAGUUUUACAUAGCAAGCAAAACUUCUUUACAAAAGGUAAGAGACAUACACAGAUUCCUUAGUAUUUUUGUCAAAAACUUUAUUAUUACUAAAGCUAAGAUAUUUAUUUUUUAUUUAAAUAAAGUUGAGCCCAUCAUUAUGAGGAUAAGAGGCGAAGGCCUUUGGAAUUUCAAGCUGGUGACAAAGUAUUUCUAAAAGUUACCCUAAUAAAGGGAUCAAUGAGAUUUGGGAAGAAGGGAAAAUUAAGUCCGAGGUUUAUUGGGGCAUUUGAAAUACUCGAACGUGUCGGGAAUGUUUCCUACCGACUUGCCCUCCCGCCAUCGUUAUCAAGAAUACACAAUGUCUUUCAUAUCUCCAUGAUAAAGAAAUAUGUUCCAGACUCCUCCCAUGUGCUAGAUGAUAAGCCUCUCCAACUAGAAAAAGACUUAACCUAUGAAGAACAUCCAAUUCAAAUUCUUGAUAGAAGGAUAAAGGAGUUAAGGAACAAGAGGAUCCAUUUAGUUAAAAUACUAUGGCGAAAUAACUCAAUGGAGGAGGCAACAUGGGAACAUGAGGAAGAGAUGAAGAAUAAGUGUCCUAAGCUAUUUAGUAAGUAAAUUUUGAGGACGAAAUUUUCUAAAAGGGGGGAGGAAGUUGUGAGGUAUAAUUUUCUAACUUAAAUAUAAUAGAAUUUACUUUACGUUAAUAAGCUCCCUUAAGUAUUAAAAUGACAAUAAUAAUAACAAUAAUAAUAUAAGCAAUGACAUAAGUGAUGAUGGAAGAGAAGUUUGUAAAGAUAGUUAAGAAUUCUAGAAUUUAAUAAGAUAAUUAUGAAGGAUAAUCUCAACCAUUGAUCAAGAGAUAUGGUAGCCAUCCAUUAGCCCCCUUUCAUUUUCAAUGCAACCUAGAAAUUUUACCCUCUUCUAUUCUAAGUCAUAACAUCAAGAUUAGAGAAAUCCUCAAUUUAGAAAAGUCUAGAAAAGUUAAGGUCAAGAGGUAAGUAACACUUCAACUACAGUGUAGGAACAAAAUUCUUAACUUCAAUUUUAACAAUUCCUUUAUCUAGUGAUGGCUAUUAUAAUGUGAUAUGGUCGGCUAUGCUGCCUAUAUUAUGAUAUUUUCUUAUUUAUUCCAUGUAUGGUCGGCUAUGCCACCUAAUCUAUGAUAAUUUUACUCAAUUAAGUUAUGGUUGGCUCUGCUGCCUAUAUUAUAGUCCCAUUUUGUUUAAUCUCCAUAUGGAUGGCACUGCCGCCUGCAUUAAAGAAUGAUGUCCUUAAAUACCAUUGUAUGUUAAUUUUGUUGUUCCUAUAGGAACUUCAUGUGUUAUGAUAUUAGUUGCAUCAAACGCAUGCAUUUCAUGAACUAUUUUAUAAGAAGACGUUUUAGAAAUGAAUUUAUGAAAAUGGGUUGUACUAUAAGGUGGUAAAGUUCCCAAAGAGGGCAAGCCCUCCAAGCUUAGUAAAAGGUAAUCUUUUGAGGAUGGCGAUACAUAACAUCGAAAAGAUCAACUAAUCAGGGCUAAGGGCAUAUUGUUUAAAGAAUAAAAGUGCCAACCUUGUAGUACAUCAUACCUAGGGCCCUAACAAAGUUUUUUUCAGUAUUUUCUAAGUUUCUUUAAAAAAAACUUAAUAUGGUCAUUUAUAUGCAUAAUAAUUUAUACAUGCAUCAAAGUGUUAUUUUACUGGGCAUUAGGUCAUAAAGUCCUUACAUUACAGGUAACGAUGAGUAGAGCAAGUUGGUGCCAAAUCCUAACUAAGGCGAAGUGUGUAUGGGCAUAACAAACCUUGGUUUUAAUGAUGGGCUCAGCUUUGUUUCAAUAAAAAAUAAAUAUCUUAGCUUUAGUAAUAAUAAAGUUUUUGAGAAAAAUACUAAGGAAUCUUUGUAUGUCUCCUAUCUUUUGUAAAUAAGUUUUGCUUGUUAUGUAAAACUUAUUUUUUUAGAAUUCAUAUUUUUAAAACUUUAUAUUAAAAUUAACAGUGUUUUAAAUAUUUUUAAAAUAAAUAUUUAAGUGGAGUGUUACAAAAGAAGUCGUUAAAGCUAAAGUUCUUAAACUAUUAGAUACGGGUAUCAUUUUACCCAUUUUUGAUAGUUCGUGGGUUAAUCUAGUGCAUGUUGUCCGCAAAAAGUCAAUAGUCACAAUAGUUACCAACGUCGAUAAUAAAUUAAUACCCACUAGAAUGACUACAUGGUGGUGCAUAUGCAUUGAUUAUAGAAAAUUGAAUUUUGUUACACGAAAAGACCAUUUUCCUUUGCCAUUUAUCGAUCAAAUACUUGAUAGAUUAGCAAGUCAUUAAUUUUAUUACUUUCCAGAUUGCUACCCAGGAUAUAACCAGAUUCCCAUAGCAUCGAAAGACCAAAGAAAAACCACUUUCACUUGAAUUUGGAUUAUGUAAUGCAUCUGCCACAUUUGAAUAAUACAUGCUAAGCAUUUUUCUGAUACUGUUUAACAUUUCCUAGAUAUUCUUAUGAAUGACUUUUCUGUUUUUAGUGAUUUAUUUGAUCAUUGUUUGCAUCACCUAAUGCUGGUUUUGCAGAAAAGUAUAGAGAGGAAUUUGGUCUUGAAUAGGGAGAAAUGCCAUUUUAUGGUAAAAUAAGAACAAUUAGAAAAGUAAGAUCUUUCCUUGGGCAUGCUGGUUUUUAUAGAUGUUUCAUUAAAGAUUUUAGUAAGAUCUCUAGAUAUACAAUUUACUUGCUAAGGAUGUACCGUUCGUCUUUGAUGAUUUGCAUUUUAAGGCAUUUGAAAAAUUAAGUACUUUUUGACCUUAUAACCAUCAUUCAGCCUCUAGAUUGGAACUUACUUUUAGUUUUCAUAUAUCAUGUUUCUCUAAACCCUUUCUAUCUUCUCAGAGUCAAGAAAAUUAUUUGGAAUAAUAAGGAUACGUUCAUCUCUACAACUGGACAACGCAUUUUGUAGACAGAUGCCAGUGAUGAUUACUGGAGUGCCGUUGUUACACCAGAUCUAGGACAGAUCAAAGUCCGUCCUUACGGCCAGUAGCCCGCAAGUUCUGGUUUCCAGCCGAUAUACACUUAGCCAUUAAGUACCAAAUCCAAAAAUUAUAUUGAAAACAAUUUUUCACGAUACCACCCGAAAACACGGCACUCACUGCCUUAAAGAGGGUGAACGUUGUGAGAAAACAAUUUCGUUUUACAAAAAUUGGUUUUGGAGGAUAAAAACAGGACCUUUCUGAUGCACAGGAUCCUUAGGUUUAAGGCAAGUGCAGAGCAUACUCAGUAUUGAAAUUAGAGAUGAACGUAUCCUUAUUAUUCCAAAUAAUUAUUGAAAUUAGAGAUGAACGUAUCCUUAUUAUUCCAAAUAAUUUUCUUGACUCCUAGAAGAUAGAAAGGGUUUAGAGAAACAUGAGAUAUGAAAAUGGAUUUUAUUUCUGAUUAACUCCUGCCUUACAAAAGGGAAGAGAGAUCAUUUUAUAGAUAUCUCGAGGAGGAAAGAGAUAAGGUGGGAGCCUUAUCAUUUACAAAAGGAGAAACAUAAAGAUGAAAGCAAUAAAGCACUAAAGCACACCAUGCCAAACUAGAAAAGCAAAAGCAAACUUUAGACAAGACAGGACCCUUGCCUAAUUAUUAAAGCAAACUUUAAUAAAGUAAAAGCUAAAGAUUCCCAUGUGCUUAUCAGUGAUUACGGAGUGGUGGGACAUUUGGAUGGGGACACGUUACCGGUCUCUUUUUUAUAAUGGCGUUGGGCUCGGUGCAUCCGUCUUUGGUCAAGAUAUGCUUCAGCUGGCAGAUAUUUAUCUUCAUCUGCAUCGGUCAUUUUGGAUGUGGAAGGACCAGGAGAGUCUGGAUUGGUGACAGUAUAGGGGGUAUUUUCAGUGUGGAGAAGAGACUGAAAAUCUUCCCAAGGGUCUUGAGCGUCUUGGAAGAAGACAUUAGUGUAGUCAGGACGUUGUUCCAUGACAAGAGUUCCAUGUGGACUUGAACUUGAACCAGGAGUACAGGCUUGUGUCUUUGGAACUAUUUCCAAGCUAUGUGACGGUCCGACAGAGGUGUAGUGGAUGUUUGUGGCAGGUGGUUGAACAUUGUUGAGUUCCAUGAGAUAAACUCGAAGAACAGAUGUGACUGAUGAGAGGAUAAGGAUGGGGAUAAGUUUUCCAUUCAUAAGCCAUGUCUUGAGUCCAGAAGUCUCUGGUUUCUGGUUGUUGGAAAUAUGGCCGGUGAACAAUGAAAACUGUGGUGAACAUGUUUGCUUCGUGUUCUGGCAUCCUAUUUAAUCCGUGAAAAGUACACAGAUUCUGGAGCUGUUUACGCCACCAUGUGAGGGGUGAAUACCAUUCUAGGAGUGUCUAUAGAAGAUCAGAGGAAAACUCAGGAGUGGUGAUGUGGCAGAGAACUGGUUUAACAGGGAAGACCAGUUUUGUAGCAUACAAGGUUGUGAGACACCACAUAUACCAUAACUCAUCUUCUGAGAUGGAGAGGUGAGACAGGGUGAGACCUGUGAGAAACAAGUUUUCCAUAUAGAGUGUAGGAAAAUGAUCAGGAGUCUUACUGUGGACAUUGAAGAAAUACCGGUAAAGGAAUUUCUUAGCAAAGUCUUGGAUUUGGUAGGCUGAAGAAAAAUGAAUGUUCAUGGGAAAAGAUCUCUGGUUGAGAGCUUUGAAAGGAAGUUGUCGAUUCAUGGCUAUGACUGGGAUGAUAUGAGUUGAAGAGAAGAGUGAGGGUUUAUUUAUAGCCGGGCAUGUAAGGAAGUCUGGGAUUAGGCUCUGUUUACCUUUGAUGUGCUGGACAGUAAAGUCAUAUUUGGAGAACCAAGUUUUGAGAUUGAGCAGUUGUUUGUCAGGGAGCAACUUGUUCUUGAAAUCAAAGAUUCUAGGAAAAAAGGAAUUGUCCAUGUUGAUAAGGAAUUUAUGGCUGAUUAGAUGAAAUUCAAAUUUUUUUAUUCCAUACUUUACCGCCAAAAUCUCUUUAGAUCACAUGGUAGUUCUUUUCAGAGUCUUUGAAUUGUCCGCUUGCAUAGGCACAGAAAUGGUCCAAACCAUCUAUCCUUUCGAGGAGAAUGGCACUCCAAUAAUCAUCACUAGCAUCUGUUUGCAAAAUGCGUUGUCCAGUUGUGGGAAUUCUGAGUGAAGGAGGUGAUUGAGCUAUCAUUUUCAGCUGCUUGACAGCUUCAGUUUGUGCUAGUCCCUAGGGAGGACACUAUUUUUUGAGCAUGCGGGACAGCUGGCUGGUGUGGAUUGCAACUUUAGGAAUGAAAUCUCGAACAUAAUUAACAAUCCCGAGGAAUUGUUGAAUUUACUUCUUAGUGAGAUUUGUGUUUGGGAACUUUAAUAAUUCGGUUGCAAUAUGCGGGCUAGGUUGGUAGUGGCCAUUUGUGAUCACCAUGCCAAGAAAGUCAAUAGAUUCUUUCGCUAUGCUGCUUUUCUUUUCAGAAAGCAUGAUUCCAUGAGCCUACACAAUAUGAAAGAAAUCCAAAAGGAGUUUUUGAUGGCUAUCAUGAUCGAAUGAGAACAAUAAAAUAUCAUCGAUGUAGACCAAAGUAUGAUAGAGGAUGAGACUGAAAAUUUUUGUCAUGGCUUUUAGAAAUAAGGACGGAGCAACUUUAAGACCAAAGGGCAUAAUAGUCCAUUGAUAGUGAGCAUCGGGAAUGCAGAAAGCAGUUUUGGGAUGGUCAACUAGUGAAAUACCAAGUUGCCAAAAACCAGCUUUUAAGUCAAACUUAGAGAAGAUACGUGCCCCUUGAAGAUGGACAAACAGGGUCUGGAUUUUUGGAAGGGGGAACUUAUCAUCUCUAAGGAAAGAAUUGAGUGGCUGGUAAUCAAUGACUAACCGCUUUUUACCACGAACUAAUUCGGAUCUUUUUUCAACAUAGAAGGCUUGACAAGCCCAAUUUUAAUCAGUUGGUUCAAUUAGACAUUGUUCAAGUAACUGAGAACAUUCUUGCUUAGCAAGUAAGAGGUUUGAUGGAGACAUACCCGGGUGAGAUGCUUUGGUAGGGUUUAUGUCUUCAUUGAGUUUAAAAAGAAGGUGAAUGAAGAACUGUUCAUUUUUCCAGAAAAGGGAAGGAUGAUGGAAUUGCGAAUGAUUUUCUGGACAGAACUGAAGGAGUUUUUGUGAAAUAUGACUGUAUGGAGUUGGGACAUCAGAAAGUGUAUACAGACAGAGUAUAUCUGUAUAAGGCAAGAACAUUUAUUUGUAGCGAAUUCCAGAACUAGUAAUGAAUAGAUUUUUAAACAAAUGAAGGAUAUCAAAACCUAUGAGCAAAUCUUUAUCUGGAAGAGUGGAUGCUACAAUCUUUUUCCAAAUAAUGCAAUUCAGAAAGAACUGAAUACCAAUGGGUUUUUUGGUAAUUAGAGUUGUUUCAAAUGUUUGCCAUUGACUGCUCUGAAUAAUUUGGAAUGGUUUUCCCAACAGUCUGAGGGAAGGACAGAAGGAUCAAUCAUACUGGUAUCUGCACCAGUGUCAAUAAAUCCGAUGACAGGAACAAGUUUAUGAAACUUUGAAGGAAGGAUUGACAUUUUGAGAGAAGGUCUGGGAAUGGUUGAAACCUGGUUGACAUUUUGGACUGUAGAAAUGACUAAAAUAUCAUCAGAAUCGGAAGAUUCUGCAAGGAUGAAAGCAGUCUGAUCAUUUUGUUCUGACUGUUCUGAGAAGUUGGAUUCAACAUCUUCGUUUUCAGAUAACAAUGAAGAAUGUUGGAGAUGUUGUAUGAGGCAAACAACUUUGGCAGAUUUAUGAGGACAUUUCGAGCAAAGUGACAGCGUUUCUUACAGAUGAAACAAUGGUUAUUCUUCUUUUUUCUAUAUUGGGAAACAUUUUUUUUCUUGAAAUACCGGAAAGGCUUUUUGGAGAACGAGUUUUUGUGGAAGUGUUUCUGAAAGUGUUUUUUUCUUCUUGGUUGGACAAGCAUUUCUUCUCAUCUUUGCAUUCAAUUUGGAGAUAGGGUUUUUGCAAUCUUCAGAAAAGGGUUUCUUAUCUGCCAUGAGAUCUUUGAAGAACUCUUUCUGUUCACAGAUUUUUUCAAGGCAUAACAUUGCUGUUUGAAAAAUCUUUUCAAGAGAAAUGUCAGCUAUGCUGAGAUUUGUGGCAGUGAGUUAUCUUUGAAGAUCAAGUUGAAGUUCUAAAGGAAGUGAAGCGAUGAAGACAUGCUUGAGGGACGGUUCAUUGAAACCAUUCAGCUUAUAGAAUAGAACACUCAUACGUUUGUAAUGAGCUUCUAAAAGAUGUCUUUUGAGAGAACAACAUUUCAUCUGGUGAUAUUCUUUUCGAUCUGCUUCUUUGGAAGCUGUGCAUGCACCUAUGAACUAUUCAUGAAUAAUGUUGAGAGCUGUGCCAAUGGGGGAUUGCAUGAAUUGGAGCUGCCUGUAUUCUCGCAAGCUUUCUAACUAAUCUCGUAAAGAACCCGUUGAACGGGCCAUAAAUUCACGAAGAAUAUUUUCUGGAUGUGCAUUGGGUUUGGUUCCUUGGAGAUCAAUCUAUGCAGCAAAUUCUUGAAGACGAAAAGGCCAUUUGUGACUUGGAAUGUCAUCAAAUGUAAACCAAGAUGCUGAGGAAGGUUUGGUGAAAUGGUCAGUAACCGGCAGAGGCAUUUGUGGAACUGGUUCUGUUGGAGCUUGUGUUUGAUCAUCAGAAGAAUUGUCUUCUACAAUAAAAGUUGUAGUUGAGGCACUUGGAUCUUCAGUUUUGGUUGCCAUCAGUAUGCUUGUAAGAUCAUCAUAUUCAGAUUCAGAAUCAGUGGAAGUAUGGGCUAUGUUUAGGGAUGAGGAAGAGGAAGAUGAAGUGGAGUCUGAAGGAUUAGAGUCAUAUAAUGGUUCGGACUCAGAUGCAGAGAAAAAGGAGUCUUGGGCCUGAACUCUAUGGUAAUUGUUGAGUGUUAGAAAAUGCAUAUUUAUAAAGGAGAAAACUGUCAUUUUACAUUUCAAGUCUUACUAACAACCCUUACUUUUAUGUAUUUAACAUUCUUGUGAUUUAAUUACGUGUGUUUUAUUUUAAUUAAGUAAUUUAUGUAUUUUAGGGGCAUUAUAGUGAUUUCACAAUAAAGGAGAGAUCAGACGGCAAAACGGACAUCACUUUUGAACUCAGGACGGUCGAAAACCUUAGGAGGAGCAUAAAAGGAAAAAUGACACUAUUCACAUGUACGGUACUAUUCACGGAUAUGGUACUGUCUACGUUACUGUUCAUGACACUGUUCACAUAGACGGAUCGAUGAUGUGGCAUUGACCGAUGACGUGGCAUUGACUGAUGAGGUGUCACGAUCCUGUUGGACUAAAAUUCUUAUAUACUGUUGAUGGUGACGUGGCAGCAUAUUAGUGGACGAAAAAUCUCGCGUACGGUACAUGCAUCACACAGUAUUAUUUUCAACCAAACCGUGUUACUGUUCAUCCGCGUGGUCAAACCGUGGACUGUUGACUGAUGAGGUGGCGUAAUCCUGAGCGUCCAAACUGUUUUUAAUCCGAUGGCCAUGAUUUACUCCAUGUAUCUAUAAAAAGGGGGUCUCUACCCCCUAAUUGGAUAUCUCUGAAUCCAUUUUUGAACUCUGUUUUCUGUAAUUCCCUCUCCAUCUUGUAUUUUCUUCGUAUUUUAAUAAAUUCCCAUUUUGCCCCUAGUUCAAUUAUGAGUAGCUAAUUUCCGUUCAAGCUUGGGUUGAAGGUGAAGUCUCAACAUGUGUCAUGGGCUUAAUUUGGUAAAUUUAUUUUCUAUUCCCCUCUAGUUUUUGUGAAUGUUUUGACUUCUCGUCGACAAAUAAUAAUAUUCUUGUCUAGUACCGCCUUGGUUUCACCAGCCCCCUAGUACAAGGUUAUUAUUAUUUGGCACGAUAAGUCCUUAGCACCAUAUUGAUUAGAGCGUGGUUCAUGAGGUGUGGAUUCCCCCCUCAUGAUUUAAUUGGCAUUAAUAAGGAUUAUUUAGCCCAUGAUGCAUGUUGAUACGGAUCCAGAUACCCAAGUACGUCAUUUCAAUAGAUUUCGCUUCAAUUUAUUCUAGCCAUUACAAUUCCAAUUUUAGAAUUUAUUAUCGCCAUCUCAAUUCCAAUUUUAGGAUAAUUUAAAUCACUUCCACCAUAAAUCCAACCACUCAUUUACAAAAUUAAUUCUACACAGAAUUAAAAUCCACCUCCUCAUGGGAUCGACACUCGUCACCAUUGAUCUAUACUACAAUAGAUUCGUGCGCUUGCGAGUACAUUAAAAUUUGCACAACAAGUUUUUGGCGCCGUUGCCGAGGAGGUAAGUAAUUUUAAUUCAUAGAAUUAAUUUUUGUGAAUAAUUUCUUUUAUUUUUUUUUCUUGUAUUUUUUUUAUUAUUAAAAAAAAGAAAAAGAAAAAAAAAGUGAAUCUACAUUUAAAGGUUAGUAUUUCUUUUCUUUUUCUCUUCUUUAAAAUUCUGUAAUUUAUUUUUCUUUGUAAUUUUUUUUAUCUUAUUAAUUUAUUUUUAGUUAAUUUAUUUCACGUAUUUGUUUUUGUGUAUUUUUAUAGAAAGGUUUUAAUAGCGCAAUAAGGUUAGUAUCGUAAUUUCUCCCUCUUAUUUAUUUUUAUUUAUUUUGUUCCCAUCUUUAUUUUUUGUUUUGUUUGCAUCUUUAUUUUUAUUUUAUUUAUUUUGUAUGCAUGGUCGUAGGUCAUUAUUACCUAAUCUUGAACCUAUAGACCUUGAAUUAGAAAAAACACUUCGCACACACAAAUACGUUAAAAAUAAAAUGGAUUUACAAGCACCACAGGAGAGGCCAUUUAAGGACUAUUUUAGUCUCUUAGCUAAUUUGAGCACGUCAUGCAUAAGAUACCCAAAUGUAGCUGCUAGGAGUUUUAAAUUAAAACCUAGUGUGUUAAAUUGUCUCCCUACAUUUUAUGGCCUAGAAAAUGAGGAUCCAUAUAAUCAUUUGAAUGAUUUUCAUGCCAUUUGUCAAACAUUCAAAUAUGAGAAUUUUUCAGAUGAUGAUGUUAAACUUAGACUAUUCCCAUUUUCUUUAAAGGAUAGAGCUCGUUCAUGGUUAAAUACGUUGCCUGCUAAUAGCAUUUCAUCAUGGGAACAAAUGGUAACUAAAUUUUUGAAUAAAUAUUUCCCAGUGCAUAAAACCAAUGCUAUUCGCAGGAAAAUCUCAGAGUUUACUCAGAGAGAGGACGAGCAGUUUUUCGAGACAUGGGAGCGAUUUAAUGGGCUACUCUUGAAGUGUCCACAUCAUGGGUACGAGAAAUGGCACCAAUGCCAAUACUUUUUGGAGGGAUUACUACCAAAUGUGCAAGAAUGGCUAAUGGCAACAAGUGGAGGAGAGCUAAUGUCAAAAAGUGCAUCAGAAAUUUGGGAAUUCUUCCAGCUACAAGCAGAUAAUUCCCAACAACGGAGUCGAUCACUCAGGACUACUAGAAGAAUUAAAGGAGUGAAUGAGGUUCAAAUUGGCGAAUCAACUUCAGGAAUCAAAGAAGUCAAGGAGAUGGUUGAAGGUCUUGCUCGACAAAUAGCAUCGUUAUCGACUGCUAAAUCAACAGAAUCACAUGACCAUGACUCAUACUCAGAUCAAGCCAAUGCCAUAGGUGUAAUAAGAAAACCAUCGAAUUACAACCCAUACUCCAACACAUAUAAUCCUGGAUGGAGAGACCACCCCAAUUUUUCAUGGUCUCAAGGAUUCCAACAGAAUGGACCAGCAGCUCCAGCUCCACCAAUGCAACCAAUUCCGCAAAUUCCUCAAGCCUCUCAGCCCCCAUUUAGACCAUACAAUCAGAACCAGAACUACUCUCAACCUAGACCAUGGGAGGAUUCAUUCCAGAAUCUCAAGAAUCUUACUCACUCUACGAUUGAGCAACAGAACCGCACCAUUGAUGGACUACGAAAUGAAUUGAGAGCGAGCUUCAACUCACAAGCCCAAUCAGUUUCAAGCCUCGAGAAGAUGGUGGGACAACUUGCUUCUUCAGUUCAGACCUUGGCAAUGACUGUUGAGAAAGGUAAGUUUCCAAGUCAACCAGUGCCUAACCCUAAAGGAGUGCAUGAAGCAAGUACCAGUUCACCACAGCAGCAUGGAGAAGUCAAAGCAGUAAUGACCUUGCGAAAAGGAAAAGAAGUCGACAACAAAGUGGAGAUGCCGGUGACAAAAGAAAAUCAAAUUGUACCUGUGAAUGUUGAGGAAUCAUCACCGGAGGAGAAAGAAGAAACCAACCCACGAGAAUACGUUCCGAAAACUCCAUUUCCUCAGAGGUUAGCGAAAGGAAAAAAGGGAAAAUCCACAGGUGAGAUUCUUGAAAUCUUCAAACAGGUAAGUAUUAACAUCCCUUUGCUUGAUGCUAUUAAANNNNNNNNNNNNNNNNNNNNNNNNNNNNNNNNNNNNNNNNNNNNNNNNNNNNNNNNNNNNNNNNNNNNNNNNNNNNNNNNNNNNNNNNNNNNNNNNNNNNNNNNNNNNNNNNNNNNNNNNNNNNNNNNNNNNNNNNNNNNNNNNNNNNNNNNNNNNNNNNNNNNNNNNNNNNNNNNNNNNNNNNNNNNNNNNNNNNNNNNNNNNNNNNNNNNNNNNNNNNNNNNNNNNNNNNNNNNNNNNNNNNNNNNNNNNNNNNNNNNNNNNNNNNNNNNNNNNNNNNNNNNNNNNNNNNNNNNNNNNNNNNNNNNNNNNNNNNNNNNNNNNNNNNNNNNNNNNNNNNNNNNNNNNNNNNNNNNNNNNNNNNNNNNNNUCAUUGUAAUUGACACUCAACCAAUACAGGAUUCAAGGAAGCACAUCCCCAUUAUUUUAGGCGGACCUUUCUUGGCAACUGCGGAUGCUCACAUUCAAUGCAGGACUGGAAAUAUGCAGUUGUCUUUCGGCAACAUGACUAUGGAGCUGAACAUCUUCAACAUUGCCAAACAACCUCACAGUGCAGAUGAUGGAAUUGUUGAUGUGGAUUUAAUUGAAGCAUUAGUUGAUGAUACUUUUGUUUCAAACCUUAGUGAUGAUCCUUUACAAACAUGUUUAACUCACUUUGGUUUUGAUUUUGAUAUUGACAGAUCAGUUGAUGAGGUCAACGCCCUGCUUGACUCAGCACCAUCUAUGGACACUAAUAAAUGGAAGUCAAGAGUUGAACAACUAGCACCAUCAGAGAAGAAACUCAUCCCAUCAUCAGAAUCUCCACCGAAACUCGAGCUCAAACCAUUGCCCAACACUUUGGAAUAUGCAUUUUUGGGGGAAGAAAGCACUCUGCCAGUAAUCAUCUCAUCAUCCCUCAAUGACGAACAAAAAGGUAAGUUGUUGGAUGUUUUAAAAGAGCACAAAGGAGCAUUAGGAUGGACCAUAGCAGACAUAAAAGGUAUAAAUCCAGUAAACUGCAUGCAUUACAUUCACCUUGAUGAAAAUGCUAAAUCUACUAGGGAAAUGCAACGUCAGUUAAAUCCUAAUAUGAAAGAAGUUGUUAGAACUGAAGUCCUUAAGCUAUUAGACGCAGGUAUCAUUUACCCAAUUUCUGAUAGUUCAUGGGUCGUUCCUGUGCAAGUUGUCCCCAAAAAGUCAGGAGUCACAGUAGUUACAAAUGCCGAUAAUGAAUUGAUACCCACUAGAGUAACUACAGGAUGGCGUGUAUGCAUUGAUUAUAGAAAGUUGAAUUCUGUCACACGUAAAGACCAUUUUCCUUUACCAUUUAUUGAUCAAAUGCUUGAUAGAUUAGCAGGCCAUGAAUUUUAUUGCUUUCUAGAUGGCUACUCAGGAUAUAAUCAGAUUCCCAUAGCACCAAAAGAUCAGGAGAAAACUACUUUCACUUGCCCUUUUGGCACAUUUGCAUAUAGGAGAAUGCCAUUUGGAUUAUGUAAUGCACCUGCUACAUUUCAACGAUGCAUGUUGAGCAUUUUUUCUGAUAUGGUUGAACGAUUCCUUGAAGUCUGUAUGGAUGAUUUUUCUAUCUUUGGUGACUCGUUUGAUCAAUGUUUACAUCAUCUAACACUAGUUCUGCAGAGAUGUAUUGAGAAGAAUUUGGUCUUAAAUUAGGAGAAAUGCCAUUUUAUGGUAAAACAAGGUAUUGCUCUCGGUCACAUCAUUUCGAACAAAGGUAUUGAGGUUGACAAAGCCAAGGUGGAUCUCAUUUCUAAUCUUCCUCCACCCAAAACAGUCAGAGAAGUAAGAUCUUUCCUUGGGCAUGCUGGUUUCUAUAGAUGUUUCAUUAAAGAUUUUAGCAAAGUUUCUAGACCCUUAUGCAAUUUACUUGCUAAGGAUGUACCUUUUAUCUUUAGUGAUUCAUGUUUUAUGGCGUUUGAAAAAUUAAAACAGUUGUUGACAUCAUCACCCAUCAUUCAGGCCCCAAACUGGAGCUUACCAUUUGAGCUAAUGUGUGAUGCAUCUGAUUAUGCAGUGGGAGCAGUAUUAGGACAAAGAGUUGAUCGAAUUCCCCACGUUAUUUACUAUGCUAGUAUGACAUUAAAUGAUGCACAGUUGAACUAUUCAACUACUGAAAAAGAAAUGUUAGCAGUAGUGUUUGCAUUAGAAAAAUUUCGAUCAUAUCUCAUUGGUUGUAAAAUAAGUAUAUUCAUGGAUCAUGCUGCUCUUAAAUAUCUUCUCACAAAGAAAGAUGCAAAAGCCAGACUAAUUCGUUGGGUAUUACUUUUGCAAGAGUUUGACUUGGAAUUCAAAGAUAAGAAAGGCACAGAGAAUGUUGUGGCAGACCAUCUCUCUCGUCUCCAUUUUGACACAAUUACAGAAUCAUUACCAUUGAAUGAGUCAUUUCCAGAUGAACAAUUAAUGAGUGUGGAAGUAUUACCUUGGUAUGCUGAUAUAGUUAAUUAUCUUGUUACAGGUAAACUUCCUGAGCAUUGGACCAAGCAAGACAAGGCAAAAUUCUUUGCAGAGAUAAAGAAUUUCUUUUGGGAUGACCCGUAUUUGUUCAAGUAUUGUGCAGACCAAAUUGUUAGACGAUGUGCCCCAGAAAGUGAAAUUCAGAAUAUCCUUUCAUUCUGCCAUGAACAAGCUUGUGGAGGCCAUUUCAGUGCUAAGAAAACAGCGACUAAAAUUUUACAAUGUGGUUUCUAUUGGCCAUCUAUAUUUCGAGAUGCUUACACUUUCUGUUCUUCAUGUGAUAGGUGUCAACGAAUGGGAAGCAUUACACGAAGGAACAUGAUGCCAGUAAAUCCAAUUUUAGUGGUUGAGAUUUUUGACGUAUGGGGUAUCGACUUCAUGGGACCCUUUCCCCCUUCUUUUGGCCAUCAAUACAUAUUGGUUGCUGUUGACUACGUAUCCAAAUGGGUAGAAGCAAUUCCAUGCAGAACUAAUGAUCACAAGGUGGUGAUAGGAUUUUUGAAAAGCAAUAUUGUCUCACGCUUUGGAUUCCCUCGAGCAAUAAUCAGUGAUGGUGGUGCCCACUUUUGUAACAAAGCAUUCAAAGCUCUUUUGACAAAGUAUUCAAUCACACACAAAGUGGCGACCCCGUAUCAUCCGUAAACCAGUGGCCAAGUUGAGAUCUCCAAUCAAGAAAUAAAGCACAUAUUAGAAAAGACGGUGAGGCCGGACAAAAAAGAUUGGUCAUUAAGACUUGAUGAUGCCUUAUGGGCAUAUAGAACGGCUUUCAAGACCCCGAUUGGGAUGUCACCCUACAGGCUAGUGUAUGGAAAAGCUUGCCACCUACCUGUGGAACUCGAGCAUCGUGCGUAUUGGGCCAUCAAGAAAUUCAACUUUGACAUGCAGCAAGCUAGCUCAGAAAGAAGAUUACAACUGGCAGAACUUGAAGAAAUUCGCAAUGAUGCAUACAAAAAUGCCAAGAUUUACAAGCAAUGAAUGAAAGUCUUCUAUGACAAGCACGUUAUGAGAAAAUCGUUCACUCCAGGUCAGAAAGUGCUUUUAUUCAAUUCUCGCUUGCACCUAUUCCCAGGUAAGUUACGCUCUCGUUGGUCUGGUCCAUUUAUUAUACAUACUGUUUUUCCACAUGGGGCAAUUGAAAUUAAGGACCCAAAGAACGGUGUCACGUUUAAAGUUAAUGGUCAAAGAUUAAAGCCAUAUCUAGAGUACCAACCACAUGACGAAGACACCGAAAUAAAUUUGAGUGACCCACCAAAUUUGAAUUGAUUUUUUUUUCUUUUCGUUGAUUUGAUUUUUCUUUCUUUCUUUUUAUUAUUAUUCUUUUGCUAAUUGAAAUUGUUUUUGCAUAAGUGUGUUUAUUUUACCAUUAAGUUUUCUCUUAUCAUUUUUAAUCAUGAGUCUCAUACUUAGACCGUUCCUCCUGAACAUUCUUAAACCACUUCAACGUGUCAAAACUCAUCUCAAAAGGCAGAUUCAAUUUUGUAAAACACAUCGUAUUUGGACUCUACAACCACCAGAGUUAGUAGCCUAUGUUGAGGGUUUAGAAAGCCAACUCAGAGACAUUGAGAGAAGUGUUUACGACAUCCAGUUGGAGCUUGAGGUAAAUUCAAUAAGAGGAUGAUUUUAAUUUUCUUUGUGUGUUUUAAUUUGUUUUUCUGUUUGUGUGCUUUAGUUUGUUACCCCGGUGAAGUGGCGGAUAACGGUACUCCGUGACAAUCAAGUCGGUUACUUCAGUUUCCCAUAAUAACUGAUAUUCUGAGGCGAAGGUAUGGACAGAAACGAGAUUCUAGCAAAGCUUCACAAGCGAUUCCCUUCACUUCCUCAGAAUGCCCUCCUUACGAUCUAUAAAGCUCGGUCCGAACGCAUGCGAUUACUCAUGAGGAAUAACAUACCUGCUGACAUCCGUUGGUUAAUCGAGGCUAAAGUACGAUCGGCAGGUGAGUUACCUCCAAAAUUUAUUGCAUACAUGCCUGGUUGUGGUAAAGGAAAUUAUGCAAGAAAACGACGAGCUCGAAGAAUUUCUGUUGCUUGUCAUAAGUGUGCCAGAAUGAGUUGCAAUAAAAACCCAUGUUCUUUAGGAAUGGUGUCUGAUAACAGGGAAGAUAAGAUUCAAUUCAUUAGGGAUGGCUUGAAUAAGGAGUCAUUGGAUGAUAUCCUUUUGUCUCUUGAAACGCAUCCCAGUGGAUAUGUGCAAGGAGCGAUUCUCCAAUUAUGGCCAUUAUUCCAGAAAGAACAUGCACAAUAUAGUCUUGGGAAUCUGACUAUAGACGACCCUAUUUGCCAGUUUAUAAGAAAACUAGAUAGGAAGCCUAUCCUCGACCCAUAGAGGGCGUUCAAGCCGUUUCUGGACGUAAAACCAGAGGAAGAUGUGAGCCACAGUCGCAACUACCUGUAAAUAUCCUUUUACUUUACUGUUAUUUUUGUUUUAUUGUGUGCAUUAUUGUCUUUAAUAAUUUUAUUACUGUUUGCUUUUUUCUUAUUACUGUUUACUUUUUCCUUUUUACUGUUUCCUUUUUGACUCGCGAGCCACGUGUUUUACGCGUUAUUUGACACUGACAUAUUACCUCAUACACAACCAUGACCCACUAUCACCAAGACUCUUAAAUGUGAUAUCUUUUGUCAAGCACUCACAAAUUAUUUUUGAGAAGUAUCGCAAUGGCAGCUAUUCCCAAUAGACAAUUCAAGAACAUUUGUGUGCUUUCCGGAUUUACCUAUGGCAAACAUAAAGAGUUCGUUGAGGCAGCCAUAGAUCUUGGUCGAAGCAUAGCAGCGAGAAAAUUACACUUGGUGUAUGGAGAAGGUAAUCGAGGGUUAUCAAAAAUGAUCUCAGAAGCAGCUUUUAUUAGAGGAAGUCAAGUGUUAGGCAUCAUCCCAAGAGUUCUAAAACCAUUGGGCAGUUCGUCUGACUCAUCAACUGGAGAAGAGUUAGUCGUCUCAGGUAUGCAAGAAAGAAUAACUGAAAUGCUUAAUCAUGCUGAUGCUUUUAUUUUCCUUCCAGGAGAUCUUGCAACACUAGAGGCACUUAUCACGCUAGCAUCUUGGGCCCAUCUGCACAUCCACCAAAAACCCAUCGGUUUGUUAAAUGUUAAUAACUUUUAUGAUGGCUUUAUCGCAUUUCUUAACCAUGCAAUAAAAAACUAUUUCAUUCCUUCUAAUGUAAAAAAACUUUUUAUUUGUGCUCACACUGCUAAUGAGCUACUUGAUAUGUUACAAGCUUAUAAACCGGAGCCAGACCCCUGGACCUUUGUGUUGGAACGCCCAAAUAAUGAUGGUAACAGUAGCCGCAGUAAGAAGUACAAAUUAGAUUUAACUCUCCGCCUGUAAAUAUUUUCUUCUGUGUUGCACCACCCAGGUGAUGUCUUCUAAACUCUACUUCUUUCAAUUCAAACAUUGAGGACAAUGUUUCGUUCUGGUUGGGGGGAGGGAAUAGUCGACAAUUGUGGAAUUUUGGUUAAGUUUUUACUAAUUUUUUGUUGUAGAAACUAACUGUUGCUAACUUUUUGUGUUGAAGAUGGCUGAAUAUGGAGUGUAGUGACUCUAGAAACGCAUCUUCAUCGUUUAAAAAAAAAUUUAAAAAAAAGUUAAAAAAAAGUUAAAAAAAAAAUUCAGACAUUUUCUUUUUCUUUAUUAUGUGUUUAUGUUUAUUUUUCUUCUUUUUAAUUUCUCCUCUAUAAAUAUACAUUUUCUAACUUUUGAGUCGAAGAUGGCUGAAUAUGGAGUGUAGUUCCUCUAGAAACGCAUCUUCUUUAAAAAAAAAAAAUCAUUUUCGUUUUCUAUCAUUUUACGUGUAACUUUUCUAAUUAGUUUUUAUGCAUCAUUUUCACAUUUCUGCAUGCAUAUUUUCCUUUCAUGCUUAGAAUAGGUUGGGGGGUAGAAUGUUGUUUGAAAAAAAAAUAAAAAAUUGUGUGAUUUGUUUUAACAUUGGAUGACAUGAUUAAUUUCAAAUUUUAGUAUUUAUAUUAUCUUUGGUCUUAAGUGAUGUUACAUUAUGUUUGCUACUCUACAUGUUGAUGUUGGAGACAAAUAUGAGUUGCUUGAAGAAUGAACAUGUCAUAAUAAGUACCAAGUGAGUUUUUGAGCCUAUCAUUUUUCUUGGAGAGUAACCCUUUUGCCCAUUCUUUAUACAGCUUAACAGUUUAUUAUUGUAUACACGAUCUCUAGAUUUCUUUUGAGUUAACCCUUAAUUAAAAAAAAAAGUGUGUUGCUACAUUGUGAGGCCCAUCUGACUAGUAGAUAUGGAUGAUUAUUUAGAGCCCUAAAAGACGAUGGAAAGGCCAUCUUUGAUCCGUUUGAGCCUUUCUAGCCAUCCCUUUUAUUAAAUAUCCAUAGUUAACCCUUUUGAGCCUUUAAAAAAAAAAAAACAUUUUCUUUGUCAACUUAUCAUCUUGACCCACUCCGAUUUGGAGUAUUACCCGAUGUCUUAUAAGUUCCAUCACCUAUUUAUGUUUGAGAAAAUGUAAAUAAUUAUGUUGUUCAGUGAAGUUAUGCCAAAAAAAAAACAAAAACAAAAGUUGUUGUUUCAAAAGAAUAAAAAUAACAAUAAUAGGUGAAAUCCACCUUGCAACUUCCAAAAAAAAAAAAAAAAUUCUCUGCAUUUUUCUCAAACAUACACUUUGUUUUCUCUAUUUCCUUUCUUUGUUAACCAUGUCCCUAGCCUACGUUACAUCCUAAUAAAAGUCCUUCCUAAUUUUAGGGAACUAUAAUCUGAAGUAGAAGCUGGUUAUAUGGGCUAAAAAGAUGUAGUGGUGCAUAUAAAAAAAAUAAAUAAAUAAAUUGGGUUGACUAACAGUUUUUAUUUGACUUGAGAUCGUAUUAUUUUUAAGCUGAGGGCAUAUUUAUUUCAUCUCGGUGAGAGCAUGUGAUAUCACUUCUUCAUUAUUUUCUCUCAAUUACCAUUCAUUGGAGUGAUUAUUUAUAUUUGGUUUAAUUUCUUUGUGAGAGUGUCACUACUUCCAGUGAGAUUUUGGGGUUUGAAAUGUCAUUCUUGAAAGUAGCUAUAACAAAGUCUACUGGGCUGAUUCAUGUGGAUGGUUGAUGUGGGUGUGAUGUUGCUUUAGACUGGAAAUAAUGCUUAUCUUUUAUUUGAUUGCUAUCAUUAAUCUGAUUGAAUAAACACGAGUGUUUCUAAAAAUAAAAAUAAAAAAUUUUGAAUUUGAAUUUUGUUUUCGUUUUAUUUGCUAGGGACUAGCAAUAAGCUGGUUGGGGGGUGUGUUGAGUGUUAGAAAAUCCAUAUUUAUAAAGGAGAAAACUGUCAUUUUACAUUUCAAGUCUUACUAACAACCCUUACUUUUAUGUAUUUAACAUUCUUGUGAUUUAAUUACGUGUGUUUUAUUUUAAUUAAGUAAUUUAUGUAUUUUAGGGGCAUUAUAGUGAUUUCACAAUAAAGGAGAGAUCAGACGGCAAAACGGACAUCACUUUUGAACUCAAGACGGUCGAAAACCUUAGGAGGAGCAUAAAAGGAAAAAUGACACUAUUCACAUGUACGGUACUAUUCACGAAUACGGUACUGUCUACGUUACUGUUCAUGACACUAUUCACAUAGACGGAUCGAUGAUGUGGCAUUGACUGAUGAGGUGUCACGAUCCUGUUGGACUAAAAUUCUUAUAUACUGUUGAUGGUGACGUGGCAGCAUAUUAGUGGACGAAAAAUCUCGCGUACGGUACAUGCAUCACACAGUAUUAUUUUCAACCAAACCGUGUUACUGUUCAUCCGCGUGGUCAAACCGUGGACUGUUGACUGAUGACGUGGCGCAAUCCUGAGCGUCCAAACUAUUUUUAAUCCGAUGGCCAUGAUUUACUCCAUGUAUCUAUAAAAAGGGGGUCUCUACCCCCUAAUUGGAUAUCUCUGAAUCCAUUUUUGGACUCUGUUUUCUGUAAUUCCCUCUCCAUCUUGUAUUUUCUUCGUAUUUUAAUAAAUUCCCAUUUUGCCCCUAGUUCAAUUAUGAGUAGCUAAUUUCCGUUCAAGCUUGGGUUGAAGGUGAAGUCUCAACAUGUGUCAUGGGCUUAAUUUGGUAAAUUUAUUUUCUAUUCCCCUCUAGUUUUUGUGAAUGUUUUGACUUCUCGUCGACAAAUAAUAAUAUUCUUGUCUAGUACCGCCUUGGUUUCACCGGCCCCCUAGUACAAGGUUAUUAUUAUUUGGCACGAUAAGCCCUUAGCACCAUAUUGAUUAGAGCGUGGUUCAUGAGGUGUGGAUUCCCCCCUCAUGAUUUAAUUGGCAUUAAUAAGGACUAUUUAGCUCAUGAUGCAUGUUGAUACGGAUCCAGAUACCCAAGUAUGUCAUUUCAAGCUUCAAUUUAUUCUCGCCAUUACAAUUCCAAUUUUAGAAUUUAUUAUCGCCAUCUCAAUUCCAAUUUUAGGAUAAUUUAAAUCACUUCCACCAUAAAUCCAACCACUCAUUUACAAAAUUAAUUCUACACAUAAUUAAAAUCCACCUCCUCGUGGGAUUGACACUCGUCACCAUUGAUCUAUACUACAAUAGAUUCGUGCGCUUGCGAGUACAUUAAAAUUUGCACAACAGUUACGUGGUGUUGUUACACCAGAGUGAUGAGAUCCUUGGCAAGCCAAGAUAUUUAAAUCUCCUUUGGACCAGUAGUCCGCACACUUUGGUUUCCAGCCGAUAUACACUUAUCCAGUUAAUACCAAAUCCGAGAUUCAUUUUUGAAAACCAUUUUUUCACGAUACCACCCGAAAACCUUUAAAGAGGAUGAACGUUGUGAGAAAACACUUUCAUUGUAGAGAAAUUGGUUUUGGAGGAUAAACAGGACCUUUCUGAUGCACAGGAUCCUCAGGCUUGAGGCAAGUGCAGAGCAUACUCAGUUUAGAAAUUUUGAGGUGAGCGUAUCAUUAUUAAUUCAAAUAAUUUCUUCGAUUCCUAGAAGAGAGAGAGAGGUUUAGGGAAACAUGAUGUAAAAAACUUAAGCUUUUUUUUUUUCAGAUUGGCUCCCUUACAACUGAGACCAAAGGUGCCUUUUAUAGAGGAUCAUUGAGAACAGGACCUCUCGAAUGAUCAUAUCACAUGUUACACCUUUUUUGAAAGCAAAGCAUGCUGAUCAGGACUUUUACAAAAGGGAAAGCAUACCGAUAAGGACUUUUACAAAAGUAAAGCAUACCGACAAGGACUUUAGCAAAAGGAAAGCAUACAGACAAAGACUUUGACAAAAGUAAAGCAUGUGGAUAAGGACUGUAACAAAAGACAAACGGGAGUCACAUGGGUGAUUGCAUCAAAAGCUGUGUGAGAGUGACAACAUGUCAUCAUGGAGUGGAUGGAUAGCGGGAUGGUGACACAUCUCCUGUGUCUUUUUCAUAUUGGCACUUGUGCUGACGCCUCUGUCUCUGGUCGAGAUACGCCUCAACUUGCUGAUACUUCUCUUCAUCAACUUCAGACAUGUGCUGUGAAGUAGAUGGAGCAGGAGAGUCUGGGUUUGUGACAGUAUAAUGGGGAGUGUCAGUAUGGAGAAGGGACUGAAAGUCUUCCCAUGGGUCCUGAGCGUCUUGGAAUAAGACAUUGGUGUAGUCAGGACGUUGUUCCAUGACAAGGAUUCCUUGAGGACUUGAACUUGAACAUGGAGUACAACCUUGUGUUUUUGGAAUUAUUUCAAGGGUGUGUGAUGGUCCAAUGGAGGUGUGGUGAAUGUUUGUGGCAGGUGGAGGAACAUUGUUAAGUUCCAUGAGAUAGGCUUUGAGAACGGAGGUGACCGAUGUAUCAUGGAUGAAGGUAUAAGGGUGAGGGUAAGUUCUCCAUUCAUAUGCCAUAUCCUGUGUCCAGUAGUCCCGUGUUUCUGGAUGCUGGAAAUAAGGCCUGUGGACGAUGAAGGCUGUAGUCCACAUGUUAGCUUCUUGUUCUGGCAUUUUGUCUAUUCCAUGAAAGGUACACAACUGUUGGAGUUGCUUGCGCCACCAAGUGAGGGGGGAAUACCAUUCAAAGAGAGUCCAGAGAAGGUCUGGUGAGAACUCUGGAGUGGUAAGGUGAGUAAGGACUGGUUUGAUGGGAAAAACUAGCUUUGUAGCAUACAAGGUGGUGAGACACCACAUAUACCAAAACUCAUCUUCAGAGAUGGACAGAGAGGACAAAGUAAGGCCUGUGAGAAACAGGUGCUCCAUGCAAAGAUUAGGAAAGCGGUCAGGUUUUUUGGUCUAAACAUUAAAGAAAAACCUGUAAAGGAAUUUCUUGGCAAAAUCUUGAAGUUGGUAAGCCGAUUGGAAAGAGAUGUUCAUGGGGAAAUUUCUUUGGUUGAGAGCUUUGAAAGGAAGUUGGCGAUUCAUGGUGAUAACUGGAAUGGUUUGAAUUAAGGAAAUGAGUGCGGGUUUAUUUAUAGCUGGACGGGUGAGGAAGUCUGGAAUGAGGUUUUGGUUGCCUUUUAUGUGUUGAACCGUGAAAUCAUACUUAGCAAACCAGGUUUUGAGGCUGAGUAAUUGCUUGUCAGGUAGCAAUUUGUUCUUGAAGUCAAAGAUGCGGGGAAAAGAAGAGUUAUCCAUGUUGAUAAGGAAUUUGUGGCUGAUGAGAUGGAAUUCAAAUUUCUUAAUUCCAUAUUUGACUGCCAAAAUCUCUUUGUAGAUCACAUGGUAGUUCUUUUCAGAGUCUUUGAACUGUCUGCUUGCAUGUGCACAGAAAUGACGCACCCCAUUAGUGUCUUCAAGGAGAAUGGCACUCCAAUAAUCAUCGCUGGCAUCAGUCUGGAGGAUGCGUUGUCCACUUGUGGGAAUUUGGAGUGGAGGAGGUGAUUGGGCUAUCACCUUUAGCUGCUUGACAGCUUCUGUCUGAGCAGGGCCCCAUGGAGGGCACUGUUUCUUGAGCAUGCGUGACAGCUGGCUGGUGUGGAUUGUAACUUUUGAGAUAAAAUCACGGACAUAAUUAACAAUCCCGAGGAAUUAUUGUAUUUGCUUUCUAUUGAGAUGUGUGUCCGGAAACUUGAGUAAUUCGAUUGCAAUAUGGGGACCAGGCUGAUACUGGCAGUCUUUAAUCACCAUGCCAAGAAAGUCAAUUGAUUCCUUUCCUAUGCUGCUUUUCUUUUCGGAAAGCAUGAUGCCAUGUGCCUGCACAAUGUGAAAGAAAUCCAAAAGGAGCUUCUGGUGGCUCUCAUGGUCAGAAGAAAAUAACAAGAUAUCGUCAAUGUAGACCAAUGCAUGAUGGAGAAUAGGACUAAAGAUUUUUGUCAUGGCUUUUUGAAAUAAGGAGGGAGCGACUUUGAGACCAAAAGGCAUAACCGUCCAUUGGUAAUGGGCAUCAGGGAUGCAGAAGGCAGUUUUGUGACGGUCAACUGGUGAAAUACCAAGUUGCCAAAAACCAGCUUUUAAAUCAAACUUAGAGAAGAUACGAGCCCCUUGAAGAUGGACAAACAAGGUCUGGAUUUUUGGAAGGGGAAAUUUAUCAUCUUUAAGAAAAGAAUUGAGUGGCUGGUAAUCAAUUACUAAUCUCUUUUUCCCACAAACUAAUUCAGAUCAUUUUUCAACAUAAAAGGCUUGACAAGCCCAAUCUGAAUCAGUAGACUCAAUAAGACCUUGUUGGAGUAACUGAGAGCAUUCUUGCUUGGCAAGUAAGAUGUCUGAAGGAGACAUACCCGGGUGUGAUGCUUUUGUGGGGUUUAUGUCUUCAUUGAGUUUGAAGGGAAGGUGAAUGAAGAAUUGUUCAUUUUUCCAAAGAGGUGAAGGAUGGUGGAACUGUGAGUGGUUUUCUGGACAGAACUCUAAGAGCUUUUGUGAGAUAUGACUGUAUGGAGAUGGUGUCUCUGAAAGGGCAUACAGACGGAGAGUGUCUGUAUAGGGCAAGAACAUUUGUUUGUAGCGAACUCCAGAACUGGUAAGGAAAAGGUUUUUAACCAAAUGAAGAAUGUCAAAACCGAUGAGUAAAUCUUUAUCUGGAAGUUUGGAGGCUACAAUAUUUUUCAAAAUUAUACAAUUCAGAAAGAAUUGAAUACCAAUGGGUUUUUUGGUAAUCAAAGUUGUUUCAAAGGUCCUCACCAUUAACUACUCGGAAAAGUUUAGAAUGAGGUUCCCAACUGUCUGAUGGAAGAACAGAAGGAUCAAUCAUACUGGUAUCCGCACCAGUGUCAAUAAACCCAAUAACAGAAUAGGUUUAUGGAUUUGGAAGGAAGGAUGGACAUCUUGAGAGAAGGCCUUGGAAUAGUGGAAACAUGGUUAACAGUUUGAACUGUAGAGAUGACAGAAAUAUCUUCAGAAUCUGAAGAUUCUACAAUUAGAAAGGCAGUCUGAUCAUCUUGUGUGGACUGUUCUGAAAAAUUUGAUUCGACAUCGUCAUUCUCAGAUAGUAAAGAAGAAUGUUGAAGAUGUUGUAUAAGACGAACAGCUUUGGCUGGUUUGUAGGGACAAUUGCGGGCAAAGUGACCGCGUUUCUUGCAAAUGAAACAACGGUUGGAUUUUUUCUUCCGGUACUGAGAGACAUCUUUCUUUUUGAAAUACCGAAAAGGUUUUUUGGAGGAUGACUUUCUGUGGAAGUGUUUCCGAAAAUGUUGUUUCUUUGUGGUUGGACAAACACAUUUCUUUUCAUCCUUACACUAGAUUUUGAGAUAAGGUUUUUUACAAGCUUCAGAGAAGGGUUUCUUGUCUUCCAUGAGAUCUUUAAAGAAUUCUUUUUGUUCACAGAUCUUAUCAAGAGAUAGCAUGGCCAUUUGAAAAAUCUUUCCCAGAGAGAUAUCAGCUAUACUCAGAUUUGUGGCUGUGAGUUUUCUUUGAAGAUCGGGUUGUAACUCAGGGGGAAGAGAGGCAAUGAAGACAUGUUUAAGAGAUGGCUCAUUGAACCCAUUUAGCUUGUAGAAUAGAAUACUCAUUCUUUUAUAAUGAGCAUCCAGAAGGUGUCUUUUGAGAGAACAACAUUUCAUCUGAUUGUAUUCUUUUCUGUCUGCUUCAGUGGAAGCAGUUUUUUCACCGAUGAAUUGCUCAUGAAUAAUAUUAAGGGCUGUACCAACCGGGGAUUCCAUGAAUUGGAGUUGUCUGUAUUCUCCUAAGCUUUCUAGCCAGUCUCGUAAAGAACCCGUGGAGCGGGCCAUGAAUUCACGAAGAACGGCUUGAGGUUGAGCAUUAGGCUUGGUACCUUGGAGAUCAAUCCAAGCAGCAAAUUCUUGAAGUCUAGCAACCCCAUUUGUGACGGGGAAUGUCAUCAAAUGUAAACCAAGAUGCUGAAGAUGGUUUUGUUGAGUGUUCAUGAACUGGUGGUGGUAUGGGUUCUGUUUGAGAUGCUUGGUCAGAAGGAUUGUCAUCAACAAUGGGUGUUGAAGCAGAGGCACUUGGAUUUGCAGUUUCAGUGGCCAUUAAUAUGCCUGUAAUGUCAACAUAUUCAGACUCGGAGUCAGUGGAGGCAUUUGAUGAGUCAUAAGAGGAGGACGAACAUGAAUUGUGUGUUUCAGGCUCAGAAGAGUCGGAGGAAUCUGAAGAUUGGGACAGUAUGAUAAUGAUACUGAUCCAUUGGGCCUUUAUCUUUUUUAAGAGGCUCGGGAUGGUCUUGUGGUGAUUCGUCUGGAGGGAUUGUAGAUGUAGAGGAAGAGGAAGUGGCCUUGGGACGUGGUUCGGAGAUUUGGACUUUAGAUCGUGCCUUUUUGGGUGAAGAUGGUUGAGGAGUCGGUUGAAGAUGGGAGAAACCAAAAAACUGAUUGUAAACAGGUUGUUGAGGUCUAAAUGGUGUGUAGAAAGGUGCAUAGGUGUCAAAGAGUGGAGGAGAUAUUGGUGUAGGUUGUGGUUGAGUGAAAAGGGAAGGUCGGGAUUUUUCAGCAUCAAUCCUGGACAACUCAGCUUUGAGUUUUCUGAUCUCAGCUUCUUUUUUGUUAAACUCUGGACCCCAGAUAUGAUUGUUGAUCAUUCGUCUGAGAUCGGCAUCUAACUCAGAGAUGCGGUCUUGGAGAUGUAGGUACAUCUGAUCAAGACAAUGGCUGAUGGAGUCAACUUUAGUUUCAGUCUGGGAGACUUGAUUUGCAACACGGUCAAUUUUCUUACCGAGUUGUUGGAGAGUAUGAUUUUGAGCAUUGGCAUUUUUGGUUUGCCAAUUCAAAACAGCUUCAUACUGUUUUGGUUCUUCAAGUUGCCCAGAGGCUGUAAUUGGAGAUUGAACAAAAGGUUUGGAGGUGACACGGGUUUGUGUGUCUGUCUGUUUUUCAAGUGGAGGAAAGGAUUCUUCAUAGGAAUGACUUGAAAACAUAAGGCAAGAUCUGAUUGGAUGGACAGGAGGUUUGGGAUCUGGUGGAGGAUGUGGAGGAAAGGAUUUGCAAGAUGAUGGUGGAUAAGAAGAUUUUUUCUUUUUCUUUUUCUUUCUCCGCAUAAUUUCCAAUUCUUCGUCAAUAUCCAUAUCAUCCAAGCAAGGACAAUCUGGGUUGCACAUAUGGGCUUCAGGAACAUCCCAUAGAAAAUGACCAUUGAUUUUAUCAGCAUAUACUGGAUACCCUUCGGAGGAAAACCCAUGAAUAGGAAGUUUAUUUUCUUGACCAGUUUGAACUGCUGUGAUCAUAGCAGUAUAGGAAAGCUAUGGACUGUUUAAAACAGGCUCGAUGUCAGGAGUUUGAAAAGACAAUUUGACUUGACCAUUUGGUCGUCUGUCAAACGUGGCUUCUGUGGUUUGUACUGGUUCUGAAUUUUGGUGAAAAUGCUCAUAGUUGGUUAGCCAUUCAAGAGGCAUGAGCUUGAGCAAGUCUUGUUUCUGGAUUUGUUUGGGGAUUUGGAUAAUGGUUGGAAUUGUGUUUGUGUCUGCCAAGAUCAUCAAGGCAUCAGAAGUUGUGUAUGGUGUAGGAAGAUCGAGGGCAUGAUUCUGUAAUCGAUAGACUAUUUGAUGAUGGAGGGUUGAAAUCUUUGAUGUGGGUGUUUGUUCUGCUCCUUGGAGCUGGAUCUGGACUUUAAGGGUUGUUGGAAGGUUGGGAUCCUCAAGAGAGAGGUUGAAAUUAGGGUAAAAGGUUAAUAAGACACUGCCAGCAUGAAGGGUUGUCAGAACGGUGCCUACAACAGCGUGUUGGUACUCCUUGAACCUGGUGUCUAAGAGAGCAAUUCUAGCUGUAACAGGUAAGCCUUUUCGACCAUGAAGAGUGAGAAUUAAUCGUACACCACCAAGAUGGAGGUGUGUGUAGCCUUCUCAUUUCCAGUUGGCGACGAGAUCUGAAGGUAUUUCCAUAGUGACAUAUUGUUCACUCUGUGAGGCUUGUAGAGCACACUGGUCCAAUCUAGAAGACUGGAUAUACUCUUUUGGGAGUGGUCUUUUAGUGGAGAUGAGGGUCCGAAUACUUCUAGUGAAAGAAGUUUUCUGUUUGUAGAGAUUGUAAGGACUCAUGAUGGGAAACUGGGACUCAUGGAUUUGAGCAGAUUCUGGAAUAUAAAAAUAUUCAACAAGAUUCUCGAUUUUGGAGGUUAUGUGUUUAGAGCAUGAUUUGGGAAGAGAGAGAGUAGAAGAAAGAGAAAUAUGAGAUGAAGAGGAUGUAGAAAUUGAAGAUGUAUUUGUUUCCAUGGUUGAUGAAUCUUCUUCUAGGAGAUCAAAUAAGAUUAUUCAAAUUACUAAUGAUACCACCUCAACAUGAAGUGUGGCUCUGAUACCAGUGGUUUUUGGUGAAUCUUCAGGAGGUAUUGGAGAAGAAGGAGAAGCCUUUGACUGUGGCUCUGUGAUUUUGACCUUGGAUUUUGAUUUUUUGGGUGAAGAUGGUUUGUGUGGACCUUGUGUGGGUGAAAAGUGAUGGCCGAGUAUUUUUAGUAUCAAAUCUGGCUAGCUCAACUUUGAGUCUUCUUAUCUCUGCUUCUUUUUUGUUGAAUUCUGGACCCCAGAUGUGAUUGUUGAUCAUUCGUCUGAGAUAUAUGUCAAGCUCAGAGAUUCUGUCCUGAAGAUGUAUGUACAUCUGAUCAAGACGAUUGUUGAUCGAAUCCACCUUGUUUUCAGUCUAGGAGACUUGACUGGCUACUUAGUCAAUUUUCUUUCCAAGUUGGUGGAGGGUUUGAUUCUGAGCACUGGCGUUUUUGGUUUGCCAAUUGAGAACAGCUUCAUACUAUUUGGGUUCUUCAGGUUGGCCAGAAGCAGUAACUGGAGAUUGGAUAUAAGGUUUUGCCAAGUACCCCUCACAUCCUCCAUUUAAUAGUCUGGUUGUUUUAAGGCAGAGAUGAUAGGCAUUCUGUUCUCUUUGCAUUCUCCUUUAAAUAUAAAUGAUUCCUUUUAUGGUGGUCGAAAAGUUACCUCAUUUUUCUUGCAAUCUAUCUUGGCAUAGUGCUUCGAUAGCCAAUCCAUGCCAAGAAUUAUGUCAUAGUCAUGCAUCUUGAGGAUUAUUAGGUCAACACAUAGUGUAUUACCACAAAUGCUAACCUCACAUGCCUUAAUUAAUUGUCCCGAGUUUAAUGUUUCACCCGACGGUACCAUGACACUAAAAGGCGUAUUUAUUAUGUCAGGGACAUUUUCCAUUUUCCUAAUAAAUGCUGGUGAGGCAAAUGAAUGUGUAGCUCCUGAGUCUAUUAGUACAUAUGCAGGAGUUUUAGAGAUAGAUAGUUCACCUGAUAUUACUGAGGGGUUUCCUUCCGCAUCCGUCUUAGUGAGUGUGAAUACUCGAGCAUUAGCCUUUUCUUGUUGCAUACCAUUUUCUGGGCAGUCUCUGAUGAAGUGUCCUUCUUUUCCACAUUUGAAACAUGUUCUAGUAUUUGCUCGACAUUCCCCAGGAUGAGUUUAGUCGCACUGGUUGCACGUUGGUUUCUGUGGGACUUCCUUCUGAUGAUACCACUGGGUUUUACAGGUACGUGGCAUUGUUAUACCUGAACUAUGAUAGUGCUAGACUAUCCUUUGGACUAGUAGUCCGCAAGUUCUAGUUUCUAGUCGAUAUACCUAUAAUCUUUGAGAUAUAAAACCUAAAAAGCAAAACUAUUGAUCACGAUACCGCUUGAAAAUAGGUCACCUCUGACCUUCAAAGAGGGUGAACGUUGUGAGAAAACAUUUUUAUUUUAAAUCGAUUUUAUACAUAAAUCAGGACUUUUCUGAUACACAGGAUCCUUUAAGAAAAGGCAAGUGUUGAGCAUACUCAGUAUAAAAUAGAGAUGAACGCUCUUAGUUUAAUAUCUCAAGUAUUUUCUUCGUCACCUAGAAGAAGAAGGGAAACUUAGUAAGCCAUAGAGGUUUUAUGAAAACUUAGAAAUAUUAUUGUUGGCAAUAUGAAUUUUACAAAGACGGAAGAGCUCUUAAAUAGAGCUGGAAAGCUAAGAUAAGACAUGACCCUUAUCUUUCUUUUAAGUAAACGACAAAAGAAAAUAAUUCACUCUUAAAAGUAUAAAAAGCCAAAACACACUUUAGACAGGACAGGACCCCUGUCAUUUAUUAAAAGUAGGAAAAGCUGAGAUUUCCAGAGGACUCUGUAGCCAUGUGAGGCUAUUAUGGAGUUGAGGGAAAUCUGGAUGGAGACAGGUCAUCGGUUUUAUUUUCGUAAUCGUCUUUUGCUUUUUGGAUCUCUUGGUAGAUGAGAUAGUCUUCAUCUAACUCUGGGAUUGGUGGUUUUCGUGCUAGAGUUGGAGUGGACGAGGAACAUGGUUCAGUGACAGUGUACUGAGUUUCUUGUGUUGGCAAUAAAGAUUGAAAGUCUUCCCAAGGGUCUUGGGCAUCUUGGAAGAGAACAUUAGUGUAGUCAGGUCAUGUCACGAACAAGAAUCGCCUCAUAGAGCUGGAUCCUGAGUACAUAUCUGGGUGCUGUAUAAUUUUGAAGAGGUAUGGGAAGGACCAAUGGAUGUAUGUGAAUGUUUGUUGGGACAGGUUGGACAUUGUUGAGUUCUAACAAAUAGGCUUUGAGAGUGGAGAUGAUUGUAGGAUCAUGGUCAAGAGGGAAAGGAUGAGGGAAUGUUUUCCAUUCAUACGCCAUGUCCUGUGUCCAGUAGUCUUUUGUUUCAGGAUGUUGGAAAUAUGGCCUGUGAACUAUGAAUACAGAAGUAAACAUAUCUGCUUCUUGAUCUGGAAUUCUAUCUAACUGAUGAAAGUUAGAAAAAUUUUGUAGUUGCUUACACCACCAGGUGAGUGGUGAAAACCAUUCAAGGAGUGUCUAGAGAAGUGUGGGUGCAUGGUCUGGUGUAGAGAUAUGCCUAAGGGUUGGUAGGAAAGGAAGGAUAAGUUUUGUAGCAAAUAGGACCGUGAGACACCACAUGUACCAUAACUCAUCUUCAGAGAUGGUGAGGCUGGGAACGAUGGUGAGGCUGGGAACAAUGGUGAAGCCGGUGAGGAACAGUUGUUCUAAACAUAAAAAGGGAAACCUUUCUGGUUUGGUUCUGUGGACAUUCAUGAAAUACCUAUAAAGGAAUUUCUUUGCAAAGGCUUGGAUUUGGAAGGCUGAUCGGAAAGUGAGGUUUAGAGGAAAAGGUUUUUGAGUGAGAGCUUUGAAGGGAAGUGAUCGAUACAUGGCUAUAAUUGGGAUGGUUUGGAUGGAAGAGAUGAGAACAGGGCUUUUUAUAGAUGGUCGGGUGAGGAAAUCAGGGAUAAGAUUUUUAUCACCUUUGAUGUAUUGGACUAAGAAAUCAUACUUUGUAAACCAUGUCUUUAAGUUGAGUAAUUGCUUGUCAGGAAGCAGUUUGUUCUUGAAGUCAAAGAUAUUUGGGAAAGAACUAUUGUCCAUUCGGAUAAGGAAAUUAUGGCUGACGAGAUGAAAUUCAAAUUUCCUGAUUCCAUAUUUUACCGCAAGAAUUUCCUUGUAAAUCACAUGGUAAUUCUUUCUGNNNNNNNNNNNNNNNNNNNNNNNNNNNNNNNNNNNNNNNNNNNNNNNNNNNNNNNNNNNNNNNNNNNNNNNNNNNNNNNNNNNNNNNNNNNNNNNNNNNNNNNNNNNNNNNNNNNNNNNNNNNNNNNNNNNNNNNNNNNNNNNNNNNNNNNNNNNNNNNNNNNNNNNNNNNNNNNNNNNNNNNNNNNNNNNNNNNNNNNNNNNNNNNNNNNNNNNNNNNNNNNNNNNNNNNNNNNNNNNNNNNNNNNNNNNNNNNNNNNNNNNNNNNNNNNNNNNNNNNNNNNNNNNNNNNNNNNNNNNNNNNNNNNNNNNNNNNNNNNNNNNNNNNNNNNNNNNNNNNNNNNNNNNNNNNNNNNNNNNNNNNNNNNNNNNNNNNNNNNNNNNNNNNNNNNNNNNNNNNNNNNNNNNNNNNNNNNNNNNNNNNNNNNNNNNNNNNNNNNNNNNNNNNNNNNNNNNNNNNNNNNNNNNNNNNNNNNNNNNNNNNNNNNNNNNNNNNNNNNNNNNNNNNNNNNNNNNNNNNNNNNNNNNNNNNNNNNNNNNNNNNNNNNNNNNNNNNNNNNNNNNNNNNNNNNNNNNNNNNNNNNNNNNNNNNNNNNNNNNNNNNNNNNNNNNNNNNNNNNNNNNNNNNNNNNNNNNNNNNNNNNNNNNNNNNNNNNNNNNNNAAGUGGCUGGUAAUCAAUACUAUCUCUUUUUGCCAACAACUAAUUCAGAUAAUUUUUCAACAUAGAAAGCUUGACGAGCCAAUCUGAAGUGGUAGGUUCUAUGAGACCUUGCCGAAGCAAUUGAGUACAUUCUUGCUUGGUGAGAGAGAGAUCAGAGGGAGGCAUCCCUGAACGUGUAGCUUUGGUGGGAUUGACAUCUUCAUUAAGUUUGAAAGGAAGAUGGAUGAAAAACUAUUCAUUUUUCCAGAGUGGUGAUGGAUGAGGAAAUUGUUAGUGAUUUUCAAGACAAAGUUCAAGGAACUUUUGGGAAAUGGAGGUAUAAGGAGGUUAUAAGGCAUAAACAUUUGUUUGAAUUUAAUGCAUGUUGACGUAAUGAAGAGAUUUUUUACCAGUUGGAGGAUAUCAAAUCCGAGGAGGAGAUCUUUGUUUGGUAAUUCUGAACCAACAAUCUUUUGCCAAAUGAUACAGUUUGGAAAGAACUGAAUACCAAUGGGUUUUUUGGAAAUGAGAGAUGUUGCAAAAAUUUUGCCAUUGGCGGCUCUGAAGUAUUCAGUAUGGUAUUCCCAAUAAUCCGGAGGAAGGAUUCGAGGAUUGAGCAUACUGCGCUGUGCGCUAGUACCAAGGAAACCAAUGACUGAGACAGGUUUAUGGAAUUUAGAAUGGAUGACUGAGAUUUUUACUGAAGGACUAUGAAGUUUGGGACGAAUGUGGUUAAUUUCCUAAAUAGUGGAGAUCACAGAAAUGUCAUCUAGAUCGGAGUCUAUUGAAUCAGCAAGGAUGAAGGUUGUAUGAUCAUCUUUCUCUGACUGUUCUGAGAAGAUGGAUUCAACAUCUUCGUUGUCAGAAAUGAUGGAAGAUUGUUGUAGGUGUUGAAUAAGAUGAACAGACUUGGCUGACUUAUUUGGGCAAGUACGGGCAAAAUGGCCGCGCUUUUUGCAAAUAAAACAACGAUUUUGUUUCUUCUUUCUGACUAGGAAGGAUCCUUUUUUCAGAAGUAUCUGUAAGGCUUCUUCUGUUUUUUGGAGGAGGAUUUAUGGAAAUGUUUUUGGAAGUGCUUCUUUUUGUUGGUUGGACAAGUGCACUUUUUGUCAUCUUUGCAUUGGAUUUUGAGGUAGGAUUUUUUACAGGCUGAGGCAAAGGGUUCUCUGUGUUCAAUAAGAUCUUUGAAGAAAUCUUUUUGCUCGCAGAUCUUAUCAAGGCAUAGCAUGGUUAAUUGAAAGAUUUUUCCAAGGGAAAAAUUUGCUAUGUCGAGAUUAAAGGCUGUCAAUUAUCUUUGAAGCUCUAGUGGUAAAGAUGCAGCAAAGACAUGCUUUAAAGAUGGAUCAUUGAAUCCAUUCAAUUUGUAAUAAAGCAUGCUCAUCCUUUUGUAAUACAUUUCCAGGUGAUGUCAUUUGAGAGAAUAACAUUUCAUCUGGUGGUAUUCUUUUCUAGAUGCUUCAGUUGAUGCUGCGGGUUCUUUAAUAAACUGCUCAUAAAUAACUACAAGAGCGAUAGGAAUGGUGGUUUGAAUCAAUUGGAGUUGUUUGUAUUUGCCUAGACUUUCAAACCAAUCUCUUAGAGAUCCAGUAAAUCUAGAACAAAACUCUCGGAGAAUAUUCUGAGAUUGUGCAUGAGGCCUUGUCAUCUGCACAUCAAUCCAUGCAGUAAAUUCCUGAUGUCGAGCCUGCCAUUUGUGACAAGGAAUGUCAUCAAAUGUGAACCAUGGUGAAGAAGAUGGUUUGGAAGAAUUUUCAGAAACCGGAGGGAUUGGUGGAGCCGAUUCUGUUUGUGAGCCUUGGUCAUCAUUAUUAUCAUCAGAAGAUUCUUCAACAAUAGGAGUAGAUGUACUAGGAUCUUCUGUUUUUGUGGCCAUUAGAAGACCAGAAUAUCUGCAUAAUAAGACUCUGAGUCUGAAAAGUGUGGUCAGAUGAGCUGGGAGUAUCUGUGGAGGGUAAAAUUUCUUCUGAAGUUGAAUCUAAAUCAUUGUCGUGAAAAUUAAUCUACUUAUAAUGGUAUUGGUAAGCUGGAGCUUUGUCUUUCUUUGGAGGUUCAGGAGUUGCUUUAGGAGAGUCUUCUGGAACUUGAAGAUCUUCCUUGGGUGGAGGUUUUGAGAUUUUGACUUUUGAUUUGGCUCUUUUUGACAAAGUAGGCUGUGGAGGUGGAGCUGAAUAAGACCAAAGAAUUGAUAGUAAGUUGAUUGUUUAGAGGGGGUGUAAAAAGGCUGAUAAGAUGUGAAUAGUGGUGCUGGGAUAGGUAUGGAUUGGCUUUUAGUGAAAAGGGAAGGUUGUGCCUUGUCAGCAUCAAUUAUGGCCAAUUCUGCCUUUAGCUUUCUAAUCUCUGUUUCUUUCUUAUUGAAUUCUGGACCCCAAAUACGAUUGUUUAUCAUCGUUCUGAGAUCGAUAUCCAGUUUAGAGAUUCUGUUCUGGAGGUUUGAAUAAAUUUGUUCAAGCCGGGCAGUAAUAGGGUCCACCUUUGUUUCUGUUUGUGACACCUGUGAUGCCACUUUGUCAAUUCUUUUUCCAAGAUGGUGGAGAGCUUAAUUCUAAGCAUUAGCAUUUUGGGUUUGCAAAUUCAGCACUGCUUCAUAUUGCUUUGGUGCUUCUGGUGCCCCAGAGGUUGUGAUUGGGGAUUGGACAUAAGGUUGAGAAACAACUUUAGUUUGGGGGUCUGUGUGUCGUUUGAGUGGAGGAAAUGAUUCUUGGUAUGAUUGGCUAGAAAAUGAGAACAUCAAGCAUGACUUGAUUUGUGGUUGGAUAGGGACAAGCUGAAAUGAGGAUACUCUUUGAAUAUGCCUGAGUGCUUUGUUGUAGAUGGGUAAAGGUUUAUCUGAGUCUGGAUCAUCCAGAGGUCCUAAGAAAUAGGGUCGACACGGAGUUUUAGGAAUAGAAGGCUUCUUCUUUCUUCUCCGUCUUCUUCUCAUGACUUCAAAGUCUUCAUCAUCAUCUGUGUCAUCCAAGCAGAGACAAUCUGGAUUACACCUAUGGGCUUCUGGAACAUUCCAUAAAAAGUUUCCGUUGACUUUGUCAGGAUAUACUGGAUACCCUUCUGAGGAAAAUCCAUAGAUUGGAAGAUUUGACUCUUGUCCAGUGGAGACUGCAGUAAUCAUAGCAAUAUAGGAGAGCCGUGGGGGAUCUUGGCUUGGGUUGUCAGAAGUCUGAAAAGACAUCUUGGCUUGGGUUGUCAGAAGUCUGAAAAGACAUCUUGGCUUGGGACGUCUGGACAGGUUCUGAAUUUUGAUGGAAUUGCUCAUAAUUAGUAAGCCAUUCCAAAGGCAUGAGUUGAAGUAACUCUUGCUUUUGAUUUUUUUUGGGAAUUUGGAUAAUGGUGGGAAUUGUAUCGGUUUCUGCAAGGAUCAUUAAUACAUCACUGGUUGUUUGUGCAGUUGGGAGAUCUAGUGCAUGAUUUUGCAAUCGAUACACUAUUUGAUGAUGGAGUGUGGCUGUUUUGGAAGUAGAUGUUUAUUCUGCUCCCUGAAGUUGGAUUUGGACUUUCAGUGUUGUUGGAAGGUUAGGAUCUUCUAGAGACAUGUUGAAAUUUGGGUAGAAGGUUAACGAGACACUUCUAGCAUGGAGAGUGGUUAGAACAGUUCCAAUAACAGCAUGUUGAUACUGUUUGAACCUUGUGUCAAGGAGAGCAAUUCGGGCUGUGACUGGUAAGCCUUUUCUACCAUGUAAGGUGAGGAUAAGCCUUUUCUACCGUGUGUAUACCCUUCUCGUUUCCAGUUGGUUAUGAGAUCUGUUGGUAUAUCCAUAGUGACAUAUUGUUCACUUUGAGAGGCUUGAAGAGCACACUGAUCAAGUCGUGAAGACUGGAUGUACUCUUUAGGAAGAGGUAUUUUUUUGUAGAAAUCAAGGUUCUAAUACUCCGAGUGAAGGAAGUUUUUUGUUUGUAAAGAUGGUAAGGACUCAUAACAGGGAACUGGGAUUCGUGAAUCUAAGCAGAUUCAGGAAUAUAUGAAUACUCAACAAGAUUUUCUAUUUUUGAGGCUACAUGUUUCUGACAAGAACGAGGUAAAGAAAGAGUAGAAGAGAGAGAAAUAAGAGAGGAUUUUGAUGAAGCCAUUUCGGUUGAAGAAAAAGAAGAUGCCAUUUUUGAUAGAGUUUCUUCUAGGUUUUGAAUAGUAAUACUUGAGAACUAAACCAUGAUACCACCUCUGGCAGAAGUUCGUUUGGCUCUAAUACCACUGGGUUUUACAGGUACGUGGCGUUGUUAUACAUGAACUAUAAUAGUGACUAUGAUCUUGGACUGCUGGCAUUCCUUUUCUCUUAUUAUUAUUUGAGUGUUGUCCUUCGUGGUUAGCUUGAAAAUUUCUUUGGUCCAUACUUCCUUUAUUCUUUCGUUUUUCUUCCUUCUUUUCUUCAUCUGCUUGCUCAAUUACCAAAGCUCGAUCGAUGAGUUCAUUGAAGGAAGCAUCACGAACUCCCGCCACCUUUAAAUCUUUUGCGAGAUCUUUACGCAAUCCUUUCAUUAAGUGGUCCUUUUUCAAGUCUUACGUUGCAACCAUAUGUGGGGCAUAUUAAGAGAGCUCAUCAAAUUUUCGGAUGUACUCUAACACAGACAUCCUUCCUUGUUGUAAAUAAACAAACUCUCUUCUUUUGGUUGAGCGAACCGUCUCUGAAAAGUAUUUGUUCUAGAAGUGUUAUUUAAAUUCCACCCAUUGCAUCGUUGCUUCAUUAUGGAUUCGUUUGAUAAAGUCCCACCAAUAUUCUGCUGCUCCUGCAUAAAGGAGACACAAGUGACUUGUUCUUCUUCCGGCACUUUGGCUACUUCUAUCAUUCUUUCCAUGGUUCGCAACCAUUGGUUUGCUGCGAUAGGAUCUACACCGCCUUUGAAUGUGGGUGGAUUUAAUCUUCUAAAUUCGCUCCCGAUGUUGUUCAUUGCCUAAGCAUGUUCAUCCCUUCUAACUUCUCUUUCCAAGAGUCGUGCCACAAUGUUGGUAAGUCAAUCAAUUGUAGAUUGCUCCCCUGCAGUUCCUUCUAUUACCCCUAGCGCUCGACAUCUCAACAAGUUUUUAAUCUAAUUUCUACGUGACAACCAAAUCAAAUGUAAGAUUUUUAACUAACCUAAUUCAAAGUUUUUACUAAAAAGCCUAGCCUUGUCCUUCCCCUUGACUUGUGCAUAUGGACGGUCUACAGAAUCGCUUUAAACCUUAGGCUCUGAUACCAAUUUGUAACACUCCACUUAAAUAUAUAUUUUUAAAAUGUUUAAAACAUAGUUACUUUCAAUACAAUUUCUAAAAGUUUAACACAACAACAAAACUUUCUUCAUAAAGUAAAAGUCAUACAGAGAUUCCAUAGUUUAUUUCAAAACUUGAUUAUUACAUAAAGUUAAGAUGUUUGUUUUUUUAUUUAAACAAAGUUGAGCACAUCUUAAAAUCCCAAGGUCUAUUAUGCCCAUAUGCACUUCGUCUUGGUUAGGAAUUGCCCUACUCAUCGUUACCUAUUAUGUAAGGACUUUAUGAGCUAAUGCCAAUAAGAUAACACUUUUAUGCAUGUAUAAAUUAUGAUGCAUAUGGAUGACCAUCUUAAGCUUUUAAAAGAAACUUAUAAAUAAAAAAAAACUUCAUUAGGGCCCUAGGUAUGUUGCACUACAAGGUUGGCACUUUUACUCUUUAAACAAUAUCCAUUGGGCCUCAUUAGUUGAUCAUUUGCACGUUACGUAUCGCCAUCCCCAAAAGAUUUCUUUUCGCUUAGCUUUGAGGGCUUGCCUUCCUUGGAAACUUUGCCACCAAGUAGUACAACAACCUAUUUUUUAUAAAUUCUUUUUUUGAAACAUCUUUUUCAUAAUGUAAUGCAUGAUAUGCAUGUAUCCAAUGCAACUUAUAUCAUAACACUAUUUAAGUAUAAAUAUCAUAGAUUAGGCAGCAGAGAACUAAGUAUCAUCAAUUAGGAAGUAGGGCCGACCAUAACAUAAUUAAGUAUCAUAGCUUAAGCAGCAGAGCCGACCAUAACAUAAUUAAGUAUCAUAGAUUAGGCGGCAGGGCCGACCAUAACAUAAUUAAAGUGUUAUAGCUUAGGCGGCAAAGCCGACCAUAACGUAACUAAGUAUCAUUGAUUAUAACUAAUAACAUCAUAAUAGCCAUCACAACAUAAAGAAAUGGUUAAAACUGAAGUUAAGUGUGAAAAGCAUUUUGUCCUUACAUUGCAAUUGAAGUGUUACUUACUUCUUGACCUUGACUUUGCUAGAUCUUUCUAAAUUGAGGAUUUCUAUACUCUUGAUAUUAUGACUUAGAAUAUAAGAAAAUGAAAUUUCUAGGUUACAUUGAAACUGAAUGGGGUAGGGGAUAUUUAUAGGAUUUCUUAAGGCUAAUGGAUGGCUAGGAUUUUGCCACCAUAACUCUUGAUUAAUGGUUGAGAUUAACCUUCAUAAAUAACUUGCUAAAUUCUAGAAUUCUUAACUUUCUCUACAUACUUCUACUUACAUCAUCACUUAUGUCAUCGCUUAUGUAGGGGCUUGUUAGCUUAAAAUAAAUUCUACUAUAUUUAAGUGAGAAAAUUGUACCUCACAUUCGAACGCCACAAGAAUGCAAAUUCUUGAUAAGUUCACUAGUUUUCAAAAGAACCAAAGAAAGAAUAAUUCUUUCAAAUUCAAAUAACAUUAAUCUCUAAAUUAUCUUGCAUAGAAAGGUUGCUGAGUUUAAAUAGGCUAAAAGAAACCCAAGAUCCUAAAAAUAUAGAUGGAAACAUUGGAACAACCCUCCAAGCAUAGGUUUGUCAAAGGGUGCUUCAAAAGUCUUCACCAACUCACCAUUAUUAAUGCUAGUCAUUGACAAACUUAAUGCUAGCCUACCAUAAUUAAUGCUAUCUUUGACAAACUUAAUGUUAACCCACCAUCAUUGAUUCUAGACUUACCUAACACAUUGACAAACUUGAAACAAAACAAAUAAAAAUAAAUGAAGUUGAAUAAACAAAGGAGUCAUUGGAAUUCCAAAGCCUGAACAAGCUGUAAUAAAUUAGUCAUAACUCCUGCUAGAGAACUUCAAAUCCAGCUCUGUAAAAUGCAUUGGAAAGUUAACUUAAUUAUCUUUCCAACGGUAUAGGGUUGCACAUUAGUUCUGGCUUAAUCAAUACCAAGUUUAUUCCAAAUUUUCCCUUUCUGCAUUGGAUCCAAAUUGUGUAUUUGGCUGCCCAAUAGCUUGAAUAAUGGCAACAGUGCCUUGUCUUCUCUCCAAGCCCAAUUCAUGAUGUCUUGCAUUUUGAAUUGCAUUUUCAAUCCACAUUUUCUCAAUUAAUCCAUUUAAAGCAGCUUGCAUCUUUUUGGCUCUAGCUCUUGUAAUUGGGCCUCCAUGAAUGUGGAAAGAUCAAUUGAAGCUUUAAUGGUAUUCCCCUGAUGGUUCUCAUCAUUCCCCCUCUCCUCAAAAGGAUUCAUCCUCGAAUCUUCACCUACAUCGAAAGGAGAAAGAUCAGAAACAUUAAAAGUAGCACUCACAUUAUACUCACGAGGAAGAUCCAAUUUGUAGGCAUUGUCAUUGAUUCGUGCAACACUUGAAAUGGACCAUCUCCCCUUAGAAGCAACUUGGAAUGCCUUUGUGCUGGGAACCUUUCCUUUCUCAUAUGCACCCAAACCCAAUCUCCAGGCUGAAAAACCACUUGCUUACAUCCUUUGUUGGCUUGAGUAGCAUAUUGUUCAGUUCUCUUGUCUAUGUGUUGUCGUGUUCUCUCAUGCAAUUGCUUGACAAAUUCAGCUUUCUUUUUACCAUCCAUAAUAGCACCCUCAUCAAUAGGUAAAGGUAAUAAAUCCAAAGGAGUUAAUGGAUUAAAACCAUAUACAAUCUCAAAUGGUGAAAAUUUAGUAGCUGAAUGGACAGCUAUAUUGUAAGCAAUUCAACAUGUGUUGCAACAUUCUUCCCAAGUUUUCAAGUUCUUUUGAAUAAUGACACGCAACAAAGUAGACAGAGUUCUAUUUACAACCUCAGUUUGUACCCAACUUACCCCACAAAGUUUUCCAAAAGUGUCUCAAGAACUUAGCAUCUCGAUCUGAAACUAUGGUCCUUGGUACUCCAUGCAACCUGACUAUUUCCUUGAAAAAUAAAUUAGCUAUGUUUGUUAUCAGUUUUGUGACAUGGAAUGAAAUGUGCCAUCUUUGAAAACCUAUCAACAACAACGAAAACAUAAUCAUUUCCCCUUUUUUACCUAGGUAAACCCAAAACAAAGUCCAUAGAAAUAUCAACCCAAGGGAGGGUUAUACAAUCCAUGGGGUAAAACUCUAGACUUAGCAUGUUUACAAGUGAUACACUUCUCAUAUAUUCUUUCAACAUCACGUUUCAUAUGCAAUGCCAAAAUGUCCCAUUAAACCACCCCCAUGAGCUUCACGCACAAGCAAUUCAUGCAAAGAACUAUGAGGCACACACAAUUUAUUUUCUCUAAAUAAAAACCCAUCAUGCCUAUAGAACUUAGUAAAUGCAACUUUCUCACAAGCAUUAAACACAUUAGCAAAAUCAAGAUCAUUAACAUAUAAUUCUUUAAUGUACUCAAAUCCUAACAACUUUGCAUUUAAUGUAGAGAUAAGUGCAUACCUUCUAGAUAAUGCAUCAGCCACCACAUUCUCCUUACAUUGUUUAUAUUUGAUCACAUAAGGAAAUGGCUCAAUAAAUUCAACCCAUUUGGCAUGUCUCUUAUGUAACUUACCUUGCCCUUUCAAAUGCUUCAAGGACUCAUGAUCAGUGUGUAUAACAAACUCUUUAGGUAGAACAUAAUGUUGCCAAGUUUCCAAUGCUCUCACCAAUGCAUACAUCUCCUUGUCAUAGGUAUGAUAGUUUAGGGCUGCUCCACUCAAUUUCUCACUAAAAUAAGCAAUUGGACGCCCUUCUUGCAUCAAAACAGCUCCAAUACCUAUACCUGAAGCAUCACACUCAAUUUCAAAAGUUUUAGCAAAAUCAGGUAAAGCAAGUAAUGGUGUAGAAACCAAUUUCUCCUUAAUUAGCUUAAAUGCCCUUCUUGUUCACUACCCCACUUAAAUCCCACAUGUUUUUUCACAAUUUCAGUUAAUGGUGCAGCAAGGGUGCUAAAAUCUUUCACAAAUCUUCUAUAAAAACUAGCCUUUACCUUCUCUUCAUCAACCUCAAUUCCUUUAGCACUUACAACAUAACCAAGAAAAACAAUCUGAUUUGUACAAAAGAAACACUUCUUCAAAUUAGCAUACAACUUUUCUUUCCUUAAAACAAUCAAUACACUUUGCAAAUGUUCAAUGUGUUCAUCUAAGCCUUUGCUAUAGAUCAAAAUAUCAUCAAAAUAGACAACUAUGAAUUACCAAUAAAAGCACGCAAAACAUGGUUCAUUAACCUCAUAAAAGUGCUAGGUGCAUUAGAUAACCCAAAUGGCAUCACUAACCACUCAUAUACACCAUAUUUUAUUUUAAAGGCAGUUUUCCACUCAUCUCCCUCUCUAAUCCUAAUUUGAUGAUAUCCACGUUUAAGAUCAAUUUUACUAAACACACAAGAACCAUGCAAUUCAUCAAGCAUGUCAUCAAGUCUAGGAAUAGGAUGUCGAUACUUUACAGUGAUUUUAUUAAUUGCACGAUAGUCAACACACAUCCUCCAUGUUCCAUCCUUUUUGGGCACUAGUAAAACUGGUACCGUACAUGGACUCAUGCUCUCCCUCACAUAUCCUUUUGCCAAGAGUUCUUCAACUUGCCAAGAGUUCUUCACAUAUCCUCGGGGUUACUUCUAUAUGCAGGUCUAUUAUGAAUGGUAGCUCCAGGGACGAAGUCUAUUUGAUGCUCAAUUCCCCUAAUAGGUGGCAAAUCGUUAGGGACUUCAUUUGGGAACACAUUAUCAAAGUCCUACAAAAGAGUCACAAUAGCACUAGGCAAAGAAAAUUUAAGCUCAUUAGUGUGUAAAAUAGACUGUUUUGAAAAGAAAGCCCUCUUAACCUCGCUCUCUUUUGCAAACAAGUUCACUUGCUGCCUCUCUUUUCUCUCAACAAUAUUUUUUUCUAUCUUUUGUACUAUCAAUGACUUUUUCCCUGAAUGUGAAAUGCCAUCUAAUUGGAACUUCCAAGAUAAAAAGAAAUUCUUUACAUAAGUAUUGGGUUGAUCUGUGUCUUUCAAUCCUAUCCUUGUAGUUAUUUUUCACAGAUGCAUAAUUGAUGAUAAAGUAAAUAGUGUCAUUCAAUUUUGCUAUUUUAAAGCAAGUCGUAGCUACUUUUCAUCAAAAAAAAUAGCUGCAAAGAUCUUACAGUGUAGACUUUAUUGGCCCACAUUAUUUAAAGAUUCACAUAUGUUUUGUAAAACAUGUGAGAAUUGUCAAAUGUUGGAGUGCAUUUCAAAGCGAAAUAUGAUGUCUUUCAAUCCUAUCCUUGUAUUUUAUUGUUGGGGAAUAAAUUUAUGGACUCUUUCCAUCAUCAUUUGGUUUUGUAUAUAUCUUGGUUGCUAUUGACUAUGUCUCAAAAUGGAUUGAGGCGAUACCUUAUCGGUACAAUGAUCAUAAACUAUGCUUCAUUUUUUAAAAGAAAAAUCUUUUGAGUAGAUUUUGACCCUCAAGCUAUUGUCAGUGAUGGAAUUAAGUGUAUUUGUAACAAGUCAUUUGAAUAUUAAUAAAGAAUAUGGAAAUACAUAUAAAGUUGCUACCCUUUAUCACCCUUAAACAAGUGGUCAAGUUGAACUAGCAAAUAGGUAAAUAAAAUAAAUUUUGGAAAAAAUGGCUCACCCAAACAAUAAAGGUUGGUCUCUUCAACUUCCCAAUAUACCUUAGGCCUAUCGUAUUGCAUUUAAGACAUCUUUAGGAACGUUAGCAUAUCAUUUGAUUUGUGGUAAACUUUGCCACAUACUAGUUGAACUUGAGCAUAAAUCAUUUUAGUCUAUUAAAGUAUUUAAUUCAAAUCUUGAUGAUGCUAAUAAAGUGGGUAAAUUAUUACAAUUAAAUUAACUUAAGGAGUUGGGGAAUAACACAUGUGAGAACUUAAGAAUUAUUAUAGUAAAAACCAAAGCCUUCCAUGAUAAACGAACUUUUUGAAAACAUUUGAAGUUGGUCAAAAAGUUGCUCGAAAUUGAGAAUUCAAAGAAUGGUAAUGAAUUUAAAGUGAACAGUCAAAGAUUGAAACCAUUCUACAACUCAAUAUUUCUUCUCUCUAAUCUAUUUAUUGCAGAAAUUAGGUUGCGGUUCCUUUUUAUUUUCCGCUAGGUUAAAUGGUGAAUGAUGGGUACUCUAUGACUCGUAUAGUGUUUGAUUGCAAAAAUAUUAGCUUGAGACCCACUUAAUCACUUUUCAAUUAGAUUGGUCAAAUGUUAAUAAUGGCAAGCUGUAGUGUUGUUAUACAAAAGAAAUGCUCUAUAGUGAAGUUGAUGCAGCAAAAGGAUAAAUUAAUGCAGCGGAAGGAAAAUGAUGUAUGUUAACGAAUAGCCAUGAAGUGAUGAGAACUAGGUUCUUAAAGCUUCAGAAGAUCCAUUGAACAUCCAUGGAUGUCCAAUGACAAUGGUAAGAAUAGAGAAAAUGAAGAAAGCAUUAAAUGAAUUAAUUAAGCAAAUCUCAAAUUUAUUCCUUGCUCUGAUACCAUAAAUGUACGUGGCAUUGUUCUACCCGAUCUACGACAGCACAAGUCUGUCCUUAGGGCCAGUAGCCCGCAAGUUCUGGUUUCCAGCCGAUAUACAUAUAGGUGCAAAACCUAAAACGAUUCUUUAGAGGUUAUAUAACCCAAAACAUACUUUCCUUAGUCUUAAAACAGGGUACCAAACCGUUUAAGAAAUCAUCAUAAGUUUUCUGAUGCACAGGAUCCUUACUGGAAGGCAAGUGCAGAGCAUACUUCCUUAAGUUUUCACAAUGAACAAAUUCAAUUCUUUGUUCUUUUUCUUUCUUUAGAUCUUCAUUUGCAGAGAGAGAGAGAAUAGAGUUUAGAAAUUCAUGGUUUUAUGAAAACACACGAGAUUUUAUUUCUUGGAAAACUUCUAUAUCUUACAAGCGAGGGGAGAAUCCUUUAUAUAGGAGAAUUCUCGGGGAGAUAGGACAGGACCCCUAUCUUUUACAAGAGGAAAAGUAAAAGAUACAUCAUGACACAACUUUAAUUAUUACAAAGUGACAAAGUAUGCUUUAAUAAUUAAAGCAUGACUUUGACAAAAGCAAAAGCUUAAAGUAAAAGCAAACUUUAAUAAUUAUACAAGACAAAAGCAUAAAGUGAAUUACAACACACAAAGAUAAUUGUGCAGGUUGGAUUGGAUUUCAUUGUCAAUGACAGCUGGGUGAGGGGCAGUAAACCAUUCAUAUACCUGGUCUUGAGUCCAAAAGAGAUUUGUGUCUGGAUGUUGGAAGUAUGGCCUGUGAAUGAUAAAUACUAAUGUGAACAGUUGUGCUUCAGAGGCAAGCAUACGGUCAAGAUUGUAAAUCUCUGACAGUUGUUGUAGCUUCUUUCUCCACCAUGGGAUGGGGGAAAACCAUUCAAGUAAUGUCCAGGUAAGAGAGGUGGCUUUGUCGGGAUUAAGAAGAUGUUCCAAAGUGGGAGUAAUUAGUAGGACUAACUUGGUUGCAUAAAGGACAGUUAGGCACCAGAUGUACCAUAACACAUCUUCAAUGGUUUCUUUGGAUGGAUCAAGGGUUAAACCUAUAAGGAAUAGAUUUUCUGGGUGGAAGGUGGAAAAGGGAAAGGAGUUUGUUACAAGGUAGGCUUUCAUGAAGAAGCGAAAUAGAGCUUUCCUUGCAAACUCUUGGAUGGCAAAGACAGAAGAGAAGUUUUUAUCAAAGGGAAAAGUUUUCUUGGUGAGAGCUUCUGGGGGUAGUGAUGUAGCCAUGGAGAUGAUCAGAAAGUGGUAUGUAGUGGAAAACAGGGUGAGAGGUUUUUUUGGUUUUGAGAGUCUGGAUAGCAUAUCCGGGAUGAGGUUCUGGGAUCCCUUUAUAUGCUUGACCGAAAAAUCAUAUUUGGAAAACCAAUCUUUUAAUAUGAGUAACAUUUUUUUCGGGAACAGUUUUACCUUUGAAAUUGAGAAUAUUGGGGAAGGCUGAACUGUCCAUUCGGAUGAGAAAAUGGUGUCCAAUCAGAUGAUACUCAAACUUUUUGAUGCCAUUCUUUACCGCUAAGAUUUCUUUGAACACACUAUGGUAAUGCUUCUGUGUGUCAGAAAACUGUCCACUAGCGUAAGCGAUAAAGUGUUCUUUUCCAUUGAUUUCUUCAAGGAGGAUGGCACCCCAUGAUUCAUCACUUGCGUCUGUCUGCAAGAUGCGCUUUCCAUUAGUAAUCAACUUUAAAGGAGGCAGAUUUUGCGCAAUUUGCUUAAGAGUAGUGACAGCAUUCGUGAGGUCAGCAUUCCAUUAUGGGGGCUUCUUUUUUAAUAAAGCUGAAAGGUGGCAAGUGUAGUGGUCCACAUGUGGGAUGAAGUCUCUGAUGUAAUUGAUGAUGCCGAGAAACUGUUGAACUUGCUUUUUGGAAAGUUGCUGAUCUGAAAAGUGAAGCAAUUCUUGGGCAGUAUGCUUUUUUGGCUGAUAAUGGCCAUCUUUUAUUAUCAUACCAAGGAAUUCAAUAUGAUUCGUGGCAAUGGUGCUUUUCUUGGCAGACAGCAUGAUUCUAUGACUUUGGACAAAAUCAUAGAAUUGAGUUAACAGCUAGCAAUGUUCAUCAUGUGAUCUUGAAAAAAGUAAGAUAUCAUCAAUGUAAAUCAAUGCAUGAUGUAGGAUAGGCUGAAAGAUUUUGACCAUGGAUUUUUGAAAAAUGGAUGGGGCAGUUUUGAGGCCGAAAGAAAGGACUGUCCAUUGGAAAUGGGCAUUUGGGAUACAAAAAGCAGUUUUGUAACGCUCAUAGGGUUCAAUGCCUAAUUGCCAGAAACCUGAUUUUAAAUCAAAUUUUGAAAAGAUCUGGGCAUUUUUGAGAAAAGUAAACAUGCUUUGUCUACGGGGCAAGGGAAACUUGUCAUCUUACAAAAACAUGUUUAAUGGCUGGUAGUCAAUGACUAAGCGUUUCCUUCCUUGAACAAUUUCAGAAUGCUUUUCAACAUAAAAGGCUUGGCAAGCCCAUUGAGAAUUCGUAGGCUCAAUUAGACCUUGGGCUAACAAUUGGGAACAUUCCUGUUGGGCUAGGAGUAAGUCAGAAGGACUCAUUCUUGCGUGAGUAGCUUUAGUUGGGUUAAUGUCUUCAUUGAGUUUGAAAGGUAACUUAAUGAAGAAAGACUUAUUUUUCCGUAAUGGGUUUGGAUGGGUGAACUUAGAAUGGGACUCUGGACAGAAACUCAAAAGUUUGGUUGAAAUAUCCUGGUAGGACUGAGGGGUUUCAGACAGGUUGUAGAGUUUCAGAAUGUCCAUGAACUGGAGCUGUCUGUAUUCGCCUAAACUUUCUACCCAGUCUCGUAAAGAACCCGUGGAGCGGGCCAUGGACUUGACUCAAAUUCCAUUGGGAAGGAUUUGGAGGUGUUUGAUCUGGUGAAGGAUGUCAAAACCUAACAAGAGAUCCUUAUUAGGAAGGGUUGAACCGAUAACCUUUGUCCAAAUGACACAAUUGGGGAAAAUUUGAAUACCAAUGGGUUUUUUGGUAAUCAGAGAGGUGGUGAAUAGUUUGCCAUUGACAGCUUUGAAAUGUUCGUCAUAUUCUGUCCAGUAUUCUGGUGGAAGAAUAUGUGCGUUUAACAUGCUGCGUUGGGCACCAAUGUCGAUGAGAGCGAUUGCAGGAAUGGGCCUUUGAAACUUUGAUGGCAAGAUCUGGAGUUUGACGGAAGGUAUAGGAACAGUAGUGUCAAGGGACAGUAACUGUUGGUGGAAAAUUACUUGGGACUGAUCACUGUCUAAGUCAUCAGAGGAAUUUUGCAGUGCGAACAUAGUUUCAUCAUUAGGUUCAUCUUGUUCAGAGAAAUAGAAUUCUAGUUCAUCCUUCUCAGGAGAGUAGUCUGUAGUGGCUUGAAGAUGCUCAACUAUCCGAAUAGAUUUUUCCCUUUUGUUGGGAUAAUCUUUAGCAAAAUGACCUUUUCUCUUGCAGAUGAAACAUUUGCUUGAUUUUCUCCGUUUAAAGUCUCUAGAAGAAGAUGACCUUUUCUAGAAGAAUCUGUAAGGCUUUCUGGAUCUGUGAGGUCUGGAUGAAAAUUCUGGAUUUUUGAAUUUCCUAAAAUGCAUUUUCUUCUUAGGACUGCAAGCACAAUCCUUUUUCUUCUGACAUUUGAUCUGCAAGUAAGGCUUUUUACAAGCACUCCGGAAUGGUUCUUUAUCUUUCAACAGUUCUUUGAAAAACUGUUUCUGAUCGCAAAGUUUGUCGAGACAAGUUUUGGCAAGCUGAAAGAUUUUGCCAAGAGAGAUUUUGUCAAGAACAAGAUUGGAUGCAGUGAGUUGCCGCUGUAUGUCUGGUUGGAGUUCUUCUAGUAGGGAGGCCAGAAAGACAUUCUUUAAUGUCGGCUCAUUGAAUCCAUUAAGCUUACAGAACAGCAUGGACAUUCGUUUGUAAUGGAAAUCAAGAUCCUUAGCAUUGAGGGAACAACAUUUCAUGUUGAGAUAGUCCCGACGUGCAGCUUCAAAAACUGCAGAGGGGUCUCCAAGGAAUUGAUCAUGGAGAACCGCAAGGGCACUUGAAACUUCUGGUAAAUCAACAAACUGUAAUUGGCGGUAGCCCCCUAAAGAAUCAAACCAAUCUCUUAGAGCACCCGUAAAACGAGUAGCAAAUUCUCUAAGGACUGAUUGAGUUGUGGCUCCUGGCCGUAGCAUUUGGAGGUCAAUCCAGGCAGACAUUUCAUUAAGUCGGUCACGCCAUUUAUGAGAUGGAAGAUCAUCAAAUGUGAACCAUGGACCAUUCGACGAUUUUUGACUUGUGGAACCGGUCUGGGCUGGAGCUUGAGGGGGUUGGUUUGUGGCAGAAGAUUCAGGCAUUUCUUCUUCAACUUCGGAGGGAAUAUCAACAUAUGGUUCUGUAUGAGAAGGCUGGCCUUGAGCAGGGUGAUCAGGUUGAGCCAUCAAGAUCUUGGUGAUAUCAGCAUAGGACUUUUCAGAGUCACUGGUGGAUGCUGAAGAUUCUGUGUCAGUUUCGGUAUGGCUAACAGAAACAGCUAGAUUUGAAUCAGAAGUUUAGUCAUCUAAAAAAGAUGAGUGGUCGACUGUGUGGGCACUAAACUGGUGCAUGGGUUCUUUAUCCUUGGAUUGGGUAGGAGGUUGGGAUAAAGAUGCUGAUGGAGGAGCUGGCGGUGAUGCCGGCGUAUAACCAGGAGAUGGUUGGCCAAGGAUGGAAAUGGAUGAAUGAUGAAUUGUGACGGGUCGCGGUUGUGGUCUAGGCUUUGAUUUUGGUUUAGGUGGUGGUUGUAAGGGAUGGUCUCUAAAAAGAGUAUGAGUCAUGCCAAAUAACUUGGAAGGAUCAUACUGUUUGAUCGGGGAAAGCAUAGAGGCAAAUGGAUGAUAAGUUGGGCUAAUGGAAGGGAUAUGAGGGGAUGUGGUAAAAAGGGUAGGUCUUUGUUUUUCAGAUUCAAUCUGAUCAAGUUCAGCUUUUAAGCGUCUGAUUUCCCUUUCCUUUUGGUCAAAUUCUGGGCUAUAGUAGUGCUGGGCCAGCAUAGUUCGUAACUCAGAAUCGAGUUGAGCAAUUCUGGACUGGAGAUUGUGGUGGAUCUGUUGCAUCUGUGCAGCGAUGGAGUCAACUUUUGUCUCAAGUUGUUCUAUUCACAAAUUGAUUUUUUCAACUUUGGAAUUGAUAUUCAACAAAGUAUCAUUCUGUUCUCUGGCAUUUUGGGUUUGCUAGUUGAGGACUGAUUCAAAAGGUUUGGGAGGUUCAAGGUGGCCAGAUGAGGUAAUUGGUGAUGGGACAAAGGGUUUGGACACAACAUUUCGUUGGGAAUCUGUAUGAAUGUCUAAAGGAGGAAAAAAAGAAGAAUAGUCUAAAGAAGUAGAUGAAAACAUCAUACAAGUCAGUGGUGGUGUUGGAAGUGGGAUUGGUGAUGGAGUCUCAGAUUUGCAAUGCUUUGCAAUCCAUUGGAGUUCCUUUUUGUAAAAGGGUAAUAGAGCUGGUGGAGGUGGAGGAUCUUGUGGUGGUUUGGGGUCAUAGUGGUGGCAUGAGAUUGGAGAUUUUUUCUUUUUGGGUUUCUUUUUCCUUGUGGUGGAAUAAUCAUUAUCCUCUUCCCAAUCAUCCCAGCAGGGACAAUUUGGGUCACACAUGCUUGAGCCGGGGACAUCCCAUAGGAAAUGUCCAUGUUGCUUUGCUGGAUAUACAGGGUAGCCGUCAGAAUUGAACCCUGUAAUGGGCAUGUCUUCUUGGGCUGUCUGAACAGCGUGGACCAUUGAAGAAUAGGUAAAGGAGAGCCGAGGAGGCUCUUAUGGAGCACUUGGAGGCGGUUUAAAAGUCAUUCAGACUGUUCCAUCUUGGUGUCUUUCAAACAUGCUUUCAGAUGUCUGAAUUGGAGCUGUAUUGUUAUGGAACUGUUCAUAGUUGGAGAUCCAUUCAAGAGGCAUAAGCUUGAUGAGCUCAUGACGAGGAAUUUGUCUUGGGAUGUGGAUUAUGGUUGGGAUCUGGUCAGAUUCGGCUAAUACCAUGAGGGUAUCAGGAUGGUGUUUUGGAGUGGGGAGAUCUAAGGCAUGAUUUUGAAGCCUAUAGACCAAGUGGUGGUGUAAGGUGGCAAUUUUGGCAGAAGAAAUUUGUUCAGCACCUUGGAUCUGAACUUGGACUUUUAAGGUUGUGGGCAAAUUGGGGUCUUGGAGAGAAAGGUUAAAGUUUGGAUAAAAGGUGAGUAAAACACUGCCUACAUGGAGAGUUGUGAGGACAGUGCCAAUAACAGCAUCUUGGUACUAUUUGAACCGAGUAUCAAGCAUGGCAAGGCAAGCUGUAACCGGUAAUCCUUUUCUUCCAUGUAGGGUAAGAAUCAGUCUGAUGCCUCCAAGAUGAAGAUGAGUAUAACCUUCGCAUUUCCAAUUGGAAAGCAACUCUGAGGGGAUUUCGAGAGUAACAUACUGCUCAGCAGAGGUGGCUUGAAGAGCACAUUGAUCCAGGCGAGAAGACUGGAUAUAUUCUUUGGGGUGAGGCCGUCUAGUAGAGAUGAGAGUACGGAGACUACGAGUAAAGGAACUGGGGCGUUUGUACAACUAAUAAGGGCUAAUGAGAGGGUAGGAUGACUCACUGAUUUGGGCGGAUUCAGGGAUGUAGGAAUAUUCGACAAGGUUUUUGAUCUUAUUAGUGGUACGAUAAGUGCAAGAUCUGGGCAAAGAAAGAGUAGAAAAAAGAGUAACAGGAGUGGAAGAUGAAGUGGAAGCCAUGAAUGAGAAGUGCUCUCUCUGCGCCUGAAGACUAAAGAUCAAAAGAGAAAAAGACUUAAAUCGUAUCAUUUUGAGCAGGAAAAGAAGAGGUUUUGAAAACAGAAAAGUUUCAAGGACUAAUUGAGUAUUAAAGAUAGUUAAUGCUUUGCCAAUGUUAUUCUAGCUUCCAAAUAUGAUUUGCAAUGACUUGCAUGAAGAACAAACAAGGGCUUAUCAAAUUAGAAAGAGAAUCAGGCACAAUCAUUGUUUCUCAAUCUGUUUUGAAAAUGAGAUCUCUUAUUUUCUUUUUACUUUAGAUUUUUUUUAGAAUCAACAAGAUCUUUUAUUUCCUUUUACUUUGGGAUCAACAAGAUCCUUUAUUUCCUUUUCACUUCAAGUUAUAUUUAGCAAUAAGAAAGCCUUAUUCCACUAGUAAAAUUCAACUAUAUAAACCCAUGUAACUCUAUUGAGAAUUUCAGAUCUGAUUUUGAAAUAAUAAUGAGAGCUUUUCUCUUUAAUUUUUCAAAAGGCAAGUGAGUCAGUUUAUAGAGAAGAGGUAUGUGCAUGAUAGCAUGAGUUCUUGUGAAAUUCCAGUGUUGCUUGUGCCUAAAAAAGAUAGGUCAUGGAGGAUGUGUUGAUUGUUAUGCCAUCAACAAUAUCACUAUAAAAUAUAGGCAUCUCAUUCCUAGAGUAGAUGACAUGCUUGAUGAAUUAUAUUGUUCUUGUGUUUUCUCUCAAUUAUGGAUAUCAUCAAAUUUGGAUGAGAGAAAGUGAUGAGUGGAAAAUUGUAUUUAAGAAAAAAUAUGCUUAUACGAGUGGUUAGUUGUGCCAUUUAAAUAAACCAGUGCACCUAAUACUUUCAUGAGAUUGAUGAAUUGUGUUUUCUGUACCUUUAUUGGUAAAUUCGUGAUCAUAUAAUUUGAUGAUAUUAUGAUUUAUACCAAAAACUUAAUGAACGUGUUGAAAUAUUUAAAUCUUAUUUUAGAUGUUUUAAGAAAAGAGAAGUGGUUUGCUAACCUCAAAAAGUAUACUUUUUGGAAAAAUAAGCUAGUAUUUCUUGGUUUGUUAUUGAUACUGAACGAAUUGAGAUAGAUGAAGAAAAGAUAAAGGCAAUUCAAGAUUAGCUAAAACUUCCAAGUCUGUUAAUGUUAAGAGUUUUCAUGGAUUAGGUAGCUUUUAUAAAAGAUCUAUGAAAGAUUUUAGUAGCUUAGCUGCACCUUUGACUGAAGCAAUUCAAAAGAAUACUAGUUUUAAGGGGGGGGGGGGGGGGGAAGAGAACAAGAAAAUGCUUUCUUUGAUUAAAGAGAACUUAACUAAUGCAUACCUGCUUGCUUUACUUAAUUUGUUAAAACUUUUAAAAUUGAGAUGAUGCUUUUGGAAUAGGCAUUGGAGUUGUUGUCAAGAAAAAGGUCCCAUUGCAUAUUUUAGUGGAAAGAUAAUUGGGAUGGCCUUAAAUUACCCUACAUAUGACAAAGAAAUGUCUGCAUUAAUUAGGGCUUUGGAAACUUGCCAACAGUACCUUUGGCCAAAAGCAUUUGUGAUUCAUAUGGAUCAUGACUCUUCGAAGCAUCUAAAAUGCGAGACGAAUGCCAUGUCAAGUGGGUGGAGUUCAUUGAAACUUUUCCUUAUGUGAUCAAAUACAAGCAAGGUAAAGAAAACAUUAUGGCUGAUGCAAUAUCUCGAAGGUUACUUUCUAACUUAGAUACAAAAACAUUAGGUUUUGAAUAUACUAAAGACUUCUAUGUUGGUGAUUUUGAUUUUGGUAAUAUACUCAAUGCAUGUGAGAAAAUGGCAUUUUACAAAUUUUUUAGGCAUAAUGGUUUUUGUUUCGGAAAAAUAAGUUCUACAUACUUAAAUGAUCAUUUCAUGACUUACUUGUUAAAGAAGCUAAUGGGGGUGGUUUGAUGGGGCAUUUUGGUAUAUCUAAGACUUUCGAUGUUUUGCAUGAACACUUCUUUUAGCCUCAUAUGAAACGUGAUCUAGAAAAGAUUUGUGAGAACUGUGUUACUUGUAGACAAGCUAAGCCUAAAGUUAAGCCUUAUGGUUUGUAUACUCCUUUGCCUAUACCCAGUGAACAUUGGACUAACAUAUCUAUGGAUUUUGUGUUAGGGUUAACUAGGUCAAAAAUGGGUAAGGGCUUUAUUUUUGUGGUCGCUAAUAGGUUUUCUAAAAUAGCACAUUUUAUUCUGUCAUAAAACUGAUGACGCAUCACAUAUUGUUGAUUUCCUUUUUCAAAGAGAUUGUAAGAUUACAUGGCAUGCCUAAAAGUAUUGUUUUAGACAGGAUGCAAAGUUCUUUUUUUUUUUUGGGAAAACUUUAUAGGGUAAGUUAGGAACUAAACUUUUGUUUUCUACUACUUGUCAUCUAACUAAUGGACAAACUGAAGUAGUUAAUAGGACUUUAUCUAUGUUGAUUCUUGCUAUAAUGCAAAAGAACUUGAAAACAUGACAAGAAUAUUUGCCACAUUUAAAAUUUGCAUAUAAUAAGAGUGUGCAUUCAGCAACUAAAUUUUCACUUGUUGAAAUUGUGUAAGGUUUUAAUCCAUUAGCUCCUUUAGAUUUAAUCCCUUUACUUAUUGAUAAACGAAUUAAUUUUGAUGGAAAAAAGAAAGUUGGCAUUGUUAGGCACAUCCGUGAAAAGGCUAGAUAAAACAUUAAGAAGAGAACUAAAUAAUAUGCUAACCAAGCUUAGAAGGGGCGCAAAAAAGUUGUAUUUGGACCUGGAGAUUGGGUUUGCUUGCAUAUAAGCAAGGAAUGGUUUCCUAUUCAAAAGCAUUUGAAGUGAUUGAAAGGAUUAAUGACAACAUGUUUAAGUUAGAUCUUCUAGGUGAGUGUAACAUAAGUGCAAGCUUUAAUGUUGUUGAUUUAUCUCCUUUUGAUGUAGGCAAAUAUUUAACAAUAAAUCCUUUUCAAAGGAGAGAGAAUGAUGAGAACCGGGUUACUAAAACUUCACAAGAUCUAUUUAACUUCCAUAGAGGUUACAUGAGAAGAACCAAAAAAAUAAAUGAAGCAUCAAAUGGAUUAAUUGAGCACAUCUCAAAUUCAUGCCUUGUCCAAGACAAUAAUAUACUCUAAUUAAGUAUUCAAGAUAGUCAAUGCUUUGUCAAUGUUAUUCAAGCUUAUAGAUAUGAUUUAGAGUGACUUGCAGGAAUAACAAACAAGAACUUAUCAAAGUAGGAAGAAAAUUAAGCACAAUCCCUGUUUUCUAUAUUUUAUAUUUUCACUAUUAAAAUAUUUCUGCCCAUUUUUUACUUAACUUAUUAAAUAAAGAUCUUAUUAAUAUACUAAGGUUUGGUAAAAACUUUCUACUAUAAUUUAAUAAUCCUAAGAACUUUUGUAAUUCUUUUGUAUCUUCUAUUUUGUUUAGGAAAUCUAAAAUUUUACUAUGUGUGCUUGUAAUUCUAUAGUUCCUUUAUUUAUUGUGAGUUCUAAAGAAUCUAUUUUUUGUUUCAAUAAUUCAAUUUUCUUUUUAGAAAUUACUAUAUUAUUAUUCUUAAAACAAUCUAAAAUUUUAUGUGAGUUAUAUGCACAAAUUUAUUAUGACUAAAAACAAGAGUAUCAUCUGACUAUACAAAAUUUUAAAAAUGGUUUUAAUAUUUUAUCCAUUCUAUCUUGAAAAACUUAUGAUAUAUUUUUUAAUCCAAAUAGCAUUACUAACCAUUCAAAAUAUCCUUUUGAACAACUAAAAGCUAUCCAUGGAACAAAUUCUUCAUGGAGUCGUAUUUCCCAAAUUCCACUUUUACAAAUCAAAUGUAGAAAAAAUAUCUAUCAUUUUUUAUACGAUUUACUAAUUCAUCUUUAUUGGAUAAUUUAUAACUAUUAUCUGACAUAUUAUCGUUUAAUCUUUUAUAAUUAAUUACCAUCUUACUCUUACCUCGUUUUUGUUCACUAUGGUUAUUUACUAUAAAUGUUGUACUUCUAUGUCUACUUGUACUAUUUCUUAUUACUUUUAAUUUUAUUUCUAUCUUCUAAACUAUAUGCUAAAUCUUGUUCUUUUAUUGUUAUGUCUGAAUUAAUUAUUUCUAAUUUAUAUACCACUUUAUUAUCUUUUCUAAUUGUCUCUAAUUUUUCUAACUCUUCUACUUUUUUCUUAAUAUUUUUGAGCCAUCUAUCACAUUCAAAAUAUUCAACUUCUAGAACUUGGUUGAAUGAUUGUAGAUUUUUUAAAGAAAUUUACUCCAUUUGAAGUUAUUAAUAUACUAUUAUUUCCUAAUAAAACGUUCAAGGAAAAUUCUAUGAUGUUUUUUUUAUACUUAUUACAUGUCCAAGAACUUGAUGUUAUUUUACCUUACUUUCAGGGAAAAACAAAAAUCAGCACCGACAUUAUCAUAUAAGCCAGAUGAUAAAUUUUAAAUUUUGAAUUAGCAGUGUGCCAAAAUUGUGAGUAAAUAGGUGAUAAUUUUUCCAAGUGAAAAUAAAUAAAUAAAGAAAGAGGAAAAAUGAAAUGAAAAUGUGAAUAUUAUAUACCGAUCCCAAAACUAGUAACCACGUUGCAAAAUAUGAGAAAUUGUUUACUGUUCCUAGAUCAUCCACCAAAAUUACACAGAUGCACUUCUAAGGCUAAACCAAGAUAAACAUCAAGCCAAAUCUAGUCGUAUACAUCAUUCUCUACCUUAUACAAUCAAGGCUUUUGACCUUGGCUUCUGAUACAAAAAUGUCAAUAUCAGAGAAACAGAACAAUAAUCAUUCACAAUUCAGUCCAUAAAUAAUGUUUCUCAAGAGUUCACGACUGAAAAAUACAUGCACUCUUCACAUAUCUCAUAUGGCAGUGAGGUAACACAACGUAAAAUAGGCGAAAAAAAAAAGAAUAACAUUUACCAAUAUACAUGCAUCACUCUGUUACUGCACUAUCGUCUAUCCAUCACCACAUUUCUGUCCAAGGUUGUAUGAAACACAGAGAUGACAAAUAAUCCAUAACGGUGUUUGUAUUGUUAAUCAAAUCAGAAAUAUUGAUCUAACCAGGAGACACAAAAAGUUGAAUAUGGAUUACUGGAAUCUGCUUCAUUUCCACGAAGAACCACCUAGCCUUAUCACCUCUUCAUCAUUAGUAUCCCUCCUUGCAAUCCGUUCAGGUCCAGCAACUUCUUUUUGAUCACUUACAUCACCAUACAGAUCCUUAAGCUUGGCAAGGUUGCUAGAUGCAGAUGUCUUCUCCUUGUUUCCAUCUGUCUGCGGACUUGGAUCACGAUCAAUACAUGCAUUGCCAGUUUGAAGACUCCGACUUCUGCUUCUGCUCCUGCUCCGGCUCCUACUACGCUUCCUACCUGAAUUGGCUUCUUUAUAAUGUCUCCUUCCAUCAUGUCUGUUCUCGUAUUCCCUUCGACUUUCUCUCUCCAAGUACCUAGAUCUCCUGUCAUAAUCACGCCGCUGCUCCCUUUCUCUCUCCCAUUCCUUGUCCCUGUCUCGGUCCCUCUCCCUGCCACGAUCAUGACCUCGAUCCCGGUCCUGGUCCCAGUCUCUUUCCAACUCCCUAUCUCUGUCACGCUCUCUACCUCUGUCCCGGAUCCGGUCUCGAUCCCUCUCCCUAUCAAAGUAUUCCCUAUCAGAAUAUUCAUGACUACUGCUGCGACGGUUUCUAGGAGAUCUUCGUAAAUCUUCACUGCUAGCUCUAUCAUACAUGGGUGGUGGUGGUAGGGUGCGACGUACAGGGGAUGAGUCCCUCGUUGAUGCACGAUGAGGAGCACGUUGGCCAAAAGAGACUGAAAGUGCAGCUUUUACAGAUGGAGGUCGUCGUGCAGUAUCGUCAGAUCCAUAGCGGUUAGUAUCCCCAGUUACACCUGAGUGUUUUGAGGGGAGCUUCAUCUUCUCAAGAUUAAUUAUAAUCUGCCGCAGAACAGGAACGGGGAUGCGAGGGAAGAGGGUAUCAAAGUAGUACUGCAUUAGGAUAAGACAACAUGGUAAUUAAUGUCUUUUACUUAAUGAUAGCUAGGGGUGGUCAACAAAAUGAAGCUGCAGAAUGCAACAUAUUAAGCUCAUAAUCUAGUAUAUAAAAGGACAUUUGGCCAUACAGAACAGAACUAUUAAAGAAAGAAAAAAAGUAAUCAAAUAAUUACAAAUAAACAGGGAGACACACAGGAUCAGGACAAUUAUUGGUCAACAGCAGUUCACACAGAAACCAGGCACAGAGAAAGCAUAACCCUGGCUUUGAACUCAACAAAGAAAGGAGAAUUGGCACUUUUCAUAACAAAGCCACAAUAUAAACCACAGCAGUUUUCCAGUCAACAUCUGCUCUGUGCUUGAAGACUUUCAGAAUAUGUUUUUGUUGCAUGCCUUUCCUGAAUGAUUACUAGUAACCAGACCAAUAUGUUCCAAAUGAAAGUAAGAGGGAAAAAAAUGACGUACUCAAAACUGUUUUCCUACUUGAAAUAAUCAAUUUGAUCAAGCACUUGCCAUCUGUUUUUAUUAGUUGAUUCUUUGCCAACAUUAUAAAUGUUACUUGACAGCAUGAAAACACUAUCUGCCAUCUAUCCAAGAGAUGUUAUAGACAAAGAACACCGUUGUGUUGUCAAGUCAAGAAAAAUAGGGACUCAUCAUCAAAGGCUAACUCAGAUUCAGAUUUAGGAUGGAUUAAGCACAGAUGCACAAUAGAUACCUUUCACAACAAGAAGAAAGAAGUUAAAACUUUUUUAAAACAUGAAAAACCUAGUAUUUAUCUAUCAAGAAAAAAGUCAGUCAAGAAGUUGGGGCCUCAUCAUCAUGGCCAACUGAGUUUAAGAAAUAUAUGAUGCAAUAACACAGGUGGCCAACUGAAUGUGUAUCGGCCAACUAAGCUUGUUCACGUACAAGAGUAGGGUAAAUAUGUGCAGUAUCAAUCUAAAAGUUCAAUACAACAAACCUGUCCAAGAAGCAAAUCACGCACAUAUACACCCAUUGUGGUCACUCUUCCGUUCGAUCCAGGAGAGAAUUCCUGAGAUACAAUAAUAGGAUUUUGGGGUGUUACUAUGUAUGUAAUAAAUAGGAAAGUGAAGUAUUGGAAUAACAAAUUGUCAGGACUUGUAGAGUUGUUCAUUAUUCUAUGCAAUGAACUUGGUGAAUUAGACAAAUAAAUAUUUAGCAAGACAAAAACUAAAAAGGUAGCAGCUACAUCAAUCCAGAAAGGAGAUAUAACAGGAUUAUUGAGGAUAGAAAUGAGUUCCAGAAAUGCCUGGGUGACAUCACCAAUCCAGAAAACAAUAUAAUUGAAAGCUAAAUAAAUACUUGAAUACUAAUUUAUUUAUUAAGAUCAAAAACUGGGAAUAGAAGAUCCUCGAACUGAAGAUGUACUGCUUUCCCGUCUCCAAUAUUUGAAGUGCCAAAGCACUACAUCACCCACACCACUUCAAAAUUCAGGGUCAUUGAAAGAAUUUCCAACAACAGCAUAAUGAGUUUGAUUGUGUUGACACUCUACAACUUCUGUGAAAAGAUACCACAGUCAAAAUAUAGGAACUUUGGAAGUUUAAGAUGAUCUCAAAUCUGAUAUUCUAAAGCCAAGUUUUAUUUUCUUCCCAAAACAUAGAAACACUUAAUGCUGCAACAGCUGGAAAGAAAUUUAAUAGCAAGGAACAUUUUCCACGUUACCAAACUCCUAAAAUCUUGCAAGGAUAAAAGGAAAAGACAUUAUGACGCCCAAUUACCUUCCAAUCUAUCAAAAUGAUAGUUAUACAAAUAUCGAAAAUUUGAAAUGCUAGUUUUAGUCCCAGCCGUUAGCUUAUGAGUGUUAAAUGUAAACAGAGUAAGGGUGAAAGGGCCAAUAUAAAUGACAGCCAACUAAAUCAAGAUAAUAAUUUUAUGAGCGACAAUGUUGAAAAAAGGGUAAUAGAAAAACAAUGCAAAUCCAUCUAUAUUCCCAUCAUCUCUCUCAUUUCUCUCAUUGCUAACUUAAAUCUUCAAACUCUAUUAGGAUCACUGAAAUCCCAAUCAAUUGAAGUUAAAGAAUCAACAUAUGUAUUCUGUUGAGCCUCCUAUUUCGGCUCAGUGACUAAACCUCUAUUUUUCACAUUAUCAAACUUUUUUCUUCAUCAGACUAUAAUGGAUGAGGGUUUAUUUUAUGUUUUUGCUUUGGUUUUAGCUUUCUGAGAAAGUAUUUAAAGAUACAGAAAACUGCAAGUGUGGACAGAGGAUGAUAGAAACCAAACUGAGCAGCCAGUUAUUUUGUUCAAAUCCAAAAUUCAACACUACCUUCAGAUUUUUUGUGAGGAAUAAUCUAGCAAUGCAAAUGAUUUUUUUGAUAACAGAUCUAAGCAAUUAAGAGUUCCAUCAAUCAAUAUGUGAUGCAAUUUUCUUCUGCAAUCGGAGUUGAAGGCGAAAAACAGCAUGAGAAACGGACCAACUACCAAGUGUUUAACAUUUUACACAAUAAAGCAUCAAGGGAAAGUGGUUUGGAGUUGUCAGCGUGGGCUUUGGAAAGUUUCAAUCAUAUGUCUGCACAUUUGAUAAAACUUAAGUGCACCAAGAACAUAUUAUUUAUCAGUAAAUCAAAGUUCCAAAAACAAAGUAAUAAAUAAAAGGGAGAUUGCCAAUUUCCCCCCUACAAUAAUCAACAUAUACCAUUUCUCCCCCUGCUGUUUUUAUAAUGGCCAAAAACCCCCCUGACAGUAUAAGUUUACAAUAUUACCCUUAUUUUCAACUACUCUUUUAUUUUCAUUUAUUAUAAAUUAAAUAAAUCACAUGAAUAGAAACUAAAUAAAAAAUUAAGCAUUAAAAACAAGAAAUAUAUGAUUUGAUAUGAGAAAAAAAUUAAUAAUAAAAUUUUUUUCUUGUACUUAUUUAUUUUGUGAAAAUUUUCUUAUAAUAAAUAUAUAAGAAAGUUAUUAUAAAAUGAUAAAAAAAUUAUUAUAAGAAAAUUUGAAUGACAAAUAAAAAUUUAUUAUAAGAUAAAUAAUAAAAUAUUUUACCUAUACUUUUUAUAUUUAAUUUUAAAAUGAUAAAAAAAUUAUUAUAAGAAAAUUUGAAUGACAAAUAAAAAUUUAUUAUAAGAUAAAUAAUAAAAUAUUUUACCUAUACUUUUUAUAUUUAAUUUUAAAAUAUUACAAAAUGUUUAUUAUAAGAAAAUGUUCACAAAAUAAAUAAGUACAAAAAAAAAUUUAUUAUUAAUUUUUUUGCUCAUAUCAAAACAUAUAUUUCUUGUUUUUAAUACUUAAUUUUUUUUUUAUAUAUAUAUUAAUUACUGUGGGGGGAAAGUGACAAUCCCCCUAAAUAAAAUGAAAAAAUAAAAAAUGAAGAGUGAUGAACUAUGUCUUCCUAUCUUAAAGAGUCUUUUAUAGGGUAAUACUAUCUUUUUAAGUAUUUGGGAUACCAUUGUCUUUCUAAAGGCCAACAGCAGUCACGGCCCUAUAACAAUCAGUAAUAGUUGAAAGUAGGAACCAACAUUAGAAUUUCCAAAUCUGUAAGGAUUUAACUGUCACUUUCACAAACUGCUGGGACGUUGGCUGUCAUUUUCCCCAUCUCAUAAAGUGAUUCACACUAGUUCCUUGCAAGUGAUAAAAUGCUUUUCAGGCUUAACAAAUUACUAAAUAUGAGAUGCUAACGACCAUAACCAGCUAAAAUUCAUUGUAUUACCUCUUCAUCUUUAAGAUAUUGUUCAAACCAAUUCCACAAUGUCUUUGGAUCUGCAGCAUAUCUCAAGUAGAGGAAACCGAUCUGCAAAAUAGUUAUAAUAAAUAAAUAAACAAAUAAAUAGGUAUCAAUCUAAAAAAUUACACCAUAAGAAUCAUGGAGUGAGAGGUAAUAUGCAUGUAAUACAUUCAAAAGGGAAAAUGUAAGAAUAGAGAUAAUGGACAUCAAGUUCUAAAAUCUGAAACUGCAAUGCCUGUUCCAGAGCCAUAAGUAGUUAUAACACUGUAGCAACAGCAGGUAAAGCACCGAUAAGAAUCAGAAAGCAAAUUUCGAUCCAAUAAUAAACUUUAAUAAAAAGAAAGCAACAGAAGAAAGAAAUCCUAGGACACAGAAUGUCUCAGUAACUAAGGGAAAGGACACCUCAAACCUUGUUUUCUGUAGAUAUCUGCUAAGCAAAGCAAGUGCAUUAUUAGAUGGAAACAAGAAAGUCUCUGCAACUCAAAGAAACAACGACACUUCAACCUUGAUUGUAGAAAUCUGCUUUGCAAAACAAGGGGAUCAUCAUGUAAUAUAUAUGCAUGUAUUCACACACCUAUAUCAUGGUGAAAGUGCAACAACUAGAACAAACCAUAUCACAUCUGUUUGGUCUAUUAAGUCAAUGAAAUAAAACUUAACUCUCAAAAUUUGUUGGUAGACAAAUUUUACCAGAAAAGGAUUACAUGUAAAAAUAAACACCAAAAAAGAAAUGCAUAGAUGAUAAGAUUACCAUCUGUUUCUCUUGGUAUUCUAAAGAAUUCCAUUUUAUACAGUUCCUUGUUAAGAAUAAUAUUAAUUGAUUAGAGUAACAUUUUGAAUUCUAUUUAACUUACAUGAUUUAAUAAGCAACUUUGCAGAUUGAAUAGAAAAUGGGAUUCUGUCACCAAUUCACCAUACUUAGAAACAAAUGACAGCAAAACAAAUGCAUAAUGGGAAUCCUAUGUUGGGAUCUAUCAUCUUUGAUACAAUUUUCAUUUUCUUAUCAAAAAAGGAAAAGAGAUAUUCUAUCACUAUACCCACACACUUCAAUCUCUUUUGAUUCAACCAUCUUGAUUGUCACCAAAGCAGAAACAACAAUAUUGGGUUUACUUUUAUCUUCAGACUUUGCAAUGAAACAAGUUUCAUUAGUUUUCACUAGCUUGGGUGGUGAUUUCCCAUUAUAUCCUAUCAAUUUAGAUAUUUUUGGCAUUGGUUGCUUUGAAUAACUGCAUCAUCAAUUUUUCUUAUCCACUGGCUAAAAGAACUACCAAAUGUUUAGAGACUUGAAAAGAAUUGGUCCUUCAUCAAAGUGAAUCUGAGAGGAAGAUAUUUUUUUUCAUCUUUUGAUUGAUCUCUCUCCUUGGUACUAUGUAAGGCUGAAUUAGUUCUAAAUAGUUUUUCCCAUCCAAAUUUUUGUCUAAAGUAAAAACAAUUCUAGACUCUUUGUCCUUGACACCAUAGCACCAUGAACACACGGCUCCUCGUAGUUUCUAUAAAAAAAAUAUGAAAUUCGAAUGUCAGCAGCCAAAACAUCAGUAGAAAUUGUUCAACCAAAUUUUAAUGAAAACCAUCAAUUUUAAGGAUAGCAUAUGUUACAUGAAUGAUCUGUCCAAAAUUUUCUAUGGUGACUCCAUGUUACUACUCUCAUAGCACCUUGUAAUUUGGAACAGAAUGGACCUAGAGUAAAAAAAGUGGGAAAAAAAGAGAGAACUGUUAAAGAAAGAAUGAAAAAAUAUGCAUGAAGAAAAUUAUGGAAUCUCACUGAUGCCUCUUAGAGCUCUUAUCAAGAAGAAAUUUUGAUGGAACCUAAUGGUAGAACAAGCAAGAAAGAUUAUUUUCCAAGUCUGAUUAUCCAUCAAAAGGUUUGCACAAGAUAACAAUGUAAUAAUAAAAACAAACAUAAUCAACAGGAACGAAAAAGAGAGAGAGAGUGUGCAAUCCAAACUCAAUGUCAACUACAUCACUUCACUCUCCCCACUAGCUAAAUCCAAAUAAAGAUUAAAUUCUAAUAACCUAAAUGUCAGUAGAGUCAAAAAAUCACUAUUUCACCUCAAUUUGAAAGAAAAAAGCGCCCCAAUGAUUGCAACAGAGCUACUUUACUUUCGAACAGCCAUCUGCAUUGAUAUCCUAAUACGAAGCAGUUCAAAUCCUACUUAAGACUAAAAAGAGAUUUUACUAAUAACUAAAAUGGCACAACUACUGGAUGUUGCAAUAUGCUAACUAGAAGGGAGAAGAUCGACCAAGGUAGCAGUAUACUAAGCUUUUAAUUAUGGAAAGGAAGGUAAGAGGAUGUGAAUUAAAAAGAAAACACAAUAAAAGAAAAAACAAAACUGAAGUGGAUGCCCAUUGGUGUACAUUUGCCUCCUGCAGCAUUUAGAUUAGUGAAUGCACUUAGGAGUCGAGAGAACAGAAAAGAGGAGAACAGUGAUGAUUAAUGCUACGUUUACUUUUUGGAUUGGAUUGAGAAUCAUGAGGAGUGGGAAUCCUAGGAUUGAGAGUGUGGAGUGGGAGUGGGAGUAGGUUGUUUACUUACACUGGAAUGGAAGCAUGGAAUAGAGAUCAGAAUCCAAUUUAUGUAUUUACUCUGUCUUGGAUUGAGAGUAAAUAGUUUCAAAUUAUAAUUUUAUCCUUAUUUAAAGAAUUAUAGUUUUUAAUUACAAAACUAAUAAAAAAUAUAUUUAAUGAAUAAUAUUUAUUUUAUUAUAUUUGUAAAUUUAUUAUAAUUAUUAACAUUCUUAAUUAUGAACAAUAAAUUAUUAAUUUUAAUUUUAAUAUAAAAUGAAACCUUAUUUUAUUUAAUAUAAUUAUAUUAAAUUUAUUAUUAUAUAAAAUAAUAAUAUAAUAUUAUUUAGUACAAAAUUAAUAUUUUCUUAGAAUAAACUAUUUAUUAUUAUUAUUAUUAAAUAAAUAUAGUACUAUUAUUUUUAAAAUAAAUAUAAUAAUAUUAUAUUUAUUAAUUCUCUAUUAAUAUAAUAAUAUUAUUUUAAAAUAAUUUUAACUUAGAAUCAAUGCAAAUUAUUAUUUAGUUAAAUAUAAUAUUAUUAUUCAAAUAAAUAUAAUAAUAUUAUUCAAAUAAAUAUAAUAUUAUUUAUUUUAUUUUAUUAAUUAUAAAAUAUUAAAUUAAAUUAAAUUAAAAAUAAAAUGGUAAAAAAGGGAGAGGUGGGAGUGGAUUCUCACUCCCACCUCCCCCAAUGGGAGUCCCACUCCCACUCCCCACUCCAAAAAUAGAUGGGGCCCACGGAGUGGGAUUCCCAAUCCCUUCCCAUUUUGAGGAAGUAAACGCUGGAGUGGGAGGAAUCCACACUCCUCACUUCCACUCCAACAAGUAAACAUAGCCUAAAUUGAUAGAAGCACAAUCACUGUUAAGUACAGCUCCAAUUCAUUGAAACAUAAGUACUGUGCAUGAAUGGUGCUAUGCUUGCAGCAUAUAAAUCUAUAAUGCUCUAAAUUUUGAAACUAGAUAACAAAACAAGAUAAUUAUGCCCACAUAAAUACGACAUUAAUGCCAAUACCUUCCAAUUCGCAAUCCACAUUGAACAACCAAAGACCACACACUCCCAUUAUAAAAUUGCUAACAAAUAACUGAAAAAACUCCCUUUCUUGUAAGAACUAAAACUGGUAUUUAACUUCCAAAUUGUCUACACAUUUACACAAGCACAAAUAGACAAAUAAAUAUAAAUCCUCUAUAAUAAACCUGUAAGAAAAUCAUUCUUGCAUUUGUACUAUGCUUAAAUUAGAUGUAUCCUAUCAAAAUCAAUAACAUAAACUAAAGUAUCAUAAGACCAUGAGUCAAUUCCCAGUCAAUACUAAUGCUCAACUAAAGUAAGUAAAGGCAGAGUCUCUACUUACCGCUCUGAUGUAAGGAGAAUCCGGGUGCUUCAGUAAGCCAUGCAUUUGUUUGACAGUAAGUUUCAUAGUGAAAAACUUGUAAAGAAGACAGAAUGCAGUUGAUGGACCACGACAAUUUCCAGUCAUCCAAGGUUCCACAUGAUCCACCUGAUUGUAAAUUUCAUCUAUCACCUCAUGGUAGGUCUUUAAGCGGUAAAGUUCUUUGAAGUAAUCAGACGAUAGUAUGUUCAUACAAAGGACCUUCUCCAACAAAGAAUCAAUUGGUUUACCGCAAGUCUGAAUUUCCGUCAUGGGUCACCAAAUUAAGUAUAUAAUGUAUUUAGUAUCAACGCAAUCUUAUUCCUAUAAGCAAUAUGAAACUUGUGAGUUAUACAAUUUAAGAAACAGAGAGAACAGUAGCAAAGCCACUACCGAAUUAUUUCUCAAUACAGGAAUACCAAAAUCAACGAAAAUAGCAAAUAAGAAAUUCAAAUUAGGUCAAGAAAAUAAUAAUAAUAAUAAUAAUAAUUUAUAGCUUUUUUUUCAACCAAACAGAAGCAGCUAAGGAAGUAAACUUUGAAUAUAUAUUGGGAUACAAAGAGAAAAUUAAAGCUUAACGAAGGAAUAUUGAAAGGGAAACACUAAAAAGCAUAAAUUUCCAGAGACUCAAAAUUUCAAAAUGAAUCAAAUCCCUGCCAGGCAGCCACCUAAAAUUCCAAAAUAAAAUACCAGCCCGGCUCAAUGAUGCAAUAAUGAUACCAAAUGACAAACAUAUAUAAUACAUUAAUAACCCAUCACCAUCAAUACUCAAGACAACAAAAAUUACAAUGUUAAGAAACCGAAUCAGCAACAAUUACAAAUGGCCAUUAUACAAAAGAAGAUUGAACAGUAUCAGUGCCUGUGACGCUCUUACCCAUGCCCAAAAGAAGAUUGAAUUACAAAUAACCUUACCCUGUGCGGGCUGACGACAACAAACGAAGCCGGAGGCAGCGACAGCUGCUGGAACAAUGAAGAAAAUCGAGAACGGCCAGAAGCUACCACGUCGACACACCUGAACCUAAGUGACAGCAGCGGCGGCGUGGGCGUGGGAGUUUGUUAGCGGCGGCAGUGGCUGCAGCGUGGGCGUGUGUGAGUGAACGUGUCGUUCUUUCUCUUUCACGAUAGAGAAGAAGUCAAGAAAGAGAGAAGGGGAAUUAGGGAUUGCUAUAUAUUGCGUUGGAGGGGGUGGGGGUGUGGAGAGCGUGGGGAAGGCUAACCGGAUUGGUUUUUCAGUAUCUGAACCGAAAUAUAAGUCAAUCAGUUUUAAAAAUUAAAUCCGAUUGAGUUGUUAUGGUUAAACCGAACCUGAAAUGCCCACCCCGUGCCCGUAGUAAGAAUGCCUUAACGAAUUUUGGAAAGCCUUAAAUUAUGUUAUCUAGGCGCGAGCGAACCACGACGUGUAAAUGACCAGGCCGACCGAACCGCUUAAUUUAAAGAGAAAAUAAAAAUAAAAAUAUGUAAAUUCAAAAAACAUAAAUAUGACCGAUUUCUUAACAUUAAUUUUUUUCACAUUAGACUCUCCAAUUAAAUAGUAUAUUAAAAGUUUUGGUACCAUGAUUUGUCCUUUUCUGUGUCAGCCAAUAAAUUUAAUGGAAAAAUUUUGCAACGGCUAGAGAUUUGUUCAAUUGAUUAUUAACAUUCCAAUCUCUAUUGUUUAUUGCAAAACCAUAAAUGUCAAAAGUUUUAAAAUAUAUAUACUUGUAAGUUGUUGUGCAAAUUUUAUUAAAAUCGCAAGUGAACGAAUCUAUUAUAUAAUAGAUUAAUAGUGACGAGUGUUGAUCUCACGAGGAGGUGAAUUUUAAUUAUAUAUAGAAUUAAUUUUUUAUGAGGGUAGUUGAAUUUGUGGUGGAAGUAAUUUAAACUAUCCUAGAAUUUAAAUGGGAAUGAUGGAAAUAAAUUGAAGUGAAAAUCUAUUAAAAUAACGUACUUAGGUAUCUGGAUUUGCAUCAACAUGCCCCAUGAGCUAAAUAUUCCUUAUUAUUGUCAUUUAAAUCAUGAGGGGAUUUCCACUCCUCAUGAACCACACUUUAAUCAAUAUGGUGCUAAGGGUUUAUCGUGCCAAAUAAUAAUAACCUUGUACUAGGGAGCCGAUGAAACCAGGACGGUAUCUAGACAAAAUUAUUACUAUUUGUCGACGAAAAGUCAAAACAUCCACAAUAAUUAGAGGGGAAGAGAAAGUAAAUUUACCAAAUAAAGCCCAUGACACAUGUUGAGACUUCACCUUCAACCCAAGCUUGAAAGAAAAUUAGCUACUCAUAAUUGAACUAGGGGUAAAAUGGGAAUUUAUUAAAAUACAUAGAAAAUACAAGAUGGAGAAGGAAUUACAGAAAAUUGAACUCAAAAAUGAAUUAAAGGAUGCCAAAUUAGGGGGGGAGACCCCCUUUUUAUAGAUACACUGAGUAUAAAUCAUGGCCAUCGGAUUAAAAAUAUUUUGGACGCUCAGGAUUGCGCCACGUCAUCAGUCAAUAGUACGCGGUUUGACCACGCGGUUUGAAUAGUGACACGAUUUGACCACGCGGUUUGAACAGUCAGACGACUUGAAUAGUGACGCAGUUUGGUUGUAAAUAAUCCCGUGUAUAUGCACGUACCGUACGCGCGAUUUUUGGUCCACUAACAGGCUGCCACGUCACCGAUCAACAGUACAUAAAAAUUUUAGUCCAAUAGAAUCGUGACACCUCAUCAGUGAAUGCCACGUCAUCGUUUCAUAUGUGUGAACAGUGUCGUGAACAGUAACAUGGACAGUACCGUAUAUGUGAAUAGUACCGUACAUGUGAACAGUGUCAUUUUUCCUUUUAUGCUUCUCCUAAGGUUUUCAACUGUCCUGAAUUCAAAAGUGAUGUCCGUUUUGCUGUCUGAUCUCUCGUUCAUUGUGAAAUGACCAUGAUGCCCCUAAAAUACAUAAAAUACUUAAUUAAAAUAAAACACACAUAAUUAAAUCACAAGAUGCUUAAAUAUAUAAAAAUAAGAAUGUUAGUGAAACUUGAAGUGUAAAAUGACGAUUUUCUCCUUUAUAAAUAUACAUUUUCUAACACUCAAUAUAAGUCAUAUUGCUUUAUAAAAAUGAAUGAUAGCGAAAGAGCAACAAUGUAAUCUCGUAUAAACAAUUUUUUUGUUAUGUACACAUACAUUUAAUCUAGAAUAAAUAAACUGAAUAUGUAUUGAAAAUAUCAUUUAUUAAAGAAAUUUGUGAAAUAAAAGUGUAGAAAUAAAAACCAUAUGAGAUUAUAGCACUUUAUUAUUUUACUUAUCACAUUUCCCCUUUCAAUAUUAGUUGACAUGUUAGUUUAUCCAUACACACAACUUGUUUUUUUUUUUUUUAAUAAGAAAAGGGAUCAUUCAUUCAAAUGAUUGAAUAAGUACAUAAUUUCCGAAGGGUAUGAGCCUUCCCAAACAACAGUUUCACACUUAUCUAAAGUCUGUUUAGCUAAAGAAUGAGCAAUGGCAUUAUAAGAUCUUAGAGUAUGCUGGACUUUAAUAGCAUUAAAAUCCCUCAUUUUGUUAUGAACUUCUUAAAUUAUCCAAUAAAUCUUUGUUCUACUGCUCUUCCUAUUGUUAACAAAAUCAAUAACAUCCUGUGAAUCUGAUUCAAUAAUGAUGGCUGACAAUCCUGCUUGAUUUGCAGCCCUACACAAUGGUCCUUGAAAUUAAUAGCAGCAUCCACAUUAAUCUUGCACCAAUUUGUUAGAGGAGGGCACCAAUUUGGACCUUUUCUUUCGACUCAAGUCUAAGUUUUGGGGUUAGUGCAUUGAUCCUUUUGAAAGCUUCCUGAUACAAAAAUCCCACAAUGAAACUUUGAAACUCACACUUAAAUUGCAGUUUCAACUUCCCAAGGAAGUUCUAAACAGAUUUAUGACAAGCAAAACAUUGACCCAAUGCUUAAGAAAAACAUGAACCAAAGGUAUAGAUAAUGAUAUUGACGCCACACUCAAAAAAUAGAUGAGAAUGUGAGUGAUAAGUCUAAAUUUGGAACGCCACAAGAAUGCAAAUUCUUGAUAAGUUCAUUAGUUCUCAAAAGAACCAAAGAAAGAAUAAUCUUUCAAAUUCAAAUAACAUUACUCUCUUUAUUGUCAUACAUAGCAAGGUUGCUGAGUUUAAAUAGGCUAAAAGAAACCCAAGAUCCUAAAAAUACAAAUGGAAACAUUGGAACAACCCUUCGAGUAUAGGUUUGUCAAAGGGUACUUUAAAAGCCUUCACCAACCCACCAUUAUUAAUGUUAGCAUUGACAAACAUAAUGCUAGCCCACCAUCAUCAAUGGUAGACUUACCUAACACAUUGAUAAACUUGACACAAAACAAAUAAAUGAAGUUGAAUAAUCAAAGGAGUCAUUUGAAUUCCCAAGCCUAAACAAGCUGUAAUAAAUUGAUCAUAACUCCUUCUAGAGAACUCCAAAUCCAGCUCUGUAAAAUGCAUUGGAAAGCUAACUUAAUUAUCUUUGCAACGGUAUAUAGUUUAUAGAUUAAUUCUGGCUCAAUCAAUACCAGAUUUAUUUCGAAUUUGCCCUUUCUGCAUUUGAUCCAAAUUGUGUAUUUGGCUGCCCAAUAGCUUGAAUAAUGCCCACAAUGCCUUGUCUUCUCUCCAAGCCCAAUUCAUGAUGUCUUGCAUCUUAAAUUGCAUUUUCAAUCCAUAUUUUCUCAAUUAAUCUAUUUAAUGCAGCUUGCAUGUUUUUGGGCCUCCAUGAAUGUGCAAAGGAUCACUUGAAGCUUUAAUGGUAUUCCCUUGAUGGUUCUCAUCAUUCCCCCUCUCUUCAAAAGGAUUCAUCCUCGAAUCUUCAUCUACAUCGAAAGGAGAAAGAUCAGAAACAUUAAAAGUAGCACUUACAUUAUACUCACUAGGAAGAUCCAAUUUGUAGGCAUUAUCAUUGAUUCGUCCAACCACUUGAAAUGGACCAUCUCCCCUUAGAAGCAACUUGGAACGCCUUUGUGCUGGGAACCUCUCCUUUCUCAUAUGCACCCACACCCAAUCUCCAGGCUGAAAAACCACUUGCUUGAAAUACAAGUAUGCAACCCAAGAGGGGGGGUGAAUUGGGAUUCUAAAAAAUUAUUCAAUUUAUUAAAGAAAAUUUUAAUGCAAUUAUAAAUCAAAUUCAAAGCAAUAACAAUUAAGAAGAUCACAAUAUAAAAAGAUAAGGGAAGAGAGAUUCAAACACCGAGAUUUUUACGUGGUUCGACCAACCUCGCCUACGUCCACGCCUCCAAGCUUUCCGGGCUUGAGGAUUCCACUGAGCAAGCCUCCAAGGCUUCAAAUGCUUACACUUGACUUCCAAGGUGUCAAUGGACCUUUACAACAAGAGAUUAUCCCCAAUCUCUUAACCCAAGUGUAUCCCAAUACUUCUAAAUUAAAUCAAUUACUCACCUUACAAUUCCAAGUUUCCAACGGACAAAUGAAUGAUUAAAUGUAACUGUUUAAUUUGCUGCAGCCUUGCAGAGUUGCAGGAAGCUUUGCAGUUGUAGACUUGUAGGUUUAGCGUGUUUGCCCGUUUUUUACCGUUAAAAUGUUUACUUUUUUAUUUGCCCGUUUUUUACCGUUAAAAUGUUUACUUUUUUAUUUGCCCGUUUUUAACCAUUAAUAUGUUUACUUUUUUAUUCUAUUUAAACGAUUAAAUUAUUUUUGAAUUCAUCUCACAUUCUCACUUCUCAAUUUCUAAUUCUCUAUCUCCUUGUUAUCUCUCUUGUCUCAUCAAUCAUCUCUAGUCUCUGCUUGCCCAAUCUUCUUUGCUACAAUUCCAGUGCCUUUAUUUACCAAAACACUAAUUAUAUAAAAUGUCUCACUCUCAUUUCGAGUUAGAUGAGAAUUUUAAUUUUGUUGAAGAGGGGGAGGAAGUUGCAAAUGAAGAAAUUGCUGCACCAGAAUUUGAUCCAAGUAAUAUAUUUAUUGUCCCACCUGAACGAUCGCCUCCUACUUCUCAAGCAAGUCAAAGUGGUUCUACUUCUUCAACUGUCGGUCCUACUACUACCUCCAAACGACAAAGAACAUCGAUUGUUUGGUCAUGUUUUACUUUGGAAAAACGUCAAAACAAAAAAAGGUAAAAUGGUGGAUCAAGCAGUGUGCAAAUAUUGUCAAUCUGCUUUAAGUGCCAAAAGCAAUGGUGGAACUGGACAUCUUAGAUGACAUAUGGAAACUUGUCAGACAAAACACGCGCCACAAGACCCAACACAAACCCAACUCUCACAAUAUGGUUCUAGACCUUCCGGUAUAACAUCAUUUAGAUAUUCACAACAGAACAUGCGAGAAGGAUUGGCUCAGUAUAUUGCUGCAGCAGAACAACCUUUAACAUUUUCAGAAGAUGAACGUCUAAUAAAUUUUUUGCAAAGGUAUGUUCAGCCUCAACUUAAGAGAGUGCCUAGAAAUACAUUAAAACGUGAUUUAACUAAAAUUUUUCAUGACAUGAAAAAAAUUUUAAUUAAUACUUUUAUCAAUUUUAAUGGUGUUAUUUCAAUUUCUUCUGAUUGUUGGACUGGUAUUAAUAUGGUUGGUUAUUUUUGUGUGACUUCGCACUCUAUACAUGAGAUUAAUGGUAAAUGGAGGUUGGAAAAAAAAAAUUGCUUGCAUUUCGUGAAUUAGAAUAUCCUCACACUGGUUCAGUAAUUUAUGCAGCUAUAAUGUCUGUUUUAAGAGAAUAUGAAAUUACUGAUAAAUUGUUUAGCAUAUCAUUUGAUAAUGCAUCUGCCAAUACAGUGGCAAUUGAUAUGUUUUUGCGGAAUAUUUCUACUCUCAUGCUUGCACGUGGUUCAAAAUUUUUUCAUGUGAGAUGUGUGUGUCAUAUUAUUAAUUUAAUUGUUCAAGUUGGUAUGACUCAUAUAAAUCAUUAUUUAGAAAAAAUUAGAGCAGCCAUUUUAUAUAUUAGAGCACCUUCAAGACGUCAACAAUUUUUGGAGACGUUGAAAAUUUUUGGAUUGAAAAGGAGAAAAUUCAACCUUGACAUGAAGCAAUUUCUACAUAUUUAAUGUUGCUUUCUUGGCAAAACUAUUCUGAAGCAAUUUCUAGUUUUUACAAUGAGAGAAUGAAUUAUGAAGAUUAUCAUAUCACUGAUUAUGAUUGGAAUGUUGCAUUUAAAUUUAUGGAUUUUUUAAAGGUAUUUUAUGAUGCUACUCUUGCAUGUUCUACUGUUUAUGAGCAUACUUCAUGUAGAGUGUUAAUGCACUUGUACAAUAUAAGUUAUACUUUUAAGACUUUUAGAGAGAAUAUUAUGUUUAAAAAUAUUUGUGACACCAUGGAGGAAAAAUUCCAAAAAUAUUGGAAAGAUAUUCCCCACCUAUUUAUUUUUACAGCAGUGUUGGAUCCUACAAUCAAGGAAGUUGGUGCAAAACUAAAAAAACCGGACUUGAUACAAUUAUGUCCUCCAUGCAUGAACUUUUUAAUUUUUAUCAAAAUAAAUUCGGAUCAAGCAAUACAUAUUCUAAUGUUCAACAAGCAUCGACUUCUUAUAAAAAUCCAACUCACCUUUUGUUACUCAAAGGUAAGGGUGUUGCCUCUAGUAUUGAUACUAAUCGUAAUGAAUUGCAAAGAUAUUGUUCUGCCAAUCUUGAAGAUUUAGCAACUCCUUCACAAUUGCAAAAUUUUGAUAUUUUAGAUUUUUGGAUGGGUAAGACAUCUUUUUUCCCUAUAUUAUCCAUUAUGGCCCGUGAUCUACUAACCCCUCCAGCUUCAACUGUAGCAUCAGAAUCAGCUUUUAGUAUAGGUGGCAGAAUUCUAGAUGAACAUCGGUCAAGAUUGUCAUCAGAGACAUUAGACUCUUUGUUGUGUUUGAAAGAUUUGGAAGAUGCUGAACGCCGAGUGCAACAAGAUUGGCAAAAUGCUUUAAUUAAACAAAUUGAGAGUUUGAAUGUUGAUCAAGAUGAAGUGGAUCUAGAUUAUGCAGAGUACUGAACAUUGAAGCCACUUCCAAAGACUAGAGACUUUUUUUUCUUGUAACUUUUUGAAACAAUUUUUAUUAGUGAGAAGGUUGUAAAUUUGCAAAUGAUAGAUGGUUCAGUAGGUGCCAACCUAGUUGGGAUGUACUGUUAACUGUAGUGAUGCAAAUUACACCUUAUUUUAUUUGAAUUACUAAUAUUAUAAUUGUACUUUAACUUCAUUUAAUGAAAACAUAAUUUUUAAUUUAUCAUAAUUUUUCUUGUGUAUAAAAUGAAAAAUAUUUCAUUCACAAAUGAAACGUAUCUCUAUUAAAUAUUAACUAAGUUAUGAUUUAAUAUUAAUAUGAAAAAUAUUUCAUAUGAAAAAUAUUUUAUUAUUAAUUUUGUAAAAAAAAUUAUUUUUUAUUUAUAAUUUAUAAAUUUAUGAAAUUAUAAACAUAAAUAAAUAUCAUAAAUAAAAUUAAAUAUCAUAAAUAAAAUUAUGAUAUUUAUAAUUUUAUUUAUUAAAAAAAUUAGAAUAUUUAUUUAAACUAAGAUUUAAUGAUUUAAAUUAAUUUUUAAAAGUCUAUGCUAAAAAAUAUAUUAAAACAUUUAAUUUCAAGAUAUUUUACUUUAAUUUCAUAACAUUUUAUAUUUACUUUUUGUUAAAAAAAUUUACUUACAUAUAUUUUGGCCCACGUUCUAUUAAUGGCUCACGGGCCGCGUGCUAGCCCACUAAUGAACUGUGCUUAUUACGUGCUUUUUCGUGUGCCGUGCUUUGGCCCAUCUUUAAUCGUGUCGUGCUUUAAGGCCCGCGUGCCUAAAAUUCUAGGCCCAGCACGGCCCACGUGCGUGCCGUGCCAUGUCGUGCCUCGUGCCUCACCGAAAUGUGCUCGUGCCAUGCCGUGCCGUACGGACACGUGCCGUGCCGUGUGCCGCCCGACCCAUUGGCCAUCUUUACGCACAAGCAAUUCACGCAAAGAACUAUUAGGCACACACAAUUUAUUUUCUCUAAAUAAGAACCCAUCAUGCCUAUAGAACUUACCGAAUGAAACUUUCUCACAAGCAUUAAACACAUUAGCAAAAUCAAGAUCAUUAACAUAUAAUUCUUUAAUGUACUCAAAUCCGAACAACUUUGCAUUUAAUGUAGAGAUAAGUGCAUAUCUUCUAGAUAAUGCAUUAGCCACCACAUUCUCCUUACCUUGUUUGUAUUUGAUCACAUAGGGAAAUGACUCAAUAAAUUCAACCCAUUUGGCAUGUCUUUUAUGCAACUUACCUUGCCAUUUCAAAUGCUUUAAGGACUCGUGAUCAGUGUGUAUAACAAACUCUUUAGGUAGAAGAUAUUGUUGCCAAGUUUCUAAUGCUCUCACCAAUGCAUACAUCUCUUUGUCAUAUGUAGGAUAGUUUAGGGCUGCUCCACUCAAUUUCUCACUAAAAUAAGCAAUUGGAUGUCCUUCUUGCAUCAAAACAGCUCCAAUACCUAUACCUGAAGCAUCACACUCAAUUUCAAAAGUUUUAGCAAAAUCGGAUAAAGCGAGUAAUGGUGCAGAAACCAAUUUCUCCUUAAUUAGAUUAAAUGCCCUUUCUUGCUCACUACCCCACUUAAAUCCCACAUGUUUCUUCACAAUUUCAGUCAAUGGUGCAGCAAGGGUGCUAAAAUCUUUCACAAAUCUUCUAUAAAAACUAGCCAAACCAUGAAAACGUCUUACCUCAUUUACACUUUUGGUGUAGGCCACUCUUUAAUAACCUUUACCUUCUCUUCAUCAACCUCAAUUCCUUUAGCACUUACAACAUAACCGAGAAAGACAAUCUGAUUUGUACAAAAGGAACACUUCUUCAAAUUAGCAUAUAACUUUUCCUUCCUUAAAACAGUCAAUACACUUUGCAAAUGUUCAAUGUGUUCAUCUAAGCCUUUGCUAUAGAUCAAAAUAUCAUCAAAAUAGACAACUACGAAUUUACCAAUAAAAGCACGCAAAACAUGGUUCACUAACCUCAUGAAAGUGCUAGGUGCAUUAGAUAACCCAAAUGGCAUCACUAACCACUCAUAUAAACCAUAUUUUGUUUUAAAGGUAGUUUUCCACUCAUCUCCCUCUCUAAUCCUAAUUUGAUGAUAUCCACUUUUAAGAUCAAUUUUACUAAACACACAAGAACCAUGCAAUUCAUCAAGCAUGUCAUCAAUUGCACGACAGUCAACGCACAUCCUCCAUGUGCCAUCCUUUUUGGGCACUAGUAAAACUGGUACCGCACAUGGACUCAUACUCUCCCUCACAUAUCCCUUUGCCAAGAGUUCUUCAACUUGCCUUUGAAGCUCCUUUGUCUCCUCGGGGUUACUUCUAUAUGCGGGUCUAUUAGGAAUGGUAGCUCCAGAGACUAAGUCUAUUUGAUGCUCAAUUCCCCUAAUAGGUGGCAAACAAUUAGGGACUUCAUUUGGAAACACAUCAUCAAAGUCCUGCAAAAGAGUCACAAUAGCACUAGGCAAAAAAAAGUUAAGCUCAUUAGUAUGUAAACAAGCCUCUUUGCACAAAAGUACAACGAUAGGCUAUUUUGAAAAGAAAGCCCUCUUAACCUCGCUCUCUUUUGCAAACAAGUUCACUUGCUGCCUCUCUUUUCUCUCAACAAUAUUUUUUUUCUAUCUUUUCACUUGUUUUUCUCUCAAUCUCUCUUUCUUUUGUACUCUCAUUUUCUUUUUUUGUAUCACUCUCUUUUUGUAUUGACAUUUGAUCCUCAUACACUUGCCUAGGUGUUAAAGGUGUAAAAGUGAUUUGCUUUUUAUUCAUUACAAAAGAAUAUCUAUUUAAGUAACCAUCAUGUGUCACACGCCUAUCAUAUUGCCAAGGUCGCCCCAAAAGAAUGUGUCCAGCAUGCAUGGGUACUGCAUCACAUAGAACUUCAUCCUUGUAUCUCCCAAUAGAGAAUGAAACCAGCACUUGUUUAUUUACUUUAACUUCCCCACAAUCAUUCAGCCAUUGUAGCUUAUAUGGCCUAGGAUGUUUCAAAGUUUUCAAAUUCAAUAUUUCAACUAAACUAGUGCUAGCCACAUUAGUACAACUUCCACCAUCAAUUAUCAUACUACAUACCUUAUCUUUGUUGUGGCAUCUAGUAUGAAAGAUGUUAUCACGUUGUACCUCUUCAUCUUCUUUUACUUGCACGUUGAGAGCACGUCUAACAACCAUCAAUUUACCAUCAACAGGAUACUCUACACCAUCAUUAGCAUCCUCCAAAGGUGGCAUAGGAUCAUCAUCUGAUUCACUCUCGGUUUCAACACUUCAUCAUCCCUCAAGAUCAUUACUCUCUUAUUUGGGCAUUGAGAUGCAAUAUGACCUGUCCCCAAACAUUUAAAACACUUAAUAUCUCUAUUUCUAAAGUGUUGGGAAUCAUAUUUACCUUUUCUUUGGUUGCCUCCCUCUUUAUGAUUCUUGAAUGGCUCCAUCUUAGGCUUUGAACUAGCCUUUUCAUCUUUGCUCCAUUUCGACUUCCAUGAGGAAGAUGAACCCAAAUUGGUUCUAGUGGAACUUUUCUUUUUCAGUUGUCCUUCCACUUUCAUGGCCAUGUGAACCAUGUCUUCCAACUCAACAUAGUGCUGCAAGUCAACCACAUUAGCAAUAUCUUGAUUUAAACCAUGUAAAAAUCUUGCCAUAGUGGCCUCUCGUUCUUCUUCAAUGUUGGCUCGAAUCAUGAUUAUUUCCAUCUCCUCCACACUUCUGGAACCUUGUGUAAGACUUUGAAGCCUUUGGUGCAACUCCCUAUAAUAAUGACUAGGAACAAAUCUCCUCCUCAUGAUGGCCUUCAUCUCCUCUCAAGUGUUUAUAGGCCUUUCACGAUUUCUUCUCCUACUCAAAACAAGUUGAUCCCACCAAAUAAUAGCAUAAUCAGUAAAUUCAACAGCAGCUAAUUUUACCUUUUUCUCCUCAAAGUAGUUGUGGCAAUCAAAUACUAGCUCCACCUUUUUUUCCCACUCCAAAUAAACUUCUGGAUCAUUUUUACCUUGAAAAGAAGGAAUUUUUAGUUUGAUACUCCCCAAAUCAUGAUCUAUACGUCUUGCCCUUCUAUCAUCUCUUCCACGCAUGUCAACAGUGGCCUGAUCAUCAAAAUUAUCUAAGUCAUCACUAUCUUCUUCUCCUAUGGCAGCACGCCCUUGAUUACCUCUUACAUUAGGAGCUAUUGGUUGUUGCCCCCUUUGUAGAUUGGCUAUGACAUUGUCUUGCCUCUCCAAUUUGUCAUGGAUCUCUCCGAACAUUAGAUUCAUGCGCUCAAAUUGUUGUUGCAUGGCCUUGAGCAUAAUUGAUUGGUCUAUAGCUUAUUGAUCUUUUGACAUAUUUGUGAUCUGAAAAGAAUGUUAGCAAAAAGACCUCACAACACUUCCUCACAUGUUUCACUCAAUUUGAUGUCACUUAACUCUCGUGUUUAACACACAAAUUGGCUUUUUCCCUCUAAGGAUCUCACAAACUUUUGCCUUUUACCACACUUGAUUCUCUCUUUUAGUUCUUUAUUGAACUAAAUAAACACAAUCAAGAAAAAAAAACCCCAAGUGGCACACCAAAUAUGACAAUCCAGCACACUAACAAAGAAAAGAAAUUAAGAGAACACAAAUAAUGAAAAGGAAAUUGAAGAAAGGAAAGCAAGCAAGCGAAGCAAUACAAUUGAUAUUGUAUGUAAACAAUGUCAAGGAAAAUGAAUAACUAAAAUUCAAUUUGAUGAAAGUAGAAAUACUUGAAUCCUUUUGUAAUCAUUUUUUUUAUAAUCAAAAUAAAUAAGACAUUCAAACCUGAUUAGAAACUAGCUCUGAUACCAAAUGAUACGAAAAUCCCACAAUGAAACUUUGAAACUCACACUUAAAUUAUAGUUUCAACUUCCCAAGAAAGUUCUAAACAGAUUUAUAACAAACAAAACCUUGACCCAAUGCUUAAGAAAAGCAUGAACCAAAGGUAUAGAUAAUGAUAUUGAUGCCACACUCAAGAAAUAGAUGAGAAGGUGAGUGAUAAGUCUAAAUUUGGAACACCACAAGAAUGAAAAUUCUUGAUAAGUUCACUAGUUCUCAAAAGAACCAAAGAAAGAAUAAUCUUUCAAAUUCAAAUAACAUUAAUAGGCUAAAAGAAACCCAAAUCCUAAAAAUACAAAUGGAAACAUUGGAACAACCCUUCAAGUAUAGGUUUGUCAAAGGGUGCUUUAAAAGCCUUCACCAACUCACCAUUAUUAAUGUCAGUAUUGACAAACAUAGUGCUAGCCCACCAUCAUCAAUGGUAGACUUACCUAACACAUUGAUAAACUUGACACAAAACAAAUAAAUGAAGUUGAAUAAUCAAAGGAGUCGUUUGAAUUCCCAAACAUGAACAAGCUGUAAUAAAUUGAUCAUAACUCCUUCUAGAGAACUCCAAAUCCAGCUCUGUAUACUCCUCCAAAUAAACGAAGGCUUGGAUCCCAACUUGGCAUUGAGAAACUGACCAACCUUAAAUUACUUUGCUUACAAGACCUUGGCCACUAGUGAAUUAGGGAACUAAAGAAUUCUCCAGCCUUGCUUAGCUACUAGUGCUUGAUUAAAACUUGUGAAGUCUCUGAAUCCCAAUCUUCCCCUCGCUUAGCUUGGCUUAAACUUUCCCACCUUGCCCAGUGAAUGCUUUUUUUGUCCAUGUUUCUACACCAAAAUCUUGCUAUUGUUCUUUGCAUAUCUUCAUAAAUGCCCAACGGCAGUUUGAAAACACUUAUAGCAUAAACUGGAACAGCCUGAGCUACUAUUUUGAUUAGCACCUCUUUUCUCCCACUUGAGAAAAACUUGUGAUGCCAGCUGGAGAUUUUACUUGUCACUCUUAAUUUGAUGUCGUUGAAAAACCCUUUUCUCUUUCUCCCCACCAUGGAUGGCAACCCCAAAUAUGUCUCAUGUCUGGAGACUAUAUUGAGUUGGAAGAUAUUCUGAAUUGCUGAGAUGCUUUCACUGUUUGUAUUGCUGCUGAAAAACAUUGAGGAUUUGUUGUAGUUGAAAAGUUGUCCAGAUGCGGUAUCAUAGUUAUAAAAAAUCUACUUGAGGUGCUGGCAGUCUUUGACUGAGGCUCUUACAAAAAUGAGACUAUCGUCGACAAAUAAAAGGUGUGAUAUGAUAAUAUUUUUGCUGAACUUCAGCCCAUGGAUUAACCCUUUUCCUUCUGCUUGUUGCAGCAUACAAGAGAAAGCCUCUGCACACAUAAUGAACAAAUAAGGGGAAAAAGGGCAGCCUUGCCUCAGCCCUUGCUGUGGGAAAAUGAUGCCUUUGGCUGUCCCAUUUAUAAUAAUAGAAACAGAAGAUGUGGUGAUGCAUCUUAUGAUUAGAUUUACCCACGAUUGUGCAAAUCCUAGCUUGGGCAUUGUUUGCUUCAAAAACAACCAUUCCACUCUAUUAUAAGCCUUGCUUAUAUCAAGCUUUAAGGCUACCAGACCAUUUCUCUUCCCUUUACUAUGCCUAAUCUUAUGUAGACAAUCAUAGCCUAUAAUAAUAUUAUCAGUUAAAAGCAUUGUAUGGGGGAGAUAACUUGGUGGAGAAUAUGUUUAAGCCUAUUCGCAAUAGUUUUGGCCAAAAUCCUAUAGAUUACAUUGCAUAAGCUUAUAGGCCUAAAAUUUGUCACCUUUCUAGGCUUCUUAACCUUUGGUAUUAGAGCAAUGUAACUGUGAUUAAGGGGGGCUAUUUGUACCUUGCUCAUUUAGAAUAUGAAGACAUGUGGAUAGCACUCCAUUUUAACCAUCAUCCAAUGCUUCUGGUAAAAAACAGUUGGAAAACCACUGGGUCCCAGUGCUUUAGUGUGGCACAUUUGUGAUAGCGCUUGAGAAAUUUCUUCUUCUAAAAAUGGUUGCUGCAGUUGGUUAUUCAUCUCUUCAAUGACCUUUGGAACCGUUCCUUCUAAAACUGCAUCUAACUGCUCAUAGGCUGGUCUGGUUGUUAUGAAUAGGUUGGCAAAAUAGUUACAAAAUUCACUUUCCACUUCCUCUCCCUUCUCUGUCCGGUUCCCUUUGCUGUAUUCGAUACCCCAAAUCUUGUUUUUUCUCUUCCGUGAGGAGGCUUUUGCUUGAAAAUAUUUGGUGUUCUUGUCCCCUUCCUUUAACCAAUCUACUUGGGAUCUUUGUUUCCAAUAAAUUUCUUCAUCAACCAAAAUAUUGUGAAUCUGCCUUUUCACCCUUUUAAUCUCCUUACCACUGCUAUACUGCAUCCCCUCAUAUCUAAGCUCUUUUAGUUUUGCUAGUAGAUCUUGCAGCUUCUUUUGCCUCCCUCCAAACUCUUUCCAACUCCAACAUUUCAAAUGAGCCAUCGAGGACUUGGUGGUUUGUUAAAAAGCUGGACUGGAUUGGUGUGGUUCCACUUACCUUGCUGACUCCACUCCCUCUAAAUUAUAUCUUGGCAGGCCUCGUAAGUGCUUCACAUAUCUUCAUAGUGGACUCUUGAGGCGCUCCUUCUAGUGUAACAUAACCCACUGCCUAUUUCAUUCACCUCCAUUAAUAUAGGGCAAUGGUCUGAGGUCCAUGUUUCUAGAUUAUUUGUAGGCAUGAUCUAAAGUCAAAAUCUCCGAACCACGUCCCAGUGGGUAGUUGUACGUGGCGUUGUUACACCAGAGUGAUGAGAUCCUUGGCAAGCCAAGAUAUUUAAAUCUCCUUUGGACCAGUAGUCCGCAUACUUUGGUUUCUAGCCAAUAUACACUUAUCCAGUUAAUACCAAAUCCGAAAUUCAGUUUUGAAAACAAUUUUGUCACGAUACCACCCGAAAACCUUUAAAGAGGGUGAACGUUGUGAGAAAACACUUUCAUUGUAGAGAAAUCAGUUUUGGAGGAUAAGCAGGACCUUUCUGAUGCACAGGAUCCUCAGGCUUGAGGCAAGUGCAGAGCAUACUCAAUUUAGAAAUUUUGAGGUGAGCGUAUCAUUAUUAAUUCAAAUAAUUUCUUCGAUUCCUAGAAGAGAGAGAGAGGAUUAGGGAAACAUGAUGUAUAAAACUUAAGCUUUUUUUCUUUAGAUUGGCUCCCUUACAACUGAGACCAAAGGUGCCUUAUAUAGACGAUCAUUGAGAACAGGACCUCUCGAAUGAUCAUAUCACAUAGCACACCUUUUUUGACAGCAAAACAUGCCGAUAAGGACUUUGACAAAAGGGAAAGCAUACUUACAAGGACUUUAACAAAAGUAAAGCACACCGACAAGGAGUAAAGCAUGACGACAAGGACUUUAGCAAAAGUAAAGCAUGCCGACAAGGACUUUAACAAAAGUAAAGCAAAAGACAAACGGGAGUCACAUGGGUUGUGCUAUCAAAACUCGUGCGACAAAGAUAAGGCGUUGUCAUGGAGUGGAGGGAUAACGAGAUGGUGACACAUCGCCUGUGUCUUUUUCAUACUGGCGCUUGUGCCGACGCCUCUGUCUCUGGUCGAGAUACGCCUCAGCUUGCUGAUACUUUUCUUCCUCAACUUCAGACAUGUGCUGUGAGGUAGAUGGAGCAGGAGAGUCUGGGUUUGUGACAGUAUAACGGGGAGUGUCAGUAUGCAGAAGGGACUGAAAGUCUUCCCAUGGGUCCUGAGCAUCUUGGAAUAAGACAUUAGUAUAGUCAGGACGUUGUUCCAUGACAAGGAUUCCGUGAGGACUUGAACUUGAACCUGGAGUACAGCCUUGUGUUUUUGGAAUUAUUUCAAGGGUGUGUGAUGGUCCAAUGGAGGUGUGGUGAUUAUCUGUGGCAGGUGGAGGAACAUUGUUAAGUUCCAUGAGAUAGGCUUUGAGAACGGAGGUGACCGAUGUAUCAUGGAUGAAGGUAUAAGGAUGAGGGUAAGUUCUCCAUUCAUGUGCCAUGUCCUGUGUCCAGUAGUCCCGCGUUUCUGGAUGCUGAAAAUAAGGCCUGUGGACAAUGAAGGCUGUAGUCCACAUGUUAGCUUCUUGUGCUGAUAUUUUGUCUAAUCCAUGAAAGGUAGACAAAUGUUGGAGUUGCUGGCGCCACCAAGUGAGGGGGGAAUACCAUUCAAAGAGAGUCCAGAGAAGGUCUGGUGAGAACUUUGGAGUGGUAAGGUGAGUCAGGACUGGUUUGAUGGGAAAAACUAGCUUUGUAGCAUACAAGGUGGUGAGACACCACAUAUACCAAAGCUCAUCUUCAGAGAUGGACAGAGAGGACAGAGUGAGGCCUGUGAGAAACAGGUGCUCCAUGCAAAGAUUAGGAAAGCGGUCAGGUUUUUGGUCUGAACAUUAAAGAAAAACUUGUAAAGGAAUUUCUUUGCAAAAUCUUGAAGCUGGUAAGCCGAUUGGAAAAAGAUGUUCGUGGGGAAAUUUCUUUGGUUGAGAGCUUUGAAAGGAAGUUGGCGAUUCAUGGCUAUAACUGGAAUGGUUUGAAUUAAGGAAAUGAGUGCGGGCUUAUUUAUAGCUGGACGGGUGAGGAAGUCUGGAAUGAGGUUUUGGUUGCCUUUUAUGUGUUGAGCAGUGAAAUCAUACUUAGCAAACCAGGUUUUGAGGCUGAGUAAUUGCUUGUCAGGUAGCAAUUUGUUCUUGAAGUCAAAGAUGCGGGGAAAAGAAGAGUUAUCCAUGUUGAUAAGGAAUUUGUGGCUGAUGAGAUGGAAUUCAAAUUUCUUAAUUCCAUAUUUGACUGCCAAAAUCUCUUUGUAGAUCACAUGGUAGUUCUUUUCAGAGUCUUUGAAUUGUCCGCUUGCAUGUGCACAGAAAUGACGCACGCCAUUGAUGUCUUCAAGGAGAAUGGCACUUCAAUAAUCGUCGCUGGCAUCAGUCUGGAGGAUGCGUUGUCCACUUGUGGGAAUUCGAAGUGGAGGAGGUGCUUGUGCUAUCACCUUUAGCUGCUUGAUAGCUUCUAUCUGAGCAGGGCCCCAUGGAGGGCACUGUUUCUUGAGCAUGCGGGACAGCUGGCUGGUGUGGAUUGCAACUUUUGGGAUAAAAUCACGGACAUAAUUAACAAUUUCGAGGAAUUGUUGUAUUUGCUUUCUAUUGAGAUGUGUGUCCGGAAACUUGAGUAAUUCGAUUGCAAUAUGGGGACCAGCUGAUACUGGCCGUCUUUAAUCACCAUGCCAAGAAAGUCAAUUGAUUCCUUUCCUAUUUUGCUUUUCUUUUCAGAAAGCAUGAUGCCAUGUGCCUGUACAAUGUGAAAGAAAUCCAAAAGGAGCUUCUGGUGGCUCUCAUGGUCAGAAGAAAAUAACAAGAUAUCGUCAAUAUAGAUCAAUGCAUGAUGGAGAAUAUGACUAAAGAUUUUUGUCAUGGCUUUUUGAAAUAAGGAGGGAGCGACUUUGAGACCAAAAGGCAUAACCGUCCAUUGGUAAUGGGCAUCAGGGAUGCAGAAGGCAGUUUUGUGACUGUCAACUGGUGAAAUACCAAGUUGCCAAAAACCAGCUUUUAAAUCAAACUUAGAGAAGAUACUAGCCCCUUGAAGAUGGACAAACAGGGUCUGGAUUUUUGGAAGGGGAAAUUUAUCAUCUUUAAGAAAAGAAUUGAGUGGCUGGUAAUCAAUUACUAAUCUCUUUUUCCCACGAACUAAUUCAGAUCGUUUUUCAACAUAAAAGGCUUGACAAGCCCAAUCUAAAUCAGUAGACUCAAUAAGACCUUGUUGGAGUAACUGAGAGCAUUCUUGUUUGGCAAGCAAGAGGUCUGAAGGAGACAUACCCGGGUGUGAUGCUUUUGUGGGGUUUAUGUCUUCAUUGAGUUUGAAGGGAAGCUGAAUGAAGAAUUGUUCAUUUUUCCAAAGAGGUGAAGGAUGGUGGAACUGUGAGUGGUUUUCUGGACAGAACUCUAAGAGCUUUUGUGAGAUAUGACUGUAUGGGGAUGGUGUCUCUGAAAGGGCAUACAGACGAAGAGUGUCUGUAUAGGGCAAGAACAUUUGUUUGUAGCGAACUCCAGAACUGGUAAGGAAAAGGUUUUUAACCAAAUGAAGAAUGUCAAAACCGAUGAGUAAAUCUUUAUCUGGAAGUUUAGAGGCUACAAUCUUUUUCCAAAUUAUACAAUUCGGAAAGAAUUGAAUACCAAUGGAUUUUUUGGUAAUCAAAGUUGUUUCAAAGGUCUCACCAUUAACUGCUCUGAAAAGUUUAGAAUGAGGUUCCCAACUGUCUGAUGGAAGAACAGAAGGAUCAAUCAUACUGGUAUCCGCACCAGUGUCAAUGAACCCAAUAACAGGAAUAGGUUUAUGGAAUUUGGAAGGAAGGAUGGACAUCUUGAGAGAAGGCCUUGGAAUAGUGGAAACAUGGUUAACAGUUUGAACUGUAGAGAUGACAUAAAUAUCUUCAGAAUCUGAAGAUUCUGCAAUUAGAAAGGCAGUCUGAUCAUCUUGUGUGGACUGUUCUGAAAAAUUUGAUUCGACAUCAUCAUUCUCAGAUAGCAAAGAAGAAUGUUGAAGAUGUUGUAUAAGACGAACAGCUUUGGCUGGUUUGUGGGGACAAUUGCGGGCAAAGUGACCGCGUUUCUUGCAAAUGAAACAACGGUUGGAUUUUUUCUUCCGGUACUGAGAGACAUCUUUCUUUUUGAAAUACCGAAAAGGUUUUUUAGAGGAUGACUUUCUGUGGAAGUGUUUCCGGAAAUGUCAUUUCUUUAUGGUUGGACAAACACAUUUCUUUUCAUCCUUACACUCGAUUUUGAGACAAGGUUUUUUACAAGCUUCAGAGAAGGGUUUCUUGUCUUCCAUGAGAUCUUUGAAGAAUUCUUUUUGUUCACAGAUCUUAUCAAGAGAUAGCAUGGCCAUUUGAAAAAUCUUUCCCAGAGAGAUAUCAACUAUGCUCAGAUUUGUGGUUGUGAGUUUUCUUUGAAGAUCGGGUUGUAACUCAGGGGGAAGAGAGGCAAUGAAGACAUGUUUAAGAGAUGGCUCAUUGAACCCAUUUAGCUUGUAGAAUAGAAUACUUAUUCUUUUGUAAUGAGCAUCCAGAAGAUGUCUUUUAAGAGAACAACAUUUCAUCUGAUGGUAUUCUUUUCUGUCUGCUUCAGUGGAAGCAGUUUUUUCACCGAUGAAUUGCUCAUGAAUAAGAUUGAAGGCUGUACCAAUCGGAGAUUCCAUGAAUUGGAGCUGUCUAUAUUCUCCUAAGCUUUCUAGCCAGUCUCGUAAAGAACCCGUGGAGCGGGCCAUGAAUUCACGAAGAACGGCUUGAGGUUGAGCAUUAGGCUUGGUACCUUGGAGAUCAAUCCAAGCAGCAAAUUCUUGAAGUCUAGCAGCCCAUUUGUGACGGGGAAUGUCAUCAAAUGUAAACCGAGAUGCUGAAGAUGGUUUUGUUGAGUGUUCAUGAACUGGUGGUGGUAUGGGUUCUGUUUGAGAUGCUUGGUCAGAAGGAUUGUCAUCAACAAUGGGUGUUGAAGUAGAGGCACUUGGAUCUGCAGUUUCAGUGGCCAUUAAUAUGCCUGUAAUGUCAGCAUAUUCAGACUCGGAGUCAGUGGAGGCAUUUGAUGAGUCAUAAGAGGAGGACGAACAUGAAUUGUGUGUUUCAGGCUCAGAAGAGUCGGAGGAAUCUGAAGAUUGGGUCUGGACAAUAUGAUAAUGAUACUGAUCCAUUGGGCCUUUAUCUUUUUUAAGAGGCUCGGGACGGUCUUGUGGUGAUUCUUCUGGAGGGAUUGUAGAUGUAGAGGAAGAGGAAGUGGCCUUGGGACGUGGUUCGGAGAUUUUGACUUUAGAUCGUGCCUUUUUGGGUGAAGAUGGUUGAGGAGUCGGUUGAAGGUGGGAGAAACCAAAAAACUGAUUAUAAACAGGCUGUUGAGGCCGGGAUGGUGUGUAGAAAGGUGAAUAAGUUUCAAAAUAUGGAGGAGAUACGGGUGUAGGUUGUGAUUGAGUAAAAAUGGAAGGUCGAGUCUUUUCAGCAUCAAUCCUGGACAAUUCAGCUUUGAGUUUUCUGAUCUCAGCUUUUUUUUUAUUAAACUCUGGACCCCAGAUAUGAUUGUUGAUCAUCCGUCUGAGAUCGGUAUCUAGCUCAGAGAUCCGGUCUUGGAGAUGUAUAUACAUCUGAUCUAAACGACUGCUGAUCGAAUCAACUUUAGUUUUAGUCUGGGAGACUUGAGUGGCAACACGGUCAAUUUUCUUACUGAGUUGUUGGAGAGUAUGAUUUUGAGCAUUGGCAUUUUUGGUUUGCCAGUUCAAAACAGCUUCAUACUGUUUUGGUUCUUCAGGUUGCCCAGAGGCUGUAAUUGGAGAUUGAACAAAAGGUUUUGAGGUGACACGAGUUUGUGUGUCUGUCUAUUUUUCAAGUGGAGGAAAUGAUUCUUCAUAGGAGUGACUUGAAAACAUAAGGCAAGAUCUGAUUGGAUGGACCGAAGGUUUGGGAUCUGGUGGAGGAUGUGGAGGAAAAGAUUUGCAAGAUAAUGAUGGACAAGAAGAUAUUUUCUUUUUCUUUUUCUUUCACCGCAUAAUUUCCAAUUCUUCAUCAAUAUCCGUAUCAUCCAAGCAAGGACAAUCCGGGUUGCACAUAUGGGCUUCAGGAACAUCCCAUAGAAAAUUACCAUUGACUUUAUCAGGAUAUACUGGAUACCCUUCGGAGGAAAAACCAUGAAUAGGAAGUUUCUUUUCUUGACUAGUUUGAACUGUUGUGAUCAUAGCAGUAUAGGAAAGCUGUGGACUGUUUGAAACAGGCUCGGUGUCAGGGGUUUGAAAAGAUAGUUUAACUUGACCAUUUGGUCGUUUGUUAAACGUGGCUUCUGUGGUUUGUACUGGUUCCGAAUUUUGGUGAAAAUGCUCAUAGUUAGUUAGCCAUUCAAGAGGCAUGAGCCUGAGCAAUUCUUGUUUCUGGAUUUGUUUGGGGAUUUGGAUAAUGGUUGGAAUUGUGUCUGUGUCUGCCAAGAUCAUCAAGGCAUCAGAAGUUGUGUACGGUGUAGGAAGAUCUAGGGCAUGAUUCUGUAAUCGAUAGACUAUUUGAUGAUGGAGGGUUGCAAUCUUUGAUGUGGGUGUUUGUUCUGCUCCUUGGAGCUGGAUCUGGACUUUAAGGGUUGUUGGAAGAUUGGGAUCCUCAAGAGAGAGGUUGAAAUUGGGGUAAAAGGUUAAUAAGACACUGCCAGCAUGAAGGGUUGUCAGAACGGUGCCGACAACAGCGUGUUGGUACUCCUUGAACCUGGUGUCUAGGAGAGCAAUUCUAGCUGUAACAGGUAAGCCUUUUCGACCAUGAAGAGUGAGAAUUAAUCGUACACCACCAAGAUGGAGGUGUGUGUAGCCUUCUCGUUUCCAGUUGGCGACGAGAUCUGAAGGUAUUUCCAUAGUGACAUAUUGUUCACUCUGUGAGGCUUGUAGAGCACACUGGUCCAGUCUAGAAGACUGGAUAUACUCUUUUGGGAGUGGUCUUUUAGUGGAGAUGAGGGUCCGAAUACUUCUAGUGAAAGAAGUUUUCUGUUUGUAGAGAUUGUAAGGACUCGUGAUGGGAAACUGGGACUCAUUGAUUUGAGCAGAUUCUGGAAUAUAAGAAUAUUCAACAAGAUUCUCAAUUUUGGAGGUUAUGUGUUUAGAGGAUGAUUUGGGAAGAGAGAGAGUAGAAGAAAGAGAAAUAUGAGAUGAAGAGGAUGUAGAAGUGGAAGAUGUGUUUGUUUCCAUGGUUGAUGAAUCUUCUUCUAGGAGAUCAAAUAAGAUUAUUCAAAUUACUAAUGAUACCACCUCAACAUGCAGUGUGGCUCUGAUACCAGUGGGUAUCAUGGGGUAGUUGAAUUGCUACCUGACCAGCUCUGGUCAGGUAGCUCUGAUGUCAGGUAGCAAUUUGUUCUUGAAGUCAAAGAUGCGGGAAAAAGAAGAGUUAUCCAUGUUGAUAAGGAAUUUGUGGCUGAUGAGAUGGAAUUCAAAUUUCUUAAUUCCAUAUUUGACUGCCAAAAUCUCUUUGUAGAUCAUGUGGUAGUUCUUUUCAGAGUCUUUGAAUUGUCCGCUUGCAUGUGCACAGAAAUGACGCACGCCAUUGAUGUCUUCAAGGAGAAUGGCACUCCAAUAAUCGUCCCUGGCAUCAGUCUGGAGGAUGAGUUGUCCACUUGUGGGAAUUCGAAGUGGAGGAGGUGCUUGUGCUAUCACCUUUAGCUGCUUGACAGCUUCUGUCUGAGCAGGGCCCCAUGGAGGGCACUGUUUCUUGAGCAUGCGGGACAACUGGCUGGUGUGGAUUGCAACUUUUGGGAUAAAAUCAUGGACAUAAUUAACAAUCCCGAGGAAUUGUUGUAUUUGCUUUCUAUUGAGAUGUGUGUCCGGAAACUUGAGUAAUUCUAUCCAUCCACUCCUUAUUACACAAGAAUUUAUCUAAUCUUUCUUCUAAAAAUCGGGGCCAAAUCUGUUGUUACUCCACAUGAAUGGGUAACCUUUACAUCCUAAGUCAAUCAACUUACAAUCAUGCAACGCCUCCCUAAACUCACUGAUCAUGUUUAAAUUUAUAUUGUUCCCACCUAAUUUCUCACUCAGAUAUAAUAUUUCAUUGAAAUCACCGAAACAAAUCAAGGGGGCAUCAAACAAACCUGCCAGUCUCCUCAAUAGUGUCCAUGUGUGCUUCUUUUGCCCCAUUUCUAGAUGUCCAUAAAUCCUCGUGCACUCAUCCAACUGCCUUUCUCACUUUAAACUUUGGCAUCAAUAUGGUGACUGUUGAAUGAAGUGAUGUUCACAUUGACACUAUCAUUCCAAAGCAUUGCCAAUCCACCUCUCUUGCCAUUUCUAUUUACUACAACACAACUUUCAAUUCUCAACCUCUUACUGACUUCUAACAUUUGUAUAGGCGUUAGUUUUGUUUCACACAUAAAUAAAAUCUAAGGCCUAUGUUGUUGGAGAAUUUUUUGUAGAACUAGAAACAUUCAAGAAUUCCCCAGCCCUCGAACGGUCCAGCUGAGGAUUUUCAUGGUUGUCGGUGGGGCUGGCCACCAGCCUCCGCCGAUAUAUUUGUAAUCAUUGGAAUUGUCACCUCCAUAUCCUCCACUGUCAUUGAUUCCCAUUUCAGCUUAAGCUUUGCUGAGGGUGAAUGGUGUUGAGCUUGCCUCUGUGUGAGCUUAACAUGGGUAGUCAUCUUAAUUCUUUUCUGUUUUGGGCUUGCCUCGUCCAACUUAUAAUGUGGCCUUUUAGAUAGAUAUGUCCCUUCCUUAUUUUCUUCCUUCUCACUAUGCUUGCGGGCUUGGCGUUUCCAAAUCCCUUUCUUAAUCUUUAAAUGAGUUAGCUCUGAUCCAUCAUUUACCCCUUCUUCACAAUCUUGGGCCCUAGUUUUUUAUAUCCAAGCCCACAAUAGCCAAUUCUCCCUCAGUAGCAAGUUUUCCAUUUUCCCUCUCAUUUUCCUUUCCUUUUCCCGCUUUACUUCUCAUUUUCCCAAGAGCCCUUUCAUUGUCAGUCGUCGAAGGUUGCUUGUUGCAGUCUAAUGUCUGCUUUCUUAAUUCUUGCAGACUAUGCAUUAAUUGAGCUUUGUUUUCUUCCUUCACAUUACUGCCCUGAUAAGCUGCCACGUGUGUGUCUUCUUCGUUCGAGCUUAACCCUACUUUACUUGCACUAGCCUUUUGCCCUCUUUCAUGGAUUCUGCUUGCUCUAUAUUUCUCAAUUAAUGGAAUCGCCUGCAUCCACACCCCAUAGGCUAGUUUAUCCUUUGAUUGCCCCUUAUACUUAUCACACUCCUUGUAUUGAUCCCCAAUGAGCCCACAACAGAAGCAAAAAUCUGGCAUCUUUCAUAAACUACCGAAAUUAGAACAUUAUCUUCCCCUUCAUGCUCUAAAUAAAUGAUUUUUUUUCAACGGUUCUGUAAUAUCAAUUGAGAUUCUAACUCGAACAGAUUAACCAAUACAUUCUCCUGCCUCGCCUGCAUCAAUUUCUUCAACUAUACCUAUCGCCUCUCCGAGUGCUCUAAUUAUUUCAUGGUCCCUACAUCCAACUAGAACAUUAUGAAGUUGCACCCAGAAAUCUGAAUGAGUGAAUGAUUGUUUUGUUAUUUCCCCUAUCCCACUUGGUUCUUUAAGGAUAAUUAGAGCUCGUUCAAAGUGCCAAGGCCCACCUAGUAAAACUCUCUUCUUAUCAACUUCCAAAGCAAAUUUAAACAUGGAUAUCUUGCUCCCCAGACUUUCAAUUUUUACCUCCACUACUGUUCUCCAUACUUGCUGUAAUGCAAACUCUACCCAAUAAACAUCCGUCAACUAUCUUCCUUCCUUUUUCCUUCAUGACAUUGCCAAUAACUACUUUACUCUGAUUUCCUUCUUCUAAUGUGAUUGCUCUGUACUUCCGAAUUAGUUCCUCCGUCUCCAUGGGGCACUAAACUAUAAGUAACUAUAAUAACUCUUGAAAACUUACAACUCCCUCUGUAAUUUAGACUCAAUAACUCCAACUAACCCCUUAAUAUAAUUAGGGCACCCAACUCGUAAGUGACUACAUAGCCCCUAUGGACUAUUACCCUUUCAUUCUUGGUUCUCAUUCAGAGAGAGAGAACCUGUGAAGAAAGACUUUGCAUGACACAUACACAUAGCUUGUUAGUUUAUAUAUAAAACACCAACAUUGCCUUCAAUAUGAAAAGAGCCAUUUUGAAUUAAUAUAAAAGGAAGCUAGUUUACAGUUUUUUUGAAAAAAAUAAUUCAAAAGUUUCUAAGCUUUGUGUUUCCUAACAACUAUCUAUUCCUUUCUAUGUAUUCUUUUAAAUGAAGGUGGUUUUUUUUUUGAAGCAUAGUAAACCAUGACAAAAGAUUCCCUCAACUGUAAUUUUACGUUUCACUGUCUUGUGCGCUUCGCAAUUAGACUUUUGCAAUGGUAAUUAGUCGUUGCUAAAGGCCAUAUUUCUUGUAUAAUUAAUUAGGUGCUUGAUGACUUAUUAUUGCCUCCUCUACAUCCCUUUCGGCUAUCAUUGUUCAAAAAUAAAGUUUUCCAUUAUUAAGAGCAGCUUUCUUGUUAUUCCUAAAAAUUUUAUCCUUUACACACUAGCAUUUGAAAUAAUUUUUGUGAUUUCUUAAUUUAUUAAAAUCUCAAAAAUGUUGUUAUCAUACAAAAUACAAAUUAAUUCUUAAUUUUCUAUUUUCUCCAAAGUUCAUGUUCCUGUAUCUAAAUAUAACUGGUUGAAAAUCACUCGGUCAUGUCUCUAUGAGCUAACCUAAUAUAAUUUUGUUCACUUAUAUGUUGCAAAUACAUAUAAUUUUGUUGCAAACCAUAAAUUAAUGGGUAAUAUUGGAAAUAAAUAUUAUAUUUUUAUAAAUAAGAAAAUGAAUGAUGAUUUCUCAAAGUUUUUAAAACAUUUUCUUUAUAUUUUAAAGGAAAGUCCCAACAUGAGGAUACAAUUUCAUAUUCUUAGUAAAAGGAGUUUCCGUAAGAAGUUUUUCUAGACAAAACUAUAUUUUAUUGAUAAACGACAUUAUGCUUAAGAAAACCGCCAAACCCGAUUCAGAAAAUGUGCUUACUAUAGGCAACCAACCAACUGGAUGUUUAAACGACAAACCGAAUUUAAAAAUGUGCUUAUUGGGGACAACCGAGCAAUCGACAAACCGAAUUCAUAACCAACUCUCUGGAAUCAAUCGGAAAACCGAAUACCUCAAAAUGGUAAACUGGUAACAUCAAUCGAGCCCUCUAAAAUCCGGUUAGGAUAAAUGGUUAGCUGAUUAUGAUAAAAAAGUCAAUAAUGGCUAAUUUUCAGCUCCAACUAUAAAAAUUCUCAAUCAAAUUAAAAUGAUGAUGGAUUCUACAAUUAUCAUUGCACUUGUUACUGAGAAUUCAACCUCUUCUGCGCUUUAAACUUGUUAUUCGUUUGUUAAAUCACACUUUGGACUUUCAUUUGUAAACACAUACAUUGUAAGUGUGGGAAACACUUGGGUUAAGAGGUUUAGGAUAACAUUUUGUUGUAAAGGUUGAUUGAUAAGUCGGAAGUCAAUUGUAAAUCUUAUAGCCUUGGUUUUAAAGGAUUGGAUAGUGGAAUCCUCAAGCUUGGUGAGCUUGAAGGUGUGGACGUAGAUAGAGUUUGUCAAAACACAUAACAAUACCAUGUUUGCUCUCUCUUCCCUUAUCUCUUUAAUUUUGUUUAUCGUUAAAAUUAUUGUUAUUAAUUUUACUAAGGCAUUGUUUUGGAUUGUUGUGUAAUUUUAUUUGCUUAAGUUUUUAAAACUCAAUUCACCCCCCUUUUAGGUUGGAUAGCUAGUAUUUUAUUUGAUAUCAGAGUAAGGUUCUCUUGUUAGGACUUAACCGUCUAGAGUAAAAGAUCCAUGGCAACCCAAAAUGAUUCUACCUUUGGGAAAGGUUGGUCCACUACUAGACUACCAUAUUUUGAUAGAAAUGAUUAUCCCUAUUGGAAAACUAGAAUGACAAUUUACUUGCAAGCAUUAGUUUAUGAAAUAUUAGAAAUUGUUAAUGAUGAUUCAUUCAUGCCAACUAUUAAAAAUGAAGAAGGGGACGAAAUUCCAAAACCUUCACAUGAGCGGAGUGAGGUGAAAAAGAAGAAGGCGUCUUUAAAUUUUAAAGCCAUGAAUGCCUUCUUUUGUGCCUUAGAUAAGAAAGAAUUCCACAGAGUUUCAAGUUGUUCUAAUGCAUAUAAGAUUUUGAAGAAACUUGAGGUAGUUUAUAAGGGUACAAAUCAAGUCAAAGAGUUUAAAAUCAAUAGAUUUAUAAGGCAAUAUGAAUUGUUCCAAAUGGAACAAAAUAAGAGUGUUCAUUCCAUGUAUACUAGAUUUACAAAUAUUGUAAACACUUUAGGAGCUCUAGGAAAAAUCUUUUUGAAUAGUGAGAAGGUUAAGAAAAUCAUUAGAUCUUUACCAAAAGAAUAGAGACCUAAGAGAACCGUCAUUGAGGAAGCCAAAUAUUUAAAUACUUUAACUAUUGAUGAUUUAAUUGGCUCACUUAUUGCUUAUGAAGAAGAUUUGGCAGCGACAAGAGGUGACUGAAAUAAUAACUAGGCAACCCAAGAGGGGGUGAACUAGGAUUUUUAAAAAUUAAGCUAAACACACCAACAACAAUUCAAUCUAAUGCCUUAAUAAAAUAAAAAACAAUAAAUUCAAUAAAAGCACAAUAAUAAAAGAGUAAGGGAAGAGAAAUCAAACAUGUGAUGUUUACAUGAUUCGACUAACCUUGCCUACGUCCACACCUCCAAGCUCGCCAGGCUUGAGGAUUUCACUAAUCAAGCCUCCAAAGCUUCAAGAACUCUUACAAUUGACUUCCAAGGUGUCAAUGAAUCCCCAAUCCCAACACUUAUACAACCUCUCAAUUUGAUUUUUCAAAAGAGUUACAAAUAAAUCUCUCCCACACAAUGUGUUUGAUUACAAGUGAUAGCUUAAUGUGAGAAAUAAAAUGAAAUACAAUCAAGUUUGAAGGUUAAUAAUAGUUGUGUACUCAAUAUGAAAUACAAUCAAGUUUGAAGGUUAAUAAUAGUUGUGUACUCAAUAUGAAAUACAAUCAAGUUUGAAGGUUAAUAAUAGUUGUGUACUCAAUAUGAAAUACAAUCAAGUUUGAAGGUUAAUAAUAGUUGUGUAUUCAAUAGCUAGCUUAAUGAUAAUCAUUGAAUCACUUUUUGUUUGAAUUUGAUUGAGCCAUUUUAAAGAUGGAGCUGAAAACUAACCGUUAUUGACUUUCUGUACGUAGUCGGGUUAUCGUUUUGACUUAAACAAAUGACCGUGGCACCGAAAUUCAAAUUGUCGGAUCGCCGUUAUCAAGUCUUUGCUCCAGAAUCUUGUCGAAAGAUGUCGGUUAUCCAUUUUCCAUAAAAAAGUUUACCAUUUUCAAGAUGAUUACUUUCUGGACUGUUAUUAGUUUACCGUUAUCCAUAAACUGUUUACCGUUAUCUGAGAUUUGCUUUCUUGAAUGCAAUCAGUUUACUGUUAUCUUUUAAUAGUUUACCGUUAUCUGAGAUGUGCUCUCUGGAAUGCAUUUGGUGUACCGUUGGCUAUAAACGGUUAAUUCAAUCGGUUUGUCGUUUUCUAUAAACGGUUUGUCAUUUAUUUCCUGAAGGUUUUUCUUUGCUUUGAAUAUUAUACGGCUUAAAAAGUUGAUCCAAUUAACAACAAUUUUUUAAACUUAUCAAGUUAAAACAUGUUUGUUAUCAUCAAAAUAUUAAUUAUGGAAAUAAAAGAGUUAACAAUGACGAGGAUAAAAAGAAGAAGAGCAUUGCCCUGAAAGCUUCAAGAUCGAAAAAUGACGAAGAAAGCGAAUUUGAAGAUGAAGAUAUGGCUAUGAUAGCUAGAAAAUUCAGGAAGUUUUACAAGAAAUCUAGUGAGCGAAGAGAGUUCAAAAACUUUAAGAACCAAAAGGAAAAGAAAGAAACAAUCAUAUGCUUUGAAUGCAAGAAGCUUGGACAUACAAAAUCAGAGUGUCCUCUCCUCAACCAAGCGAAAAAGAAAGUUAUGGUGGCAACAUGGGAUGACAGUGAUGAUGAGACCUCAGAUGAGGAGGAAUUACAUGAAGUGUCAAGCCUGGCACUUAAGGCAAUAGGAGAAGAACUUGAUGAGGUAAAUGAUCUCCCUUCUUAUGAUGAGUUGUUUGAAGCAUUCAUUGAAUUGCAUAAUGAUUUAAAGAAAAUUGGUAUGAAAAAUGUUUCUCUUAAAAAGAAAAUACUAGAAAUUUCAAAUAAGAAUGAUGUUUUGCAAAAAAAAAAAAUGAUUCUUUAAAUAGAGAGAUUAAAAGACUCAAAUUAGAGAUUAAAAAAUUGGGUGAUAGGAUUGCGUUAUUAAAAGAAAAAAAAGUACUUCUUGUGAACAUGAAAAGUUACUUGUUAAUGAUUGGAUUGAGGAAAAUGAAGAUUUAAAGAAGAACAAUGAACUCAAUGAUAUUGUGUUGAGGUUCACAAAUGGUCAAAGGAAUUUGAAAAAAUAAAGGAGGACUUGGGUAUAAGCCUAAAUUGAAACAAAAAUAUUGUAAGAAUUACUUUGUUAAGGCUACCUCUGUUAGUGAUCAUAAAGUUGUUUGUCAUUAUUGUAAUAGAAAUGGUCACUUAAGUUAUGCAUAUUUUGGAAUCAAAACUAUUUCAGUUCCAAAAGGAACCAUUGCUAACACUUAAGGACCCAAAAAGCUUUGGGGUCCUAAAAUUCGAAACUUCUUCUGUAGGGAUCAAAGAAGAAGAAAAAUAAAUGAUACUUGGAACGCAGAUGCUUGAGACAUAUGACAGACAAUUAUUCUUGGUUUUCGAGUUUUAACAAAAUCGAAGAUAGUGCAGAAGUAUUCUUUGGAGAUAAUUCAAAAGGAAAGAUUAUAGGUAUUGGUAAUAUCGGUAAAGAUUCUUCUACCUUUAUUGAAAAUGUGUGUUGAGUUGAAAAUUUGAAAUACAACUUGCUUACUAUUAGCCAAUUAUGUGGUAAAUGUUAUAAAGUUAUUUUUGACAAAACAAAAUAUGUUAUUGAGAAUGCAUGUGAUGACAAAGUUUUAUUCAUUGGAAAAAGAUGUAUCAAUAUGUACACCAAUAAUAUAGAAUGUGCAUCAACUCAUAAUAAAUAUUUUCCACAUUACAUGAUGAUAGUUGGUUAUGGUAUAGAAGACUAGGUAAUGCAAGCAUGGAUUUGAUUUCAAAAAUUUCGAAGAAUGAUUUAGUUAAAGUUCUUCCAAAAAUUGGUAUUGAAAAAGAUGGAAUUUGUGAAGAUUGUCAGUUUAGAAAACAAAUUAAAACUUCUUCACAUGGAUUUAUUUGGACCUUCUACAUAUGCUAGUCUAAGUGGAAAGUAUUAUGCAUUUGUAAUUGUUGAUGAUUAUUCUAGAUAUACAUGGGUAUUAUUCUUAGCCAAUAAACAGAGCUAGCAAAAUGGGUCGUCAUGUCAUAUUCGUGUCGUGUCAGCUUCGUGUCGUGUCAAAUUUAAGUUGACCCCAACUCAACCCAUUUAAUAAUUGUGUCAAAAUAUUGAGACCCAAACCUAACAUGAAAAAUAAACAGGUUACCCAAUAACCCGUUUAAUAUCUAUAAAUUUAACAAAUAUUGUACACACACCCACACCCACAUAUACACCCCCCAAAAUAUUGCACAUUUGCACUAUUAAAGUUUUUAAUUAUAUAUAUGUAAAUAAUGCUAUCAAUAUACAUGUGUACCAAUAUUUUUAAACACACUGUUAAAGUUCUAAAUCUAUAUAAAAUUUUAUAAAUAAAACACUGUGUAUAUAUAUCUACCCUUCCAAAAAAAAAAUAAAAAGAGAGAAUUAUGUUCAAUAUUUAAGUUUUAAUGACAAGAACCUAGAAAUAAAUUUAAAAAAAUAUAAUCGUGUCAUUAUUCGGGUAAAUGGGUAAAAAAUUUUAACCCUAACUAGACACGGAAAAAAAAAUCGUGUCAACCCAGACCCAACCCAUUUAAUAAUCGUGUCAAAUUUGAUGACCCUAACCCAUUUAUUUGUGUUGUGUUCGUGUCGGGUAAUCGGAUUGUGUCAAAUUUUGUCAACUCUACCAAUAAGGAUGAUGACUUUGAUGUGUUUAAUAUCUUUUGUAAAAAGGUUCAUACUCCUGCAAAAGAGAAGUAAUAGAACUAGGCAAAGUAGGGUCAAAUUCGUUAGUGUUUAAAAAUGCCUCUUUGUACAAAAGUACAAUCAUCGGCUGAUGUAAAAACAACACUUUUUUUAUCUCACUCGCUCUCGCGUAGAAAUUCUUUUAUUUUCCAUCUAAUUUUCACUCAAUGGCCGUAUUUUUCUUUGGUUUUUCUCUCACAUUUUCCUCAGCCUCUUUUUUAAUUUCACUCUCUUUUUAUCUCCUUUUCUUUUCCUCACUCUCUCUCUGUAGGCUCACUUGGUCUCCAUAAACCUGGUUUGGUGUCAAUGGAACAAGAGUGAUGAUGUUUCACACGCCUAUCGAAUUGCCAAGGCCACCCAAGUAACAAGUGUCCAGCCUGCAUUGGAACUACAUCACAAAGCACAUUAUCUUCAUACUUGCCAAUCCGAAAAGUCACUAGUACCUGCUUGUUCACUUUCACCUCUCCACUGUCAUUUGUAUGGCCGUGGGUGUUUAAGUGUCGGAAGCCCUAAUUUCUCUACCGUGAUAGUAUUGGCAACAUUAGUACAACUUCCUCCAUCAGUAAUCAUACUACAUACUUUGUCUUGAACAUAGCACCUAGUAUGGAAAAUGUUUUCCCUUUGCACUACUUCGUCUUCCUUUACUUGCACAUUCAAAGCUCUCCUUGCUACUAAAGUCAAUUCCCCAGGGGCUAUAUACUCUUCAUCUUCGACAUCCUCUAAUAGUGGUAUCUCAUUCUCUUUCGUCUCAUCUUCAGUUACAAUCUCACCAUUGUCCCGCAAUACCAUAACUCUUUGAUUCACACAUUCACUUGCGAUAUGCCCCCUGCCUUGACAUUUAAAACACUUAAUGUCACGAUUCCUAAUAGUAGGAGUUACGGUGUUACCUUGUGUAUUGUGCUUGGAUGGCUCGGAUCAUAGUUUAGGUGUAGUAGAUGCUUGUGGCCUCUCGUCUCAUUUCACAUAGCUCGGCUUCCAAGGAGUGGAACUCAAGUUUGGGGCUACACAAGUGUUACCCCUCCUCUUGAGUCACAAAUGGUGAGGGAUGACAGGGUAAGACCUGUGAGAAACAAGUUUUCCAUACAGAGGGAAGGAAAAUAAUCAGGCUUUUUGCUCUGAACAUUGAAGAAAUACCGGUAAAGAAAUUUCUUUACAAAGUCUUGGAUCUGGUAGGCUGAAUGAAAAGGAAUGUUCAUGGGAAAAGCUCUCUGGUUGAGAGCUUUGAAAGGAAGUUGACGAUUCAUGGCUAUGAUUGGGAUGGAGUGGAUGGAGGAAAUAAGUGAAGGUUUAUUUAUAGUCGGACGUGUAAGGAAAUCUAGGAUGAGGUUCUGUUUGCCUGUUAUGUGUUGGACAGUAAAAUCAUAUUUAGCAAAUCAAUUUUUAAGGCUAAGCAGCUAUUUGUCGGGGAGCAACUUGUUUUUAAAGUCAAAGAUUCUAGGAAAAAAGGAGUUGUCUAUGUUGAUAAGGAAUGUAUGGUUGAUUAGAUGAAAUUCAAUUUUUUUUAUUCCAUACUUGACCUCCAAAAUCUCUUUUUAGAUCACAUGGUAAUUCUUUUUAGUCUUUGAAUUGUCGGCUUGCAUGUGCACAGAAGUGACGUACACCAUUUAUAUCUUCAAGAAGGAUGGCACUCCAAUAAUUAUCACUGGCAUUGGUAUGUAGAAUGCGUUGUCCAGUUGUCGGAAUUCACAGAGGAGGAGGUGACUGGGCUAUCACCUUUAGUUGUUGGACAACUUCUGCCUGUGCUGGUCUCCAUGGAGGGCACUAUUUUCUGAGCAUGCGGGACAACUGGCUUGUGUGGAUUGCAACUUUAGGGAUGAAAUCAAGGACAUAAUUAACAAUCCUAAGGAAUUGUUGGAUCUGCUUUUUGUUGAGAUGCGUGUCUGGAAACUUUAAUAAUUCAGUUGUAAUGUGUGGACCAAGUUGAUAAUGGCCAUCUUUAAUCACCAUGCCAAAAAAGUCAAUUGAUUCUUUUGCUAUGCUGCUUUUCUUUUCAAAAAGCAUGAUUCUGUGUUCUUGCACAAUAUGAAAGAAAUCCAAAAGGACCUUCUGGUGGCUCUCAUGGUCAGAGGAAAAUAAUAAGAUAUCAUCAAUGUAUACCAAAGCAUGAUGUAGGAUAGGACUGAAGAUUUUUGUCAUCCUUUUGAAAUAAUGAAGGAGCAACCUUAAGGCCAAAAGGCAUAACAGUCCACUGAUAAUAGGCAUCAGGGAUGCAGAAGGCAAUUUUGGGACAGUCAAUUGGUGAAAUACUACGUUUCCAAAAACCAGCUUUUAAAUCAAAUUUAGAGAAGAUACGAGCCCCUUGAAGAUAGACAAAUAGAGUCUGGAUUUUUGGAAGGGGAAACUUAUCAUCUUUAAGGAAAGAAUUAAGCGGCUGGUAAUCAAUAACUUACCUCUUUUUACCACGAACUAAUUAAGAUCGUUUUUCAACAUAGAAGGCUUGACAAGCCCAAUCUGAAUCAGUAGGUUCAAUAAGACCUUGCUGAAGCAACUGAGAACAUUCUUGUUUAGAAAGUAAAAGGUUGGAAGGAGACAUACCCGGGUGUGAUGCUUUUGUGGGAUUUAUGUCUUCGUUGAGUUUAAAAGGAAGGUGAAUGAAGAAUUGUUCAUUUUUCCAAAGAGGUGAAGGAUGGUGGAACUAUGAAUAGGAACUUUUGUGAAAUAUGACUGUAUUGAGAUGGUGUUUCUGAAAGUUUAUACAGACGUAAUGUAUCUACAUAAGGCAAAAACGUUUGUUUGUAGCGAACUCCAGAACUGGUGAGGAAUAGGUUUUUAACCAAAUGAAGAAUGUCAAAACCUACGAGUAAGUCUUUAUCUGGGAGUUUGGAUGCUACAAUCUUUUUCCAAAUUAUGCAAUUAGGAAAGAAUUGAAUACUAAUGGGUUUUUUGGUAAUCAAUGUGGUUUCAAAAGUUUCUUCAUUAACUGCUCGGAAAAGUUUCAAGUGUUUUUCUCAACAAUUAGAGGGAAGGACAGAAGGAUCAAUCAUACUAGUAUCUGCACCAGUGUCAAUAAACCCGAUGACAAAAACAGGUUUAUGAAAUUUGGAAGGAAGGAUUGACAUUUUUAGAGAAGGUCUAUGAAUGGCUGAAACAUUGUUGACAGUUUGAACUGUAGAGAUGACUGAAAUAUCAUCAGAAUCAAAAGAUUCUAUGAUAAUGAAGGCAGUAUGAUCAUCUUGUUCUGACUGUUCUGAAAAAUUUGAUUCGACAUCUUCAUUCUCAGAUAAUAGUGAAGAAUGUUGAAGAUGCUGUAUGAGACGAACAGCUUUGGCAGACUUGUGAGGACAGUUUCGAGCAAAGUGACCGCGUUUCUUGCAAAUGAAACAACGGUUGUGCUUUUUCUUUCUGUACUGGGAAUCGUCCUUUUUUAUGAAAUAUUAGAGAGGUUUUUUGGAGGAUGAUUUUCUAUAGAAGUGUUGCUGGAAAUGUUUCUUCUUUCUAAUCGGACAAAUACACUUCUUUUCAUCUUUGCACUCUAUCCUGAGAUAGGGUUUUUUACAAGCUUCUGAAAAGGAUUUUUUGUCUUCCAUGAGAUCUUUGAAAAAUUCUAUUUGCUGACAGAUCUUGUCGAGACAUAGCAUUGCCAUUUGAAAAAUCUUUCCCAGAGAGAUAUCAGCUAUGCUUAGAUUAGUGGCUGUGAGUUUUCUUUGGACAUCAGGUUGUAACUCAGAAGGAAGUGAGGCUAUGAAGACAUGUUUGAGAGAUGGCUCAUUGAACCCAUUCAGCUUAUAAAAAAGAAUACUCAUCCUUUUGUAAUGACAUUCCAAAAGACGUCUUUUGAGCGAGCAGCACUUCAUCUGAUGAUACAUUUUUCUGUCUGAAUUAGUUGAAGCAGUUUUUUCACCGAUGAAUUGUUCACGGAUGAUAUUGACUGCUGUGCCAAUUGGAGAUUGCAUGAAUUGGAGCUGACGGUAUUCUCCCAAGCUUUCUAGCCAAUCACGUAAAGAACCCGUAGAUCGGGCCAUAAAUUCACAGAGAACAGCUUGAGGUUGAGCAUUAGGUUUUGUCCUUGGAGAUCAAUCCAUGCAGCAAAUUCUUGAAGUCGAGCAAGCCAUUUAUAAUGGAGAAUGUCAUCAACUGUGAACCAAGAUGCUGAAGAUGGUUUUGUGGAGUGGAGUGGUCAGGAAUUGGUGGUGGCAUUGAUGGCUCUGGUUCUAUUGGAGAUGCUUUAUUUUCAGCAUCAAAAGAACUGUCUUCAACAAUAGGUGUGGCAGUUGAAGUGCUUGGAUCUUCAGUUUUGGUGGCCAUUAAUAUACUUGUAAUGUCAGCAUAUUCGGAUUCAGAGUGAGUGGAGGUACCGACUGAUUUUGUGGAUGAGGAAGAGGAAGACGGGUUGGACUCUAAUGGGUUUGACUAAUAGACUGUUUCUGGCUCAGAGGAGUCAGAAGAUGUGUUUUGGACAAUAUGAUAAUGAUACUGAUCCAUUGAGCCUUUAUCUUUUUUGGGGGGUUCAGGAGUGGCUUUUGGUGAAUCUUCUGGUGGUACCGGAGGAACAGAUGAAGAUGAAGUGGCGUUUGACUUUGGUUCUGAGAUCUUGACUUUGGAUUUUGAUUUUUUAGGUGAAGAUGGCUUUAGUUGAGGAGUUGGUUGAAGGUGUGAGAAUCCAAAGAACUGGUUGUAAACAGGUUGUUGAGGUCUGGAUGGUGUGUAGAAAGGUGCAUAAGUUUCAAACACUGGAGGGGGUACUGGUGUGGUUUGUGUUUGAGUAAAAAGUGAUGGAUGAGCCUUUUCAGUAUCAAUUCUUGCCAAUUCAGCUUUGAGCUUUCUAAUCUCUGCUUCUUUUUUAUUAAACUUUGGACCCCAGAUGUGGUUGUUGAUCAUUCGUCUGAGAUCGGUGUCUAGCUCAGAGAUAUGAUCUUGUAGAUGGAUGUACAUCUGAUCAAGACGAUUGUUGAUUGAAUCAACUUUAGUUUCAGUCUGAGAGACUUGACUGGCAACUCGAUCAAUUUUCUUACCGAGUUGUUGAAGAGUUUGAUUUUGAGCAUUGGCAUUUUUGGUUUGCCAGUUUAAAACAACUUCAUACUGUUUUGGCUCUUCAGGUUGCCCAGAGGCUGUAACUGGGGAUUGGACAAGAGGUUUUAAGAUAACCCUGGUUUGUGUGUCUGUCUAUUUUUCAAGCGGAGGAAAUGAUUCCUCUUAAGAUUGACUUGAAAACAUUAGUCAUGAUCUUAUUUGGUGAAUAGGAGGUUUGGGAUUUGGUGGAGGUUGUGGAGGAAAGGAUUUGUAAGAUGUUUUUGGAUGAGAAGGUUUUUUCUUUUUCUUUUUCUUUCUCCUCAUAACUUCCAAUUCGUCAUCAACAUCCGUGUCGUCCAAGCAAGGACAAUCUGGAUUGUACAUAUGUGCUUCAGGAACAUUCCAUAGAAAAUGACCAUUGAUUUUGUCAGGAUAUACUGGAUACCCUUCUGAUGAGAAACCAUGAAUGGGAAGUUUUUUUUCUUGACCAGUUCUUACACUACUGUGAAGUGUCUGAAACGGGCUUGGCUUCAGGUGUUUGAAAAGAUAGUUUGACUUGACCAUUUUGUCAUCUUUCAAACAUGGCUUCUAUUGUUUGAACUGGUUCAGAGUUUUGGUGGAAAUGCUCAUAGUUGGUUAACCAUUCAAGAGGCAUAAGUUUGAGCAAUUCUUGUUUAUGGAUUUGUUUGGGAAUUUGGAUGAUAGUUGGAAUUGUGUCUGUAUCUGCUAGUAUCAUUAAGGCAUCGGAUGUAGUGUGUGGUGUGGGAAGAUCUAGUGCAUGAUUCUGUAAUCGAUACACUAUUUGGUGAUUGAGAGUUGCUAUUUUUGAUGUGGGUGUUUUUUUUGCUCCUUGGAGCUGGAUUUGGACCUUAAGGGUGGUGGGAAGGUUGGGAUCCUCAAGAGAGAGGUUGAAAUUUAGGUAAAAGGUUAACAAGAUACUGCUAGUAUGAAGUGUAGUCAGGACGGUUCCUACAAUAGCAUGUUGGUACUGUUUGAACCUGGUGUCUAGGAGAGCAAUUCUGGUUGUAACAGGUAAGCCUUUUCUACCAUGGAGGGUCAAAAUCAAUCUAACACCACCAAGAUGGAGAUGUGUAUACCCCUCUCGUUUCUAGUUUGCUACGAGAUCUGGGGGUAUUUCCAAAGUGACAUACUGCUCACUUUGAGAGGCUUGUAAAGCACACUGAUCUAGUCUAGAAGACUGGAUGUAUUCUUUUGGGAGUGGUCUUUUGGUGGAGAUCAAGGUGCAGAUACUUCCAGUGAAAGAAGUUUUUUGUUUGUAUAGAUUGUAAGGGCUCAUGAUGGGAAACUGAGAUUCAUUGAUUUGGGCAGACUUAGGAAUAUAGGAAUAUUCAACAAGAUUUUCAAUUUUGGAGGCUAUGUGUUUUGAACAUGAUUUUGGAAGAGAUAGGGUAGAGGAAAGAGAGAUAUGAGAUGAAGACGAUGAAGGAGUUGAAAGUGAAGAUGAAAAUGUUUCCAUAUUUGUGUAUUCUUCUUCUAGGAAAUCUAAUAAUAUUAAUUGACAUUACUAAUGAUACCACCUCUGCGUUUGGCUUGGCUCUGAUACCAGUGGGUAGUUGUACGUGGCAUUGUUACACCAGAUCUGUAACAGAACAAAGUCUGUUCUUAGGGCCAAUAGCCCGCAAGUUCUGAUUUCUAGUCGAUAUACACUUAUCCAUCAAAUACUAAAUCUGAAAAUCAUAUUUGAAAACACUUUUUCAAGAUACCACCCGAAAACACGGCACUCUUGGCCUUCAAAGAGGGUGAACGUUGUGAGAAAACAAUUUCAUUUUACAAAAAUUGGUUUUGGAGGAUAAAACAGAACCUUUCUCAUGCACAGGAUCCUUAGGCUUAAGGCAAGUACAAAGCAUACUCACUUUAGAAAAUUAGAGGAGAACUUAUCAUUAUUAACCCAAAUAAUUUCUUUGAUUCCUAGAAGAAAGAAGAAUUUUAGAAACGCAUGAUGUAAAGAAAACUUUAAAAUAUAUUUCAAAUUAACUCCUGCCUUACAAGGGGAUAGAGAGAUCCUUAUAUAGAGAUCUCGAGGAAGGAGAGAUAAGGUGAGACCCUUAUCUUUUACAAAAGCAGAAUGAUUAAAGCACACCACGCCAAAACCAAAAGAAAAGCAUAAAACACACUUUAGACAAGACAGGACCCUUGUCUAAUUAUUAAAGCAAACUUUUAAAAAAGCAAAAGCUAAAGAUUCUCAUGCGUGUCUGCAAUCAUGGAGUGGAUGGGAAAUGUGAUGGAGACACAUCGCCAGUUUCUUUCUCAUAUUGUCGUUUGGCACGACGGAUCUGUCUUUGAUCAAGAUAAGUUUCAGCUUGCAGAUAAGCUUCUUCAUCAGCGGCAUUCAUCUUUUUUUAGCCUGGUGGAGCAGGAAGAUAUGGGUCCAUGACAGUGUAAUGGGAAGUUUCAGUAGAGAGAAAGGAUUGAAAAUCUUCCCAUAGAUCCUGAGCGUCUUGGAAUAAGACGUUAGUGUAAUCAGGACGUUCCAUGACAAGGAUUCCUUGAGGACUGGAACUGGAACCGGGAGUACAAGUUUGUGUCUUUGGGACAAUUUCGAAGGUGUGUGAUGGUCCAACAGAGGUGUUAUGGAUGUUUGUGGUAGGUGGCUGAACAUUGUUGAGUUCCAUGAGGUAUGACUUGAGAACAGAGGUAACAGAUGUAUCAUGGAUGAGGGUAUAAGGAUGGGGAUAAGUUUUCCAUUCAUAGGCCAUAUCUUAUGUCCAGAAAUCUCUUGUUUCUAGGUGCUGAAAGUAAUGUCUAUGAACGAUGAAGACUGUAGUGAACAUGUUGGCUUCUUGUUCUGGUAUUCUGUCUAACAUGAAAACAUUAAGCAUGAUCUUAUUUGGUGAAUAGGAGGUUUAGGAUUUGGUGGAGGUUGUGGAGGAAAGGAUUUGCAAGAUGUUUUUGGAUGAGAAUGUUUUUUCUUUUUCUUUUUCUUUCUCCUCAUAACUUCCAGUUCAUCAUCAACAUCUGUGUCGUCCAAUCAAGGACAAUUUGGAUUGCACAUAUGUGCUUCAGGAACAUCCCAUAGAAAAUUACCAUUGAUUUUGUCAGGAUAUACUGGAUACCCUUCUGAUGAUGGUGUGAAUGGAGGGUAUCAUUAGUAAUGUCAAACUUACUAAAUGACCUUACUUACCUCGUCGUCCGAUAUGCAUCUUCGAAAAUUUUGAUCAAAACAGUACUUGAACAGGAAUGGAUCAUCCUAGUAAAAACUUUUCCAUUAUGUUAAGAAUUUCUUCUUGUCUUGGGAGGUCGAGUCACAUGGCAUUUCACCUGUUGCAAGAUAAUUAACAAUAUUAGCAUACCAAGGCAUUUUGUUUAUAGAAAACAAAAAUUCAUCAGGGAAAGAAUCAUUGAUGGGUGUUGUAUCAAUUGAAGACUCAUUUGUAAGUCUUGAAAGAUGGCAACAACAUUUUCGGCUCCCUUUUUGUCCUUGAUUGUGAAGUUAAAUUCUUGAAGUAGCAAAAUCCAUCGUAUCAACUUUGGCUUGGCAUCUUAUUUAGAUAUUAAAUAUCUAACAACAGCAUGAUCAUAAUAAAAAAUGGUAGAUGAACCAAUUAAAUACGAACUAAAUUUAUCCAAUACAAAUAUUACAGCAAGUAGUUCUUUUUCAGUUGUGGUGUAAUUCAUUUGCGCACUAUUCAAAGUUCUACUUGCAUAAUAAAUAACAAAAGGUUUACAUUCCUUUCUUUGUCAUAGAACAGCGCCAAUGGCAUAAUCACUAGCAUCACACAUUAGCUCAAAAGGCAAAGACCAAUCAGGGGGUUGCAUUAUUGGGGCUGAUGUCAAAAGACUAGUUAUCUUUUCAAAAGCUUGUUGACAAUCUUUAGUCCAUUCAAAAGGUGUUUCUUUUAUUAGGAGGUUACAAAGUGGUCUAGAUAUGACAUUAAAGUCUUUUAUAAACCUCCUAUAAAAUUCCGCAUGUCAUAAAAAGGAACAGACUUCUCUAAUUGUCUUUGGUGAAGCUAAUUAUGAAAUGACUUCAACUUUGGCUUUGUCAACUUCAAUUCCUUUUGAAGACACAACAUGGCCCAAGACAAUUCCAUAAGUGGUCAUGAAAUGACAUUUUUCCCAAUUUAAAACUAAUCCUUUUUCUUUGCACCUUUCCAAAACUCUUUAUUGAUUAUCAAGGUAUGUAUCAAAUGAAUUACCAAAUACAAUUAAAUCAUCCAUAAAAACCUCUAGACAAUUUUCAAUCAUGUCACUAAAAAUGCUUUGCAUGCAUCUUUGAAAUGUUGCAAAAGCAUUACAAAGUCCAAAAGACAUUCUCUUAAAUGCAAAUGUUCCAAAUGGGCAUGUGAAUGUGGUCUUUUCCUAGUCUUCUGAGGAUAUAGAAAUUUGAUAAUAGCCAGAGUAGCCAUCAAGAAAGCAGUAGUACGGGUGUCCUGCUACUUUCUUGAGAAUUUAGUCAAGAAGAAAAACCAUUUAGUACUAAAUGGGUAUCUAAACGUUAUAGGUACUAAAUGGGUAUUUAGAAACAAAAUGGAUGAAUCUGGUGUGGUUGUGAGAAAUAAAGCUAGAUUAGUAGCUCAAGGAUACAACUAAGAAGAGAGAAUUGAUUUUGAUGAAACAUUUGCACCUGUAGCUAGACUAGAAUCCAUUAGAAUGCUCUUAGGCUUUGCAUGUUAUAAAGAUUUUAUUUUGUUUCAAAUGGAUGUCAAGAGUGCUUUCUUAAAUGGUUAUAUUAUGGAAGAAGUUUAUGUGAAACAACCCCCUGGUUUUGAAAAUGAAAAUUUUCAAAAUCAUGUGUAUAAGUUGUUUAAGGCAUUAUAUGGAUUAAAACAAGCACCUAGAGCAUGAUAUGAUAGGCUUAAAAACUUCUUAUUAGAUAAUGAUUUUUCGAUGGGAAAAGCGGACACCACUCUAUUUGUAAAGCAUGAGAACCAAGAUAUACUUAUUGUUCAAAUCUAUGUUGAUGAUAUUAUAUUUGGUUCUACUAAUGAGUCUAUGUGUAAGGAAUUUUCAUACAAAGUAAAAAAUUUGAGAUGAGUAUGAUGGGAGAGUUGAAGUACUUCCUUGGGCUAUAAAUAAAACAAGAUGAGAAUGAAAUUUUCAUAAAUCAAGCCAAGUAUGUGAAAGAUCUACUCAAAAGAUUUAGCUAUGGUAAUGGAACUGCAAAAAGCACUCCGAUGAGUACUACCAUCCAGCUGGAUAAAGAUGAGAAGGGUAAGGAGGUUGACAUUAAGACAUAUCGAGGUAUGAUCGGAUCCUUGCUCUACUUUACUGCUAGUAGGCCUGAUAUUAUGUUUAGUGUAUGCAUGUGUGCUAGAUUUCAAUCUUGUCCUAAAGAGUCACACUUGCUUGCUGUCAAACGAAUUUUUCGAUAGUUGAUUGGCACCAUCAAUCUUGACCUUUGGUAUCCUAGGGGAACUCAUAUUGACUUAACUUGUUAUUCGGAUGCUAAUUUUGCCGGAUAUAAGGUUGAUAGAAAAAGUACUAGUGGAACAUGUCACUUCCUAGGUUAUUCACUAGUCUCUUGGUUUAGUAAGAAACAAAAUUCGGUUGCAGAAUAUAUUGCUGCGGGUAGUUGUUGUACACAAGCCCUUUGGAUGAAACAAACCCUUAGAGACUAUGGUAUUAAUCUUGAUCAAAUACCUAUCUUGUGUGACAAUACUAGUGCUAUCAAUCUAUCCAAGAAUCCCAUUCAGCAUUCUAGAACCAAGCAUAUAGAAAUUAGGCAUCAUUUUCUAAGAGAUCAUGUUCAAAAAGGAGAUGUUGUGAUUAAAUUUGUUUCUACUGAAAAUCAACUUGCGGAUAUCUUUACAAAACCUCUUAGUGAAGAGCAUUUUAUAAAGAUAAGACAUGAGCUCAGAAUGAUGAAUGUUGCAUAUUGAAGUAUGAUUUUUUUAUUAAGUUGAUAUGUUUGUUAUUGUAUGGAUUUAUGUUCAUAAAUUAAAUGGCUUAUUGAAAAAUUUUGAAUCUCAAAAUGAUUUAAAAAUUGAUCAAUUUUUAAGCCAAAAAUAAAUUGGUGUGUGUAAUACAAGUCUAAGAGUUUACUAAACUUCAAAAAUAUUCUCCAAAGCUUAACCAAUAUACCGCUUCUAAUAAACCGGAAAGCCGUUUCUCUUAUUGUUGCUCACUGGACUCAAACCGGAUAACCGGAUAAUGAAAAACCGGUAAACCUCUUUUAUUAUCUCUUUUCCUGAAAAAAAAUUGGUCAGCUGGUUAUGAAAUCUGAAAAAAUGAAUUUUGUUUGGUUCUUGUUGAAAUAAUUCGGCCAGCCAGUUAAACAAAAUCUUUGAACUUAUUAAAUUUUUGUGGCAUUCAAACUCUUUACUUAUCAAUCAGAUCAUCCAUAAUUAAUUGUGGCAUCCUCACAUACCAAGGUUUGUGCUUCCAAAGAGUAUCGGGUCAUGGUUCCAUUCAAUUCUAGGUUUAGAUUCAAUCUUGGAGACUAAAUUGAUUAAGGUCACGUUAGUUCUUGGGUUCAUAUCAUAAUUAAUUAAUGCAUUAGUCAUAGCGAAGCUGAAAAAUGGUUGACCCAAUAUAAAAAGAAUUUGCUUGUAUUCAUCAGCAAUUGGUUCCAUUUUGAAAAUGAUAAAAUCCAUGGGAUAUAUGAAUUAUUAACUCAGACUAAUACAUCUUCAAUUCCCUUUGGUACCUUAAUUGACCUAUUGGCAAGUAAAAGAGUAAUAAAGGUUGGUUUUAACUGACCAAGAUUGAGUUGUUGGUACACUAAGUAAGGAAGCAAAUUAACAUUAGCAUCAUGAUCAAGAAGAUCAUGCCCAAUUUUAUGAUCCUCAAUAAUACAAGAAAUAGUUGGACAACUAGAAUUUUUGUAUUUCAAAGCAUUAUUGUUUGAGAGAAUAGAACUUACCUGUUUUGCUAAAAACACUUUCUUUUAAACUUUAUGUUUGCUUUUCAUAGUGCAUAGAUCUUUAAAAAAUUUAGCAUAAGAAGUAUUUGUUUAAUGACGUCUAGCAACAGAAUUUUGACCUUUACUUGUUUAAAGACUUCAUAACUCUCUGGAUUGUGGCUUGAUUAGUGCUUGAGGAAAUGGUAGUAUAUGAGAAGAGUUGGUUAUUUCUUCAUGGAUUAAAGGUUCGAUAAACUCUCCUAUUUUACUAAUUUCAUGAGGAUCAAGAAUGUGUUUUUUAAUAAAUUUACCACCAUUAAAGGUUAUAAGUAAUUUGACUUGGCUUAUAUUUUAGUUUCCUAUAUUACCUAUUUAAGAAUGUUGUUGACUCUUAUGUUAACAUAAGUAUUUUUAUAACAUUGAUUUUGAUGAUAGCAAACUGGUUUACCAAAGUUGGAGUUUUUAAAUGAUUGAAUUCUAGGCCAUAUGAAGUUUCUUAGACAUAAAUAAGAUUCUGGAAAUAAACAGAUAACCGUUAAUCCUAAGACGACAAACCAUUUUCUUAAGGAAUUUUAUAGUUUUGAUUUUAGAAGAUAAUGGUGAACUGUUUAUUAUAAAACAGUUAUCCAAUAAGUUCCAGAGAGCAAAUACUUUGGAUCCGAUUAGCUGUUUAUUGAUAACAACUAUCCAACAAAUUCCAAAGAGGGAUUAGAUGGCAAACGGUAAAUCGUUUGGCACAAACAGCUAGUUGAUAAAUAUUUUGCAGGUCUCUAAAAUUAAACGGCAAACCGACAACUCAAAACGGUGAGCCGAUUAUUCAAGAUUUAGCAUAACGGUAACUUGCACAAAGUCCAAAUGGUGAUCCGACAACAAUGGAUGGCGAUUCGAUUAUGCCUAGAAAGUCAACAAUGGCUAGUUUCCCUCUCCAACUAAAAAAAUGUUCAAUGAAAUUCAAAAUAUAUAUAUAUAUAUAUAAUUAUCACUAAGCUUGUUAUUAUGUAUACAAUCUUUCCUGUCUUUAAAACUUGUUAGUCAUUCAUUAAAUCACACUUCAAGCUUUCAUUUGUAAACACGUACAUUGUGUGAGGAAAAAAUUAUCUAAUUUUUAUUUUAACAUAAAAUUGAGUGUUUGAGAGUGUGGAAAACACUUAGGUUAAGAGGGUUGGGAUAACCUCAAAUUGUAAUGGUUAAUUGACACCUUACAAAUCAAUUGUAAUGAUUUUAGAAGCCUUAUGGUGUAAGGCUUGUAUAGUGGAAUCUUCAAGUUCGUUGGUCUUGGAGGCAUAAACAUAGGCGAAGUUUGCCGUACCACUUAAAAAUUUUGUGUUCGAUUCUCUUUCCCUUAUAUUUUUACAUUUUGAUCAUUGUGAUUUAUUUGUUAUUUGGAUAAUUUUUUUGAUAUUUGCAUUGUGUUUUGCCCCCCUUUUGGGUUGCUCAACUAGUAUUUCAUUUGGUAUCAAAUCGAGGCUCUCUCAUUAGGACUUAACCGUCUAAAGUAAAAGAUCCAUGGCAAUCCAAAAUGAUUAUACCUUUAGGGAAGGUCAGUGUGCUAAGACCACCAUUCUUUGAUUGAAAUGACUACCCUUAUCAGAAAACUAUGAUGAGAAUUUACUUGCAACACUAGAUUAUAAAAUUUGGGAACUUUUUUGUGAUGGUCCAUUCAUGCCUAAGACUAAAAAUGAAGUAGGGGAAUAUAUUUCAAAACCUUCACGUGAAUGGAAUGAAUUGUAAAAGAGAAAAGCUUCUCUUAAUUCCAAAGCCAUGAAUGUUUUAUUUUGUACUUUAAAUAAGAAGGAAUUUUAUAGAGUUUCAGGUUGCUCUAAUACUUACGAAAUUUGGAGGAAGUUAGAAGUUCUUUAUGAAAGAACAAACCAAGUUAAAGAGUCUAAAAUUUAUAGAUACAUUCAAUAUGAAUUGUUCUAAAUGGAAUAAAAUGAGAGUGUGCAUUCCACGUAUACUAGAUUUACGGAUAUUGUAAACAUUCUAUGAGCUCUAGGAAAACCUUUUUAAAUAGCGAGAAGGUAAAGAAAAUCAUUAGGUCUUUACCAAAAGAAUGGAGACGUAAAAGAACUGUCGUUGAGAAAGCCAACAAUUAAAUACUUUAACUAUUGAUGAUUUAAUUGGCUCAAUUAUUUCUUAUAAAGAAGAUUUGACAAUUGAAAAAAGUUGAUGAAGACAAGAAGUAGAAGAGCAUUGCUCUUAAAGCCUCGAAAUCUGAAAGUGAUGAAGAAAGCAAAUUUGAAGUUGAAGAUCUGGCAAUGAUUGCCAAAAAAUUCCAAAAAUUGUUCAAGAAAUCAAAAGAGUAAAGAAAAUUCUGAAACUUCAAUAAUUGAAAGGAGAAGAAGAAAGCAAUUACUUGCUACGAAUACAAGAAGCCUGGGCAUAUAAGAUACAAGUUCCCUCUUCUCAACAAACUCAAAAAGAAAGCUAUGGUGGCAACUUGGGAUGAUAGUAAUGAGCAGGCCUUAGAUGAGGAGGAAUCACAUGAAGUGUCAAACCUGGCACUUAUGGCAAUAGGAGAAGAAAUUGAUAUGGCAAAUGAUCUCCCUUCUUAUAAUGAAUUAUUUCAAGCAUUCAUUGAUUGCAUAAUGAUUUAAAGAUGAUUGGAAUGAAAAAUGUUUCUCUUAAAAAGAAAAUGCUAGAAAUUUCAAGUAAGAAUGAUGUUUUGUAAAAACAAAAUAAUUCUUUAAAUGAAGAGAUUAAAAGAACUUAAACCAGAGAAUAAAACAUUGCAUAGUAGGAUUGUAUCAUUAAAAGAAAAACAAAGCACUUCAUAUGAACAUUAAAAGUUACGUGUUAAUGAUUGGAUUAAGGAUAAUAUGUUGAAGUUCACAAAUGGUCAAAAGAACUUGGAAAAAUUGUCUUUGAUAAAGGAGGACUUGGGUAUAAGCCUAACUUGAAAUAAAAAUAAUACAAGAAUUACCUUGUUAAGGCUACAUCUAUUAAUGAUCAUAAAGUUGUUUUUCAUUAUUGUAAUAGAAAUGAUCAUUAAAGUUAUGCAUGUCUGAUUAAGAAAAAUGCAUAUUUUGGAAUUAAAUGUGUUUAGGUUCCAAAAGGAAUCAUUGCUAACACUCAAAGACCCAAAAAGCUUCUGGUACCUAAAACUUUAGAUUUCUACUGUAUGGAUCAAAGAAGAAGAAAAAUAAAUGGUACUUAGAUAGUGGAUGCUCGAGACAAAUGAUAGGCAAUUAUUCUUGGUUUUCGAGUUUUACCAAAAUAAAAAAUGGCGGAGAAGUAUCCUUUGGAGAUGAUAUUGUAAUUUUAAUGAUAAAAUAAAAAGGGCUAUACAUAUUGUAAUUUUAAUGAUAACAAAUAUUUGUCUUAAGUAAAUUGAAAAAUAUUAUAUUUUACAUUUUCACUAGUUCUUGAAGGAUAAUAUUUAUGCGAGUGAAUCAAGUGAAAUCAAGCUCAAGAUACUCAACAAACAACGACGCGAUCAAGAAUAAAGUUUAGAGCUCAACAGACUCAUUAUUGCGACAGUUCUUGUAAAGCCGAUAUGAUUUAAUAUAUGAUUGGUUUAGCAUUUAAGAAGCUCAAGACUUUGUUUAAUAAAUCAUUAUUUUUUCAUAAAUCAAAAGUUUUACAAGUACAAGUUAAUUAUUUUAUGAAGUUAGCAAUUUUCAAGAUUUGGAUUAAAAUAAAAAGUUUUGCAAUUUUUGAUUUUAAUAAGUAUUGUUUUGAAUUCCAGAGUUAGACUUAUUUGCAAACAUUUGAAACUUUUUAGCGGCUAGCCACCUGAGAAAAACUUCACAUUUUCAAAAUUUGGACUAAAUUGAAAAAAAUUUGAAAACUUUGAAAUUCAGUAUUAUGUUAAAUUUUGAAAAGGACUAUUUUGAAAAAUAUUAUCAUGUAUUGGGCCAUACCAUAAUUUCAAAAAAUUUUGGGAAUAGUAAGUAUUAUUUAAAAAUUCUAAAAUUGGACUUGUUUACAAAGUUCUAUGACUUUCAUACCAUAGUAUAAUUAUAAAAAGUUUUGGGUAAAAAUGUAAUUUUGCGAACAGUGUUACUGUGGCAAAAUUCAAAUUUAACAGUAACUUUACUGUUCUGAAGCGGGGAGCCGAAUAAAUUUAGCGGCUAGCCGCUUGUUUGCUAGAAUUUGCCUAUAACGGCUAGUUUUCGGGCUUUAGCUAUAAAAACUUAACUCCAACUUCAUUUUUAAGACUCUUUCAAGCACAAACAAGUUUAAGCAACAUAUUUUGAGCUUCCAAAUUGGAAAAUCAUCAUAGAUUAAAUCUUCAUUGAGCUAUCAAUUGUACAUCCACUCUUAUAGAGAGUUUUAUUGUUGUAAUCUUUAUUUUUUUUUAUCAAAUUUGUGAGUGUAUAAGUGUGAGAAACACUUGAGUGGAGAUUGAGAGAUAAUCUCUUGGUCGUAAAGGUUUAUUGACAUCUUGAAAGUCAAUUGUAAAGAACUUAAGCCUUGGGAGGCUUGGAGGCGUGGACGUAGGUGGGGAUUGCCCAACCACAUAAAAAUUAUUGUAUUUGCUCUUUCUUCCUUUACUCUUUUAUUAUAUGCUUUAUUGAAUUUAAUAAAUUGUUGUACGAAUUAUUUUGCAUAAGUUUUAAAAUCCCAAUUCACCCCCUCGUUGGGUUGUCUAACUUUCAUUUCAUUUGGUAUCAGAGCAAGGUUCUUUUAUUAGGACUUAACCAUCGUUCUUUGACGGUAAUGACUACCCAUAUUGGAAAACUAGGAUGAGAAUUUAUUUACAAGCUUUAGAUUAUGAAAUUUGGGAAGUUGUUUAUGAUUGUCCAUUCAUGCCUAUGACUAAAAAUGAAGUAAGAGAUGAUAUUCCAAAACCUUCAAGUCAAUAGAGUGAGUUAGAAAUGAAAAAUAUAUCUUUAAACUCCAAGGCAAUGAAUGCUUUAUUUUGUAUUCUAAAAAAUAUGGAACAAACUUGAGGUUGUCUAUGAAGGGACACGUCAAGUUAAAGAGUCCAAAAUUAAUAGAUACACUCGACAGUAUGAAUUGUUCCAAAUUGAACAAAAUGAGAGUGUGUAUUCUAUGUAUACAAGAUUUACAAACAUAGUGAACACUCUAAGAGCCCUAGGAAAUACUUUUUCGAAUAGUGACAAAGUCAAGAAAAUUAUUAGGUCACUUCCAAAAGAAUGGAGACCUAAAAGGAUUGCCAUUAAGGAAGCCAAAUAUUUAAAUACAUUACUUAUUGAUGAUUUAAUUGGCUCUUUUAUUUCCUAUGAGGAAGACUUAGCAGCGGAAAAAGGCAACGAGGAGAAGAAGAAAAAUAUUGCGCUCAAAGCCUCAAAAUAUGAGAGUGAUGGGAAAAGUGAGCAGGAUGAUGAGGAGAUGACUAUGCUAGCGAGGAGGUUUAGAAAAUUUUUCAAGAAAACCGCUGAACGAAGGAAAUUUAGAAACUUCAAGAAUCAAAAGGAGAAGAAGAAAGUAAUCAUAUGCUACGAAUGCAAGAAGCCUGGCUAUAUAAGAUCAGAUUGCCCACUUCUCAACAAACUCAAGAAGAAAGCCAUGGUAGCUACUUGGGAUGAUAGCGAUGAAGAAUCGAGUGAUGAAUAAGAUUCGCAAGAAGUGUCAAACCUAACACUUGAUGAUGAACUUGAUGAGGUAAAUGAUCUUUCUACUUAUGAUGAGUUGUAUGAUGCUUUUAAAGAAUUACAUGAUGAUUGGAUAAGAAUUGGUAAAAUGAAUGCAUGCCUUAAGAAGAAAGUUGUAGAGCUCACAAAUGAAAACGAAUCUCUAAGUAUUAUGAUUGCAUGCUUAGAAUUAGAAAAUAAAACUUUACAUAAUAGAGUUGUAUUAUCAAAUGAGAAACCAAAAACCAUGAGCAUCUAGAGCCACAUGUAGAUGAUUUGAAAAAGGAAAAUGAAAUGCUCAAGAAAAAGAAUAUUGAACUUAGUGAUAUUGUCUUAAAAUUUACAAAUGUGCAAAAGAUGUUGGAUAACUUGCUUAAUUCACAAAAAUGUGUGUUUAAUUUUAUAAGAACUACUUUGUGCAGAGUACAUCCAUUAACAAUCAAGUAGCAUGCCACUAUUGUAAUAAAAAUGGUCACAUAAGAAAUGCAUAUUUUGAAGUAAAAUGUAUUUGGGUUCCAAAAGGAACCAUUGCUAACACUCAAGGACCCAAAAAGGUUUAGGUACCUAAGACUUGAGAUUUUCUCUACAGGGCUUGAAGAAGAAGAAGAACAAAUGGUACUUGGACAGUGGUUGUUCAAGGCAUAUGACCGGAAACUAUACAUGGUUUCAAGUUUCACCAAAAUCAAAAACGGUGGAGAUGAUUCCUUUGGAGACAAUUCAAAAGGAAAGAUUCUCAGAAUUGGUAAUGUCAGUAAAGUUUCCUCAACCCUAAUUGAAAAUGUAUAUUUGGUUGAAAAUUUAAAACACAACUUGAUUAGUAUUAGUCUAGUCAAUUGUGUGACAAAGGUUAUAAAAUCAUUUUUUAUAAAACUAGAUGUAUUAUUAAGAAUGCAUGUAAUAGCAAAACUUUGUUUGUUGGAAAUAGGUGUGUUAAUGUUUAUACCAUUGACAUAGAGUGUGCAUCUACUCAUGAUAAAUGUUUUUCUGCAAUGCAUGAUGAUGGUUGGCUAUGACAUAGAAGACUAAGACAUGGAAGCAUGGAUUUGAUUUAAAAAAUUUCAAAAAAUGAUUUGGUUAAAGGUCUUCCAAAAAUCGGUUAUCCAAAGGAUAGAACUUGUGAAGCUUGCCAAUUUUGAAAACAAAUCAAAACUUCUUUAAAAAACAAGAAUCAUGUCUCUACUUCAAAACCACUUCAAUUACUUCACAUGGAUUUGUUUGGACCUUCUAAAUAUGCUAGUUUAAGUGACAAAUAUUAUGCAUUUGUGAUUGUGGAUAUUCUAGAUACACAUUUAGUGUUUUCUAUAGAAAGGUUCAAAAUGAAAAGGGAUAUGUUAUUUCUUGUAUUAGAAGUGACCAUGGUGGAGAAUUUUUGUAAUGAUUUUGGCAUUGAGCAUCAAUAUUCAUCACCUAGGACUCCACAACAAAAUGGAGUUGUUGAGAGAAAGAAUAUGUCUAUUCAAGAAAUGGCUAGGAUCAUAUUGAAUGAGAAUGCUUUACCAAAAUAUUUUUGGGUUCAAGUCAUCAACACCACUUAUUAUGUUUUAAAUCGGGUGUUGGUUAGUCCUCAUCUUAAUAAAACUUCCUAUGAGCUUUGAAAAGAUAGAAAAUCCAACAUUGGUUAUUUCAAAUUUUUUGGAUGCUAAUGUUUUAUUUUGAACACAAAAUAAAAUCUUGGUAAAUUUUACUCAAAAUCUAAUGUUGGUAUCUUUCUUGGUUAUUCAAAUACAAGCAAAGCUUAUAGAGUGUAUAAUAAAAGAAUUAGGGUUGUUGAAGAGUCAGUGCAUGUCCCAUUUGAUGAAUGUAAUCCCUCCUCUGCAGAGAAAGCAAUUGUUAAUGAUGAUGCAGAUGGAGAGUUACAAGAAGAAUCAAGAGGAUAGACAAGAAGAACAACCAAAUAAACAAGAGAAUGCAUCACAAGAAAAUCAAGAGGAUAGACAAGAAGAACAAACAAAUAUUGAGCAACAAGAGGGUACUUCUUAAACACUCCCCAAGGAGUGGAGGUAUGUUUCCUCUCAUCCUAAGGAUUUAACUUUAGGUGAUCCUUCAAGAGGUGUUACCACUAGACCAUCAUUUAAAAAUACUUGUGAGCAUGCUGCAUUUAUUUCUCAAAUUGAACUAAAAUCCUUCGUGGAUGUGGAAAAUGAUGAAUCUUGGAUUAUGCCAAUGCAAGAGGAGUUGAAUCAAUUUGAGAGAAAUAAAGUGUGGGAAUUAGUUCUUAAACUGAAACACCAAUUCAUCAUAGGUACUAAAUGGGUAUUUACAAAUAAGAUGGAUGAAUCUGGUGUGGAUUAACGCUAGAUUAGUGGCUCAAGGGUACAACCAAGAAGAAGAAAUUGAUUUUGAUGAAACAUUUGCACCUGUAGCUAGAUUAGAAUCCUUUAGGAUGUUGUUAGCAUUUGCAUGUCAUAAAGAUUUCAUUUUAUUCCAAAUUGAUGUAAAAAAUGCUUUCUUAAACGGUUAUAUUAUGGAAGAAGUGUAUGUGAAACAACCCCCUGGUUUUGAAAAUGAAAAAUUUCCAAAUCAUCUUUAGAGUAUGGUAUGAUAGGCUUUAAAAUUUCUUAUUGGAUAAUGGUUUUUCGAUGGGAAAAAUAGACACUACUCUCUUUGUUAAGCAUAAGAAUUAAGAUUAUGCUUGUUGUUCAAAUUUAUGUUGAUGAUAUUAUCUUUGGUUCUACUAAUGAGUCUUUGUGCAAGGAGUUUUCAUCUUGUAUGAGUAAGGAAUUUGAAAUGAGCUUGAUGGGAUCUAAAUAUAUCAAAAGACCUACUCAAGAGAUUCGGCAUUGAUGACUCAAACACCAAGAACACUCCAAUAAGCACAACAAUCAAGCUUGACAAAGAUGAAAAAGGUAAAGAGGUUGAUAUUAAAAAGUAUCGAGGUAUGAUCAACUCUUUACUUUACUUUACCGCAAGUAGACCCGAUAUUAUGUUUAGUGUAUGUUUGUGUGUAAGAUUUCAAUCAUAUCCCAAGGAAUCUCAUUUGCUUGCUGUUAAAAGAAUUUUUCGCUAUUUGAGUGGAACCAUAGAUCUUGGCCUUUAGUAUCCUAGAGGAACCCAUAUGGAUUUAACUUGUUAUUCGGAUGCCGAUUUUGCCGGUUACAAGGUUGAUAGAAAAUGUACUAGUGUAAGUUGCCAUUUCCUAGGUCAUUCACUUGUUUCAUGGUUUAGUAAGAAACAAAAUUCGGUUGUACUCUCAACCACUGAGGCAGAAUAUAUUGCCAUAGGUAGUUGUUAUGUACAAGCCCUUCGGAUGAAACAAACACUUAGAGGUUAUGGCAUUAAUCUUAAACAAAUUUCUAUCAAGUGUGAUAAUACUAAUGCUAUAAAUCUAUCAAUGAAUCCCAUUCAGCACUCUAGAACCAAGCACAUAGAGAUUAUACAUCAUUUCUUGAGAGAUCAUGUUCAAAAGGGUGAUAUUGCAUUAAAAUUUAUCUCUACGAAAAAAACAAUGAUUCGAUUUCUCUCAGAAAGUCAAUAACGACUAGUUUUUAGCUCCAACUAUAAAAUAACUCAAUCAAAUUCAAACAUAUAGAGAUCCAACAGUUAUCAUUGAGCUUGCCACUGAGUAUAUAGCCAUUAUUGAGCUUUCAUUUGUAACCAUAUACAUUGUGUGAGAGAAAACUCAUUUGUAAUCUUUAUUGUAAGUGUUGGGAUACACUUAGGUUAAGAGAUUGCGGAUAAUCUCUUGUAAGAGUUGUUGAAGCCUUGGAUGCUCGCUUAGUGAAAUCUUCAAGCCCGAUGAGCUUGGAGGUGUGGAAGUAGACACGAUUGGCCGAACCACGUAAAAAUCACGUGUUUUCUCUCUCUUAACUUAUCUCUUUAUUUUUCAUUGCACGUUGAUUUGUUUAUUUCGAAUUUGGUUUCUUUGUUUAAAUUGCAUUUAGUUUUAGUUGCUUAAAUUUUUAGAAACCCAAUUCACCCCCUCUUGGGUUGCCUAGUUAAUAUUUAAUUUGGUAUUAGAGCAAGGUGCUCUUGUUUUGACUUAACCGUUUAGAGUUAAAGAUCAAUGGCAACUCAAAAUGAUUCCACAUUUAGGGAAGGUCAAUCAACCUCUAGAUCCCAUUUUUUUGAUGGAAAUGCCUAUCCUUAUUGGAAAACUAGGUUGAGAAUUUACUUGCAAGAUUUAGAUUAAUAUGAGAAGUUGUGUUGUGAUGGUCCUUUUAUACCUACUAUUAAAAAUGAAUAAGGGGAAGAUAUCCCAAAACCUUCUAAUUAAUUGAGUGAAUGCCUUGUUUUGUGCCUAGUUGUGAAAGUGCUCAAAACAUUUGGAACAAACUUGAAGUUGUCUACGAGGGCACAAACCAAGUUAAAGAGUCUAAGAUUAGUAGAUACACUAGACAAUAUAAAUUGUUCAAAAUGGAACAAAAUGAAAGUGUUUCUUUCAUGUAUACUAGGUUUACGGAUAUUGUGAACACAUUAUGAGCCCUAGGAAAACUGUUUCAAACAUCAAAAAGGUUAAAAAGAUCAUUAGGUCUUUACCAACUGAAUGGAGACCUAAAAGAAGUGCCAUGUAAGAAGCCAAUGAUUUAAACACUCUAUCUGUUGACGAUUUAAUUAGUUCUCUUAUUUCUUAUGAGGAAGAUUUGGCAGCGGAAAAAGGCAAUGAGGAAAAGAAGAAGAAAAGCAUUGCACUCAAAGUAUCAAAGCAUUAGAGUGAUGAGGAAAGUGAGCUUGAUAAUGAAGACAUAGUUAUGAUGGCUAGGAGGUUCAAAAAAUCAAUCAAGAAAACCAGUGAGCAGAAAAGAUUCAGAAAUUGCAAGAACUAAAAGGAGGUGAAGGAGCCAAUCACUUGUUAUGAGUGCAAGAAGCCUGGACACAUACGAUCAGAAUGUCUCUCCUCAACAAGCUCAAGAAGAACGCAAUGGUAGCCACAUGGGAUGAUAACGAUGAGGAAACAAGUGAUGAUGAAGAGCAACAAGAGAUGUUCAAUCUAGGUCUCAUGGCAAUUGGGGAUAAAUCGUUUGACGAACUUGAUGAAGUAAGUGAUCCUACCUAUGAUGAAUUAUAUGAUGCUUUUAAGGAAUUGCAUGAUGAUUGGAAGAAAAUUAUCUAAGUGCAAAGAUUACAUGCCUAGAAUUAGAAAAUAAAACAUUGCAUGAUAGAGUUGCAUCAUCAAAUGAGAAACCUAGCACUUCACAUGAACAUAUAGAUGAUUUGAAAAAGGAAAAAUGGAUGCUCAAGAAAAAAAAAUAUUGAACUUAGUGAUGCUGUCUUAAAAUUUACAAAUGGCCAAAAGAUAUUGGAUAACUUAGUUCACAAAAAUGCGUUUGACAAAGGAUGUAUUGGUUAUAAGCCAAAUUUGAAACAAAAGUAUUCUAAGAAUUACUUUGUGAAGAGUAACUCCAUUAACAAUCUAGUUGUAUGCCACUACUGCAAUCAAAAUGGUCACAUGCAGUAUAGAUGUCCAAUUAAAAGAAAUGCAUAUUAUGGAGUAAAAUGUGUUUGGGUUCCAAAAGGAACCAUUGCUAACACUCAAGGACCCAAAAAAGUUUGGAUACCUAAGACUUGAGUUUCUUUUGCAGGGUUUAAAGAAAAAGAAAAAUAAAUGGUACUUGGAUAGUGGUUGCUCAAGACAUAUGACGGGAAAUUACAUUUGCUUCUCAAGUUUUACUAAAAUUGAAAAUGGUGGAGAUGUUUCCUUUAGAGACAAUUCAAAGGGAAAUAUUCUCGGAAUUGGUAAUGUCGGUAAAGCUUCCUCAACUCUAAUUGAAAAUGUAUGCUUUGUUGAAAAUUUGAAAUGCAACUUGAUUAGUAUUAGCCAAUUAUGUGAUAAGGGUUAUAAAGUUGUUUUUGAUAAAACUAGAUGUGUCAUUGAAAAUGUAUGUGAUAACAAAACUUCGUUUGUUGGAAAUAGAUGCGACAAUGUUUACACCAUUGACAUAGAAUGUGCAUCUACCCAUGAUGGUUGGUUAUGGCAUAGAAGAAUAGGACAUGCAAGUAUGGAUUUAAGUUCAAAAAUUUUCUAAAAAUGAUUUGGUUAAAGGUCCUCCAAAAAUUAGUUUUCAAAAAGGUAGAAUUUGUUAAGCAUGCCAAUUUGGAAAACAAAUCAAAACUUUUCUAAAAGCAAAAACCAGGUUUCCACUUCAAAACCACUUCAACUACUUCAUAUAGACCUAUUUGGAUCAUCUAGAUAUGUCAGCUUGAGUGGCAAGUAUUAUGCUUUGUAAUUGUUGAUGAUUUUUCAAGAUACACAUGGGUAUUAUUCUUAGCCAACAAGGAUGAUGUUCUUGAUGCUUUUAAAGUGUUUUGUAAAAAGAUUCAAAAUAAAAAAAAGGUUAUGGUAUUGCAUGCAUUAGGAGUGAUCGUGGAGUAGAAUUUGAAAGUCGUGCAUUUGAAAUCUUUUGCAAUAAUUUUGGCAGUGUGCAUUAAUUCUCUUCUCUAAGAACUCCACAACAAAAUGAAGUUGUUAAAAGAAAGAAUAAAUCUAUUCAAGAAAUGGCUAAGACCAUUUAAAUGAGAAUGUAUUAACAAAAUAUUUUAGGGCGGAAGCCGUUAAGACCGCUUGUUAUGUUUUAAAUCGUGUGUUAAUUAGUACUCAUUUCAAUAAAACUCCCUAUGAGCUUUGGAAAGAUAGAAAACUCAACAUUUGGUUAUUUCAAAGUUUUCAUAUGCAAAUGUUUUAUUUUGAAUACAAAAGAUAAUCUUGGAAGGUUUGAUCUAAAAUCUAAUGUUGGCAUCUUUCUUGGUUAUUCAAAUACAAGCAAAGCUAUGAUUGUUGAAGAUGAAAUGAGUCAUACUUGUUACGUUUGAUGAAUUUAACCUUGCCUCUGUAGAGAAAGUUGUUGUUAAUGAUGAUGCAGAUGACGACUUAUAAGAAGAAUCAUCAAAAGAUAAAUAAAAGGAUGCACCACAUGAAAAUAAAGAAGAUAAACAAGAAGGUACUUCUCAAACACUCCCCAAGAAGUGGAGGUAUGUUUCCUCUCAUUUAAAAAGGAGUAACUACUAGGUCAUCAUUUAAAAAUACUUGUCAAUAUUUGCAUUUAUACCUCAAAUUGAACUUAAAUCCUUUUUGGUUGUUGAAAACAAUGAAUCUUGGAUUAUGACAAUGCAAGAGGAGUUAAACUAAUUUGAAAGAAACAAUGUGUGGGAAUUAGUUUCUAAACCUGAACUUCAAUCCGUCAUUGGCACUAAAUGGAUAUCUAGGAAUAAAUGGAUGAAUCUUGUGUGGUUAUAAAGAAUAAAGUUAGAUUUGUGGCUCAAGGUUACAACUAAAAAGAAUAAUUGAUUUUGAUGAAACUUUUGCACCAGUAGCUAGAACUGGAAUCUAUUAGGAUGCUAUUAACAUUUACAUGCCAUAAAGAUUUCAUUUAUAUCAAAUGAAUGUCAAGAGUGCAUUUUAAAUGGUUACAUUAUGGAGGAAGUUUAUGUGAAAUAACCUCCUGGUUUUGAAAAUAAGAAAUUUUCGGAUCAUGUUUACAAGUUAUCAAAAGCAUUGUAUGGUUUAAAACAAGCACCAAGAGCAUGGUAUGAUAGGGCUAAAAAUUUCUUACUGGAUAAUGGUUUUUCAAUGGGUAAGGCUGAUGCAACUCUCUUUAUUAAGCAUAAGAAUCAAGAUUCUCAUUGUCCAAAUUUAUGUUGAUCAUAUUACAAGGAAUUUUCAUCUUGUAAGAGCAAAGAAUUUGAGAUGAGCAUGAUGAGAGAAUUAAUGUACUUUCUUGGACUUCAAAUAAAAAUAACUAAAGAAGGAAUUUUCAUAAAUCAAACCAAUUUUUUUAAGAGAUUUACUCAAGAGAUUUGGACUUGAAGAUGGAAAGAUUAAAAGUACUCCAAUGAGCUUAGCAAUCAAGCUUGACAAGGAUGAAAAAGGUAAAAAAGUUGAUAUUAAAACUUAUCGAGGUAUGAUUGGAUCCUUACUUUACUUGCUAGUAGGCCUAAUAUUAUGUUUAGUGCAUACUUGUGUGCAAGAUUUCAAUCAUGUCCAAAAGAAUCUUAUUUGCUUACGGUGAAAAUUUGUUUUCGUUACUUGUGUGGAACCAUAGAUCUUGGUCUUUGGUAUCCUAGAGAAACACAUAUAGACUUAACUUGUUAUUUGGAUGCCGACUUUCUGAAUAUAAGGUUGAUAGGAAAAGUACUAGUGGAACACAUCACUUUUUAGGUCACUCUCUAGUCUCUUCAUAUAGCAAGUAACAAAAUUCAAUUGCAUUAUCAACUACCAAAGCUGAAUAUAUUGCAGUUGAAAGUUGUUGUGCUCAAGCCUUACGGAUGAAAUAAACUCUUAGAGACUAUUGCAUUUACCUUUAUAAAAUACCUAUCAUGUGUGACAAUACUAGUGCCAUAAACCUAUCAAAAAACCCUAUCCAACAUUCAAGAACCAGGCAUAUAGAGAUUAGGCAUCAUUUCUUAAGAGAUCAUGUUCAAAAAGGGGAUAUUUCAUUAAAUUUUGAUUCAACGGAAAAACAACUUGCUGAUAUCUUCACCAAACCCCUUAAUGAAGAACAAUUUAUUAAAUUAGACAUGAGCUUGGAAUGAUAAACAUUGCACAAUAGCAUUACUUUAUGUGAUAUCAAGUCUAUUUUGUUUCUCAUGAUGUGAUUCCUUGUUUAAAUUAGAUGAUUGAAUUAUAUGAAUUCAUAAAUCAUGCAUUAAAUCGACUUUUAAUACAUUUCGAAUCAAUGAAAUGAUCUCAAAAUAGAUUAAAUGUUGGCCAAAGAUUAAAACAAAUGUGCAAAAUCAUAGUUAAAAUUAAUGGAUAACCGUUUGGUAAUACACGGUUUACCGUUUAAAUACAGAGACUAAGGAAACGAUAGCUGAAAAUUAUCAGAAAACCAUUUGUCAAAAACGAUUAACCAAUUAAAAACAAAGAAGUAGCUUUUGUUAAUCCUUCACUAUUUGUGAAAACUGGAUAACAGUUUAAAUUUGGAGCUCUCUAGAAAUUAUUUAUGCACCGAUUGCACUAAACAGCUUGCCGUUUUCGUGUGAUAAAAAUUGUUCCCAAGUUUUCUUCUUCAUUUUCUGCUAUCCUUUUACUGUUUUCUCUCUAAUCGUGACACCCAAACUCUCUCUUUAAAAUCUCUAUUUUCUCUUGCAAUUUCUUGUAAAAAUUGAAUCUACAGAAACCUUUCUAAACAUCUUUAGAAUAGUUUUAUCAACUCAAAACACCAAAUCAAGGUUCAAAUAAAAAAUUUCCAAAUCAAAACCAUAGAGUCAGCCAAAUGGAGAUUUUUGUCACUUUUUGGCCAAAUCAAUCAUUGUAAUCACUUCCUCUAUCUUCCAUUCUCCUUUUAAUUGGUUCAAUUUCUUCCAUUUUCAUCAUUUCUCAAAAACCCCAAUUUACAUAGUUGCAUCCACGACCGAAUCUUCAAGUGCUGCUUGCAAACGAAAAUAUACCCGUAGUAGGAAUCCAAUACCACCAAGGAAGACUUCAGAAUUCGAGAGGAUUCAUUUUCCCGCAACUCGUCUAGCCAAACGCUUCAAAAUCGGCUUUAUGGGUCGAAAGGUAAUUAACUCUUACUAUGUUGACUUAGAUGACUUUGUGGAGUUGAUUGUAUAUGGUAGAAGUGUGAGAGAUAUGUCAUUGCCUUCAGAGUUAGCAUUAGAUAUUGAUGAACGAAUUUAUCCUAACCUAGUUCGUGUCUUUUAUUCGAACAUGGAAAUUUUUGCAAAUAGGCUAGAUAGGAUAAUAACUAAAAUAGGAGGUGUUCAAAGUUGAGGAUUUGAACAAUAUUCUGGGAACUCUGAAUUCUGGCCACCAAAUUUAUACUUCUAGGAAGGCUUUCUCGUUUGCCUAUUUUUUGCUGAUUUUGUUCAUCCUUACGGUGUUAAGAAUAUUUGUAGACGUCAAUACCUUACAGAUGAUAUUUGUGCUCUCCCCUUUUGGUCACAACUGUUACCUUUACAAGUUAGGAUCCUUCACACUAUCCUACAACAUAUUGUCACCCCUAGGAAGGGACUUUCAGAUGAGGUAACAAGUUGGAUGUCGGGUUACUCGUUAGUCUUCUUAAGAAGGGGCCUAUGAACCCAGGAUAUGUUAUUUUGAGGCAUAUGUUGAGUACUCCUGGGGUUAAAUAUCUGUUGCUUCUAUGUGGUAGUAUUAUUUCUAAGAUACUACGACAUUUUCGAGUACCCAUUCAAGACUCAAUUAAUGUCGAGACUAAGAGGAUUAGUAAUGACGCUGUAACAAGUAUAAGAUUUGCUUGGAAAAAUAGGGAGUAGAUCAAGGCAUCCACAUCUAAAAACCAAGAUACCCAUGUAGCUCCCGAAGAUGAUUGUAUGCUUAAUUGAUCCGUUACCUGAUUUUAGGUUGGGAGUUAGACCUCCACUAAUCCGUUUCACAGCCUCCCACAAACUUCGAUUCUGAGGAGCAUGAGAUGGAUACUAAUCAGCCCCCAGCUUCAGAGCAUCCACCAGCUUUGAAUAACGUUAUGUAGAAAUUAGUUGGUGAUGUUUAGAGUCUUUCCGAGUAGUAGCAGCAGCUUCAAGACCAGUUUUCCACGUUUCAGCUUUAGUAGCAGUAGAUUCUUGAUCAGUAGCAGCAAAUUCUCAAUGGCAGCUGUGUAUCUUUACAGCUCUUGGGAUUCCCCCUCCUCAUCUUCCUCUCCUCCUCAGCAAUAGUUUCUUCUUUGUUUCUAACUUUUGAUUUCGCACAACAUUCUCAUAUUUUAGAUGUGUUUUAUGUGUGAUGGAUAAUUUUCAUUUUAUGGAUGCUUGUGUUGUAUGAAUUAUUAUGGUUAUUUUAUGCUUGUGAUAAAUGAUCUUGGCUUGGUUAUAGUUGUUUUAAUGUUGAGUUUGAUUUCUUGGGUGUAAAUUUUGCUAAUACUUUUUUAGGAGAUGUUUGAUGUUAGGGGGAGGUUUUGCCGAAAUUUUCACUUGCAAGGAAAGUUUACAUAUUGGUAAUCAUUUAUUUUCUUUUUGAUGAUGAAGGAGGAGAGAAGUUUGCAUAUAUUUCAAUUUCCAAAUUUUUCAUAUUUCAUAAUUCUUCAAAUUUUUAAAACCCAUAUUACAUUCAGGGGGAGCUUAUAUUUAAGGGGAGUUUAUUUUGAAGGGGAGCUAACAUAUUUCUUUUCUUACAUGCAAUAUUUGUUAUCAUCAAAAAGGGGGAGAUUGUUGACAUAAAUAAUUAUGUAAUAUUGAUUUUGAUGAUAACAAGCUUUAUAUGUUUUUUAUUAAAAAUGUUGGAGCUAUCAAUAUUAAACAAACUCUUAAAGCCGUAUAAUAUUUUAGGGAUGUUUAUGAAUUUGGAUAAUCAUUAACUUUAAUCGAAAAAAGUCUAUUAAAAUGUUGAUUUUGGAAAAUAAUGGUGAACUGUUUACUAAAUACAGUUAACCGAUAAUUUUCAGAAAGGUAAUAGAUUAUAACCGUGAACCGUUUAGCAAGAACGGAUAGCCACAAUUUAUUUUGUAGGUUUUUAGAAAUAAAUGGUUAACCGAUAAUUCCAAUGGCUAACUGAUAAUUUCUAAAAAGGAAUUACAUUCUAAUCGUGAACCAUUUAGCAAGAACGGUCAAGCCAAAUUUGUUUUGCAAGUUUAUGGAAAUAAAAGGCUAACUGAUAACUCCAAACAGUUAACCGACAGCAACCAAUGGUGAUUCAAUUUCUCUUAAAAAGUCAAUAACGAUUCAUUUUCAGCUCCAACUAUAAAAUGGCUCAAUCAAAUUCAAACAUAUAGAGAUCCAAUAGUUAUCAUUGAGCUUGCUACUGAGUAUACAACCAUUAUUUAGCUUUAAAAAUUUUUUUGUUUCGUUGAUUCACACUUUGAGCUUUCAUUGUAACCAUAUAAAUUGUGUGAGAGAAAACUCAUUUGUAAUUUUUAUUGUUCAGUGAUUGUAAGUAUUGGGAUACACUAAGGUUAAAAGAUUAGAGAUAAUCUCUUGUUGCAAAGGUCUAUUGAUACCUUGAAAGUCAAUUGUAAGAGUUGUUGAAGACUUGGAAGCUCGCUUAGUGAAAUCCUCAAGUCGAAUGAGCUUGGAGGCAUGGACGUAGGCACGACUAGCUGCACCACGUAAACAUUGCGUGUUUGCCCUCUCUUACCCUAUCUCUUUAUUUUUCAUUGCACAUUAAUUUGUUUAUUUCGAAUUUGGUUGCUUUGUUUAAAUUGCAUUUAGUUCAAGUUGCUUAAAUUUUUAGAAACGCAAUUCACUCCCCCACUUGGGUUGCCUUGUUAAUAUUUCACAUAUUUGUCUAAAGCAGAAACAUAAAUGAAAUUCCGUCUAAAAGACAAAACAACAAAUGUUUUAUCAAGAUCAAAAUAAAAUCUGGACUUUAAUAAUAAUCUAAAUUUUGCAAUUGCUUCAACUUCAACCUUCUUGCCAUCACCCAUAUAGAUGUAUCUUUCACCAUCAUUGGGCUUUUUGCAAUUCAAGAAACCUUGCAUAGACACAUAGAUGUGAGUGGUUGCACAAGAAUUUAUCCACUAAGUGUGUCUAGGUACCGAAGUUAAAUUAACAGUAGAACAAACCAAACCAUGCCCUUCAACUUCAUAAAGGAAGCCAUUAGCAACUAAUGGCUUCUUGAUCAUCUGAUUUCUUUUGUUGUUUCUUUUGAGGUGCUGUACCUACAACUUCCUUGUCCUUGUUCUUUUUCUUGUCCUUGUCCUUGCCUUUAUACUUUACUAAAAUCAGAUUUGUCAAGAGUGUACUCAUCCCUGCCCUUUCAUUCUUGUCAAAUCCCUUUUCAAUUUUUGCAAGAAACUCUUUAGUCGUAGUUAUCCUUGCAAACAUAGAGUCUCUAAAUGGUUCCGGAAUGACCUUCUUCAUGAUCAUGAUAUACAUGCGAUUUGAUCUCUCAGACCUUUCAAUGUCUCUCUUGUCAUCAAGGGUACUUUCAUCUGUAAGAUGUAGGGGAGAAUCAACCCUCAACGCAAGGUCAAGAUCUAUGACUGCGAGAACUAUUGAGAGGUUCUCGUGCCAUGAUUUGAAGUUAGAGCCAUUUAACAUAGAAAUAGAAUUGAUGUUGGCAUUAAUAUUAGCAGCAAACAUAACUAAAUUAGAGAACAACAAACAAACAAAACAAGCUCUUGUAAGUCUUAAAAAAAAUAAAUUCAAAAGGUAAACCCCAUUUCAAGAUACUGGACACUCCAUUAAUAUUUUUUCCAAAUAUUUCAUUUUUGGACAAAAUAUUAAUUUGUAAGUGAUAACUUAGUGUAGUAAUCAGACAUUGAUAAUAAGAACAUGUCAAGUAAUGAAUCUUCCUUUAGGCCGAUUUAUUGCUCACAUGUAAAACUGAAUAAUCAUCACGUGUUUAUUACCACAAGUGCACAUGGAAUUCUAUUAAAUAUGGACUUUUUUUUGGGCUGAUCGAUAUUUAUAAAAAUUACAUAUACAAAACCGUUUAUAUUCCAAAAUAAAUUAAUUUUCACAGUAAGGGUCACUUUGGCAACAUGUUGCUUCAAUUAAUUUAUCUCAAAAUACAUAUAAAUUCACCAAUAUUUGAAUUUAAAAUUACACCAAAAAUUAUCCAAAAAAUUAAAAAAACUCGAGUCAAAGUUUGUUCGACGAUCAAUGUUGAUCGUUGAUCAGUCAACCAUUUGAUCAAUUCAAAACUAGAACGGUUCGGGUUGAACCAAAUCGGAUCCUAAACCAGCCCACAAAUCAAAACAACCCCCUUUUUUCAAUGGGCUAAAUUUUAAUUUUACAUUUUAAUGGGCUAAUAUAAACUAGGGGUGGGCAAAUUACCCGACCCGGCCUGAAAAAUUUCGAGUUCGGAUCAGAUCGGGUGUAAAGGGUGAAACCCGAUCGGGUUGUACCCGAUCCGAUCCAAAAACUCGAUCGGGUUUCUUGAAAAAAAAAAAAACCUAAACACAUACACGCAUGCCACACACAGUCACACAAACACACACAACACAAAUCACAGAUUCAUUUACAUCACACACACACAAACACAAGGUUGCUGCUGCACACAAAACACAUCCACGGAACACGGUCAAUCACACCCAAUGGCCAACAGCAAGUCGCCAACGGAGUCCACACCUCAAGAAGCAUCCGAUCUAUUGCAAAUCUGCCUGUGUGCUCACUGCUGCUCAAUGUUGCUGCGAGUUCGCUGAUCCGCGAUUGCUACUGCCUGCUGCGCACCUGAUCGAUUCCCGAUCUGUUGCUGCGCGAGUGUACGUCAUCCCGGCUGCUGCUACGCGUCCGUGGCGACAGACUUACAGCCAAGUGCCAAGUGCCACCGAUUUGUAUUUUGCUCCUCCAAGACCCGAACUCGAUCUGAAUUUUGUUGUUCCAAGACCCGAUCUGCAUUUUACUGCUCCAAGACCUGACCCAAUCUGUAUUUUGCUGCUCCAAGACCCAAACUGCAUUCUGCUGGUCCAAGACCUGAACUCAACCCAAUUUUUUGACCCAAUCUGAAUAUAUAUCGGAUCGAGUCACGUUAGGUUGUAAGUUAGGGCUGUAUUUGGAUCAAUGUUUGCCCAACCCGAACAACCCGAAACCCGAUCGGGUUGUCCCGAACCUGAUUUUGCCCACCCUUAAUAUAAACCAACCCUUAAUUUUAAUCCAUUGAGCCCAAUAUAUUAGGCCCACGAUUAAGUUUUAUUAAGCCCAAAUAACUUUAAGACUAAAACGAAAAAUUUCUUUAUUAUUAGGCCAAAAAGAAAUUUUAAAACACCUUAACGAGCUUUAAGAUAUUAUCCAUGAAACCCUAAAAUUAUCUUUUUCUUUCCUUCUUCUAUAUGGCAACUAUGGCGCUACUUCUUUUUCUUCCCUUAGGAAGCGACCGUGGCUGCUGCUCUUAAGUUGUUCAUCGGGGCUUAGCUGCCGGCGGGGCCAAAUGGCAGCACCAAAGCCAUCCUCUUUUUUUAUUUCUUUAUUUCUUUUUUCAUGUUUUUUUUUCUUCUCCCUCUUCUUCUUCGAUGCGGCCUAGACAAGCCUGGUCGACUACGGUAUUACUGGCAGUGGUUAUUGCUGGCUCUGGCCUCUAAAAAAAUAGCCAUGAUAACCUUUUUUUUACUGUUGUUAAUCCGAACUUCCAAAAAAAAUUCUCAAACUCCAGAUUUCUAACAUCCAGAAAUUUAUUCUCAAAUUAAAUAAUUUUAAUAAUUCCAAUAUUAUUAAAUUCAAGAACACCAUGGAUUUAAUCAUUAAUUAAAAAUAAAUUAGAUUCUUAGUGAUACAACAUGAAGAGGCUUGGAUGCGAAUUGUUAGCAUAAGAAAACUUUUGAUGAAAUCCAUCAUCUAUAACCCAGGAAUAUUCAUGUUGUAUCACCAAGAAUUAGUAAAAAAUUAUGCAGAAGCGUACUUGAAUCCAUAACAUUAAAUUGCUCUCUAGGGUUGUGUGGUUGGCCUUCUUGAUCUACAUGUUCUCCUAGUGAAUACUUUAAGUUUCUCACUGCUCUCUCUCUGAUGAUGGGAUGUCAGUAGAAAAUAGAAAGAUACAUGUGACCUGGGGACCAUAACCAGUUAUAUAGAUAACUUUUUCCUGUUGUCAUUAGGCAUUCUUAAUUUUUCCCAUCACAGAAUUAGAAUAACAUUGGGUCUCUACACAUUAAAGGCCCAUACCCUAUUCAAUACAUUAAAGCCCAUAAUACCACAUAUAAGCCCAACGUUGGAUUAAGGAUCCAACAAUAUUGGAUAUAAAAAAAUCAACACAACCAAUAUAUAUUGAUGGCCAUAAGAAGAAGGAAAGGGUCCUACGAAAUUGAUGUCCCGCCCAUAAAAAAUCUCAACUACCAAAAUAAUGUUUAAUAGAGCUGAGGAUGCAUGAGGGAUUCUGCCCAGUGCUGUAGUAGAUGCUGUAGCAACAUAAUCUUAAUUGGAAAAAUAGUCAAUACCAUUAAGUGAGUUUAAUCACUUAACUAAUCCUUUCCCAUUGAGUUUGUCUUUGUGUUGGACUUGAGAUUUUUCUUAUUGCAUUUUGUUUAUUGCACUUUUAUUUUAGUUAGUUCAUUAGUUUCAUUAAUUCUUUUAUUUUAAUUUAGAUUUAAAUUGCAAUGUUAAGAUUUCUGUAGCAAAUCCUAUAGCAUCAAUCCCUGUGGAGACAAUCUGAAUAGUCAUCAGUAUAUUACUUGUUGUGUACACUUGCACAUUGACACCUAUAUCAUUAAACAAACCACCCAACAAUGAUGCAAACACUAAUCAAAUGAAUCAUUAAAAAUAAAAAAGUCAUCUAUAAAUACUUAAAGGAAACAUUCAACUAUAUAAAAAAAAAUGCUUAACAUACACCGUUAAAAGUGGCAGGUGCAUUGCAUAAUCCAAAAUGGCAUUCUCUUAUGCAAAAGUGUCAAAAGGAAAAGUUAAAGUUAAAGUGGUUUCUGUUAGCCUAAAAGGCUACACAUAUUGUAAUUUUGAUGAUAACAAACAUGUGUCUUAAGUGAUAUAAUAAAUAUUGUAUUUCACAUAUUGUAAUUUUGAUGAUAACGAACAUGUGUCUUUAUGCAAGUGAAUCAAAUAAAAUCAAGUCAAGGCACUCAACGGACAAGAGCUUGAUCAAGAAAAAAGUUUAACUCAGCGAAAUCAUUAUUUCGACAAUUUUUUGUAAAACUGGUAUGAUUUAAUAUAUGAAUGGUUUAGCAUUUGAGAAGCUCAAGAUUUUGUUUAAUAAAUCAUUACUUUUAAUAAACCAAAAUGUUUCAUAUUUAUAAAAUAAAGUAUUUUGUGGAUUUUGGUAUUUUUCAAAUUUUGGAUUAAAUUGAAAAAGUUUUGAAAUCAAUAAGCAUUAUCAAAAGAACCAUUUUAAGAAGUAUUAUAAAGUUUUGGGCCAUAGCAUAAUUUUAAAAAGUUUUGGGAAUAGCGAGAAUCAUUUAGAAAUUCUAAAUUUAGACCUAUUUGCAAAUAUAUAUAACAUUCUGAGCCAUAGUGUAAUUUUAAAAAGUUUUAAACAUAUUUUAAUUUUUAAAAGUUUUGGGCCAAAAGUAAAUAUAAAAAAUAUGGUGGGAAGACAGAGAGUUAGAUGCUAGCUGGCAAUGGUUAGCGGCUAGCCACCUAAGGCAAAUUUUCAAAUUUUUGAAGCCAAAAUUUACAACGGCUACUUGGUGUUUUUUCCAUAACGGCUAGCUUUUGUGUCUAAACUAUAUAAACUUAAAUUAAAUUCAUUUUUAAAGACUUUUACAAGUGUAAACAAGUGUAAACAACAUAUUUUGAGCUUCCAAAUUCGUAAAUCAUCACAUAUUAAAUCUUCAUUGAGCUAUUAUUUGUAUAUCCACUCUAAAAGAGAGUAUUUGUUAUAAUUCUUGAAUUCAUUGUAAACUUUGUGAGUGUGUAAGUGUGAGAAACACUUGAGUGAAGAGAUUGGGGAUAAUUUCUUGUUGUAAAAUUUCAUUGACACCUUGGAAGUCAAUUGUAAGUAUUUGAAGCCUUGGGAGGCUUGGAUAGUAAAAUCCUCAAGCUUGAAUUGCCUGGAGGCGUGGACAUAGGCAGGGAUUGCCGAACCACAUAAAAAUCUUUGUGUUUGUUUUCUCUUCCCUUAUUAUUUUUUAUUUCAUUAAGACAUUAGAUUGAAUUGUUGUGUGAUUUUAUUAGGUUAAAUUUUAGAAAACUAAUUCACUCCCCUCUUUGGUUGCAUAACUAGUAUUGCAUUUGGUAUCACAGCUUCAUUUUAUUUCAAACGGAUGUCAAGAGUGCUUUCUUAAAUGGUUAUAUUAUGGAGAAAGUUUAUGUGAAGCAACCCCCUGAUUUUGAAAAUGAAAAGUUUCCAAAUCAUGUGCAUAAGUUGUCUGAAGCAUUGUAUGGAUUGAAAUAGCACCUAGAGCAUGGUAUGAUAGGCUUAAAAAUUUCUUGUUGGAUAAUAGUUUUUCAAUGGGAAAAGCAGAUAUUACUCUCUUUGUUAAGCAUAAGAACCAAGAUAUACUAGUUGUUCAAAUUUAUGUUGAUGAUAUUAUCUUUGGUUCUACUAAUGAGUAAAGAAUUUAAAAUGAGCAUGAUGAGAGAAUUGAAGUAUUUCCCUAGACUUCAAAUUAAAUAAAACAAUGAGGGAAUCUUCAUCAACCAAGCUAAAUAUGUCAAAGAUUUACUCAAAGACCAUGAACACUCCAAUGAGCACAACAAUCAAGCUCGACAAAGAUGAGAAAGGUAAAGCAGUUGAUAUCAAAAUGUAUCGAGGUAUGAUCGGCUCUUUACUUUACUUAACCGCAAGUAGACCCGAUAUCAUGUUUAGUGUAUGUUUGUGUGCAAGAUUUCAAUCAUGUCCCAAGGAAUCUCAUUUGCUUGUUGUCAAAAGAAUUUUUCGUUAUUUGAGUGGAAUCAUAGAUCUUGGCUUUUGGUUGAUGAACACUAGUGGAACUUGUCAUUUUCUAGGUUAUUCACUUGUUUCAUGGUUUAGUAAGAAACAAAAUUAUGUUGCACUCUCAACCACUGAGGCAAAAUAUAUUACCUCAGGUAGUUGUUGUGCACAAGCCCUUUGGAUGAAACAAACACUUAAAGAUUACACAUUAAUCUUCAACAAAUUCUUAUCAUGUGUGAUAAUACUAUUAUUAUAAACCUUUCAAAGAAUAUCAUUCAGCAAUCUAGGACCAAGCAUAUAGAGAUUAGACAUUAUUUCUUGAGAGAUUAUGUUCAAAAGGGAGAUAUUGCAUUAGAAUUUGUCUCUACGGAAAAACAAUUUGCCGAUAUUUUUACAAAAUAUCUUUGCGAAGAUGAAAUUUUCACAUUAACAUCUUUAAUCAUGUUACUAAGACUAUUAAAAUGAUUGAUUGAUGAUUAUGAAUUUUAUAAGUAUGAUAAAUGAGUCAUGUAUUUUGAAUUAUUAAUCUUUGAAUGCUUACAUGUCUCAUGAUUGUGUGAUAUAUAUGCAUGAUAAAUGAGUUAUAUGUUUGAAUUUAUGAUCUUUUGAAUGUUUAGUAUAAUGUGUUAUGCAUUAAAAAUGGCUUUUGAAUUUUUUGGGGAUCACAAAAUGGUCUCGGAAUUGAUCAAAACAUAGUCGGAUAGCAAAAUAGUGCAAAAAAACAGAGGAUAGCCGGCUAGCCGCCUACAACAAGCGGUUAGUAGCCAACCCAACCUGAGAGCAAGCGGCUAGCCACCUGCAGGAGUCAGCCAGCCUGCUACUCAUGGCUUUCACCUCUUUUCUUCUUCCUCCUCUCUUGUUCUUCAAACUUCCAUCUCUCUUUCUCUCUCAACCAUUAGCUCUCCUCUAUUUCUCUCUCAAAAUACUUCAUUUUUCACUCAUUUUCUUGCCAAAAUCAAUCAUCCAAACCAUUACCCAUCCAAUCAUCACUUCUUCUUAGUUGCACUCCGUAAACAUUCAUUUGGUGAACCUAAGGAUGUAGCAGUUGGUUGUUUCUUUUUCUAGCUCUGAGUUAGACUGAUUGGAGGGGAUCCAGCAGCUUCUAUGACUUUGGGCUGGAUGGUCCUUGUUUUCUUGUGUUCUGGCUCUUCUGACUAAGGAGCUAGGACGGGGGAUUUUCUUGCGGUUUGUUGUGUAGCAGCUUGUGUAGGUGUGCUAUGAUGUAAAAGCUCUACUAAUAGAUUUUUUUUAUGGCUGCAUCUACAUCCUCUUCCCAUUCUAAUUCUAACUCCUCUUCAACCAAAAUUUUCUCCUUUCUUUUGCGUGUGAGUCACAUUUGGAGGUUCAGCUUUGUCCCAAUUCAGCUUUGAGCUUUCUGAUCUCUACUUUUUUUUUAUUAAACUUUGGACCCAGAUGUGGUUGUUGAUCAUUCGUCUGAGAUCGGUGUCUAGCUCAGAGAUACGAUCUUGUAGAUGUAUGUACAUCUGAUCAAGACGAUUACUGAUUGAAUCAACUUUAGUUUCUGUCUAGGAGACUUGACUGGCAACUCAAUCAAUUUUCUUUUCGAGUUAUUGAAGAGUUUGAUUCUGAGCAGUGGCAUUUUUGGUUUGCCAAUUUAAAAUAGCUUCAUACUGUUUUGGUUCUUCAAGCUGCCCAGAGGCUGCAACUGGGGAUUGGACAAAAGGUUUUGAGAUAACUCUGGUUUGUGUAUCUAUCUAUUUUUCAAGCGGAGGAAAUGAUUCCUCAUAAGAUUGACUUGGAAACAUUAGGCAUGAUCUUAUUUGGUGAGGAAAGGAUUUGCAAGAUGUUUUUGGAUGAGAAGGUUUUUUCUUUUUCUAUUUCUUUCUCCUCAUAACUUCUAUGUCAUCAUCAAUAUCCGUGUCAUCUAAGCAAGGACAAUCUGGAUUGCACAUAUGGGCUUCAGGAACAUCCCAUAGAAAAUGACCAUUGAUUUUGUCAGGAUAUACUGGAUACCCUUCUGAUGAGAAACCAUGAAUGAGAAGUUUCUUUUCUUGACUAGUUUGAACUGCUGUAAUUAUAGCAGUGUAGGAAAGCUGUGAAGUGUCUGAAACAGGCUUGGUUUCAGGUGUUUGAAAAGAUAGUUUGACUUGACCAUUUUGUCGUCUUUCAAAAGUGGCUUCUAUUGUUUGAACUCGUUCAGAGUUUUUGGUGAAAAUGAUCAUAGUUAGUUAACCAUUCAAGAGGCAUAAGUUUGAGCAAUUCUUGUUUCUGGAUUUGUUUGGGAAUUUGAAUGAUGGUUGGAAUUGUGUCUGUGUUUGCUAGUAUCAUUAAGGCAUCAGAUGUAGUAUAUGGUGUGCGAAGAUCUAGUGCAUGAUUAUGUAAUCGUUACACUAUUUGGUGGUGAAGGGUUGCAAUUUUUGAUGUGGGUGUUUGUUCUGCUCCUUGGAGCUGGAUUUGGACUUUAAGGGUCGUAGGAAGGUUGGGAUCCUCAAGGCACUGUNNNNNNNNNNNNNNNNNNNNNNNNNNNNNNNNNNNNNNNNNNNNNNNNNNNNNNNNNNNNNNNNNNNNNNNNNNNNNNNNNNNNNNNNNNNNNNNNNNNNAUGAAUGAUCAACAACCACAUCUGGGGUCCAGAGUUUAAUAAAAAAAAAGCAGAGAUCAGAAAGCUCAAAGCUGAAUUGGCACGAAUUGAUACUGAAAAGGCUCGUCCAUCACUUUUUACUCAAACACAAACCACACCAGUACCCCCUCUAAUGUUUGAAACUUAUGCACCUUUCUACACACCAUCCAGACCUCAACAACAUGUUUACAAUCAGUUCUUUGGAUUCUCACACCUUCAACCAACUCCUCAACCAAAGCCAACUUAACCUAAAAAAUCAAAAUCCAAAGUCAAAUCUCAUAACCAAAGUCAAAGGCCACUUCAUCUUCAUCUGUUCCUCCAGUACCACCAGAAGAUUCACCAAAAGCCACUCCUGAACCUCCUAAAAAAGACAAAAGCCCAAUGGAUCAGUAUCAUUAUCAUAAUGUCCAAAACACAUCUUCUGACUCCUCUGAGCCCAAAACAGUCUAUGAGUCAAAUCCAUCAAAGUCUAACCCGUCAUCCUCUUCCUCAUCCACAAACUCAGUCAGAACCUCCACUGAAAAUUGAAGAUCUAAGAACUUCAACUGCCACACCUAUUGUUGAGGACAGUUCUUCUGAUGCUGAAAAUAAAGCAUCUCCAACAGAACCAGAGCCAUCAAUGCCUCCACCAGUUCCUGAUCACUCAAUAAAACAAUCUUCAAUAUCUUGGUUUACAUUUGAUGACAUUCCCCGUCACAAAUGGCCUGCUCGACUUCAAGAAUUUGCUGCAUGGAUUGAUCUCCAAGGAACGAAGCCCAAUGAAUUCAUGGCCCGAUCCACGGGUUCUUUACGUGAUUUGUUAGAAAGCUUGGGAGAAUAUCGUCAGCUCCAAUUCAUGCAAUCCCUAAUUGGUACAGCACUCAAUAUCAUUCAUGAACAAUUCAUCGGUGAAAAAACAGCGUCUACUGACGCAGACAGAAAAGAGUUUCAUCAGAUGAAAUGAUGUUCUCUCAAAAGACAUCUUUUGGAAUCUCAUUACAAAAGGAUGAGUAUUUUAUUUAACAAGCUUGAUAGGUUCAAUGAGCCAUCUCUCAAACAUGUCUUCAUAGCUUCACUUCCUUCUAAGUUACAACCUGAUCUUCAAAGAAAACUCACAGCCACUAAUCUCAGCAUAGCUAAUAUCUCUCUGGGGAAGAUUUUCCAAAUGGCAAUGCUAUGUCUAGACAAAAUCUGUGAGCAAAAAGAAUUUUUCAAAGAUCUCAUGGAAGACAAAAAAUCCUUUUCUGAAGCUUGUACAAAACCCUAUCUCAAGAUCUAGUGUAAAGAUGAAAAAAGGUGUGUUUGCCCGACCAAAAAGAAAAGACAUUUUUAGAAACACUUUCACAAAAAAUCAUCCUCCAAAAAACCUUUCCGGUAUUUCAAGAAAAAUGAUGUUUCUCAAUACAAAAAGAAAAAGCACAACCGUUGUUUCAUCUGUAAGAAACGCAGUCACUUUGCUCGAAAUUGUCCUCAUAAGUCUGCCAAAGUUGUUCGUCUCAUACAUCAUCUUCAACAUUCUUCAUUGUUAUAUGAGAAUGACGAUGUCGAAUCAAAUUUUUUAGAACAGUCAGAACAAGAUGAUCAGACAGCCUUCAUGAUGGCAGAAUCUUCUGAUUUUGAUGAUAUUUAAGUCAUUUCUACAAUUCAAACUGUCAACCAUGUUUCAGCCAUUCCUAGACCUUCUCUAAAAAUGUCAAUCCUUCCUUCCAAAUUUCAUAACCCUGUUCCUGUUAUCGGUUUAUUGACACUGGUGCCGAUACCAGUAUGAUUGAUCCUUCUGUCCUUCCCUCUGAUUAUUGGGAAAAAUACUUGAAACUUUUCUGAGCAGUUAAUGGAGAAACUUUUGAAACCACUUUGAUUACCAAAAAACCCAUUGGUAUUCAAUUCUUUUCGAAUUGCAUAAUUUGGAAAAAGAUUGUAGCAUCCAAACUCCCAGAUAAAGACUUACUCAUAGGAUUUGACAUUCUUCAUUUGGUUAAAAACUUAUUCAUCACCAGCUCUGGAGUUCACUACAAACAAAUGUUCUUGCCUUAUACAGAUACAUUACGCCUGUAUACACUUUCAGAAACACCAUCGUCAUACGGUCAUAUUUCACAAAAGUUCCUAGAGUUUUGUCCAAAAAACCAUUCACAGUUCCACCAUCCUUCACCUCUUUGGAAAAAUGAAUAGUUCUUCAUUCACCUUCUUUUCAAACUCAACGAAGACAUAAAUCCCACAAAAGCAUCACACCCGGGUAUGUCUCCUUCUGACCUCCUACUUGCUAAGUAAGAAUGUUCUCAGUUGCUUCAGCAAGGUCUUAUUGAACCUGCUGAUUCAGAUUGGGCUUGUCAAGCCUUCUAUGUUGAAAAAAGAUCUGAAUUAGUUCCUAGUAAAAAGAGGUUAGUUAUUGAUUACCAGCGCUUAAUUCUUUCCUUAAAGAUGAUAAAUUUCCCCUUCCAAAAAUCUAGACCAUGUUUGUCCAUCUUCAAGGGGCUCGUAUCUUCUCUAAGUUUGAUUUAAAAGCUGGUUUUUGGCAACUUGGUAUUUCACCAGUUGACCAUCACAAAACUAUCUUCUGCAUCCCUGAUGCCCAUUAGCAGUGGACUGUUAUGCCUUUUGGUCUUAAGGUUGCUCUUUCAUUAUUUCAAAAGGCCAUGAAAAAAAUCUUCAGUCCUAUCUUUCAUCAUGCUUUGGUAUACAUUGAUGAUAUCUUAUUAUUUUCCUCUGACCAUGAGAGCCACCAGAAGCUCCUUUUGGAUUUCGUUCAUAUUGUGCAGGAACACGAAAUCAUGCUUUCUGAAAAGAAAAGCAGCAUAGCAAAAGAAUCAAUUGACUUUCUUGGCAUGGUGAUUAAAGAUGGCCAUUAUCAACCUAGUCCACACAUUGCAACUAAAUUAUUAAACUUUCCAGACACACAUCCCAACAAAAAGUAGAUCCAACAAUUCCUCAGGAUUGUUAAUUAUGUUUGUGAUUUCAUCCCUAAAGUUGCAAUCCACACAAGCUAGUUGUCCCGCAUGCUCAGAAAACAGUGCCCUCCAUGGGGACUAGCACAUACAGAAGCUAUCCAACAACUAAAGGCGAUAGCCCAGUCACCUCCUCCUCUCCGAAUUCCCACAAUUGGACAACACAUUCUACAGACCGAUGCCUGUGAUGAUUACUGGAGUGCCAUCCUUCUUGAAGAGAUAAAUGUAAACAUGAAUAUAUUAAUAAUAUUGAUUUUGAUGAUAACAAACUUUAAAUGGAUUUUGAUUAAAAUGUUGGAACUAUUCCUUAAUAAAUGAGAGCCUUAUAAAACAUUCCAAUUAUAUUCAUAAAAGAUGGAUCACUAUUAAAUUUCAAAUUGGAGAAUGAUUCUCAGCAAAAUCUGGCUUAAACUGUGAUUCUGGAAAUAAACGGUGAAUCGUUUAUUUAAACGGUUAACCGACUAAAAACAGAGAGCAACAUUUUGCCUAAGCUCUAGCCGAUUAAGAAAAACGAAAAACACAAAAAGCUGGGAAGGCUACUGGAAUUUAACGACGAAUCGUUUAUUGAAACGGUUAAGCGAUAAAAUCCAGAAUGAAAGAUUGUACCUGAAAACAAACGGCAAAAGCUUAACUGAAACGGAUAAAGCUAACUUGUUUUACAGGUUACUGGAAACAAACGGCGAAUCGUUAAUUACAAACGACUAACCGAUAAUUUCCAAAGAGGUCAUUUCAUGCAAAUCCUUAAUCGUUUAAUGUAAACGGAUAACUGAUGUUCAUCUUGCAGGUCUCUGGGAAUUAACGGCGAAAGGGUAACCAUAAACAGCAAACAAUUUAUUUGAAAUUUGGCCCAACAGUAACUUUUGAUCGGCCUAAACGGUUAACCGUUAAUGGUUAACGGCGAACCAUUUUCGGGCAGACAGUUUGUAAUGGCUAGUUUUUCAGCUCCAACUAUAAAUAAGCUCAUUCAAAUUCAAACAAGAUUGAUCACAACAUGACUAUUGAGCUUAUAUUUGAGAAUACAAUCUUCAUAGAGCUUUAAAACAUAUUCUUGCUUCAUCUAUUCACACAUUGGGCUUUGAUUUGUAAUCUUAAAUAUUGUGUGCGAGAAAAACAAUUUUUAAUCUUUUACUUUGAGUGAUUGUAAGUGUUGGGAUACACUUGGGUUAAGAGAUUGGGGAUAAUCUCUUGUUGUAAAGGUUCAUUGACACCUUGGAAGUCAAGUGCAAGCAUUUGAAGCCUUGGAGGCGUGCUUAGUGAAAUCCUCAAGCCCAGAAAGCUUGGAGGCGUGGACAUAGGCGAGGUUAGCUGAACCAUGUAAAAAUCUUCGUGUUUGAAUCUCUCUCUCUUCCCUUAUCUUUUUAUAUUGUAAUUGAUUUAAGUGUUAUUCCAUUAAAUUCAUUUUAGAUUUGGUUGAUAAUUAGUUUAGAAUCAAAUAAUUUUUUAGAAUCCCAAUUCACCCCCCUCUUGGGUUGCACACUUGUAUUUUUAAUUUGGUAUCAGAGCUUGGUUCUCUUGUUAGGACUUAAGCGUCUAGAGUAAAAGAUCCAUGGCAACCCAAAAUGACUCAACCUUUAGGGAAGGACAAUCCACAGCUAGACCACCGUUCUUUGAUGAAAAUGAUUACCCAUAUUGGAAAACUAGGAUGAGACUUUAUUUACAAGCACUAGAUUAUGAAAUUUGGGAAGUUCUAUGUGAUGGUCCGUUUUUGCCCCUAAAUAAAAAUAAAGUCGGGGAAGAUAUUCCAAAACCUUCAAGGGAAUGGAAUGAAUUGGAAAAGAGAAAAGUUUCUCUAAAUUCCAAAGCUAUGAAUGCUUUAUUUUGUGCACUUGAUAAGAAAGAAUUUCAUCGAGUCUCUAGUUGUGAAAGUGCCAAUGAAAUUUGGCACAAACUUGAAGUAGUCUAUGAAGGCACAAAUCAAGUGAAAGAGUAAAAAAUCAGUAGGUACACUCGACAAUAUGAGUUGUUCCAAAUGGAAAAAAAUGAGAGUGUGUACUCUAUGUAUACAAGAUUUACGGACAUAGUAAACACCCUAGGAGCCUUAGGAAAGGUCUUCUCAAAUAGUGAGAAAGUUAAGAAAAUCAUUAGGUCACUUCCAAAAGAAUGGAGACCUAAAAGAACCGCUAUUGAAGAGGCCAAAGAUUUAAAUGCUUUACCUCUUGAUGAUUUAAUUGGUUCUCUUAUUCCAUAUGAAGAGAUUUGGCCGCAGAAAAAGGGCAUGAGGAGAAGAAGAAAAGCAUUGCUCUCAAAGCUUCAAAAUAUGAGAGUGAUGGGGAGAGUGAACUGGAUGAUGAAGAGCUGGCCAUGCUAGGAGGGAGGUUCAGAAAAUUCUUCAAGAAAACAGGAGAGCGAAGAAAUUUCAGAAACUUCAAGAACUAACGAGAGAAGAAAGAGGUAAUCACAUGCUAUGAAUGCAAGAAGCCUGGCCAUACUUAUCAACAAACUCAAGAAGAAAGCCAUGGUUGCAACUUGGGAUGAUCGUGAGGAAGAUUCAAGUGAUGAAGAAAGGUCGCAAGAAGUAUCAAACCUAGCGCUUAUGGCAACAGGAGGGGAUGAUGAUCUCAAUGAGGUAAGUGAUCCCAGCUAUGAUGAAUUGUGUGAUGCUUUUAAAGAAUUGCAUAAUGAAUUGAUGAAGAUUGGUAAAAAGAAUGUAUGUCUUAAAAAGGAAAUGGCAAAGUUUAAAAAUGAAAAUGAAUCUCUAAAUGCAAGAAUUGCAUGCCUAGAAGUAGAGAACAAAACAUUGCAUGAUGAAAUUGCAUUAUCAAAUGAGAAACCUAGCAUCUCACAUGAGCAUUUAGAAUCACACAUAGAUGAUUUGAAAAAUGAAAACCAAAUGCUUAAGAAAAAGAGCAAUGAGUUGAAUGAGAUUGUUUUGAAAUUUACAAAUGGGCAAAAGAUGUUGGACAAUAUGCUUAGCUCACAAAAAUGUGUUUUUGAUAAAGGAGGACUUGGGUAUAAGCCUAACUUGAAGCAAAAGUAUUAUAAGAAUUAUUUUGUUAAACCUACCUCCACAAGUGAUCAUAAGAUUGUAUGUCAUUUUUGUAAUCAAGAUGGUCAUAUGAAAAAUAGAUGUCCAGUAAAAAGAAAUGCAUAUUAUGGUAUGAAAUGCAUUUGGGUUCCAAAAGGAAUCACUACUAACUCUCAAGGACCCAAAACGCUUUGGGUACCUAAAACUUGAGUUUUUCUUUGUAGGACUUGAAGAAGAAGAAAAAUAAAUGGUACUUGGACAGUGGUUGUUCAAGGCACAUGACCGGAAACUAUGCAUGGUUCUCAAGCUUCACCAAAAUUAAAAAUGGUGGAGACGUAUCUUUUGGAGACAACUCAAAAGGAAAAAUUCUUGGAAUUGGAAAUGUUGGUAAAGUUUCCUCAACUCUAAUUGAGAAUGUUUGUUUGGUUGAGAACUUGAAACACAACUUAAUUAGUAUUAGUCAAUUAUGUGACAAAGGUUAUAAAGUUAUCUUUGAUAAAUUUAGUUGUGUUAUUGAGAAUUCAUGUGAUGGCAAGAUCUUAUUUGUUGGGAAUAGAUGUGGUAAUGUUUAUAUCAUUGACAUAGAAUGUGCAUCUACUCUUGAUAAAUAUUUUUUGGCAUUGCAUGAUGAUAGUUGGUUAUGGCAUAGAAGGUUAGGACAUGCAAGUAUGGAUUUGAUUUCAAAAAUUUCAAAAAAUGAUUUAGUUAAAGGUCUUCCAAAAAUUGGUUUUCAAAAAGAUAAGAUUUGUGAAGCUUGUCAAUUUGGAAAACAAAUCAAAACAUCUUUCAAAAAUAAAAAUCAUAUUUCUACUUCAAAACCACUUCAAGUUCUUCACAUAGAUUUAUUUGGGCCUUCUAGAUAUGCUAGUCUAAAUGACAAAUAUUAUGCAUUUGUGAUAGUGGAUGAUUAUAGAUAUACAUGGGUAUUAUUCUUAGCCAAUAAGGAUGAAGCUCUUGAUGCCUUUAAAGUGCUUUGUAAGAAAAUAAAAAAUGAAAAAGGGUAUGGUAUUGCAUGCAUUAGGAGUGAUCAUGGAGGAGAGUUUGAAAAUCAUGCAUUUGAGAUUUUUUGUAAUGAUUUUGGCAUUGAGCAUCAAUUUUCAUCACCUAGAACUCCACAACAAAAUGGAGUUGUUGAGAGAAAGAAUAGAUCCAUUCAAGAAAUGGCUAGGACUAUGUUGAAUGAAAAUUCAUUGCCUAAGUAUUUUUGGGCCGAGGCCGUCAACACCGCUUGUUAUGUUUUAAAUCGUGUGUUGAUUAGACCUAACCUUAACAAAACUCCAUAUGAGCUUUGGAAACAUAGAAAACCCAAUAUUGGUUAUUUCAAAGUUUUUGGAUGCAAAUGUUUUAUUUUGAACACAAAAGACAAUCUUGGCAAAUUUGAUCCAAAAUCUAAUGUUGGUAUUUUUCUUGGUUAUUCAAACUCAAGCAAAGCUUAUAGAGUUUAUAACAAAAAUACACUAGUUGUAGAAGAAUCUAUGCAUGUUACAUUUGAUGAGUCUAACCCCUCCUCUACGGAGAAAGGAAUAAAUUAUGAUGAUGUAGAUGGAGAGUUACAAGAAGAACCAUCAAAGGAUAAUCAAGAGAAUGCACCACAAAGAAAUCAAGAGGAUGAACAAGAAGAGCAAACAAAUAUGGAGCAACAUGAAGGUACUUCUCAAGCACUCCCCAAGGAGUGGAGGUAUGUUUCUUCUCACCCUAAAGAUGUAAUCUUAGGAGAUCCAUCACGAGGUGUUACAACUAGAUCACCACUUAGGAAUACUUGUGAGCAUAAUGCAUUCAUUUCUCAAAUUGAACCCAAAUCCUUUGAGGAUGCGGAAAAUGAUGAAUCUUGGAUUAUGGCAAUGCAAGAGAAGUUAAAUCAAUUUGAACAAAACAAUGUGUGUGAAUUAGUUCCUAAACCGGAACAUCAAUCCGUCAUAGGUACUAAAUGGAUAUUUAGAAAUAAGAUGAAUGAAUCCGGUGUGGUUGUAAGAAAUAAAGCUAGAUUAGUGGCUCAAGGUUACAACCAAGAAGAAGGAAUUGAUUUUGAUGAAACUUUUGCACCUGUUGCUAGACUAGAAUCAAUUAGAAUGUUGUUGGCAUUUGCAUGUCAUAAAGAUUUCAUUUUAUUUCAAAUGGACGUGAAAAGUGCUUUCUUAAAUGGGUAUAUUAUGGAAGAAGUGUAUGUAAAACAACCCCCUGGUUUUGAAAAUGAAAAAUUUUCAAAUCAUGUUUAUAAGUUGUUUAAAGCCUUGUACGGAUUAAAACAAGCACCUAGAACAUAGUAUGAUAGGCUUAAGAAUUUCUUGUUAGAAAAUAAUUUUUCCAUGGGCAAAGAUAUACUUCUUGUUCAAAUUUAUGUUGAUGAUAUUAUUUUUGGGUCUACUAAUGAAUUGUUGUGUAAAGAUGAGUAAUGAAUUUGAAAUGAGUAUGAUGGAAGAGUUGAAGUACGCCCUUGGGCUGCAAAUAAAACAAAAUGAGAAAGGAAUUUUCAUAAAUCAAGCCAAGUAUGUAAAAGAUCUACUCAAAAGAUUCGGCAUUGAUGACUCAAAGACCAAAAACACUCCAAUGAGCACAACAACCAAACUUGACAAAGAUGAAAAAGGCAAGGAAGUGGAUAUCAAAAUGUAUCGAGGUAUGAUCGGAUCUUUACUUUAUUUAACUGCAAGUAGACCUGAUAUCAUGUUUAGUGUAUGUUUGUGCACAAGAUUUCAAUCAUGUCCCAAGAAAUCCCAUUUGCUUGCUGUUAAAAGAAUUUUUCGUUAUUUGAGUGGAACCAUAGAUAUCGGCCUUUGGUAUCCUAGGGGAACUCAUAUAGAUUUAACAUGCUAUUCGGAUGCGGACUUUGCCGGUUAUAAAGUUGAUAGGAAAAGCACUAGUGGAACUUGCUAUAUUCUAGGUCACUCACUUGUUUCAUGGUUUAGUAAGAAACAAAAUUCUGUUGCACUUUCAACUACCGAGGCUGAAUAUAUAGCUGCAGGAAGUUGUCGUGCGCAAGCUCUUUGGAUGAAACAAAUACUUAGAGACUAUGGUAUUAACCUAGAACAAAUUCCUAUUAAGUGUGAUAAUACUAGUGCUAUAAAUCUUUCAAAGAAUCUCAUUCAACACUCUAGAACCAAGCAUAUAGAAAUAAGACAUCAUUUCUUGAGAUAUCAUAUUCAAAAGGAAGAUAUUGCAUUAGAGUUUAUUUCUACAGAAAAACAACUUGCCGAUAUUUUUACCAAACCCCUUGGUGAAGAACAAUUUUCGAAAAUUCGGCAUGAACUUGGAAUGAUGAAAUUUUCGCAUUAACGUCUCUAUUCAUGCUAUUGAGUGUAUUGAAUUGAUUGACUUAUUGGUGAUUUAAUAUUUAUGAAAUGCUUAAGCUUGAUAUUCAAAUGAUAUAUUUGCUUUGUUAAUUCUUGAUUGAUUAUAUGAAUUAAUUGCUUGAAUAUAUGUUCAUGAAUCAUGCAUUAAAAUGGCUCAUAAAACAUUUUAGAUCAAUUAAAUGAUCUUGGAAUGUAUUAUUUGCUGGCCAAAAAUUAAAUCAAAUGUGCGAAAUUAUAGAUAAAAUAAACGGAUAACCGUUUCCAAUAAACGUUGAACCGUUUUAUUCCAGAAAUGAGAUUAUAUGUCUGUCUUUUUACCUUUUCACCGUUUGAUGCAAUCGGUAAACUGUUUAAAACAGAGAGUCCUCUAACAGUUACUCCUUAGCCGUUAAGAGCUUAAAAUUUCACCGUUCUCCAUUCUUUAGCCUCUAGAAGUUACCCCUUAACCGUUUAAAUAAACAGUUAACCGUUUUCGUGAUUAUAGUAUCGGUUCAAAGGUUUUUCUUCUACUUCUCCAGUUGCCCUUUCACUGUUUCAUCCAUUGUUGCGCAGCUGAAGCUUCCUUUGCCCUCAAACCUUCAUUUUUCUUGUUUUUCUUGCCAAAUCAAACCUAUAACAUCAUUUCUUAUCACCUUUAGAAUACUUUCACUGAUUCAAAUCUUCAAAUCAAGCCCAAAAUUGAAAAAUCCCAAAUCUAAACCCUAAUUGCAGCCGUUCGGGUUUCUUCUUUUUUAACCUGAUUCGUGCCCUUCUUCAACCAAAUUGAGCCUCAAAAUCACAUCCUUUCCUCAUUCCUAAGCAAAUAAUCGGUUCAUCUUCUUCCCAUCACAUCUCUCCCGCAACUUUCAAACUCCUUUAUUCUUCACCAUGGCUGCACCCCCUCAGAGAAAUCUCAGACGAAAAUCUAUGCCUCCAAGGAAUCCUAUACCACCACGGGAAGUCUCUGAAUUCACAAAAAUUCAUUUCCCCAUGCCUUCCUUGGCCAAGCGGUUCGAGGAUCGCUUCAAUGGUCGCAAGUUACUUGACUCUUCCUAUGUUGAAAUAGAUGAUUUCAGUACCUUAGUUGUAUGUGGUAGAAGCAUUAGGGAUAUGCUUCAGCCUUGGGAGUCUGCCAUUGACUUUGAUGACCGAGUUUAUCCCAAUUUAGUGCGAGUCUUUUAUUUGAACAUGGAAAUCUCUGCAACUCGCCUAGAUAGGAUAGUUACUCAAGUCGGCGGUGUGCCUAUAGAAUUUGAUGAUGAGGACCUAAAUGGAUUUCUAGGUAUCUCUAGUGAGGGUCAUGAAAUUUAUACCUCUAGGAAAGCCCUUUCGUUUGACGGUUUUAGUCAUGUUGAUGGAGUCCGCAAUAUUUGUCGCCGUCGAGACUUGUCUAAUGAGAUAUGUAAUCUACCUUUUCGGUCUCAACUUUUACCUCUCCUAGUUCGUAUUCUUCACACUAUUUUGCAGCAGAUAGUGACUCCUAGGAAGGGUCACUCGAAUGAGGUUACGAGGUUGGACGUUAGCCUAUUAGACAGCCUCAUUACAGGUCGUCCCAUUAACCUCGGCUAUGUUAUUGUGCGACACAUGUUGAGUACUCUCGCGGUUAACCACCGCUUGCUUCCAUAUGGUAGUGUCAUUACUAAGAUACUGCGACACUUUGAGGUGCCUCUUCUCGAUACCGGUUAUAUGGAGACUAGACGGAUUGGUCCAGAGGCCAUGACUAGUAUCGGUUUUUCUAGGAAGAGUGGAGAGUGGAUAAAGACUAAAACCUCAAUAAACCGGGAUACCUUGAUUGCUCUAGAGGACGAUCGGAUGCUCAACGAUGUCUAUCCUCCUGAUAAGCUUCCAGAUUUUAGAUUAGGAGCUCAUCCUCAUCCUCUGCGUUGCCGUUUUGUCCUCCGGCCUGCAGCUGACUCUGACUCUGAGGAGCGUGCGAUGGAUGCUGACAUUCCUUCCUCUUUUGAGCCUCCUCUGGCUCCCGAGCAGCCUCUUGCUCCUGAGCCAUCUGCUGUUCCUAAGCAUCCCUGUGCCUCUGAGCCACCUCCAGCUCCAGUUUAGCCCCCUGCUUCAGACGUUGUGCAGCAGUUGAUUGCUGAUGUUCAUCGAAUUUCAGAGCGCCAGCAGCUGAUUCUCGAUCGGUUGGACACUUUUUCCCAUGACCACCAGCAGUUACGUUCUGACUUUCAGACCUUCCAGCAGCAAAGCAUUGAUCAGCAGCUUGAGCUUAUAGCUGGACAGGGCACUCUUCUUCGCUAUUUUGGUUAUAAUCCGAGGAGCACAUCUUCUCCACCUCCAUAGUUUCUGAGUUCUAUUUUCGCACAUACAUUUCAUAUUUUGUUUGUUUGUGUGUUGCUAUUUAUAUUUUUAUAUACACUGCUACCUCUAUAUGAUCUUGAUGGAUUUUGAUGACAUGUUUUUGUGAUGUUUUUGAUGUUGGAUGACUUGAUAUUGGUUGAUGAAAUUGUUGGUUUAUUGGUUAAUGGAGUUGUUGGUUUGUUGGUUGAUGGAGUUGUUGGUUUGUUGGUUGAUGGAGUUGUUGUUAAUAUAUUUUGGAAGUGUUUUAAUCUCAUUUUGUAUUAGUGGUUUUGCUCCAUUUUAAGGGGAAACUCUGCCAAAUUUUUCGCUCGUCAACACUGGGUAACUUCUUUAUUCUUCAGAUUUACGGAUUUCUUUUCUUUCUUUUCUUUUUGAUGAGGAAGGGGGAGAUAAUUAUGGGGAGAUUUGAAAUGAAUUUUUAUUUUUAAAAUGUUUCUCUUGAGCAAAAAUCAUUUUAUUGGACAUUUUUUUUAAUUUGAUCAUAUAUUAAGGGGGAGCAUAUAUUAAGGAGGAGCAAAAUAUUAAUUGAAGUUUGUCAUCAUAAAAAAGGGGGAGAUUGUUAACAUGAAUAUGUUAAUAAUAUUGAUUUUGAUGAUAACAAACUUUAAAUGGAUUUUGAUUAAAAUGUUGGAGCUAUUCCUUAAUAAACGAGAGCCUUAUAAAAUAUUCCAAUUAUAUUCAUAAAAGAUAGAUCACUAUUAAAUUUCAAAUUGGAAAAUGAUUCUCAGCAAAAUCUGGCUUAAACUGUGAUUCUGGAAAUAAAUGGUGAACCGUUUAUUUAAACGGUUAACCGACUAAAAACAGAGAGCAACAUUUUGCCUAAGCUCUAACCGAUUAAGAAAAACAGAAAACACAAAAAGCUAGGAAGGCUACUGGAAUUUAACGGCGAACCGUUUAUUGAAACGAUUAACCGAUAAAAUCUAGAAUGAAAGAUUGUACCUGGAAAAAAACGGCAAAAGCUUAACUGAAACGGAUAAAGCCAACUUGUUUUGCAGGUUAUUGGAAACAAACGGCGAACCGUUAAUUACAAACGGCUAACCGAUAAUUUCCAGAGAGGUCAUUUCAUGCAAAUCCUUAAUCGUUUAAUGUAAACGGAUAACUGAUGUUCAUCUUGUAGGUCUCUAGGAAUUAACGGCGAAGGGGUAACCAUAAACGGCAAACCGUUUAUUUGAAAUUUGGCCCAAUGGUAACUUUUAACCGGCCUAAACGGUUAACCAUUAAUGGUUAACGGCGAACCGUUUUCGGGCAGACAGUUUGUAACGGCUAGUUUUUCAGCUCUAGCUAUAAAUAAGCUCAUUCAAAUUCAAACAAGAUUGAUCACAACACGACCAUUGAGCUUAUAUUCGAGAAUACAAUCUUCAUAGAGCUUUAAAACACAUUCUUGCUUCAUCUAUGCACACAUUGGGCAUUGAUUUGUAAUCUUAAAUAUUGUGUGAGAGAAAAAUAAUUUUUAAUCUUUUACUUUGAGUGAUUGUAAAUGUUGGGAUACACUUGGGUUAAGAGAUUGGGGAUAAUCUCUUGUUGUAAAGGUUCAUUGACACCUUGGAAGCUAAGUGUAACCAUUUGAAGCCUUGGAGGCGUGCUUAGUGAAAUCCUCAAGCCCGGAAAGCUUGGAGGCGUGGAUGUAGGCGAGGUUGGCCGAACCACGUAAAAAUCUUCGUGUUUGAAUAUCUCUUCCCUUAUCUUUUUAUAUUGUGAUUGAUUUAAGUGUUAUUCCAUUAAAUUCAUUUUAGAUUUGGUUGAUAAUUAGUUUAGAAUCAAAUAAUUUUUUUAGAAUCCCAAUUCACCCCCCUCUUAGGUUGCACACUUGUAUUUCAAUAAAUGGUGUACGUCACUUCUAUGUACAUGCAAGCGGACAAUUCAAAGACUCUGAAAAGAAUUACCAUGUGAUCUACAAAGCGGUCAAGUAUGGAAUAAAAAAAAUUUGAAUUUCAUCUAAUCAGCCAUAAAUUCCUUAUCAACAUGGACAACUCCUCUUUUCCUAGAAUCUUUGACUUUAAAAAUAAGCCGCUCCCUGACAAACAGCUGCUCAGCCUCAAAAACUGGUUUGCUAAAUUUGAUUUUACUGUCCAACACAUAAAAGGCAAAUAGAACCUCAUCCCAGAUUUCCUUACCCGUCCGGCUAUAAAUAAACCUUCACUUAUUUCCUCCAUCCACACCAUCUCAGUCAUAGCCAUGAAUCGUCAACUUCCUUUCAAAGCUCUCAACCAGAGAACCUUUCCCAUAAAUAUUCCUUUGCAUUCAGCCUACUAGAUCCAAGACUUUGCCAAGAAAUUCCUUUACCGGUAUUUCUUUAAUGUUCAAAGGAAAAAGCUUGAUCGUUUUCCUUCCCUCUGUAUGGAAAACCUGUUUCUCACAGGUCUUACCCUCUCUUCCUUAACCAUCUGCGAAGAUGAGUUAUGGUACAUGUGGUGCCUCACUACCCUGUAUGCUACAAAACUAGUCUUCCCUGUCCAACCAGUCCUCCGCCAUCUCACCACUCCUGAAUUCUCACCAGACCUUUUGUGGACUCUCUUUGAAUGGUAUUCCUCAUUCACAUGGUAGCGUAAACAACUCAAAAAUAUGUGUACUUUUCACGAAUUAGACAAAAUGCUUGAACAAGAAGCCAACAUGUUCACUACAGUCUUCAUCGUUCACAGACCCUACUUCCAACACCCAGAAACAAGAGACUUCUGGACACAAGAUAUGGCCUAUGAAUGAAAAACUUAUCCCCAUCUUUAUACCCUCAUUCAUGAUACAUCUGUUACCUCUGUUCUCAAGUCGUACCUAAUGGAACUCAACAAUGUUCAGCCACCUGCCACAAACAUCCACCACACCUCUGUUGGACCAUCACACACUUUGGAAAUUGUCCCAAAGAUACAAACUUGUACUCUUUCCAGCUCAAGUCCUCAAGGAAUCCUUUUCAUGGAACAACGUCCUGAUUACACCAACGUCUUAUUCCAAGACGCUCAGGAUCCAUGGGAAGAGGAUUUUCAGUCUCUUCUCCAUACUGAAAAUUCCCAUUACACUGUCACCGAUCCAGACCCUCCUGCUCCAUCAGCACCAAAAAAGAUGACUGACGCUGAUGAAGAAGCCUAUCUACAAGCUGAAGCGUAUCUUGACUAGAGACAAAUCUGUCGUGCCAAGCGCCAAUAUGAGAAAGAAACUAGCGAUGCGUCUCCAUCACACUACCCAUCCAGACCAUGAUUGCAGACACGCAUGGGAAUCUUUAGCUUUUGCUUUUUUAAAGUUUGCUUUAAUAAUUAGACAAGGGUCCUGUCUUGUCUAAAGUAUGUUUUCUACUUUUUCUAGUUUGGCGUUGUGUGCUUUAAUAAUUAUGCUUUUGUAAAAGAUAAGGGACCCACCUUAUCUCUCCCUCCUUGAGAUCUCUAUAUAAGGAGCUCUCUAUCCCUUUGUAAGGCAGGAGUUAAUCAAAAAUAAAAUUCAAGUUUUCUUUACAUUAUGUUUCUCUAAAACCUUUUCUCUCUUCUAGGAAUCAAAGAAAUUGUUUGGGUUAAUAAUGAUACAUCACCUCUAAUUUUCUAAACUGAGUAUGCUCUGCACUUGCCUUAAGCCUAAGGAUCCUGUGAAUCAGAAAGGUCCUGUUUUAUCCUCUAAAAUUGAUUUUUGUAAAAUAAAAUUAUUUUCUCACAACGUUCACCCUCUUUGAAGGUCAAAAGUGCCGUGUUUUCGGGUGGUAUCGUGAAAAACUGUUUUCAAAUAUGAUUUUUGGAUUUGGUAUUUGAUGGAUAAGUGUAUAUCGGCUGGAAACCAGAACCAACUUAGGUCGGGCCUAACUCAGCCCCAAAAGAGCUCUCAAAGGGUGAGGAUUGCCUAGUGCUUAUAAGCGACCUGGAGCUUUGGCUUGCCAGCGAUGUGGGAUAAGAGCUUAUCAUUCACUCUACCCUCGCUCUCGGGCCUUGGCUCUAAUACUAACUUGGGCUGGGCCUAACUCAGCCCCAAAAGAGCUCUCAAAGGGUGAGGACUGCCCAGCGCUUAUAAGCAACCAGGAGCUUUGGCUUGUUAUGGCGUUGUUACACAAGAUCUGUAACAGAACAAAGUCUGUCCUUAGGGCCAAUAGCCCGCAAGUUCUGGUUUCCAGCCGAUAUACACUUAUCCAUCAAAUACCAAAUCCAAAAAUCAUAUUUGAAAAUAGUUUUUCACGAUACCACCCGAAAACACGACACUCUUGGCCUUCAAAGAGGGUGAAUGUUGUGAGAAAAUAAUUUCAUUUUACAAAAAUUGGUUUUGGAGGAUAAAACAGGACCUUUCUGAUGCACAAGAUCCUUAGGCUUAAGGCAAGUGCAAAGCAUACUCAGUUUAGAAAAUUAGAGGUGAACGUAUCAUUAUUAACCCAAACAAUUUCUUGAUUCCUAGAAGAGAGAAAAGGUUUUAGAGAAACAUGAUGUAAAGAAAACCUUAAUUUUAUUUUUGAUUAACUCCUACCUUACAAAGGGAUAGAGAGAUCCUUAUAUAGAGAUCUCGAGGAAGGAGAGAUAAGGUGGGUCCCUUAUCUUUUACAAAAGCAUAAUUAUUAAAGCACACCACGCCAAACUAGAAAAAGUAGAAAACAUUCUUCAGACAAGACAGGACCCUUGUCUAAUUAUUAAAGCAAACUUUAAAAAAGCAAAAGCUAAAGAUUCUCAUGCGUGUCUGCAAUCAUGGUUUGGAUGGGUAGUGUGAUGGAGACGCAUCGCCAGUUGCUUUCUCAUAUUGGCACUUAGCACAACGGAUUUGUCUCUGGUCAAGAUACGCUUUAGCUUGCAGAUAGGCUUCUUCAUCAGCGUCAGUCAUCUUUUUUGGUGCUGAUGGAGCAGGAGGGUCUGGGUCGGUGACAGUGUAAUGGGAAUUUUCAGUAUGGAGAAGAGACUGAAAAUCUUCUUCCCAUGGAUCCUGAGCGUCUUGGAAUAAGACGUUGGUGUAAUCAGAACGUUGUUCCAUGACAAGGAUUCCUUGAGGACUUGAGCUGGAAAGAGUACAAGUUUGUGUCUUUGGGACAAUUUCCAAAGUGUGUGAUGGUCCAACAGAGGUGUGGUGGAUGUUUGUGGCAGGUGGCUGAACAUUGUUAAGUUCCAUUAGGUACGACUUGAGAACAGAGGUAACAUAUGUAUCAUGAAUGAGGGUAUAAGGAUGGGGAUAAGUUUUUCAUUCAUAGGCCAUAUCUUGUGUCCAAAGUCUCUUGUUUAUGAGUGUUGGAAGUAGGGUCUGUAAACGAUGAAGACUGUAGUGAACAUGUUGGCUUCUUGUUCAGGCAUUUUGUCUAAUCCAUGAAAAGUACACAUAUUUUUGAGUUGUUUACGCCACCACGUGAGUAGGGAAUACCAUUCAAGGAGAGUCCACAGAAGGUCUGGUGAGAAUUCAGGAGUGGUGAGAUGGCGGAGGACUGGUUGGACAGAGAAGACUAGUUUUGUAGCAUACAGGGUAGUGAGGCACCACAUGUACCAUAACUCAUCUUCGCAGAUGGUUAAGGAAGAGAGGGUAAGACCUGUGAGAAACGGGUUUUCCAUACAGAAGGAAGGAAAACGAUCAAGCUUUUUCCUUUGAACAUUAAAGAAAUACCGGUAAAGGAAUUUCUUGGUAAAGUCUUGGAUCUGGUAGGCUGAAUGAAAAGGAAUGUUCAUGGGAAAGGUUCUCUGGUUGAGAGCUUUGAAAGGAAGUUAACGAUCCAUGGCUAUGACUGGGAUUGUGUGGAUGGAGGAAAUAAGUGAAGGUUUAUUUAUAGCCGGACAGGUAAGGAAAUCUAGGAUGAGGUUCUAUUUGCUUUUUAUGUGUUGGACAAUAAAAUCAUAUUUAACAAACCAAUUUUUGAGGCUGAGCAGUUGUUUGUCAGGGAGCGACUUAUUUUUAAAGUCAAAGAUUCUAGGAAAAGAGGAGUUGUCCAUGUUGAUAAGGAAUUUAUGGCUGAUUAGAUGAAAUUCAAAUUUUUUGAUUCCAUACUUGACCUCCAAAAUCUCUUUGUAGAUAACAUGGUAAUUCUUUUCAGAGUCUUUGAAUUGUCCGCUUACAUGUGCACAGAAGUGACGUACACCAUUUAUCUCUUCAAGAAGGAUGGCACUCCAGUAAUCAUCACUGGCAUCAGUCUGUAGAAUGUGUUGUCCAGUUGUGGGAAUUCAGAGAGGAGGAGGUGACUGGACUAUCACCUUUAGUUGUUGGACAGCUUCUGUCUGUGCUAGUCCCCAUAGAGGGCACUGUUUUCUACGCAUGCGGGACAACUGGGUUGUGUGGAUUGCAACUUUAGGGAUGGAAUCACAGACAUAAUUAACAAUCUUGAGGAAUUGUAGGAUUUGCUUUUUGUUGAGAUGUGUGUCCGGAAACUUUAAUAAUUCAGUUGCAAUGUGUGGACGAGGUUGAUAAUGGCCAUCUUUAAUCACCAUGCCAAGAAAGUCAAUUGAUUCUUUUGGUAUGCUGCUUUUCUUUUCAGAAAGCAUGAUUCCAUGUUCCUGCACAAUAUGAAUGAAAUCCAAAAGGGGCUUCUGGUGGCUCUCAUGGUCAGAGGAAAAUAAUGAAGCAUGAUGAAGGAUAGGACUGAAGAUUUUUGUCAUGGCCUUUUGAAAUAAUGAAAUAUCAACCUUAAGACAAAAAGGCAUAACAAUCCAUUGAUAAUGGGCAUCAGGGAUGCAGAAGGCAGUUUUGUGACGGUCAACUGGUGAAAUACCAAGUUGCCAAAAACCAGCUUUUAAAUCAAACUUAGAGAAGAUACGAGCCCCUUGAAAAUGGACAAACAGGGUCUGGAUUUUUGGAAGGGGAAAUUUAUCAUCUUUAAGGAAAGAAUUAAGCGACUGGUAAUCAAUAACUAACCUCUUUUUGCCACGAACUAAUUCAGAUCUUUUUUCAACAUAGAAGGCUUGACAAGCCCAAUCUGAAUCAGUAUGUUCAAUAAGACCUUGCUGAAGCAACUGAAAACAUUCUUGCUUAGCAAAUAGGAGGUUGGAAGGAGACAUACCCGGGUGUGAUGCUUUUGUGGGAUUUAUGUCUUCGUUGAGUUUGAAAGGAAGGUGAAUGAAGAACUGUUCAUUUUUUCAAAGAGGUGAAGGAUGGUGGAACUGUGAAUGGUUUUCUGGACAAAACUCUGGGAAUUUUGUGAAAUAUGACUGUAUGAAGAUGGUGUUUCUGAAAGUGUAUACAGACGUAAUGUAUCUGUAUAAGGCAAGAACAUUUGUUUGUAGCGAACUCCAGAACUAGUGAGGAAUAGGUUUUUAACCAAAUGAAGAAUGUCAAAACCUAUGACUAAGUCUUUAUCUGGGAGUUUGGAUGCUACAAUCUUUUUCCAAAUUAUGCAAUUCAUAAAGAAUUGAAUACCAAUGGGUUUUUUGGUAAUCAAAGUGGUUUCAAAAGUUUCUCCAUUAACUGCUCAGAAAAGUUUCAAGUGUUUUUCCCAACAAUUAGAGGGAAGGACAGAAGGAUCAAUCAUACUGGUAUCGGCACCAGUGUCAAUAAACCCGAUAACAAGAACAGAGUUAUGAAAUUUGGAAGGAAGGAUUGACAUUUUUAGAGAAGGUCUAGGAAUGGCUGAAACAUGGUUGAUAGUUUGAACUGUAGAAAUGACUGAAAUAUCAUCAGAAUCAGAAGAUUCUGCGAUAAUGAAGGCUGUCUGAUCAUCUUGUUCUGACUGUUCUGAAAAAUUUUGAUUCGACAUCAUCAUUCUCAAAUAACAGUGAAGAAUGUUGAAGAUGUUGUAUGAGACGAACAUUUUGGCAGACUUGUGAGGACGGUUUCGAGCAAAGUGACCGCAUUUCUUAUAGAUGAAACAACGGUUGUGCUUUUCCUUUCUGUACUGAGAAACAUCCUUUUUCUUGAAAUACCGGAAAGGUUUUUUGGAGGAUGAUUUUUUGUGGAAGUGUUUCUGAAAAUGUCUUUUCUUUUUGGUCGGGCAAACACAUCUUUUUUCAUCUUUACAUUCGAUCUUGAGGUAGGGAUUUUUACAAGCUUCAGAAAAGGAUUUUUUGUCUUCCAUGAGAUCUUUGAAAAAUUCUUUUUGCUCACAGAUUUUGUCGAGACAUAGCAUUACCAUUUGGAAAAUCUUUCCCAGAGAGAUAUCAGCUAUGCUGAGAUUAGUGGCUGUGAGUUUUCUUUGAAGAUCAGGUUGUAACUUAGAAGGAAGUGAGGCUAUGAAGACAUGUUUGAAAGAUGACUCAUUGAACCCAUUCAGCUUGUAAAAUAGAAUACUCAUCCUUUUGUAAUGAGAUUCCAAAAGAUGUCUUUUGAGAGAACAACAUUUUAUCUGAUGAAACUCUUUUAUGUCUACAUUAGUAGACGCUGUUUUUUCACCGAUGAAUUGUUCAUGAAUGAUAUUGAGUGUUGUACCAAUUGGGGAUUGUAUGAAUUGGAGCUCACGGUAUUCUCCCAAGCUUUCUAACCAAUCACGUAACGAACCCGUGGAUCGGGCCAUGAAUUCACGAAGGACAGCUUGAGGUUGAGCAUUGGGCUUCGUUCCUUGGAGAUCAAUCCAUGCAGUAAAUUCUUGAAGUCAAGCAGGCCAUUUGUGACGGGGAAUGUCAUCAAAUGUAAACCAAGAUGCUGAAGAUGGUUUUGUUGAGUGAUCAGGAACUGGUGGAGGCAUUGAUGGCUCUAGUUCUAUUGGAGAUGCUUUAUUUUCAGCAUUAGAAGAACUGUCCUAAACAAUAGGUGUGGCAGUUGAAGUGCUUGGAUCUUCAGUUUUGGUGGCCAUUGAUAUGCUUGUAAUGUCAGCAUAUUCGGAUUCAGAGUCAGUGGAGGUUUCGACUGAGUUUGUGGAUGAGGAAGAGGAUGACGGGUUAGACUCUGAUGGGUUUGACUCAUAGACUGUUUCGGGCUCAGAGGAGUCAGAAAAUGUGUUUUGGACAGUAUGAUAAUGAUAUUGAUCCAUUGGACUUUUGUCUUUUUUGGGAAGUUCAGGAGUGGCUUUUGGUGAAUCUUCUGGUGGUACCGGAGGAACAGAUGAAGAUGAAGUGGCCUUUGACUUUGGUUCUGAGAUCUUGACUUUGGAUUUUAAUUUUUUAGGUGAAGAUGGCUUUGGUUGAGGAGUUGGUUGAAGGUGUGAGAAUCCAAAGAACUUAUUGCAAACAGGUUGUUGAGGUUUGGAUGGUGUGUAGAAAGGUGCAUAAGUUUCAAACAUUGGAGGGGGUAUUGGUGUGGUUUGUGUUUGAGUAAAAAGUGAUGGACGAGCCUUUUCAGUAUCAAUUCAUGCCAAUUCAGCUUUGAGCUUUCACUCUGCUUCUUUUUAUUAAAUUCUGGACCCCCGAUGUGGUUGUUAAUGAUUCGUCUGAGAUCGGUGUCUAGCUCAGAGAUACGAUCUUGUAGAUGUAUGUACAUCUGAUCAAGACAAUUACUGAUUGAAUCAACUUUAGUUUCUGUCUGAGAGACUUGACUGGCAACUGGAUCAAUUUUCUUUCCGAGUUGUUGAAGAGUUUGAUUCUGAGCAGUGGCAUUUUUGGUUUGCCAAUUUAAAACAUCUUCAUACUGUUUUGGUUCUUCAAGCUGCCCAGAGGCUGUAACUGGGGAUUGGACAAAAGGUUUUAAGAUAACUCUAAUUUCUGUGUCUGACUGUUUUUCAAGUGGAGGAAAGGAUUCCUCAUAAGAUUGACUUGAAAACAUUAGGCAUGAUCUUAUUUGGUGAAUAGGAGGUUUGGGAUCUGGUGGAGGUUGUGGAGGAAAGGAUUUGCAAGAUGUUUUUGGAUGAGAAGGUUUUUUCUUUUUCUUUUUCUUUCUCCUCAUAACUUCCAAGUCGUCAUCAACAUCCGUGUCGUCUAAGCAAGGACAAUGUGGAUUGCACAUAUGGGCUUUAGGAACAUCCCAUAGAAAAUGACCAUUGAUUUUGUCAGGAUAUACUGGAUACCCUUCUGAUGAGAAACCAUAAAUGGAAGUUUCUUUUCUUGACCAGUUUGAACUACUGUAAUCAUAGCAAUGUAGGAAAGCUGUGAAGUGUCUAAAACAGGCUUGGUUUCAGGUGUUUGAAAAGAUAGUUUGACUUGACCAUUUUGUCGUCUUUCAAACGUGGCUUCUGUUGUUUGAACUGGUUCAGAGUUUUGGUGGAAAUACUCAUAGUUGGUUAACCAUUCAAGAGGCAUAAGUUUGAGCAAUUCUUGUUUCUGGAUUUGUUUGGGAAUUUGAAUGAUGGUUGGAAUUGUGUCUGUGUCUAUGUCUGCUAGUAUCAUUAAGGCAUCAGAUGUAGUAUGUGGUGUGGGAAGAUCUAGUGUAUGAUUCUGUAAUCGAUACACUAUUUGGUGGUGAAGGGUUGCAAUUUUUUAUGUGUGUGCUUGUUUUGCUCCUUGGCCUCAAACUCUAUAUAUAUUAAGUAGUUAAGAUUUGUGGCAUCAUUAUUUCUCAUCUUUUUAUAUUCUCUAUUAUCUAAUAUAUUGGUUGAGAUUAAAAAAUAAUUACAUUACAAAAUAUUAAAAAUAGAAAAUAAUUAUUAGAUUACAAAAGAUUACAUGUCUCUUUCUCUUUCUAUUUAAAUUCAACAAUAUAUAACCAUUAAUAAUAAUUAAUUAUAAAUUUUGAAACAUUCAUUUAUUUUAUUAAGCCAACAACUAAACUUUAGUUGUUUAAAAUACAACUAAUUAAUAUAGGAAGGAAGGUUCCUUCAUCUUCCUUCACCAAUGUCACUAGGGCCUAAUUUUAAUGCCAUAAUCUCAUAUUUAAUUAUGUAACCUUUUGUUUAGUGUCUUUUGACUUCUUCAAACUCUAUAAACAUUAAGUAUUUAAGAUUUGUUAUGUUUGAGUUUUUUUUUUAUUAUUUAACCAACAUCCUCUUUAGAAAUGUUCUUGUGUUUUUAUUUUUGACUUAUUUGAAUUUUUAGUAUUGUGUGCUUCAUUGAGUACUCUUUAUUCAUGAGUUGAACAAUGAUAAAGAUAGUUGGAUGAUAAGAGUUAAGCUUUGUAGGAUGUGAGAGUCUGUUAAUAUCAAGAAGAAUGGAGAAUUGAUUAGUGUGAACAUAAUUUUUAUUGAUAAAAAGGUUGUGUACACUUAACUAUACUCAUUAAUAUAUAUUUUUAAAGUUAACAAAAAAAUAAUUAACUUUCAUAAAUAAUAUUAGUUUUAUAAGGUUGUGUCAUCUUUAAAAAAAAUCAAUUUAUAUUUUUUUAUCAGUUUCAUCAAGUGUAAAGUAAAAAAAAAAAAAGAUAAUACUAAAUUCUUUUUUUAAAACUGCACGAAGCGCGGUUCUAUUUCCUAGUUAACUAUAAUAGGGAGAUAGCCAGUUUCUUCUAUUGAAAUAAAUAUAUACCACUAAUCCCCCUAUUAUUUUUGUAAUAGUCAAUAACCUCUCAUAUAAAAAAUUUAAAGAAACGGAAGUGUACAUGAUUCUUUUGCUUGAUAUUUUGUCUUGAGAAUACUAAAUGUAUGUUUAUUAUAAGGAAAAUUGUUUGAAAAUAAAAAAUAGUAUAAGAAAAAUAUCUUACUAUUAAUUUUUUAUUUAGACCAAAGCUUAUAUUUCUUACUUUUUGUAUUUCAAUUUUAUUUUAAUUUUUAUUUGUAUAAUUUAUUUAAUUAAUAAUAAAUAUAGAUAAAAGUGUAUUUAAAAUAAGAAUAAUUUUGUAAAAUUUUGGUACCAAAAAUAUUAUUGAUUAUUAUGAAAACAAUAAAGAAGUAAAUGAUAUAUAUUUCUUAUCAAUCUCUCAUUGCAAUAACAUGUAGAUGUUAGACAAUUUUCUUUUUAUGUGUCAUAAUACGGGAAAAUUAAAAAGAUCACUUAAGUUUAUAUUCAUUGCAGCAACGAGAAAAAUAAAGUUUAUGUUCACUGCAACAAGAAGAAAAUGAUCAACUUAAAUUUAUGUUCAGUGCGACAACGAGAAAAUGCUCAAAAUUCUCAUGACGUCUGAUGAAAGUACCUAUUAAAAUCCCCUUUCAUUAAAAUAUUGACGAUUAGACUCACUUUUUGACUUGGUCUUUGACCAACAACAAAUGAUUCAUGUCAGAAGUUUAAGGGUGAGGGCUAAUUAAAGUUAUCAAACUACUUAUUAAAUUUAAUUUAUAAAAUAAAAUUAUUAUUAUAAAUAUGGACAUUAAAAUAUAACUUUAGUUAAAUGAGCUUGUACUCUUUAAACCCAUCAAAACAUUUUAAACAUUAGCUUUUUUAUGAUGUUAAGAAAAUGUUCGGCAAAAAAUUUGUAAGCAACCUUUAUAUGUGUAGAUAAAAAUAAUCGGACAUAAGCAUUAGUCUAUAAUAAAUAAUUGACGAGUACUCUAUAUGUUUGGUUUAUACAUGGGAACAAAUUUUUAAUAUCCAAUUUAUUAUAGAGAAAUAUUUAUUAAUGGGUUCAUAAUCAUAUAUAAAUUUGGCUGGUUUAAUAACACUAUCAUCUUAAUAAUUUAGUUUAGUAAUUACCUUAAGUAUUUAGGUGGGCUUGUUCAACAUUUAAGGGUGAGUUUACUUUAUAAAAAGAUGAGGUUAUUUACUUUUAAAAAGUGCUUUAAAUACUUUAUUACUAAAAAAUAACCCUUUAAUAAAUGUUAAAAAUAAACUAUUGCUCAGCACACUUUUAAAAAUGUCAAAAGAAUCCUCAAUUUAUUUCCUUUUUAAAAAGCCACUGAGAAAGAAAAUAAAAUCAAAUCAAAAACUCAUUCAAAGUAUAUAAACUUGAUUUACAUUAAUUACAAUAUAAUUUUCAAAUCUCAAAGUUAAGAAAAUUAACUAGAGAUUUCAUAGUUCGUCUUUGCCCUCCCUUUAUUUAUCAAAUCAAGGCCAAGUAGAAAACAACUUGCAGCUAUUAUUUGAUGAGAUUAAGGACAAAACUAUCACAAGCGCAUGCAAUGAGGCAUAUUCAUAUCCUAUUAAAGUUCCCAUUAGAGUCAUCGCAAAAGCUCGUGCAAAGAAAUUCAAAGAAGCGCUCAAUGGGCUGAUUCAAGCCACUUGGGUUCAAUCAAAUUCGUGGAGGCCUAUUGAAGGAAUUGCACAUGAUAUUCAGACCACCAAUUGCGUAAUUUAGGCUCCUGAAGUUUCCAAAUAAUCACUACCAUGAGAUCAGCAAGUUAACUUGCGUAUUAUGGCUGGAAAAUAUGCUACUUUUCUUUUCGGAUCCUUUCUCAUUUUUUGAGGUGGCAACUGGUGAGACGAAUCAACUAUUUCUCUUAUAGUUUAAGGCAAUAAAGCCAUUUAAGAGACUUCCUUAUUUGCUUUGGAUUAGGCAUUUUCUUUAGGUAAUUAAUUCUGAUUUGAUUUUUGUUUGGGAUUUAUUUUCAAAAAUUUCAAGGGCAAUUAUGGGAUGGAAAUUCUUGUAACCAGCCAUAUGUAAUGUAAGUGCAUCUAAUAAGAAAGAUAGAUCAAUUUUGAUGUAAUUGGCUUGAGAGUUAAUUAUCUUUGGUUCUUAAGCUAUCUCUUUGAACUUAUUAGAUUUCUGAGGUGUUCAAACCCUUGACUUAUCAAUCAAAGCCCAUUCAUGGCUGAUUGUGCGUCCUUAGAUACCAAGGUUCAUGCCUUCAUUGAGCAUUAGGUCAUGGUUCCAUAUAAUUCCAGUUCAAGAAUUCGAUCUUGAAGACUAAAUCGAUUAGGGUCGCGUCAAUUCUUGGCGUGGUUCGUAACAUUAUUCAUUAUGGAUUCCAAGUAAUCAUUAUUAGGAGAUAAAAUCAUUGAUGAGAUUACUCGCAGUGAAAAUUGCACUAAAUAAACCUCUUGUGUCACAAUUCUUACUGGAUGGCAAAAUUCAGAAAAUUGAGUACGAAAGUCUUCCAACAAUAUGUUUUGAAUGCGGGAAGUAUGGCCAUGUCCUUAGUAAGUGCCCGGAAAAACAUAAGACUACUGACCAAAUAGAGUCCACUAUGAAGGAACAUGCUCUGGCGAACGUGGAAGAUAAGGUGGCCGUUUCAUCACGGACGGGGAGCAGUACUAGCAACGCCAUGUACGACCCUUAGAUGAUAGUUUCUAAAAAGGAAGGUGUAGGUGUCUUAAGAAAGGAGAUAUGGGUAGAGAUUCAAAUCGUUUCCAAGAAGGUAAUAAUAGGGAUGGAUCAAGAUUUUCUAUCCUGAAUAACGAGGGUAUUUUAGAGGAUGAUAUGAGUUCAAGUAACGGUAUCUCUAUUAAUUCGGUGGAAGACUGUGUGCCCAACUUACCUUAUAGAAACCAAACAAGAAUCCAUAAAGAUACCUUUAAGGCUAAAAAAUAGAGUGGAGGGAACAAGCAUAGCCUAAAUACUAGCCUUUCCAAGCUACAUACUUCCAAAACCCAUGUUUCAAAAGACUAAUGCUUCCCAUGCACUCACUGAAAGACAAUACCACGUCUGUGCCCAUUUAAAAUCCUAUGCCCUCAUGUUAAACCAAGUACUCUCAUGCAAAACCAUCCCAAAACCAAAAUCCAAAAAAAUGUGUUGACCACCCUUGACCCCUUAAAACAUUCGAUCAUUUCCUUUGCUACCUCAACAGAUGAGAGAGCGAAUAUCUCUCUUACAACUAGGUCUAAUCCUCUUUUUAUCCCUCCAGCUAAUAAUGGGAGAGUUUCUGGAACCAACCCUCUUAGUGAUCCACCUGAUACAGGAGAGCAUGAUUUGGGGAAUAUUUCGGAUGAGUAUGACGAUAGUGAUUAUAUGGCUGACAGUGUAGAGGAAGAGGAUGUUUCUUUAGAUUCCACGGGCUCUCUAGUUGAAGAGGAGGAAAUGUGUGUUGAGCAGCAAGUUGAAAGCCCUACACAGUAGAGGUUUGUUUUCCUUUUAUCAAAAAUAUUUUAAUGAUAUUCUCUAUUAUGUUUUGGAAUUGCCAAGGCGCUUUGUCCCAUGAUUUUCAGAGGACUUUCAAGGCUCUUGUUCAUAACUAUAAGCCUAUGAUGGUGGCUCUGUUGAAACCUAAAAUUAGUGGGAAGAAAGCUGAUAAAUUUAUUCUUAGAAGUAGAUUUGAUAGGUCUUAUCAAAUUGAGGCGGUGGGUUUUUCGAGUGGGAUUUGGCUUCUUUGGAAGGAAGGGUUGCAUGUGGAGAUUGUGGUGAACCAUAAUUCUUAUGGUCUUAUCUCUUGGAUAACUGUUAUCUAUGCCAGUCCCAUUCGUAUUGUGUAAUAAUAGAACCUGUCACUUUUUCAAGGAUUGGUUUUACAGAAAUCAAUUUUCGAUAUAAAAUUUAGUGGCCUUAGUUUCACUUGGGGGAGAGGGACCCUACUUAAAUGACUGGAUAAGAUUAUCUGUAAUGAGGAGUGGAUGGCGAAUUUUCCUAAGUCUCAAGUCUGACAUCUCCUAAGAAUCAGUUCGGAUCACCGCCCAAUUUUUUUCCAUUUUAUUAAGAAUAGAACACGACACCAUAAUACUAAACCUUUUCGGUUUCUUGCUUCUUAACUUACAGAUAGUAUAUUUCAAGAGUUUGUCUCUAAUAACUGGAAAAAUUAUGAGAAUUAUUUGCUGGUUGCCAACAAUUUCGUGAAAGUGGUUAGAAAGUGGAAUAAAGAGGUUUUUGGCACUAUUUAGAGACGAAAAAAAUUGAAUUUUAGCUAGGCUGGGGGGUAUUAAGCAUGCUCUAGAACUACACUGGUCGAGAAAUCUUAUUGAGCUAGAAGCCAGCUUAAAAGGGAGCUUGAGGUGAUUUUAUCUCAAAAGGAAAAUUCUGGUAUCAAAAAUCAAGACGAGAUUGGAUUGCUUGGGGAGAUCGAAAUAUGUCCUAUUUCCGUCGCCAAACAAUCCAACGACGGAGAACUAAUAGAAUUGAUAUGCUCAAGGAUGAUAAUGGCAAUUGGAUUAGUGAUACAGAACAAAUUAAAAGAUAUGCUGUGGAUUUUUUUACAAGACUUUAUACGAAAGAGACGGGCUGUCAUCAUAAUUAUCCCUGUAAGGAGGACUUCUCAAUAUUUGAGGAUUCUCAAAUGGAGAAGCUCAACUAGGUUUUAUCUAAUGAUGAGAUUCGGCAGGCCAUUUUCAGCAUGCAUCCUUUCAAAGCGCCUGCCACGUGGAUUUGAUGGGUUACACGCUGUGUUCUAUCAAUCUCAGUGGGAUGUGGUUAGAGAUUCAGUUUGUACUUUGGUGAAAAGGGAUUUUACAAGUAGUACCCUUCCUAAGGAGAUCAAUAAGGCUUUGAUUGUCCAAAUUCCAUAAACAAACCACCCGAGUAGUCUCAAGAUGUAUUGUCCGAUUAGCUUAUAUCUUGUUAUCCACAAGACCAUCACCAAGAUUGUGGCUAACAGGCUUAAGACAAUUCUUCAUGAUUUGAUUAGGUCGACUCAAACGAGCUUUGUAUCAGGAAGACAUAUUACGGAGAAUAUUGUUAUUGCUCAGGAAAUUGUACACACUAUGCGUCGUAAAAAGGGGAAAAUUGGCCAAAUGCUUAUUAAGAUUGACUUGGAGAAGGCUUAUGAUCACCCAAGCUAGGAGUUUAUAAAUGAAACCUUGCGAGAAAUUCGUUUUCCCAAUGAGAUUAUUCACCUCAUUAUGGAUUGUAUAACUUAAACUACCAUGUAGCUUCUAUGGAAUGAUGAGUGUAUGGAUUCUUUUUCUCCCUCAAGAGGCAUCAGACAAGGCGACCCACUCUCACCAUAUAUUUUUGUGCUUUGUAUAGAGAGAUUGGGCAAUGGAAUUAAUCGUGUGGUUCAAAGUAGACGAUGGCGCCCUAUUCUUCUUUCCCUCAAGGUACCCCUAUAACUCACCUAUUUUUUGCAGACGAUCUCCUCCUUCUUGCUGAAGCUUCUUGUGACCAGGCUAGGAUUAUCCAAGAGGUACUGAAUACGUUCUGUGCUAGCUCGGGUGAGAAAGUGAAUAACCAAAAAUCUCAAGUUCUUUUUUCCAAGAAUGUCAAACCGUCUGAGAUGCAGAAAAUUAGUAAGCAGCUUGGGUUUUCGAUUACAAUUGACUUGGGAAAAUAUUUGGGCAUGCCGAUAAUUCAUAAGAGAAUUACCACAAGUACUUAUUAGGGGAUUUUGGAGAAGGUUGAAUAGAGGUUAAAUGGCUUGAAUGCUAAACUCUUAUCCCUAGCGAGAAAAGUUACUCUUACUCCAUCAGUAAUUCAUGCACUUUCUAUUUAUUCCAUGCAAACCACGAGGCUACCGAAUGGUAUCACUAAUAAAAUUGAUCAAGCCUGCCGCGCUUUCAUUUGGGGUGGCAAUUUCGAUCAUAAGAGGAUGCAUCUAGUUCGGUGAGCUAAUCUUUGUCAACCAAAAUUAUGUGGUGGCCUGGGAUAAAAAAACUUACAACUUAUGAAUGAUGCUUUGUUGAUGAAAAUUGGCUGGGGAAUUCUCUCUUCUUCAAAUAGUUAUUGGUUACAAAUAAUUUGCUCAAAGUAUGGAUUUGUUCCGGGCUCCCCAAAUUUGGUUUUCCAUACCAGAAGCGGCUCGUACUUAUGAAAGGCUCUAGGACAAAUUUGAAGCAAGGUGCUUGGUGGCUUAAGGUGGAUAGUGGGCAAUGGUCAGAAAAUUCAUUUUUGGCGGGAUAUUUGGGUGGCUGAAAUGCCCUUUUAUAAUCUAUCUAUUGCUCCUGUUCCUAAAGAUAUUGUUGAGGGAUGCAUAGCAGACUUUGUGACUUCGGAGGGAUCUUGGCGUUGGAAUCUCUUUGGCCAUCUUAUCCCCCAUAAUAUUUUGUUGAUGAUAGCUGCGGUUAAGCCUCCAGAUGCUCAUAGCGGCAAUGAUCAUUUCUAUUGGGCCCACUCCCCUUUUGGUUAUUUUAUGGCGAAGUCAACUUAUCAACAACUCAGUAAGAACGAUCUCUCUCAUACAAAUCCUUGCUGGAAGAAUUUAUGGAAAUGGAAGGGGCCACAAUGUAUUAAAAUGUUUUUAUGGCUCUCUGGUCAAGGGAAGCUCAAGUGUAAUGCAGAGCUUGUUAAGAGGCAUAGUUGCACAGAUGCAACAUGCCCUCAGUGUGAUGGUGGCAUUGAAGAUGCUCUUCACACUCUUAGAGAUUGUUUUGUGGUGAAUAGGAUAUGGCGGGAACUCAUUCCAAGUAGAGAUUAUGGUAAUUUCUUUUCUAUUCCUCUACGUGAAUAAUAAUGGGCAUUGGGAUAGAAACUGUGAAUGGGCCUGCAUAUUUGGUGUAGCUUUAUGGAGGAUUUGGUACUAGCACAACAAGUAUGCUUUUGAAGGUAGUGCAACUAAUGUUAAUGCUAUGGUGAUAGAUGUCAAGUCUCGAGCUGAGGAAAUUCAUAGAGUUUUUGACAUCUUUGAUAUAAAUAAGGGUAAGAGAGUGGAGAAGUAUUUUGGUUGGUUGCCCCUGGUUUGGGUUGCGUAUAAAUUGAAUACAGAUGGAGCUUGUAAGGCAUCUAGUUUAGCUUUGGUUGGAGGAUUAAGUAGAGAUGCUCAAGGGGGGUGGAUAAAAGGUUUCAGCAUCAAUAUUGGGAUGUGUUCAAUCACAAAAGCUGAGCUUUGGGGCAUGUAUCAUGGACUCAUUCUGGCUUGGAACAAGGGCAUUCGGCUGUUGAUUGUGGAGGCUGAUAGUUAAUGUGUUACACAGCUGAUCCAAAGUCAAACUCUGUCCACUAAUGCAUCAUCUUCUCUUGUCAAUGGCAUCCAAGAGCUCCUCUCUCGCAAUUGGCAAGUUUUAGUGCAUCACAUUUAUCAGGAGGCCAAUUUUGCAGCAGAUUUCCUUGCUAGUUUCGCACUCUCACGCCCUCUUGGGCUCCAUGUUUUACCUACCCCUCCCCCGGUGUUGAUGUUUACUUGCAUAGUGAUAGUUCAGGGGCUGCAUUCCCUCUAGGGAUGGCAAUGGGGAGGGGAGGGGAGGGGAGGGGACCAAUCUCCCCAUACCCAUCCCCGAUAUUUUGCAUAUGUCCCCGUCCCCUCCCCGUCCCCGUCAUAAUUGCUUGAGAGAAUCCCCAUCCCCUCCCCGAAUAAUAACAGGGGAUCCCCAAGGGUCCCCGGUCCCCGAAUAACUAAUAGUCUAAUACAUUUUUUUAUUUUCGAUUUUAAAUUAAUCAUAUUAAAAUAAACUCAUACCGCUAUUGUAAGCUCAUAACCAACUUUGACAGCACAUUAAGGCCUCCAAUGUGCUUGGAUGAAGUUUGUUAUGGUAUGAGCUCACAACUCUACCACUAGUGUUAAAAGCUGAUUCAGAAGCAACUGUUGUAAUUGGAAUUGCCAAAAUAUCUCUAGCAAUUCGAGCUAAUGUAGGAUACCUAUUAGCAUUUGUCUUCCACCAACUCAAAAUAUUAAAAUCUUCCAUCCGAGGUAUAACUUUCUCAUCCAAAUAUGAAUCUAAUUCAUCUGCAACAACUGCACAAUCUCCAUUGUUUACAUAAUCAUCAAAACCUGUCAUCCAUUUGGUUGCUUUCUUAUAAGAAUCCCCUGUAGAUCUAGUAGAAGAGCUACUACUAGUAUAAUCAAAGUAAUAAACAGUUGGUGAAAACUUCAAUUAAUAUUCUUCAACUAAUUCCUGGCAAAGGGUGACCACUUUCCCAACAUACAACUAUUUUGAUAUUUAUUAUUUUUAACAAUAUUUAUAAUUUUGUUAUUUAUUUAUUAGUAAUUUUAAAAAUAAAAAUAAAAUUAAAAAUUAAAAUGGGGAAAUGGGUAGGGGAUGGGGAUUCCACCUCAUCCCCGUCCCCUCCCCGAAUAAAAAGUUGGGUAAAAAAUUUUCCCCGUCCCCUCCCCGAAAAAAAAAAUGGGUAUAAAAUUAUCCCCGUAUCCUCCCCGAAUGGGGAAAAUCCCCGAGGGUACCCGUUCCCGUGGGGAUUUUUGCCAUCCCUAAUUCCCUCGUUUUGUUAAGCUUUAGCUUUGCUAGGCUCGUUUUUCCUUUACCAAAAAAAAAAUAUAUAUUUAAAAAAAGGAAUCUAAAAAAAUUUUACACUUCAUUCUUGGAAAACAAAAAAUAACAAAAUUAAAACAAUACCAAAGUGCACCCCUGAAUUUUUGGUCGCUUUCCCUUAAAACAAUCAUUCAUAGUACAAUGUUGUAAUUUUAUCAAAUAAACUAAGCUCUAAAAUAAUAGUUAUAUUUUAAAUAUAUUAUUAUUUUAACUAUAGUAAAUUGAAUUGAAUUAUAUUAGUUUGAAUUUACAAAUCAAUCCACUAAUGUUGAAUUAUGUGCAAAUGAGAUCUUGUGAUUCCAUGCCAACUUUUAUGUAGGAUGAUUCGUUAUAUCUAAAUUUGGAAAUAUUUUUGUCAUUACGGCCUUGGUCGAUUGAUUUUCUAGUAAAUUUCUUUAACUGUCCACCCGAGUCCUAAUUUUAAGGGAAGUAGAGGGUUAAAAAAAUAAUUUAACUUUACCAACCAUCCUACUUUCUAAAAAAUAAAUAUUAAAAAUUACAAAUUUUUGAAAACCUUUUAUCCUCGAAUAAUUAUGUUUUCAUAUUAAAAAAAAAAAGCGUUACUCUCUAAACAUCACUCAAUUAGCUGUGAACACCCUUUACGUCCGCGAUCACUUGAGUUCAAGGGAAAAAAUAAAUUAGGGAGUUCGAUUUUUAGUCCAAAAUCAAGUAUUUCUUUUUAAAAAGAAAAAAUGGUGAAAUAAAACUCUCGAAAACAUAAAGAAAAGGGAAGAAAAUUGUUCACAUCUCUUUCGGUGUAUCUUGUUGUGAUUGGCAGCUACCUUCCAAACUUUUUUAAAAAAUAAAAUAUAAUUAACAUUUUUUAACAAAAUAAAAAAUCUGAAGUUUUAACAGCUACCAUCGAAAAUAGGGUCACACACAAAAAAAUUAAUAAACACAAAGAAAAUCACAUUGUUAUUGUAGUUAAGAAAAAAUCGGCUGUUUCAUGGCUUUAGCUUCCGUUUCGGCCUCUCAUCCAAAUUUCAAUCUUCCCAUUACACGUUUGAUAACACUGCUGACAUCACCCACAAAAAAAUUCACCUGCCCCCGUAAUUUGUUAGUUCACAACGGUAACUCUUUGAUUGAUGAUUUAGUUCCAAUUUAACAAAGUCAUUAUAAGAGGAGAAGAAGAAGAAGCAUACAUAGUGUAACAAGAAUCAAAGUAAGCAGUGUAAAUGACAUUGGUGAGAGAAAGAAGACAUCAACAAGCACUAACGCUAUCUCUGCCAGCAACAGCCGCUAAUCAUCAGUUCCGUCGUCGUCGUCAUCAUUUUCCGACAAGUAAUCGUACCUCACCGGACGUUGAAAACAUUUCAGACUUGAAGAAGCUUACUGUUCUUGGCCACGGCAAUGGUGGGAUUGUCUACAAAGUGAGACACCAAAAAAGUAACUCAAUCUAUGCGUUAAAAGUCCUUAAUACGACAUCCUCCACCAUUAUUCGCCAUCAGGCGGCUCAUGAAGCGGAAAUUCUUAAAAGACUCGAUUCGCAGUUCAUUGUCAAAUGCCAUGCGGUAUUUUACACCAUUGAAGGGGAGAUCUGCUUCGUAAUGGAGCACAUGGAGAGAGGAUCCUUGUUUGAUUCCCUACGAGUGCGGAAAAAAUUGUCAGAAGAUGUUAUUUCUGGAGUGGCAUAUCGCGUGUUGAAGGGUUUACAGUAUUUACAUGGUAUGCAGAUUAUUCAUGGGGAUAUAAAGCCUUCAAAUUUACUGAUAAAUGGAAAGGGGGAAGUGAAAAUUGCAGAUUUUGGGGUAAGUAGGAUUGUGGAGGAAACGCGAAAUAAUAACAAUCACAACAACAACAACAAUAAUAAUAUAGGUGAAGCAGCAAUAGCAUGCAUGGGAACGUGUGCAUAUAUGAGCCCCGAAAGGGUUGAUUCUGAAAGAUGGGGUGGGGAUUAUGGAUUCGCAGGGGAUGUUUGGUCGCUUGGAGUUGUGGUUUUGGAGUGUUUGGUUGGUCAUUAUCCUUUGAUAGGUUUUGGGGAGAAGCCGGACUUGAUGGCGUUGAUAUGUGCUAUAUGCUUUGGAGAGAGGCUGGAGAUGCCAGAAACUGCAUCCCCGGAGUUUCGUAGAUUUGUGAGAAGUUGUUUGGAGAAGGAUUGGAGGAAAAGAGGGACUGUAGAGGAGCUUCUUGCUUACCCUUUUGUCACCAAGAGGAGUUCCAGUUCUAACAUUGAAGGGCUGAUAAUUUGAUAUGCUUUGCAUGGCUCUGAACCCGAUUUGGAGGUUCCAUUUAUUUUUUUUAUUUUUUUUAAAUCCCUCUUAAAUAUCAUUCUUCUCAUAAAUUAAAAUUUAUCAGAUAGUUACCUGGUUUUAAAUUUUUACCAGACAUACAUUUUACAAUUCCAUUUACAUUACAUUAGACUUUGAAUCCUGAUAAAAAUGAUCACGGUAUACACUACACCUCAGCUUUAGAUAUUUCUUGGCACACACAAAGCAUGACCACUUGGCUCAUAUGGACAAACUAUAAAUCUCAUUAAAGUUUUGUUUUAACUUUUUAAGUUGAAAACAAGCUUAAAAUUUACCCAAUUAGAAACCACGUAGUCAGACUGUAACAGCAAAAUUUUAGGUGGCUGUACCUUGUAGUAAUAGUCAUUUCGCAUCGUGAAUCUCUGAACUGGCCAACGCUUAAAAAUCUAUUAACAGAACAGUUAUUUGCAUUUUAGAGCAGCUUUAGCCAUGCACACCAGAGCAGAAAGUCAAUAUUAUGACAACAAAUUCAUAAGUUUAAGAAACGAGCAUCUAGAUUAGUCUGUUUUUACUAGAACAAUCACCAUUUUACUAGAACCAUUAACAUUUUACGAAAUCAAGAUAACCAUUGAAUAAGCACUGAUGCCAAGUCGAACAGCCGUCUUACAGAAGAAAUGGAUAUAUAUAUAUAUAUAUAUGACUCAUGAGCAAACAAAUUUUGUUGGGGCCAAGUUUCGAUUGUUAGAUGGCUCCAGCUGCUUGUUUAGAAAAGCGCCUGAAAUGGAAUCCAUUUCAGCAAGCAACCAUGUGAUUUAAUAUAACAACAGAAGGAUCAGAAGCUAAAGUUGCAGCAGUAAACUAUGGGAAUUUUAAAAAGUUGGAAGAGUAAUUAACAACAAAUCAAGCUUCAGAUGCCAUAAAUCAUGUAUCACAUUUAUAUACAUGUUGCAAACGAGUGAAUAAAUAAAAGUAAUCAGUAGGUGAAAUUUAUUAAUUUAAAUAAUGGACCUGAAACGGACAAAACUCGAGGCCACCCAAAGGAAUGAACAUAAUAAACUCACCCACGUGGAAUAUGCUGACGAAGAUGAAAUUUAAGGAUUAACUUACAAGGAAGACUAGUGCCGGUAAUUCUGCCAGGGCAUGAUAAUUUGGGAAAAGAUUUUUUAUUUAAAAGUAAGAGUGAUAUAAUACGUAGUUUUACAUAGAGUAUAAUCAAAAUACUGAUUUACUCCUAAAAAAACCUUUAACAAUGCUCACACGAGAGAAGAAAGUUACUAGGGGAUUCCUUAUUUUACAUGUUAUAGAAUAAUCUAUGAAGAAUUCCCUCUGCUCUAAACUUUACAACUAUAAAUAUUGAGCUUCAAAUAUCUAUAAUCAUGAGAACCAUUAAGAGAAUACCAUUAAAGUUUCAAGUGAUCCUUUACACAUUCAUGGAGGCUCAUGGAGGCCCAAUUACAAGAGCUAGAGUAAAAAAGAUGCAAGCUGUUUUAAAUUGAUUAAUUAAGAAAAUAUGAACUGAAAAUGCAAUUCAAGAUGUAAUGAAUUGGGCUUGGAGAUAAGAUAAGGCACUGUGGGUAUUAUUUAAGUUAUUGGGCAACCAAAUACAUAAUUUGGAUCAAAUGUAGAAAGGGUAAAUUCGGAAUAAAACUAGUAUUGAUUGAGCCAGUAGUAAUGUGCAAGCUAUAUACCGUUGGAAAGAUAAUUAAUUUAACUUUCCAAUCCAAUUUACAGAGUUGGAUUUGGAGUUCUCUAGAAUGAGUUAUGACCAAUUUAUUAUAGCUUGUUCAGGCUUGGGAAUUCCAACCACUCUUUUAUUUAUUCAACUUUAUUUAUUUGUUUUGUUUCAAGUUUGUCAAUGUGUUAUGCAAGUCUACCAUCAAUGAUGGUGGGCUAGCAUUAAAUUUGUCAAUAACUAGCAUUAAUUAUGGUAGGUUAGUAUUAAGUUUGUCAAUGACUAGCAUUAAUAAUGGUAGGCUAACAUUAAGUUUGUCAAUGACUAGCAUUAAUAAUGGUGGGUUGGUGAAAACUUUUGAAGUAUCAUUUGACAAACCUAUGCUUGGAGGGUUGUUCCAAUGUUUCCAUUGGUAUUUUUAGGAUCUUGGGUUUCUAUUAGCUUAUUUAAACUCAGCAAUCUUGCUAUGUAAGACAAUUAGAGACAAAUGUUAUUUUGAAUUUGAAAGAUCAUUCUUUCUUUUGUUGUUUUGAGAAUUAGUGAACUUAUCAAGAAUUUGCAUUCUUAUGGCAUUCCAAAAUAAACUUAUCACGCACCUUCUUAUCUAAAUCUUGAGUGUGGCAUCAAUAUCCUUCUCUAUACCUCUGGUUCAUGUUUUCUUAAACAUUGGGUCAAGGUUUUUGUUUCGCUUAAAUCUGUUUAGAACUUUCUUGGGAAGUUGAAACUUCAAAUUAAGUGAGGGUUUCAAAGUUUCAUUGUGGGAUUCAUAUCAUAUAAUGACUUGUCUAAACCACACUACCUCUCUCUGAUUUUUUGCGAAAUAUAUUCUUGAACAUCUCUAUGAUUUUAGUUGUUUCUAUAGGCCUAAGUCCAUUAAACAACAGUCUGAACUACAAUAAUCAUGCAACUUUGUGAAAGAUGAUGCAUUUCUAGGAAGCACUUCUCUAACCAUUAUGCAUCGCAACGUGUAAUAAUCAGCAUAUUCAACAUAAAAAAAGGUUACGCCUAACAUUCAUUCGAUUAUAACUUCUACCUGAAAAGAAGAAGCAAUUAUUAAUUAAGGCAUCAAUGUUCGAAAUUGCACAUUAGUUCUUAUAUAAUGGAGAAGUAAUCGUAAAAUAGGGCAAACUUUAACAUGAAAUGGACUUUAAAAAUAGUUCGAAGUAUUGCACUAAACAUAGAAGAGGCAAUAUGUCGAACAUGUGGUAGGCAAAAAUAGUAAAAAAUUCCCUAGCAUGGAUCAAAGAAUGCAUAAUGGAAAAAUAUAAAUUAAAAAGGAAACUAUUGAGGUUCUAGGACUAAUAUUAGAGAAUUCAUAUUAUUAUCGGAUAAGAUAUAAUAUGGUGAUAAUGAUACUACAUUUUAACUUAUCUAUUUACUACUAAGUAGUAAUGCCACAUUUAUAAGUUUAAUUUUUUAAUUAAAUAUUUUUUUUACAAAUCUAUGGAUUUUUGCAGACUUAUAGAUGUAAUUCCAUGUCUAAUCCACUGAUUACAGACUUUUAAAUUUUCAAUCUAAUCCAAUCCAUCAUAGGUUGAAUGAAAUUACAAAACAAUAAAAAUAAAUAAUGUGAGCAAGAGCUAUUUAAUCUAAUGAAAUAAAUUAUUUUGCAUCAGUUUGUAGAAAACAAGUUUGUAUAAGAGUUUAUAUGAUAUGAUUUUUUUUUUUUUACUUCCAAAUCCAUCAUAUAUUUGGUCUUCUUAAUUGAAAAAACAAAACAAAACAAAAAAACCUAGAAAAAUGACAUAAAACUUAUAAACUGACAUUAAGUGUAAAAUGAAACAAAAUAUUUGUAAACCAUACAUAGGACUAGUAAAUUAAAGAAAAAUGGGUAAAUUAAUUGUUGGCCUAAAAGUUGUACGAAUUUUGAUUUCACUAUCUCGCUAGCUCUUGAAGGAUAAAAAUCAUUCAUGUAAGAACAAGUUCAAGAUACUCAAAUGGACAAAGGCACAAAGCUGAUCAAAUCAAGAACAAGUCUCAAGGGUACUAGCUUAGGUAAUUUCUCUUGUUACAUUUCUUGUAAAUUAGUAUGAUUAAAUGUUUGCAUGAUUAAGUAUUUAAAAGCUCAAAUUAUUUUUCAUGACAUUUUAAAUAAAUCAUUAUUUUCAUAAUAUGAAGGUUCUAUACUUAAAAGGAAAAAUGAUUUUAUGAAAUUGGUUUGUUUUAAGUUUAUAGACUAAAUUGAAAAUGUUACAAGAAUUUGAAAUCAACAACUAUUGUUUGCAAUUCUGAAUCGAAUUUAUUCAAAAGUUUUAUAUAGUUUUGGGCUAAACUAUAAUUUUAGGAAAUUAGUGGCUAAUCAAUUCACUGUAGUAGCUAAUGAUAAUUUUCGGAGAGUUUAUGGAAUUCAAACGGCUAGCUAAUUAUUUUAAGCGGCGAUCCGAUUAUGAAAAAGUUUCAAAUUUUUUUAAAACAAUAACUUGGCACGUCAGCCAAACAAUGAUUCAUUUUAAAAUUAGUGGCGACCUGAUAACGCCCAUAAAGUGAAUAGUUGUCUUAUUAAAACUAUAAAAAGUUAAAUCAAACUCAUUUCUAAGAGCCACCAAAAAAAAAAAAAAAAACUCAUUUCCAAGAGAGUUCUUCAAUCUUUAUCAAGCUUAAAGUUGUUCAUACAGAUCAUCUUGAGCUUUCAUUUUCUUAUUCAUAUAUAUUGAUUCAUUAUUGAGCUAUCAUUUGCUUAUGUACUCUUGUGAGGAGAGUGAUCUUUGUAAUCUUUAUUUCAUCAUAAAAAAGAAGUGAUUGUAAGUGUGGGAACACUUAGGACAAGAGGCAUGGGAUCAUCUUGAAUUGUAAAGAUUUAUUGACACCUUGGAAGUCAAUUGUAAGCAUCUUGAAGCCUUGGAUUGUAAGGUUUGGUUAGAGAAAUCUUCAAGCGCGGUUUGCUUGGAUGCGUGGAUGUAGUUGGGUUACCGAACCACGUAAGAUUAUCGUGUUCGUUUUCUCUACCCUUUAACUCUUUAAAUUUACUUCUUGUUGAAAUUAUUAUUAUUAUUAUUGGUUGUUAUUUGAAGAAUUUUUUAGAAAGCCAUUUCACCCCCCUCCCUCUUGGGUCGCCUAGUUAAAAUUUCAAUUGGUAUCAGAGCAAGGUACUCUUAUUAGAACUUAAGCGUCUAGAAUAAAAGAUCCUUAGCAACUAAAAGUAGCUCAACCUUCAUGGAAGGUCAAUCCACUACUAGACCUCUAUUUUUUUUAUGGUAAUGACUAUCCUUAUUGUAAGACUAAGAUGAGCAUUUAUUUGCAAGCCUUAGACUAUGAAAUAUGAGAAAUAGUUCGUAAUGGUCCUUUCAUUCGGAAGAACAAUAAAAAUGGAGAAGAAAUUACAAAACCUUCAAGUGAGUGGAAGGCAUCAGAUAAGAGAAAGAUGUCUCUAAAUUCCAAAGCCAUGAAUGCUCUAUGUCUUUCAAGAGAGGGAAAGGAUUCUUUGUAUGAUUGGCUAGAGGAUGAAAACAUCAAGCAUGACUUGAUUUUUGGUUGUGUAGGAGCAGGCUUAGAUAAGGACUCUUUUUCUAUUUGCCUGAGUGCUUUUUUGUAGAUUGGUAAAGGUUGAUCUGGCUUUGGAGCAUCCGGUGGUCCUGGAGAAUAGGGCCGACAUGAAGUUUUAGGAAUAUGAGACUUUUUCUUUUUCUUUCUCCUUCUCCUCAUGAGUUCAAGGUCUUCGUCGUCAUCUGUAUCAUCCAGGCAAGGACAAUCUGGAUUACACAUAUGGGCUUCUAGAACAUCCCAUAGGAAAUGACCAUUGACUUUGUCAGGAUAUACUGGAUACCCUUAUGAGGAAAAUCCAUAGAUUGGAAGAUUUGUUUCUUGUCCAAUAAAAACUUCUGUAAUCAUAGUAGUAUAGGAGAGCCAUGGAGGAUCUGGACUUGGCUUGUCUGGAGUCUGAAAAGACAGCUUGACUUGUCCGUCUGUUCUUCUCUUGAAGACAACUUUAGAAGUUUGGACAGGUUCUGAAUUAUGAUGGAAUUGCUCAUAGUUGGUAAGCCAUUCCAAAGGCAUGAGUUUGAGCAACUCUUGCUUUUGAAUUUGUUUGGGAAUUUAGAUUAUGGCUGGAAUUGUAUCUGUGUCUGCAAGAAUCAUCAGUGCAUCACUGGUUGUUUGUGCAGUUGGGAGAUCUAGUGCAUGAUUUUGCAAUCGAUACACUAUUUGGUGAUGGAGUGUGGCUAUUUUAGAAGUGGAUGUUUGUUCUGCUCCUUGGAGUUGGAUUUGGACUUUCAGUGUUGUUGGAAGGUUGGGAUCUUCUAAAGACAUGUUGAAAUUUGGGUAGAAGGUCAACAAGACACUUCCAGCAUGGAGAGUGGUUAGAAUCGUUCCAAUAACUACAUGUUGAUACUGUUUAAACCUUGUGUCAAGGAGAGCAAUUUUGGCUGUGAUAGGUAAGCCUUUUCUGCCAUGUAAAGUGAGGAUAAGCCUAACACCACCCAGAUGGAGGUGUGUAUACCCUUCUCGUUUCCAGUUGGUUAUGAGAUCUGUUGGUAUGUCCAUACUGACAUACUGUUCACUUUGAGAGGCUUGGAGAGCACACUGAUCAAGUCAUGAAGACUGGAUGUACUCUUUGGAAAGAGGUAUUUUUGUGGAAAUUAGGGUUCUAAUGCUUCUAGUGAAAGAAGUUUUUUGUUUGUAAAGAUGAUAUGGACUCAUAACAGGGAACUGGGAUUCAUUAAUUUGAGCAGAUUUAGGAAUAUACGAGUAUUCAACAAGAUUUUCUAUUUUUGAGGCUAUAUGUUUUUUAUAAGAACGAGGUAAAGAAAGAGUAGAAGAGAGAGAAAUAGGAGAGGAUUUUGGUGGAGCUAUUUCUGAUGAAGAAGAGGAAGAGUUCGAGCAAAGAAAUUCAAAUAAGCACUUAAUGGAUUGAUUCAAGCAACUUAGGCUCAAUCAAAUUCGUGGAGGCCUGUUGAAGGAAUCACACAUGAUAAAUGCGUGAUCUAGGCUCUUGAAAUUUCUAAAAUAAUCACUUCCAUGAAAUAAGAAGUUGGCUUGCAUAUUAUGGUAGGAAAAUAUACUAUUUUCCUUUUUUAGAUACUUUCUCAUCUCUUGAGGAGGCUAUUGGGGAAACAAAUCAUUUAGAUCUUUUUUAAUUACCUAGUUUCCAUUUUAAUUGAAGUAAGGCAUUUAAGCUGAUUAAGAUUCUGAUUUGAUUUAAAUUUUUUUCCUAUUUGUUUAGAUUUAGAUUCAAAUUUGAUUUUGGUUUAAGAUUUAUUUCUAAAAAGAAUUCUUUUAACCAACCUUAUAUAAUGUACUCACAUCCAAUAACAAAAGAUAGAUUAGUUUUGAUGCAAUUGGUGAGAGAGUUUAUUCUAUUUGGUUCUUAAGCAAAUUUUUGAACUUAUUGGAUUUUUGUGGCGUUCAAACUCUUGACUUAUCAAUAAGAUCAUCCAUAACUAAUUGUGGCAUCUUCACAUACCAAGGUUCGUACUUUUAUUAAACAUUGGGUCGUGGUUCCAUUCAAUACUUGGUUUAGAUUCGAUCUUGGGGACUAAAUUGAUUAAGGUCGUGUCAGUUCUUGACGGGGUUCGUAUCAGUCCACACACAUCGUUCAAGAACUGCACAGGGACUAAGACUUUCACGAAUAGAUCUCUUUUCUAUUAACUCCUCCACUUGGCGUCUUAAUUCUUCAUUGGUAAUAUAGUAAGACUCAUAUCAUAAUAAGGUUGAUUUGGUAAUAUAGUAACUAGUACCAAAUCAAUUUGGUAUUGUAUAUCCCUAAGAGGUGGUAAAUUGUGGCAGCUCAUUAAGGUACAAAUCUUAAAAUUCCUCCAAUAUAGGUGUCAUAGCUUCAAGUAUUUUUGAAUCACUGUGGUUUUCCUUAACCAAUAAAAUAUAGACAUUCUUUAUCUUUGUUACAACAUCUAUAAACUGCUUCUUACCUAACAAAUAAUUAUCCAAGUCUUGUUUGAAAGUGAGCUCCUUGUUAGGUAAGAGAAUGAUCUUAGUGUUGUUAAACAUAAAGCUGUAGGUAUUUCUUUUCCCAUCAUGCACUACGUUUCAAUCAUACUGCCAAAGUCUGCAUAGUAAUAGAUGACAAGCAUCUAUAGCCACAACAUUACACCGAAUUUGGUAUUUAUAGAUUGAUCCAGGAAACUAAGCAAUGUUUCAAUACUGUCACUUGAUUUCCUUGCUUUAGCCAUGUGAGCUUGUAUGGAGUUUGAUGAGCUUCUACUUUUAAAUUUAUUUAGUUAUAGCUUCCUCUGAAAUAACAUUCUAAUAACUACCUGAGUCUAUAACCAUACGAUAUACUUUUCCCCCAAUUGUGCAAGUAGUCUAAAAAAUAUUUUGUUGUAACUACUUGUCUUUGUCUUGUCCUUUAAGAGUGAAUAGUGCUUGAUUUACGAUCAACAUUGGUCCACAAUCACCAUGUUCUUCAACGGAUUGUGCACUACCACUACUAUCAAAAGUUAGCUCUUCAGCGAACUCUUUAGUUUCUUCCUCCUGGUAGUCUUCACUUUCCUCAGUGCCCACGAAUUAGCCUUUGUUGUACUUUCCACCCCUCUUACACUUUGUCAUUCGUGCAGCUAACAUAUCAAUCUUGGAUGCCGUGCUAACCAUAACUUCAUCUCUAGGAACAUCAUCCUAGUCAUAAGUUGCUGCAUGAGGGGCAUGCCCACGGGUUUCUUAAAGUCAUUUUUCCCAAUUUAGUUUAAAAAAAAGGUCUGGGGUCUAAACUAAAAAUUAAGUAAAAUUCUAAGCAAAAGAGUAAUUAAGGAAAAGUUUAGGUUUCCGGUCAUGACGGUCAGAAAUCAAGCAAGGAUGAGUGGAUCUAAAAGAUUGCAGGUCGGUGACUAUGAUGGUGGUGAUAUUUUAUCAAAAAAAUGAUGCGAAUCCCACAAUGAAACUUUGAAACCCACACUUAAUUUGUAGUUUCAACUUCCCAAGAAAGUUCUAAACAGAUUUAUGACAAACAAAACCUUGACUCAAUGCUUAAGAAAACAUGAACCAAAGGUAUAGAGAAUGACAUUGAUGCCACACUCAAGAAAUAGAUGAGAAGGUGAGUGAUAAGUCUAAAUUUAGAACGCCAUAAGAAUGCAAAUUCUUGAUAAGUUCCAUAGUUCUCAAAAGAACCAAAGAAAGAAUAAUCUUUCAAAUUCAAAUAACAUUAAUCUCUAAUAUUAUUACAUAGCAAGGUUGCUGAAUUUAAAUAGGCUAAAAGAAACCCAAGAUCCUAAAAAUACAAAUGGAAACAUUGGAACAACCCUCCAAGUAGGUUUGUCAAAGGAUAUUUCAAAAGUCUUCACCAACCCACCAUAAUUAAUGCUAUCUUUGACAAACUUAAUGCUAGCCUACUAUAAUUAAUGCUAUCAUUGACAAACUUAAUGUUAGCCCACCAUCAUUGAUGGUAGACUUACCUUACACAUUGACAAACUUGAAACAAAACAAACAAAUGAAGUUGAAAAACAAAUGAGUCAUUGAAAAUCCCAAGUCUAAACAAGCUGUAAUGAAAUGGUCAUAACUCCUUCUAGAGAACUCCAAAUCUAGUUCUGUAAAAUUUAUUGGAAAGCUAACUUAAUUAUCUUUCCAACGGUAUAUAGCUUGCACAUUACUUCAAGCUCAAUCAAUACAGUUUUUAUUUCGAAUUUGACCUUUCUGCAUUUGAUACAAAUUGUGUAUUUGGCUGCCCAAUAACUUGAAUAAUGCCCACAAUGCCUUGUCUUCUCUUCAAGCCCAAUUCAUGAUGUCUUGCAUCUUGAAUUGCAUUUUCAAUCCAUAUUUUCUCAAUUAAUCCAUUUAAAGCAGCUUGCAUCUUUUCGGCUCUUACUCUUGUAAUUGGGCCUCCAUGAAUGUGCAAAGGAUCACUUGAAGUUUUAAUGGUAUUCCCUUGAUGGUUCUCAUAAAAAAAUGUGGUGAUUUGGCUAGAAAUUAGAGAUAAAGGCAGUGGUUUUGUGUUGGCUUUGAUUCCAACAAUCAACUCAUCGAUCGAUGGUGAGGAAUGGUAAGAGAGGUUGUGCUUGUAGAGAGGAGUGGAUUGAUGGUGGUGGCUUUCACAGUUGUUUUAGCUAUUUACCGACGUUCUUUAGCCGAUCAGCGAUGGCAUUUGCAUUGGGUUUGAUGGCUGAUUAUUUCUUGUUCGAAUGGGGGUGGUUACGGUCGAAUCAGUGACAGAAAAUUAAUGCCAGCCUUGGACAAUGGCCGACACAGGUUGACAUUUUUGUUUCAAGUUUUUUUCCUAGGCUAAAAGGGAAAAAGUGCAAGCAUAGAUGGAUGAGGAAAGCUAAGAUUAAGGCUUUGGGAUCUGAUACCAAACUAAUGUAGUGGAAGUUUACUUUUUAAAAUAUUUCGUUGAUUUUAAAGAAUACCGGAAUAAAAGAACAAACUAAAUUCACGUUGAUUCAAAAGAAUACCGUGAAUUUUGGGGUUAAGACUCAUUGAUUCUGCAGAACACCGAGAAUUAACUAAACGUUAAAAAAAUGACAUAGAGACUUGAAAACUAAAAAUAUUGUUGAACUCAAAUAUGCCUAUAAAGGCUACAAGAGAGAGUUAUUUAUAUUAGUAGUAAUUAUCCUAAACUAUGAAGUAAAAGGAAAAUAAAGUUCUAAACUAGAACUGAAAAUAAAGUCCUAAACUUUAGAUAAUAAGGAAACUAAUCCUACUAUAGUAUGGAUUCCUAAUCUGCACCAGAAAUCUUUGAAAGCCACCAACCACAAUAGAAUAUAAUGGCGUUGAAAUCUCGAAUUCUUAGUGAUAAAUUUAAAACUUCCUUAUAAGCUUGACAACAUCAUUGAAACUUUUGAAACCUGCAAACUUAAACUUGGAAAACUUUAAAUUUUUUCUUUAGGAUGACUUAUAUUCAUUCUCAAAGCAACACACAAUCUCCAAUUCUCUAGCGUGAUAGCAAUGACUAAAUGAGGCUUCGAAAGUAAUAGCUUACGUUGGCAACGAGGUGGCUAAAUCACAAUCAUAAGCUUAUUAAAAAUAUUGAAUCACGAUUGCUGGCAGUGGAUGGUGCGUGAGACAGUGAGAUACCAUGAGAGUGAGAUAGUAAUCGGAGAUGAAGAGAGUCAUAGUGAGCAUGAGAGAUAGGGGCUGCUGUUAUGUUGUGCUUAGUAAUUAGGGAUUUAGAUUUUAGGAUUUAUCAAUUUAGUUUUAGCUAGUUUUUCUUUAUCUUUUAAACUAAAAUUGUAUGAAAUGGUCGGCUGGUGCAUUCCAUUAGGUUUUGCAACCAAACUGAAUACAACCUAUUUGGUUCACAAAAAUAUAAACCAUUUUUUUCUGUUAAAUCGAAUUGAAAUUUUUUUAUCCGGUUUGGUUCUGUUCUACCAAAAUGGAAUUUGAAUGUAUAUAUCUAAAUGGCAUAUUUGUUUCUUUUUUUUCCUAAUAUCUGCAUAUAAGUGUGAAGUUGUUUGGUUUUUAAAAAGAAAACAUCUGAAAUAUGAUUCUUUGAUAUAUUUAAUCCCAUAAAUAUUAAAAAUACUUAUAUUAUUUGUUAAAUACAUGACAAGUUACAAAUAAAUUAUUUGAUUAGUAUAAUGUUAAAAGGAUGAUAAUGUGUACCUCAACAAAGCAUGAAAAAUAAAAAUAUAUAUAUAUAUAUCCAACACAUAAUUUUUAACAUUAACAUAUAAUGAGGAUAUUGAGUCUCUCUUUAAUGAGCAAGAUGACUAUGAUGAUUUCACUGCUUUUGCAUUAGAUGAUUCAAGUGAGUCUUCAAACUCUGAUCAUAUAACUACCAUACACACAGUCCAACAACUCUCUGUUUCCCAACAGGCACCUUCAGUCAAGCUUCACCUGCUGCCUUCCAAAUUUGAUAAACCAAUCUCUCUUAUUGGUUUCAUUGAUACAGGUGCUCAAAGAAGCAUGUUAAAUCCUUCCACACUUCCUUCCCAUUGCUGGAAAAACCAUACUGAAUAUUUCAAAGCUACAAAUUGUCAGUUAUUCCAAACCAAUCUUAUUACCAAAAGCCAGUUGGAAUUCAGUUAUUUCCCAACUAUGUCCUUUGGGUAAACAUUGUCGGUUCGAAUUUACGUGAAAAAGAUCUUCUCAUAGGAUUUGAUAUUCUUCAUCUUAUCAAAAAACUUCAAAUAAUUGCAUCUGGAAUCUGAUUUAAGCAAAUGUUCCAACCAUAUACAGAUGUUUUACGUCUGUUUGCUUUGUCUGAUACACCUCCUCCCUACACUUCCAUCAAAAACCAACUUCUCCCCUUUAAUCUAUUCUACCAUUCUAGCCCGUUAUGGAAAAACCAAAAUUCUUCAUUAAGCUUCCAUUUAAGCUUAAUGAAGAUAUCAACCCCACAAAGGCAAUUCAUCUGGGAAUGACACCCUCUGAUCUCAACUUAGCACAGGCAGAAUGUUCUCAACUCUUAGCCCAAGAUCUCAUUGAACCAGCCCAUUCUGCUUGGGCUUGUCAAGCUUUUUGUGUUGAGAAAAGGUCAGAACUUCUUCGAGGAAAAAAGAGGUUAGUAAUUGAUUAUCAACCUUUGAACCGUUUCCUCAAAGAUGAUAAAUUCCCAUUACCCAAGAUCAGAACCCUUUUUGUUCAUAUUCGUAAUGCAAAAAUAUUUUCCAAAUUCGAUCUCAGAGCCGAAUUUUGGCAACUUGGGAUCCAUCCAUCUUAUCAUCACAAAACAACAUUUUGUAUCCCAAAUGCUCACUACCAAUGGACCGUAAUGCCUUUCGGUUUAAAGGUAGCACCCUCUUUGUUCCAAAAGAUAAUGAUCGAGAUAUUUGAACCCAUUCUACAACAUGAUCUAUAUUGAUGACAUUUUACUAUUCUCAAAAGAUCGUGAUUCACAUCAAAAACUGCUUUGUGAAUUCCUGUCCCUAGUAGAUAAGCAUGGCAUUAUGCUUUCUACCAAAAAAAGCACCAUUGGCCAGCCCUUAGUUGAAUUUCUCGGGAAUGAUUCUCAAAGACGGAAACUUCCAGCCUGAACCACACAUUGCCCAAGAACUCCUCCAUUUCCCAGAUCAAGAUUUGUCUCGCAAACAAAUUCAAUAAUUCCUUGGAAUUGUGAAUUAUCUUAGAGACUUCAUUCCACAUGUUGCUAGACACACAAGCCAUUUGUCAAUAAUGCUUAAAAAAUCAUCCCCCCUUUGGGGUUCCCAUCCAGACUAAAGCAAUCCAAGAACUCAAGCAACUCUGCCAACAACCAGUUCCUUUAAAGAUACCCACAGAUGGCCAAAGAAUUCUCCAGACAGACGCAAGUGAUAAUUACUGGGGAGCAAUCCUUUUUGGAAAGAUUAGAUAACAAAGAAUACUACAGUGCCCACGCCAGUGGUCAGUUCAAAGAAUUGGUCGUCACAAUCAGAUCCUUCCCAAAUGACACCAACUCAACCACAAGAAACAGCACCGUCUACUUCAACACCCUCCAAAACUGACAUUGACUAUGAGAGCAUGUAUGCCAACCUCCAUUGGUCAAAGGAGCCUUUUGUAGAAAUUGAUAGCGAUGUUGACAAUUUGUCGCCAUCACACAGCUUUUGAUGCAGCAAUCCAUGUGACUCUCGUGUGUCCCUUAUCCUGUAAAUAUCAGCUUUAGAUGCUUUGCUUUGUCUUAUGUAAAAGUCUAAAAAGGUGUGCUUUACUUUCUAAAAGCGUGUGCCGUUUGUCGUUUAUAAUCAUUCAAGGGGUCCUGUCCUGAUGAUUUUCUAUAUAAGGCACCUUAUGUUUCAGUUGUAAUAAGAAGAGCUUAUGAAAUAAAAAUUUCCCUGUAAGAUAUUCUAUCAUGACCUUCUAAGUUUUCUUCCAAGUUUUCUCUGUUAAGUUAGAAGAACUAUAGACUUCCAUAACCGUUCAUCUCUAUCUAUAACAAGUAUGCUCUGCACUUGUCUCUCUGUAGGAUCUUGUUCAUCAGAAAGUUCUCUUUUAAGCCCAGUCUCUGACAGUUUAACACAAUUCACUCUUUUCCCUAGUGCCAUGGUGACAUUCAUUUCUGAGUGGUAAGUGUGUGACAAUCAUCCUUACUGGUCACCUAGCCGGAUUUGUUUGUAAGUAUAUUAUUGAGUGUUAGAAAAUGCAUAUUUAUAAAGGAGAAAACUGUCAUUUUACAUUUUAAGUUUUACUAACAACCCUUACUUUUAUGUAUUUAACCUUCUUGUGAUUUAAUUACAUGUGUUUUAUUUUAAUUAAGUAUUUUAUGUAUUUUAGGGGCAUUAUAGUCAUUUCACAAUAAAGGAGAGAUCAGACGGUAAAACGGACAUCACUUUUAAACUCAGGACGAUCGAAAACCUUAGGAGGAGCAUAAAAGGAAAAAUGGCACUAUUCACAUGUACGAUACUAUUCACGUGUACGGUACUGUCUACAUUACUGUUCACAUAGACGGAUCGAUGAUGUGGCAUUGACCAAUGAUGUGGCAUUGACUGAUGAGGUGUCACGAUCCUGUUGGACUAAAAUUCUUAUGUACUGUUGAUGGUGACGUGGCAGCAUAUUAGUGGACGAAAAAUCUCGCGUACGGUACAUGCAUCACACUGGAUUAUUUUCAACCAAACUGCGUUACUGUUCAUCCGAGUCAAACCGCGUUACUGUUCAUCCGAGUCAAACCGUGUUACUAUUCAUCCGCGUGGUCAAACCGCAUACUGUUGAUUGAUGACGUGGCGCAAUCCUGAGUGUCCAAACUGUUUUUAAUCCGAUGGCCAUGAUUUACUCCAUGUAUCUAUAAAAAGGUGGCCUCCCCCCCCUAAUUUGAUAUCUCUGAAUCCAUUUUUGGACUCUGUUUUCUGUAAUUCCCUCUCCAUCUUGUAUUUUCUUCGUAUUUUAAUAAAUUCCCAUUUUGCCCCUAGUUCAAUUAUGAGUGGCUAAUUUUCUUUCAAGCUUAGGUUGAAGGUGAAGUCUCAACAUGUGUCAUGGGCUUAAUUUGGUAAAUUUAUUUUCUCUUCCCCUCUAGUUUUUGUGGAUGUUUUGACUUCUCGUCGACAAAUAAUACUAAUCUUGUCUAGUACCGCCUUGGUUUCACCGGCCCUCUAGUACAAGGUUAUUAUUAUUUGGCACGAUAAGCCCUUAGCACCAUAUUGAUUAGAGCGUGGUUCAUGAGGUGUGGAUUCCCCCCUCAUGAUUUAAUUGGCAUUAAUACGGAUUAUUUAGCCCAUGAUGCAUGUUGAUACGGAUCCAGAUACCCAAGUAUGUCAAUUUAAUAGAUUUUCUCUACAAUUUAUUCUCUCCAUUGCAAUUCCAAUUUUAGAAUUUAUUCUCGCCAUUUUAAUUUAAGUUUUAGCAUAUUCCAAAUCACUUCCACCAUAAAUCCAACCACUCAUUUACAAAAUUAAUUCUAUUCAUAAUUAAAAUCCACCUCCUCGUGGGAUCGACACUCGUCACCAUUGAUCUAUACUACAAUAGAUUCGUGCGCUUGCGAGUACAUUAAAAUUUGCAUAACAAGUUUUUGGCGCCGUUGCCGGGGAGGUAAGUAAUUUUAAUUCAUAGAAUUAAUUUGUUUUGAAUAAUUUCUUUUAUUUGUUUUCUUGUAUUUUUUUAAUUAAAAAAAAGAAAAAAAAAGUGAAUCUACAUUUAAAGGAUAGUAUUUCUUUUCUUUUUCUCUUCUUUAAAAUUCUGUGAUUUAAUUUUCAAUUUAUUUUUCUUUGUAAUUUUUUAUUUAUUUUAUUAAUUUAAUUUUUAGUUAAUUUAUUUCACGUAUUUAUUUUUGUGUAUUUUUAUAGAAAGGUUGUAAUAGCGCAAUAAGGUUAGUAUCGUAAUUUUUCCCUCUUCUUUAUUUUUAUUUGUUUUGUUCCCAUCUUUAUUUUUAUUUUAUUUGUUUUGCAUGCAUGGUCGUAGGUCAUUAUUACCUAAUCUUGAACCUAUAGACCUUGAAUUAGAAAAAACACUUCGCACACACAGGCACAUUAAAAAUAAAUUUGGAAUGGAUUUACAAGCACCACAGGAGAGGCCAUUUAAGGAUUAUUUCAGUCCUUUAGCCAAUUUGAGCACAUCAUGCAUAAGAUACCCAAAUGUAGCUGCUAGGAGUUUUGAAUUAAAACCUAGUGUGCUAAAUUGUCUCCCAACAUUCUAUGGCCUAGAAAAUGAGGACCCAUAUAAUCAUCUGAAUGAUUUUCAUACUAUUUGUCAAACAUUUAAAUAUGAGAAUUUUUCAGACGAUGAUGUUAAACUCAGAUUAUUCCCAUUUUCUUUAAAAGAUAGAGCUCGUUCAUGGCUUAAUACAUUGCCUGCUAAUAGUAUUGCAUCAUGGGAACAAAUGGUAACAAAAUUUUUGAAUAAAUAUUUUCCAGUGCAUAAAACCAAUGCUAUUCGCAGGGAAAUCUCGGAGUUUACCCAGAGAGAGGACGAGCAAUUUUUUGAAACAUGAGAGAGAUUCAAUGGGCUACUCUUGAAGUGUCCACAUCAUGGGUACGAGAAAUGGCACCAAUGCCAAUACUUUCUGGAGGGAUUAUUGCCGAAUGUGCAAGAAUAGCUAAUGGCAACAAGUGGAGGAGAGCUAAUGUCAAAAAGUGCAUCAGAAAUUUGGGAAUUCUUCCAGCGACAAGCGGAUAAUUCCCAACAACGGAGUCGAUCAAUCAAGAAUACUAGAAGAAUUAAGGGAGUAAAUGAGGUUCAAAUUGGCGAGUCAACUUUGGGAAUUAAAGAAGUCAAGGAGAUGGUUGAAGGUCUUGCUCGACAAAUAGCAUCGUUAUCGACUGCUAAAUCAACAGAACCACAUGACCAUGACUCAUACUCAGAUCAAGCCAAUGCCAUAGGUGUAAUGAGAAAGCCAUCAAAUUACAACCCAUACUUCAACACAUAUAAUCCUGGAUGGAGAGACCACCCCAAUUUUUCAUGGUCUCAAGGAUUCCAACAGAAUGGACCAGCAGCUCCAGCUCCACCAAUGCAACCAAUUCCUCAAAAUCCUCAAGCCUCUCAGCCCCCAUUCAGACCAUACAAUUAGAACCAGAACUACACUCAGCCUAGACCAUGGGAGGAUUCAUUCCAGAAUCUUAAGAAUCUUACUCACUCCACGAUUGAGCAACAGAACCGCACCAUUGAUGGACUGCGAAAUGAGUUGAGAGCAAGCUUCAACUCACAAGCUCAAUCAGUUUCAAGCCUCGAGAAGAUGAUGGGACAACUUGCUUCUUCAGUUCAGACCUUGGCAAUGACUGUUGAGAAAGGCAAGUUUCCAAGUCAACCAGUGCCUAACCCUAAAGGAGUGCAUGAAGCAAGUACCAGUUCACCACAGUAGCAUGGAGAGGUCAAAGCAGUCAUGACCUUGCGAAAAGGAAAAGAAGUCGACAAUAAAGUGGAGAUGCCGGUGACAAAAGAAAAUCAAAUUGUACCUGUGAAUGUUGAGGACUCAUCACCGGAGGAGAAAGAAGAAACCAACCCACAAGAAUAUGUUCCCAAGGCUCCAUUUCCUCAGAGGUUAGCUAAAGGAAAGAAGGGAAAAUCCACAGGUGAGAUUUUUGAAAUCUUCAAACAAGUAAGUGUUAACAUCCCUUUACUUAAUGCUAUAAAGCAAGUUCCAUCUUAUGCCAAGUUUCUUAAAGACCUUUGUACUAAAAAGAGAAAUAUGCAUGCUCAAAAGAAGGCAUUUUUAACAGAAAAUGUUAGUUCUAUACUCCAACAUAAAAUUCCUUUAAAAUGCAAAGACCCAGGCUCCCCCACUAUCUCAUGUAGUAUAGGGAACCACACAAUUGAGAAUGCUUUAUUGGAUUUAGGAGCUAGUGUAAAUUUGUUGCCUUAUUCAGUAUUUGUGAAACUUGGACUAGGAGAAUUACACCCAACUCCAGUGGUGUUACAGCUUGCAGAUCGGUCCACGAAAAUACCUCGUGGUAUUGUGGAGGACGUGCUUAUUCAGGUAGACAAGUUUUAUUUUCCUGUUGAUUUCAUUGUAAUUGACACUCAACCAAUACAAGAUUCAAGGAAGCACAUCCCCAUUAUUCUAGGCCGACCUUUCUUGGCAACUGCGGAUGCUCACAUUCAAUGCAGGACUGGAAAUAUGCAGUUGUCCUUCGGCAACAUGACUAUGGAACUGAACAUCUUCAACAUUGCCAAACAACCUCACAAUGCAGAUGAUGGAAUUGUUGAUGUGGAUUUAAUAGAAGCAUUAGUUGAUAAUACUUUUCUUUCAAACCUUAGUGAUGAUCCUUUACAAAUAUGUUUAACUACUUUGGUUUGGAUUUUGAUAUUGACAGAUCGAUCGAUGAGGUCAACGCCCUACUUGACUCAGCACCAUCCAUGGACACUAAUAAAUGGAAGUCAAGAGUUGAACAACUAGCACCAUCAGAGAAGAAACUCAUCCCAUCAUCAGAAUCACCACCGAAACUCGAGCUCAAACCAUUACCCAACACUCUGGAAUAUGCAUUUCUGGGAGAAGAAAGUACUCUACCGGUAAUCAUCUCAUCAUCCCUAAAUGACGAACAAAAAGGUAAGUUGUUGGAUGUUUUAAAAGAGCACAAAGGAGCAUUAGGAUGGACCAUAGCAGACAUAAAAGGUAUAAAUCCAGUAGACUGCAUGCAUUACAUUCACCUUGAUGAAAAUGCUAAAUCUACUAGGGAAAUGCAACGUCGGUUAAAUCCUAAUAUGAAAGAAGUUGUUAGAACAGAAUUCCUUAAGCUAUUAGAUGCAGGUAUCAUUUAUCCAAUUUCUGAUAGUUCAUGGGUCAGUCCUGUACAAGUUGUCCCCAAAAAGUCAGGAGUCACAGUAGUUACCAAUGCUGAUAAUGAAUUGAUACCCACUAGAGUGACUACAGGAUGGCGUGUAUGCAUUGAUUAUAGGAAGUUGAAUUCUGUCACAUGUAAAUACCAUUUUCCUUUACCAUUUAUCGAUCAAAUGCUUGAUAGAUUAGUAGGCCAUGAAUUUUAUUGCUUUCUAGAUGGCUACUUAGGAUAUAAUCAGAUUCCCAUAGUUCUGCAGAGAUGUAUCGAGAAGAACUUAGUCUUAAAUUGGGAGAAGUGUUAUUUUAUGGUAAAACAAGGUAUUGUUCUCGGUCACAUCAUUUCGAGCAAAGGUAUUGAGGUUGACAAAGCCAAGGUGGAUCUCAUUUCUAAUCUUCCUCCACCCAAAAUAGUCAGAGAAGUAAGAUCUUUCCUUGGGCAUGCUGGUUUCUAUAGACGUUUUAUUAAAGAUUUUAACAAAGUUUCUAGACCCUUAUGCAAUUUACUUGCUAAGGAUGUACCUUUUAUCUUUGAUGAUUCAUGUCUUGUGGCAUUUGAAAAACUAAAGCAGUUGUUGACAUCAUCACCCAUCAUUCAGCCCCCAAACUGGAGCUUACCAUUUGAGCUCAUGUGUGAUGCAUCUGAUUAUGCAGUAGGCACAGUAUUAGGACAAAGAGUUGAUUGAAUCCCCCAUGUUAUUUACUAUGCUAGUAUGACAUUGAAUGAUGCACAGUUGAACUAUUCAACUACUGAAAAAGAAAUGCUAGCAUUAGUGUUUGCAUUAGAGAAAUUUUGAUCUUAUCUCAUUGGUUGUAAAAUAAUUAUAUUCACAGAUCAUGCUGCUCUUAAAAUAUCUUCUCACAAAGAAAGAUGCAAAAGCUAGACUAAUUCGUUGGGUGUUACUUUUGCAGGAAUUUGACUUGGAAUUCAAAGAUAAGAAAGGGACAGAAAAUGUUGUGGCGGACCACCUCUCUCGUCUCCAUUUUGACACAAUUAUGGAAUCAUUACCAUUGAAUGAGUCAUUUCCAGAUGAACAAUUAAUGAGUGUGGAAGUAUUACCAUGGUAUGCUGAUAUAGUUAAUUAUCUUGUCACAUGUCAACUUCCAGAGCAUUGGACCAAGCAAGACAAGGCUAAAUUCUUUGCAGAGAUAAAAAAUUUCUUUUGGGAUGACCCGUAUUUGUUCAAGUAUUGUGCUGAUCAAAUUGUUAGACGAUGUGUCCCAGAAAAUGAAAUUCAGAAUAUUCUUUCAUUCUGCCAUGAACAAGCUUGUGGAGGCCAUUUCAGUGCUAAGAAAACAGCAACUAAAGUUUUACAAUGUGGUUUCUAUUGGCCAACUAUAUUUCGAGACACUUACACUUUCUGUUCUUCAUGUGAUAGGUGUCAACGAAUGGGGAGCAUUACGCGAAGGAAUAUGAUGCCACUAAAUCCAAUUUUAGUGGUUGAGAUUUUUGAUGUAUGGGGUAUCGACUUCAUGGGACCCUUUCCCCCGUCUUUUGGCCAUCAAUACAUAUUGGUUGCUGUUGACUACGUAUCAAAAUGGGUAGAAGCAAUUCCAUGUAGGACCAAUGAUCACAAGGUGGUGAUAGCAUUUUUUAAAAGCAACAUUGUCUCACGCUUUGGAUUCCCUCGAGCAAUAAUCAGUGAUGGUGGUGCCCACUUUUGUAACAAAGCAUUCAAAGCUCUUUUGACAAAGUAUUCAAUCACACACAAAGUGGCAGCCCCAUAUCAUCCGCAAACCAGUGGCCAAGUUGAGAUAUCCAAUCGAGAAAUAAAGCACAUAUUAGAAAAAAUGGUGAGGCCAGACAGAAAAGAUUGGUCAUUAAGACUUGAUGAUGCAUUAUGGGCAUAUAGAACGGCUUUCAAGACCCCGAUUGGGAUGUCACCCUAUAGGCUAGUGUAUGGAAAAGAUUGCCACCUACCUGUGGAACUCGAGCAUCGUGCAUAUUGGGCCAUCAAGAAAUUCAAUUUUGACAUGCAACAAGCCAGCUCAGAAAGAAGAUUACAGCUGGCAGAACUUGAAGAAAUUCGCAAUGAUGCAUACGAAAAUGCCAAGAUUUACAAGCAACGAAUGAAAGUCUUCCAUGAUAAGCAAAUUAUGAGAAAAUCGUUCACUCCAGGUCAGAAAGUGCUUUUAUUCAAUUCUCGCUUGCACCUAUUCCCAGGUAAGUUACGCGCUCGUUGGUCUGGCCCAUUUAUUGUUCAUACUGUUUUUCCACAUGGGCAAUUGAAAUUAAGGACCCAAAGAACGGUAUCACGUUUAAAGUUAAUGGUCAAAGAUUAAAGCCAUAUCUAGAAUACCAACCACAUGGAGAAGACAUCGAAAUAAAUUUGAGUAACCCACCAAAUUUGAAUUGAUUUUUUUUCUUUUCGGUGAUUUGAUUUUUUUUUCUUUCUUUAUAUUAUUCUUUUGCUAAUUGAAAUUAUUUUUGCAUAAGUGUGUUUGUUUAACUAUUAAGUUUUCUCUUAUCAUUUUUAAUCAUGAGUACCUUACUUAGACCGUUCCUCCUGAACAUUCUUAAACCACUUCAACGUGUCAAAACUCAUCUCAAAAGACAGAUUCAAUUUUGUAAAACACAUCGCAUUUGGGCUCUACAACCACCAGAGUUAGUAUCCUAUGUUGAGGGUCUAGAAAGCCAACUCAGAGAUAUUGAGAGAAGUGUUUACGACAUCCAGUUGGAGCUUGAGGUGAAUUCAAUAAGAGGACGAUUUUAAUUUUCUUUGUGUGUUUUAAUUUGUUUUUCUGUUUGUGUGCUUUAGUUUGUUACCCCGGUGAAGUGGCGAAUAACGGUACUCCGUGACAAUCAAGUCGGUUACUUCAGUUUCCCGUAAUAACUGAUAUUCUGAGGCGAAGGUAUGGACAGAAACGAGACUCUAGCGAAGCUUCACAAGCGAUUCCCUUCACUUCCUCAGAAUGCCCUCCUUACGAUCUAUAAAGCUCGGUCCGAACGCAUGCGAUUGCUCAUGAGGAAUAACAUACCUGCUGAUAUCCGUUGGUUAAUCGAGGCUAAAGUACGAUCGACAGGUGAGUUACCUCCAAAAUUUAUUGUAUACAUGCCUGGUUGUGGUAAAAGAAAUUAUGCAAGAAAACGACGAGCUCGAAGAAUUUCUGUUGCUUGUCAUAAGUGUGCCAGAAUGAGUUGCAAUAAAAACCCAUGUUCUUUAGGAAUGGUGUCUGAUAACAGGGAAGAUAAGAUUCAAUUCAUUAGGGAUGGCUUGAAUAAGGAGUCAUUGGAUGAUAUCAUUAUGUCUCUUGAAACGCAUCCCAGUGGAUAUGUGCAAGGAGCGAUUCUCCAGUUAUGACCAUUAUUUCAGAAAGAGCAUGCAUGAUAUAGUCUCGGGAAUCUGACUAUAAACGACCCUGUUUGCCAGUUUAUAAAAAAACUGGAUAGGAAGCCUAUCCUCGACCCAUAGAGGGCGUUCAAGCCGUUUCUGAACGUAAAACCAGAGGAAGAUGUGAGCCACAGUCGCAACUACCUGUAAAUAUCCUUUCACUUUACUGUUAUUUUAUUUCACUAAUUUUUUUUAUUGUGUGCAUUAUUAUCUUUAAUAAUUUUAUUACUGUUUGCUUUUUCCUUAUUACUGUUUGCUUUUUCCCUUUUACUGUUUCCUUUUUGACUAGCGAGCCACGUGCUUCACGUGUUAUUUGACACUGACAUGUUACCUCAUACACAACUGUGAUCCACUGUCACCAAGAUUCUUAAAUGUGAUUUCUGUUUUGUCAAGCACUCACAAAUUAUUUUCGAGAAGUAUCACAAUGGCAGCUACUCCCAAUAGACAAUUCAAGAACAUUUGUGUGCUUUCUGGAUUUACAUAUGGAAAACAUAAAGAGUUCGUUGAGGCAGCCAUCGAUCUUGGUCGAAGCAUAGCAGGGAGAAAAUUACACUUGGUGUAUGGAGGAGGUAACCGAGGGUUAUCAAAAAUGGUCUCAGAAGCAGCUUUUAUCAGAGGAAGUCAAGUGUUAGGCAUCAUCCCAAGAGUCUUAAAACCAUUGGGCAGUUCGUCUGACUCAUCAAUUGGCGAAGAGUUAGUCGUCUCAGGUAUGCAAGAAAGAAUAACUGAAAUGCUUAAUCAUGCUGAUGCUUUUAUUUUCCUUCCAGGAGAUCUUGCAACACUAGAGGCACUUAUCACACUAGCAUCUUGGGCCCAUCUGCACAUCCACCAGAAACCCAUCGGUUUGUUAAAUGUCAAUAACUUUUAAGAUGGCUUUAUCGCAUUUCUUAACCAUGCAAUAAAAAACUAUCUCAUUCCUUCUAAUGUGAAAAAAAUUUUUAUUUGUGCUCACACUGCUAAUGAGCUACUUGAUCUGUUACAAGCUUAUAAACCGGAGCCAGACCCCUGGACCUUUGUGUUGGAGCGCCCAAAUAAUGAUGGUAACGGUAGCCGCAGUAAGAAGUACAAAUUAGAUUUAACUCUCCGCUUGUAAAUAUUAUUUUCUGUGUUGCACCACCCAGGUGAUGUCUUCUAAACUCUACUUCUUCCCUUUCAAACAUUGAGGACAAUGUUUCGUUCUGGUUGGGGGGAGGGAAUAGUCGACAAUUGUGGAAUUUUGGUUAAGUUUUUACUAAUUUUUUGUUGUAGAAACUAACUAUUGCUAACUUUUUGUGUUGAAGAUGGCUGAAUAUGGAGGGUAGUGACUCUAGAAACGCAUCUUCAUCGUUUAAAAAAAUUAAAAACUAAAAAAAAAAUUCAGACAUUUUCUUUUUCUUUAUUAUGUUUUUAUGUUUAUUUUUCUUCUUUUUAAUUUCUCAUCUAUAAAUAUACAUUUUCCAACUUGUGAGUCGAAGAUGGCUGAAUAUGGAGUGUAGUGCCUCUAGAAACGCAUCUUCUUAAAAAAAAAAAAACCAUUUUCGUUUUCUAUCAUUUUACGUGUAACUUUUCUAAUUAGUUUUUAUGCAUCAUUUUCACAUUUCUACAUGUAUAUUUUCCUUUCAUGUUUAGAAUAGGUUGGCGGGUAGAAUGUUGUUUAAAAAAAAAAUUGUGUGAUUUGUUUUAACAUUGGAUGACAUGAUUAAUUUUAAAUUUUAGUAUUUGUAUUAUCUUUGGUCUUAAGUGAUGUUACACUAUGUUUGCUACUCUACAUGUUGAUGUCGGAGACAAAUAUGAGUUGCUUGAAGGAUUGAACAUGUCAUAAAUAAGUACCAAGUGAGUUUUUGAGCCUAUCAUUUUUUUUGGAGAGUAACCCUUUUGCCCAUUCUUUAUACAACUUAGUAGUUUAUUAUUGUAUACACGAUCUCUAGAUUUCUUUUGAGUUAACCCUUAAAAAAAAUGUGUUACUACAUUGGGAGGCCCAUCCAACUAGUAGAUAUGGAUGAUUAUUUAGAGCCCUAAAAGACGAUGGAAAGACCAUUUUUGAUCCGUUUGAGCCUUUCUAGCCAUCCCUUUUACUAAAUAUCCAUAGUUAACCCUUUUGAGCCUUUAAAAAAAAAAAAACCUUUUCUUUGUCAACUUAUCAUCUUGACCCACUCCGAUUUGGAGUAUUACCCGAUGUCUUAUAAGUUCCAUCAGCUAUUUAUGUUUGAGAAAAAUGUAAAUAAUUAUUUUGUUCAGUAAAGUUAUGCCAAAAAAAAAAGAGAAAAAAAAACAAAAGUUGUUGUUUCAAAAGAAUAAAAAUAAAAAUAAUAGGUGAAAUCCACCUUGCAACUUCCAAAAAAAAAAAACAAUUCUCUGCAUUUUUCUCAAACAUACAUUUUGUUUUCCUUAUUUCCCUUCUUUGUUAGCCAUGUCCCUAGCUUACGUUACGUCCUAAUAAAAGUCCUUCUUGAUUUUAGGGAACUAUAGUUUGAAGUAGAAGCUAGUUAUAUGGGCUAAAAAGAUGUAGUGAUGCAUAAUAAUAAUAAAAAAAGAUAAAUAAAGUGGGUUGACUAGCAUUUUUGUUUGACUUGAGUUCGCAUUAUUUCUAAGCUGAGGGCAUAUUUAUUUCAUCUUGGUGAGAGCAUGUGAUAUCACUUCUUUAUUAUUUUCUCUCUCAAUUACCAUUCAUUGGAGUGACUAUUUUUAUUGGUUUUAAUUUCUUUGUGAGAGUGUCACUACUUCCAGUGAGAUUUUGGAGUUUGACAUGUCAUUCUUGAAAGUAGCUAUGACAAAGUCUACUGGGCUGAUUCAUGUGGAUGGUUGAUGUGGGUGUGAUGUUGCUUUAGACUGGAGAUAAUGCUUAUACUUUUAUUUGAUUGCUAUCAUUGAUCUGAUGGAAUAAAUACGAGUGUUUCUAUUAAAAAAAAAUUAUUUUGAAUUUGAAUUUUGUUUUCGCUUUAUUUGCUAAGGACUAGCAAUAAGCUGGUUGGGGGGUGUGUUGAGUGUUAGCAAAUGCAUAUUUAUAAAGGAGAAAACCGUCAUUUUACAUUUUAAGUUUUACUAACAACCCUUACUUUUAUGUAUUUAACCUUCUUAUGAUUUAAUUACAUGUGUUUUAUUUUAAUUAAGUAUUUUAUGUAUUUUAGGGGCAUUAUAGUCAUUUCACAAUAAAGGAGAGAUCAGAUGGUAAAACGGACAUCACUUUUGAACUCAGGACGGUCGAAAACCUUAGAAGGAGCAUAAAAGGAAAAAUGGCACUAUUCACAUGUACGAUACUAUUCACGUGUACGGUACUGUCUACAUUACUGUUCACAUAGACGGAUCGAUGAUGUGGCAUUGACCAAUGAUGUGGCAUUGACUGAUGAGGUGUCACGAUCCUGUUGGACUAAAAUUCUUAUGUACUGUUGAUGGUGACGUGGCAGCAUAUCAGUGGACGAAAAAUCUCGCGUACGGUACAUGCAUCACACUGGAUUAUUUUCAACCAAAUCGCGUUACUGUUCAUCCGAGUCAAACCGCGUUACUGUUCAUCCGAGUCAAACCGUGUUACUGCUCAUCCGCGUGGUCAAACCGCGUACUGUUGAUUGAUGACGUGGCGCAAUCCUGAGCAUCCAAACUGUUUUUAAUCCGAUGGCCAUGAUUUACUCCAUGUAUCUAUAAAAAGGGGGCCUCCCCCCCUAAUUUGAUAUCUCUGAAUCCAUUUUUGGACUCUGUUUUCUGUAAUUCCCUCUCCAUCUUAUAUUUUCUUCGUAUUUUAAUAAAUUCCCAUUUUGCCCCUAGUUCAAUUAUGAGUGGCUAAUUUUCUUUCAAGCUUGGGUUGAAGGUGAAGUCUCAACAUGUGUCAUGGGCUUAAUUUGGUAAAUUUAUUUUCUCUUCCCCUCUAGUGUUUGUGGAUGUUUUGACUUCUCGUCGACAAAAAAUACUAAUCUUGUCUAGUACCGCCUUGGUUUCACCGGCCCUCUAGUACAAGGUUAUUAUUAUUUGGCACGAUAAGCCCUUAGCACCAUAUUGAUUAGAGCAUGGUUCAUGAGGUUUGGAUUCCCCCCUCAUGAUUUAAUUGGCAUUAAUACGGAUUAUUUAGCCCAUGAUGCAUGUUGAUACGGAUCCAAAUACCCAAGUAUGUCAAUUUAAUAGAUUUUCUCUACAAUUUAUUUUCUCCAUUGCAAUUCCAAUUUUAGAAUUUAUUCUCGCCAUUUUAAUUUAAGUUUUAGCAUAUUCCAAAUCACUUCCACCAUAAAUCCAACCACUCAUUUACAAAAUUAAUUCUACACAUAAUUAAAAUCCACCUCCUCGUGGGAUCGACACUCGUCACCGUUGAUCUAUACUACAAUAAAUUCGUGUGCUUGCAAGUACAUUAAAAUUUGCACAACAUAUAUCGGCUGGAAACCCGAGCAUGCGGACUAUUGGUCCAAAGGAUAACUCUGUUGUCAUUGCUCUGGUAUAACAACGCCACGUACUUAGUACACAAACUGGUAUUGUAUGACAUUUUUUCUUGUUAAUUACAUAAGCCAAACAAGAAUUCUUUAAUCAUUUAAAUAAAAUUAAUGUAUUAAAUAGGAUUAAAUUUAUAAAAAUUGUUACUAUAAAUACAAAGCGAUGAACCUAUUAUAAAAUACAUUCACCUAAAGUUCUAUCAUGUUUAAAAUUCUCAUUCACAAUAAAAAAAAGAUUGAUAGUUGAUAACGCAAAUAACAAAGAAAAGGGGUAAAUAAAAAAAUACUAAAAAGAUAAUUUAUAUAAUAGGAAAUAAAUAUAUUUAAUAGGAAUACUAGUAAGAGAGAAUAUUAAAGUUCCAUUUAGAUAUUUUACCAUUCAGAUAAAAGUGAAAAUAUGUAACUUUUUCCUUUCAAACCAAAACAGCUUACAAUCAUAAAUAUGUUAAAGAAAACAAACAAAUUAAAGACUUCUAAUGUUUGAAAAUAAUUAAAAUUAACACUUUAGACAAAAGAUAAAACAAGCCCUAAGAAUGAUAACAGUAUUGUGAUAUGCGUAUUAUCAAUAUAAAUUAUACCAAAUAGAUUUGUAAUGUUAAUUAGUGUAAUGUUACACUUUUAUAUAAUUUGCACCUCUCAACUAACAUAACAUCUUAUGUGCGUCAUUAAUUUGGUUGUACUAGUAGAAAAAGGAAAUUCAUCGAUACCAUGUCAUGACACUAGAAAAAAAUAUCACUAAUUUAUAGCAAAAAUAAUUUUCAUAACAUGAAAUUAUUACCAUGAAACAUGAAAUUCUUACCCGGAAGCUAAUUGGGGGACACGAGAAUGAUGUGGUUACAAGAUACCAGACAUUCUGUAGCUUUACGAUGAACUAAGAGUCUAGACAACCCAAAAAUACACAGACUCUCCUUGGUCACUUAGUCUAAAAAUAGGGUUUCGUCUAUUGUCUUAGAACAAAGAAAGAAUGACAGCUUGACUAGCUUUCUGGUGCACAAGAUCCUUUUUCAAGGCAAGUGCAGAACACACUUGCAGAAGAUAGAUAUUGAACAAGGGUAAGAGUUCUAAACUUAGAGAAUCUUAGGAUUAAAGAAUAGAAAUGAAGGUUUUAGUUAUCCAUGGAAAUUCAAAAAUAUUAUGUCAAAACUCUCCUCUGCCUUUAUUCAAAAUAACUCUCCUUAUAUAAAGACAAGGAAGGGAAAAGACAAAAGUUGGAUUGAGAUGAUUCCAGCUGGCACACAGCACACAUAUGUUACAAAAGUAGGUAGGGCUCACUGGAACAGUAGUGGCCAACAAAAGCAAAGUGCAUAAUUACAUAAGGACAAACAACUUUAGAAAGCUAAAGCAUAAAGCAUAAAGCAUAAAGUACUUUAUUUUACAUUAUUACAAAGUGACAAAUCUCUUUAAAGUGAUAUUGACGAGUCUUCGGAUGAGGAAAAAUCUGUCUCGUCAGGGUCACGAUCAGGGUCUUUGCUUUUCUUGAAGAUUUUUUCUGGAUAAGAACAUCCUGGAACACAUGGCCAAGGGCAAUAUUGACCUUUUGGUGAUGGAGGAGUUGGCUGAGGAAAAUGAUCAGGCUGUGAGGAAAAUGGCGGAUAUGGAGAAGAGGAUGAUCAGGGAAUUCAUAUGGUGACGGUGACGGUGAAGGUACAGGGGUAAAAUCUUCAUAAGGAUCUUGGGAAUCCUGGAAUAAAAAAUCAGUGUAGUCUAGCUUUUCUUCUUUUAUGAUGAUUCCUCGGCUAAGAGGUUGGGAAUGUAAGGAUGGUGUAGGGAUCAUGAACAUUUCAUGUUUUGGUCCAAGAGAUGCAUGGCAGAUAUUUGGUUGGUUUGGAGGAAUGUGGUUAAGUUCCAUGAGGAAGUUCUUUAAGGAAGUCUUAAUCUAGAAAUCUUGUUCAAGACAGGCAAUAUGAGGAACAGUGGUCCAUUCAUAAGUUUGAUCCUGUGCCUAAAAAUCUUUGGUUUGAGGAUGCUGGAAGUAUGGACAGUGGAUGAUAAAAACAGAAGUGAACUGUUUGCCUUAUUGGUCUGGGAGUUCUAGAAGACGAUGUGUGUUAGCAAUCUGUUGUAGUUUUUUGCGCCACCAUGAUAAUGGUGAAAACCAUUCAAAAAGAGUCCAGGUAAAGGAAGUAGGAGACUCUGAUCAUUAAGCUUGGUGAGGAGGGGUAAGACUAGGAAAACCAUUUUUGUUGCAUACAGAACAGUAAGACACAACGUAUACCAAAGUUCAUCUACGGUAAUAUCUAUGUGAGGUAUAAUUACUAAUCCUGUCAGGAAAAGAUGAUCAGGAUGAAAACUGGGGAAAAACAUAGGUUCUUGACUCAUCAUGUAGAUGUUUAUAAAAAACUGAAAGAGGAAUUUUCUGGCGAAGUCUUGAAUCGAGUGAGGUGAUUGAAAAGUCAUGUUGAGUGGGAAAGACUUUUGGGUGAGAGCUAUUUUAGGGAGUGAACUAGCCAUGGCAAUGAUUGGGAAGGAAAUCUGAGAAGUGAUACAGAAAAACCGAAGAGGUUUUGGUUUUGGAGGUCUGGAUAGUAAGUCUGGAAUGAGGUUGUGAUCACCUUUUAUAUGCUGGCCAUGGUAAUCAUAUCUUGAAACCCAUUCUUUAAGCCGAAGUAAGGUUUUUUCGGGAACAGCCUUCUGCUUAAAGUUCAAGAUAUUGGGAAAAACUGAAUUAUCUAGUCUGAUCAAGAAUCUAUGACCAAUCAAAUCGAAUUCAAAUUUCUUGAUACCAUUUUUCACGACUACGAUUUCUUUGUAGACUGUGUGAUAAUGCUUUUGUGCAUCAGGAAAUUGUCCACUUGCAUAAGCAAUAAAGUGUUCUUUGCCAUUGCAUUCUUCAAGGAGAAUGGCCCCCCAUGACUCAUCACUUGCGUCUGUUUGUAGGAUUUUUUGGCCGUCUGUAAGUAGCUUUAGAGGUGGCGAAUUCUGAGUAAUCUGUUUUAAUUGCUUUACAGCAUCUGUGUGGAUAUUUGACCAGGAUGGUGGAUUCUUUUUUAGAAGUGCAGACAACUUGCUUGUAUGGUGAUUGACAUGUGGCAGGAAAUCACGGAUGUAAUUGAUGAUUCCAAGAAAUUGUUGGACUUGUUUUUUGGUAAAGUUACUUUCGGGAAAGUGGAGUAACUCUUGUGCAAUGUGGAGUCCAAGCUGAUAAUGGCCAUCUUGGAUUUUCAUGCCAAGAAAGUCAACAGAGGUUGUCGCAAUCGUACUUUUCUUGUCAGAGAUCACGAUGCCAUGUUCUUGAAUGAUUUGGAAAAAUUGUUGGAGUAACUUGUGAUGUUCAUCAUGAGUACCUGAAAAAGAAGCAAAUCAUCAAUGUAAACAAGGGUAUAGUGGAGGAUUGGCUGAAAGAUGGUGGUCAUGGCCUUUUGAAAAAUGGAAGGGGCAGUUUUGAGGCCAAAAGGAAGGAUUGUCCAUUGGUAAUGGGCAUUUGGAAUACAAAAAGCAAUUUUGUAUCGUUCUGAAGGGUGAAUGCCAAGUUGCCAAAAACCGGACUUCAAGUCGAAUUUUGAAAAGAUUCGAACAUUUUUUAGGUGGACAAAAAGGGUGUGUCUGUUGGGUAAUGGAAAUUUUUGAUCUUGGAGAAAAUUAUUGAGUGGUUGAUAGUCAAUGACUAAUUGUUUUUUGCCACGAAGAAUUUCAGACCUUUUUUCAACAUAGAAAGCUUGACAAGCCCAUUGAGAAUUUGUGGGCUCAAUGAGGCCUUGUUUUAGCAAUGGGGCACAUUCUUGUUAGGCCAAAAUAAGGUCUUGUGGGGUCAUUCCUGUAUGGGUAGCUUUGGUUGGGUUGCUAUCUUCAUUUAGUUUGAAAGGUAAGGAUAUGAAAAACUUUGGGUUUUUCCACAACGGGUUUGGAUGGGUAAAAAGGCCAUGGUUUUCAGGGCAAAAUUUUUGGAUUUGAUCUGUAAUGGCUUGGUAUAUGGGUGGUGAAUGGGCUAAAGAAUAGAUCUUUAGAGUGCUCAUGAAGAGUUUAAUCAUGGAUUUGUAACGAAGACCAAAGGAAGAAAUUUGGACAUUUUUUGCCUGAUGUAAGAUGUCAAAACCUACAAGGAGAUCUUUGUUUGGCAAGGCUGAACCAAUUAGUUUUAUCCAAACAACACAAUUAGGAAAUAACGAAUUCCUAUUGGAUGUUUAGCAACUAAUUUAGUUGUAAAGAUCUUUCCAUUAGCUGCUUUGAAGUGUUCUUCCUGAGUUUUCCAAUACUCAGUAGGAAGAAUAACAGGAUUAAGCAUGCUUCGCUGAGCACCAGUAUCGAGAAAACCAAUGGCUGUGAUGGGUUUAUAGUAUCUGGAAGGGACAAUUUGGAUUUUGACAGAAGGUAUAGGUAUGGUAUGGUCAUGGAUUAGGAUGGAGGACGGUUGGACUGUGUAGACAGGUUCAAAAUCAAAACUGUCUGAAUCACUAGAUUCUGCUGGUAAGGCAAAGACUGUAUCAUUAUUUGGCUCUUCUUGUUCAGAAAAUAAGUGUUCAACUUGGUCUGUGGUUGGAGAAAAUUUUGUUACACCAGAUUUGUAACAGAACAAAGUCUGUCCUUAGGGCCAAUAGCCCGCAAGUUCUGGUUUCCAGCCGAUAUACAUUUAUCCAUCAAAUACCAAAUCCGAAAAUCAUAUUUGAAAACAAUUUUUCACAAUACCACCCGAAAACACGGCACUCUUGGCCUUCAAAGAGGGUGAACGUUGUGAGAAAACAAUUUCAUUUUACAAAAAUCGGUUUUAGAGGAUAAAACAAGACCUUUCUGAUGCACAGGAUCCUUAGGCAUAAGGCAAGUGCAGAGCAUACUCAAUUUAAAAAAUUAGAGGAGAACAUAUCAUUAUUAACCCAAAUAAUUUCUUUGAUUCCUAGAAGAAAGAAGAAUUUUAGAAACACAUGAUGUAAAGAAAACUUGAAAAUAUAUUUCAAAUUAACUCCUGCCUUACAAGGGGAUAGAGAGAUCCUUAUAUAGAGAUCUCGAGGAAGGAGAGAUAAGGUGGGACCCUUAUCUUUUACAAAAGCAGAAUGAUUAAAGCACACCAUGCCAAAACCAAAAGAAAAACAUAAAACACACUUUAGACAAGACACGACCCUUGUCUAAUUAUUAAAGCAAACUUUUAAAAAAGCAAAAGCUAAAGAUUCCCAUGCGUGUCUGCAAUCAUAGAGUGGAUGGGAAAUGUGAUGGAGGCACAUCGCUAGUUUCUUUCUCAUAUUGUCGUUUGGCACGAUGGAUCUGUCUUUGAUCAAGAUAAGCUUUUGCUUGCAGAUAAGCUUCUUCAUCAGCGGCAGUCAUCUUUUUUCAGGCUGGUGGAGCAGGAGGAUCUGGGUCGAUGACAGUGUAAUGGGAAGUUUCAGUAAGGAGAAGGGACUGAAAAUCUUCCCAUGGAUCCUGAGCGUCUUGGAAUAAGACGUUAGUGUAAUCAGGACGUUGUUCCAUGACAAGGAUUCCUUGAGGACUAGAAUUGGAUCCGGGAGUACAAGUUUGUGUCUUUGGGACAAUUUUUAAGGUGUGUAAUGGAUGUUUGUGGCAGGUAGCUGAACAUUGUUGAGUUCCAUGAGGUAUGACUUGAGAACAGAGGUAACAGAUGUAUCAUGGAUGAGGGUAUAAAGAUGGGGAUAAAUUUUUCAUUCAUAGGUCAUAUCUUUUGUCCAGAAGUCUCUUAUUUAUGGGUGAUGGAAGUAAGGUCUAUGAACAAUGAAGACUGUAGUGAACAUGUUGGCUUCUUGUUCUGGCAUUCUGUCUAAUUCGUGAAAAGUACACAGAUUUUUGAGCUGUUUACGCCACCACGUGAGUGAGGACUACCAUUCAAGGAGAGUCCAUAGAAGGUCUGGGGAAAAUUCAGGAGUGGUGAGAUGGCGGAGGACUGGUUGGACAGGGAAGACCAAUUUUGUAGCAUACAGGGUAGUGAGGCACCACAUGUAUCAAACUCAUCUUCACAAAUGGUGAGGGAUGACAGGGUAAGACCUAUGAGAAACAAGUUUUCCAUACAGAGGGAAGGAAAAUGAUCUGGCUUUUUGUUCUGAACAUUGAAGAAAUAUCGGUAAAGGAAUUUCUUUGUAAAGUCUUGGAUCUGGUAGGCUGAAUGAAAAGGAAUGUUCAUGGGAAAAGGUUCUCUGGUUAAGAGCUUUGAAAGGAAGUUGACGAUUCAUGGCUAUGACUAGGAUGGUGUGGAUGGAGGAAAUAAGUGAAGGUUUAUUUAUAGCCGGACGUGUAAGGAAAUCUAGGAUGAGGUUCUGUUUACCUUUUAUGUGUUGGACAGUAAAAUCAUAUUUAGAAAACCAGUUUUUGAGGCUAAGCAAUUGUUUGUUAGGGAGCAACUUGUUUUUAAAGUCAAAGAUUCUAGGAAAAGAGGAGUUGUCCAUGUUAAUAAAGAAUGUAUGGCUGAUUAGUUGAAAUUCAAAUUUUUUUGAUUCCAUACUUGACCACCAAAAUCUCUUUGUAGAUCACUUGAUAAUUCUUUUCAGAGUCUUUGAAUUGUCCGCUUGCAUGUGCACAUAAGUGACGUACACCAUUUAUCUCUUCAAGAAGGUGGCACUCCAGUAAUUAUCAUUGGCAUCGGUCUAUAGAAUGCGUUGUCCAUUUGUGGGAAUUCGGAGAGGAGGAGGUGACUGGGCUAUCACCUUUAGUUGUUGGACAGCUUCUGUCUGUGCUGGUCCCCAUGGAGGGCACUGUUUUUUGAGCAUGCGGGACAACUGGCUUGUGUGGAUUGCAACUUUAGGGAUGAAAUCAUGGACAUAAUUAACAAUCCCGAGGAAUUGUUGGAUCUGCUUUUUGUUGAGAUGUGUGUCCGAAAACUUUAAUAAUGGCCAUCN
rnacentral:lncRNA from 1 species